rnacentral:lncRNA from 1 species
GAUCCUAACCUGCCCUACUGUUUGGUGUUGGAGAAUUUGAAAGAUAUGAGAUUCCUGAGUAUCCUAACACAAACUGGCAACAGACUCAACAAUAUGGCUCCAAUACACAAAGCUUGUGAAAUGUGUAUUGCUAAUUUUGUGUUAUUGGCAGAACUGCAGACAGCAGAAUUACAUGCACAAGAUAGUUUGUGUGCUAACUAGUUACACAGGGUACCCUGCAUUUGGCUCUGAAUUGGUCCCUUUGUCUCAAAAUUGCCUUGUGAGCAAACAAAGGCACUGUUGCCACAGCCAACAAUCACAUUAAUCCUGUAUCUAGUUGUCUUCAAAUGGUUUCAAAAGUGUUGCCUCAUUACUAAAUUCACGUCUAAUUUUGUUAAUUUGGUAUCUACCAAAACUAUACUGAAAUAGUUUGGUGUAUACCGAAACCAAACCGUAUUUUAAUUUCACACCAUACUUACUGAAAUAUUGAUAUUGCACAAACCAAAAAAAAUCUUAUUUACCGAACCAAAUAAACCGAAUGCACAGAGUUAGCGACUAGCACUUCUGAAUAUAAGAGAUUGAAGAAACACUCACUGAGCAUCAACACACUAUCUCUUGCAUGCACUUGGUUCUCUGACGUCCAGUCUGUUCUUUCCAUGCCUAAUUUCAUAUCCAAUUUCCCGACUACAGAUUGUAGUCAUACACUUCUUCCAGUGAGUCAAAUCUGCUGCCGACAUCAGGUACUACAAUAGUUUGAGUCUUCUUCUUUGCAUAUCCCGUGAUUGUUUUCUCGAGAGUGCACACUCUGCUAGCAUAGGGGGGCCGUUCUGCAAGUACCCGUCCAACAUGACCCCUGUGUCAAGUAGAUCAUUGCAGUCACACAUGCCUCAUCGAUUUUAACUUUGAGGAACUACUACUCCCAACACAUAAGUACGUACUUACGUACGUAUCAGAAUUCAGAGGUACGUUUAAUUCACUAAUAUGUCCUCAUACGCAGUUGCAGCAUCACAGGAUCAACUGCAGUACAGACAUGCCAACAAUACAGUCGGGCAUAGUUCACGCAUGAUUUACCUCUUGUCUAACCCGACGUCUGUGCCCUUUAACUGUUCUGAGUCCGGCGCCGUCAAGCUAAUGGACGCACAAACGCCCUUCAGGUCUAGCUGCAGCGCCGGUGGCGCAUCCCCCACCUCACCAAUGCCGGACUCAGCUACCCUGCUCAGCAGAUCUGCCACGGCGUGCGCGCCGGCGUGUACUCGUCACCCCCAAUCACCGGCAAGGGGAACCUGGCCGAAGAAGGCAAUGUCCCUGAGAUGUACUCACACCAAAAGAGUGAAUAAUCCCGAAAAUCAAGCGAGGGUAAAUCCAGAAUACCUGCCCACUCGGAUCUGAUCGGAACUAGAAUCAUGACGUAUUUCCACUGCACUAAAUGUGACCACCACGAACGCGCUAUUCUAUGCGUCCACGAAGCAGGAGCGCGCGAGCUCGUCCGCCAUAUCGCCGUUCUCGCGAAUGUGCCCUCACUAGCACUUUACCACGACACCUUCCAUGUAUGAAAGUGAGAAGAAAAAAGAGUGAUGAUGUCUACCGUUAGAAAAUACGGAAAUAGAUCACUGCAAAAAAAGUAGACGGUUCAAAAAAGUAGACGACGCACGUGAUGUUUUGUUAAUGAGGUUUACCAUCAUGACGGACGCAUCUCCCAUGUACCAGUCACAUGAUACAGGUUGAUGAUAAGCCUUUUAAGGCUACCAGACAACGCUCUGAUAAUUGUGUCACGGUCGGUCCAACCAUCCUUACCAUUGGACGCGCGAACCGUCCCUCUAAUGAUUUAAUCUAUUUCAGCUAUCCGCGGAGACCCUAUAAAAUAAUUUUAGAUUACGCGUGUCUGAGUCAAACACCUAACUCUGCGGCUAGGGUUGAGGGUUUACCGGAUCAACUGGUGGGUUGCCCGCUACCCCGCAUCGUCGGUGCCGUUGUCGUGCUCUCCUGUGAGAUCGCACAACCCGGUCGUCCUCGUGGCGCCCACCUGCAAGGAAGGCUGUUGCCGCCACCCACCUCAGGAGGCUUCUACUCAGUCUCAGUGCCGCCCCCGCCAUUCAUGGAAUACCCAUGACUUGAACCCUGAUAGGCUGAGGAUACUACUAUCGUCCUAAUCACGCAGUCAUAGGUUGGUUCGCAAUUAAUCCGACAUUUGAACAGUGUGCUCCUGCUAGUUCUAGCCAAACUGGCUGACGUGUCCAAACCGACAGCAUGUAAGAACUCCUGGCACAUAUUUGCAAAAGAAAAGAAAAAACAUCCUCGCACCUAUUAUCCAGUUGUACAAUCCGACAUUUGAACUUUCUUUUAGCAAAAAAAGAGGGGCCUUCCUGGCCCAAAUCCCUUUGUUGCACCCGAAAAACAAUGUCUCGUGUCCAUGAGUGCCGCUCCGUCGUGAUUAGGCACCCUACCGUCGUUGUCGGCUACACGAGCUUCGCCCGACCACAUCCUCUAGCAAAGGCGGCGAGGAGGAAAGGGGGAUGGGUGUUGAAGCGACUAGUUCUUGUAUGGAGCAGCGACUAGGUUUUUUGCCUGCAUGAACCAUUCCAUAACCAGUAGGAAGUUCUCACUUGAAGAUGAAAGGCCAAGAAAACAAAGUUAGCUUGAGGCUAGUCAUAGCGGGAGUAACUUGGCCAGAAACAUAAUGCAUCUCAAGACAAUUUUGCUUAUGUGUCACGUAGUUAAUGAGAAGAGAGAUGUUUAGAGUAACAUAUAGCUUUCCAGAAAAAGAUGAGUCUACAAGCUAAAUUUUUUUAGAACGAAGACGCUAGGGGCGUCCGGCUUCAAAUUAAUAAAGCCCACAUCAUAGGCAGUGUACCACAGAGGUCAGACAUACAUGAGCACGGAGGCUCGGGCCUUAACUGUCACGGAGAGAAAAGGUUUUUCGGCCAAAAGAGCAAGCGCAGGGAAAUACAUGACACGAGGCCAAAUCAUUGAGCACGCAGGCUCGCAAACACAUCCAAAAGGUCCACUUCAAGACGAGGAAGUGGCAGUUGGCUUCCUAGCCAAAACGUACACCUGGCGCAGACGGUCUUGAGCAUGCUUCAUCUUAUCACAAUCCUUGCGCCUCGCCAACGGAUUCCACUGCUGCAAGAAGAGGUUGCAUUUAUAGAUUAUGUUAGCCGGAUGAGUCGGGAAGAUCCCCUCGAUCACUAAUUUGUUCCUAGUAAGCCAGAGAGCCCAGAACAGUGCCCCAACACAGCUCCAUAGCACACGCUUAUUACUCCCCUGGACGGAGUCGAGGAUGGACCUAAGAUCGUUAGCCGAUCUAGGGUCCCAAGAGACGCCAGCCGCAUUACGGACCACGCUCCAAGCAGAACGGGCCAACGGGCACCUAAAGAAGACGUGGUUCGCGUCCUCGGUAACGUUACAGAUCGCACAUGUGUCGGUCGCCGGGCCGUGGCGCUUGGCCACAUUUUCAGAAGUGGGCAGUCUGUUCCUGAACAGCUGCCAGAAAAACACCUUGAUUUUAAGAGGAAGGCGUGCAUGCACAACCCUUUGGGACCUGAAAGGGCGAGGCUUGGCAAAGUUUUCGGUAAGGUACUUGACCGAGAACUUGCCAGACGCGGUGAGAGCCCAGUUCACCGAGUCCGCGGACGUGGACAACUCCACUGGGCUGAUUAACUGGAGUAGUGUCGCUAGGUUCGCUUGUUCCUGCCCGUUGAGCUCGCGGCGGGAGUGGAUNNNNNNNNNNNNNNNNNNNNNNNNNNNNNNNNNNNNNNNNNNNNNNNNNNNNNNNNNNNNNNNNNNNNNNNNNNNNNNNNNNNNNNNNNNNNNNNNNNNNNNNNNNNNNNNNNNNNNNNNNNNNNNNNNNNNNNNNNNNNNNNNNNNNNNNNNNNNNNNNNNNNNNNNNNNNNNNNNNNNNNNNNNNNNNNNNNNNNNNNNNNNNNNNNNNNNNNNNNNNNNNNNNNNNNNNNNNNNNNNNNNNNNNNNNNNNNNNNNNNNNNNNNNNNNNNNNNNNNNNNNNNNNNNNNNNNNNNNNNNNNNNNNNNNNNNNNNNGGCCACGGAUUGGUUCGGGGAGACGACCAAAGAGUACAUGUCCUGGACAUCCAACCAUAGAGGCCAACCCAAUAGUCAAGCCAAAAUCUGGCCGAACAGCCAUCCCCGAUGAUGAACUUGGCCCCCAUGGCGAAAGCCAGACGGAUCGCUUGGAGGUCAUUCCAAAAAGGUGAGCCCCUUGCUGCACCUUCGAAAAAGUUCCCGUUCGGAAAGUAUUUGGCCCGCAACAGAUCGACCCAAAGUCCGGUCUCCCCUUGCCCCUUGGGAUAUCUUCCAAAUCCAAUUGCACAUUAGUGCAAUGUUGAGGAUUCGCGUGUUUGUGAUCCCAAGGCCCCCCAAGUCCUUGGGGCGACACACCGCGGCCCACUUAACCAUGUGGUAUUUGCACUUUGGCCCCGAACCUUCCCAAAAGAAACGUGACCGCGGCGUGUCCAUCUUGGCGUGAACACCUUCAGCCAAGAGGAAAAGACCCAUCGCGAACUGGGGCAGCGAGGAUAGGCUCGAGUUCGUGAGAACCAACCUGCUGCAGAGGAGAGAAAUUUCCCCCUCCAUGGGCAGACCCGCCCGCCCACCUUGGUCCAAAGCGAAGCCGAGCCAUCGAUCGUGAUGUGCUUGGCGUAUAAAGGGAGACCCAGGUAGGUAAACGGAAGCUUGCCAACUUUGCAGUUGAGCAAGUCCGUGAUAUGCCUGCCCUCCUCUGCUUCUAGGCCCAUGGGUAGUACUUCGCACUUGUGGAAAUUGAUUUUGAGCCCUCACAUGAGCUCGAAGAUAAGAAGAAGGGCUUUGACCGUGGCCACGCUGUGGAUGUCAGGCUGGAACAAUAGUAGCGUGUCAUCCGCGUACUGCAAGUGGGAUAUCCCCCUGGGAUUAGGUGUCCCAACACUCCUUUGAUAUGUCCAGCCUUGGUGGCUCUCUGUAACAUUGCAGCCAGCGCAUCAAUGACAAAAUUGAACAAAAUCGGGGACAUGGGGUCACCCUGAUGCAAUCCACAUUUGUUCCGGAAGAAGUGCCCUACUUCUCCGUUAACCGAGAUUGCAGUUUGGCCCCCGAGACCAACUGCAUAACUCGGUGAACCCAAACAGACGAGAAACCUCGGCUGAUGAGAACUUGUCGUAAAAAGUCCCAGUUGACGCGGUCGUACGCUUUUUAGAAAUCUAGUUUGAGGAGAAUGGCCGGUUCCUUCGUACGUUUUAUCUCGUGAAGGGUUUCUUGCAAGGCAAGCGGGCCCUCCAGAAUGUGAUGGCCGCGAAUGAAGGCUGACUGCGUACGACUAAUGGUACGAUGAGCGAUCGGGGUGAGACGCGUGGUGCAAGCUUUAGCACAGAUCUUCAAAGGAAAAUUAAUAAGCGCGAUGGGUCCGUACUGAUGGAUGGUGUCCGCUCCAGCUACUUUGGGGAUGAGCGAGAGCACGCCGAAGUUAAGCCUAGCAAUAUCCACUAAGCCACACAUAAAGCCGUUGCACACCGCGAAAAUGGGUUCGUGCAACAAAGGCCAAAAUUAGUGCUUGAACAUCGCCACCGGCCAUCCGUCUGGGCCCGGUGCCGUGUCAGUUUUCAUGCAGAGAACACGAGCCCCAACUCAUCGUUUUCACAGUCGAGGACCCGUUGGGAGGGCAACCAAAUGUCCGCGCGCAGGCCCGCAUGUUGUUCUUCCCUGGAACGCAUCAGGUUGAUGUAAAAAUCGUAGACGUGGUGCGAAAUCUCGGACUGGCGCAGCAGGAUCCCCUGUUCCGAUUGCAACCAAAGGAUCGCACAUUUCCUGCGCCUACCAUUCGCGUAAGCGUGGAAAUACUUAGUGUUGGCGUCCCCCUUGAGGGUCCACUUGAGGCCGCCCCUGCGCCUCCAAUAUUCCUCCUCAGAGCGAAGCAGCGCUUCAACUUGCCCUUCCAGGGCGUAUCGGUGAGCCCAUUCCUGCUCAGAGAAAGGUGUCGCGUCUGCCUGGGCAUCAAGGAGCGCAAUUUCAUUGACGAGACUCGCCCUGAGUAGCUUGUCGUAGCGCCCUUGAUUCGCGCCCCACCCUUUGAGUCACGCAUGGAGACGGCCCCCAACCGCAUUCCAGAAUUCCAAUGGGCCACGUUGUUGGCCUGUGAGUUGUACGCAUCUGAACCAUUUCUCCCUGAAUAUGGUGUCGAAGCUUGGUACCUCAAACCAGGCUAUUUCAAAAAAGAAAUGGGGGUUGUGACGGAUCCUAUCUUCCCCUGAGGAUAGGAUUAAGGUAAUGUGGUCCGACCCGGUCCUCGUUUCGGCGAGGAGCACGCAUAGCGGGAAUACCACUUCCUAGUCCGGAGACAUGAACACGCGGUCUAGAACAGAGCGCACCGGAGCGAGCUGUUUAUUAGUCCAGGUGUAUCUAGCCCCGGUUCUGGCCACUUCCCUAAGUGACAUUGUCACGCCCAAUAUGCGACCCUAUCCAAAAGGAACUUGAAGGUCCCACCAAGGAUAGACCCGCAUAUUGAAACGCUUUUGCAAGGUGGAUAUCAUUACAUCAACAUUACAUAAUAGAAUGGGGAUACAUACAUAAGGCAUACAAUGCCACACGAAUACAACAUCACAAUACAUAAGGGCAACAUCCGACUACGGAUGAAACAUAAACAGAAACUCAAACGACAUCCACCCUGCUAGCCCAGGCUGCCGACCUGGAACCUAUCCCCUGAUCGAAGAAGCAGAAGAAGAACUCAACGCAAGCAAGCAUCGCUCUCGCGUCAUGAUCAUCGCAUAACCUGUACCUGCAACUGUUGUUGUACUAAUCUGUGAGCCACGAGGACUCAGCAAUCCCAUUACCAUGGGUAUCAAGACUAAGCUUAAUAGGAAAGGAAGGGGUAAAGUGGUGAGGCUGCAGCAGCGGCUAAGCAUAUAUGGUGGCUAACAUACGCAAAUAAGAGCGAGGAGAGAGCAAAAUGAACGGUCGUGAAGCUAGCAAUGAUCAAGAAGUGAUCCUGAACUCCUACUUACGUCAAACAUAACCCAGAAACCGUGUUCACUUCCCGGACUCCGCCGAAAAGAGACCAUCACGGCUACACACGCGGUUGAUGCGUUUUAAUUCGGAUCUGGUGUCAAGUUAUGUACAACCGGACAUUAACAAAUUCCCAUCUGCCUAUAACCGCAGGCACGGCUUUCGAAAGAUUAUACCCUGCAGGGGUGUCCCAACUUAGCCCAUGAUAAGCUCUCGCGAUCAACAAAGUAUAUACCUUCUCCCAGGAAGACCCGAUCAGACUCGGAAUCCCGGUUUACAAGACAUUUCGACGAUGGUAAAACAAGACCAGCAAAGCCGCCCGAUGCGCCGACAAUCCCGAUAGGAGCUGCACAUAUCUCGUUCUCAGGGCAACACCGGAUGAGACAUCCUACGAGUAAAACCAAACCUCGAGUUUCCCCGAGGGGGCCCCGCAGUCUACUCAGUUCGGACCAACACUUAGACAAGCACUGGCCCGGGGGGGCUAAAAUAAAGAUGACCCUCGGGCUCCGGAAACCCAAGGGAAAAAGGGGUAGGUGAGGCAAAUGGUAAAACCAAGGUUGGGCCUUGCUGGAGGAGUUUUAUUCAAAGCGAACUGUCAAGGGGGUCCCAUAAAUCACCCGACCACGUAAGGAACGCAAAAUCCGGAAACAUAACACCGGUAUGACGGAAACUAGGGCGGCAAGAGUGGAACAAAACACCAAGCAUAAGGCCGAGUCUUCCACCCUUUACCAAGUAUAUAGAUGCAUUAAUAAUAUAAGAGAUAUUGUGAUAUCCCAACCAAAAUCCUGUCCACCAUGGAGAAAUCUUCAACUUCACCUGCAACUAACAAUGCUAUAAGAGGGCUGAGCAAAGCGGUAACAUAGCCAAACAACGGUUUGCUAGGAAGGGUGAAAAGGUUAGAGGCUGACAUGGCAAUUUGGGAGGCUUGAAGAGUAAAUGAUAGGUAGCGCAGCAUAGCGAUAGAACGAAGCAACUAGCAUAGCAAUGAUAGUAGUGAGAUCCAGGGUAGCGGUCAUCUUGCCUGAAAUCCCGCAAGGAAGGAGAACGAGUCCAUGAAGAAGACGAACGGAAGUAGUCGAACGAAACCUCACAAUCGUAACGUUACCGAAACUAAGAAGCAACACCGGAAAGAAACAAACAACAUGGUAAAUGCACAAGCAUAAACAUGGCAUGAUGCACAAACAAGUAUGAUGCAUGUCCGGUUUAAUGAGGCAUGGCAUGGCAAGCGCAGCAAACAAUACUACAAGUUAAGUGGGGAUCAAUAUGCAACGAGUUGCAUAUUGACAAAACACCACAUGCAAUUAUUUAGUUUGAUCUCGUUAUAAGCUACCAAACAAUUUUAAAUGUUGUUAAACAUGGCAAGAGGUGAAGCAUAUGAAAAACUACCUAUCUAGACAAGUUUAAAUGAGGCCGGAAUAACAAACAACAAGUCCGGAAAAUCCCCAUAUGCAUAUUUUAGUUUUGGUACUGUUUUGCCUAUUACAUAAUUUUAGACUUGUUAAACAAGAAAAUAAACUGCACCAUGUUAAACUAGGCAUUUUUCACCCCAUUUACAUAUAAAGUUUAUUUAAAACCGAGCUACGGUUAUUUAGUUAUGAAAUAAAUCAUUUUAACAUGGCAUAUAGCAAAUUAAAUGCAAACAACAUUUUAAACAUUUUAAAUAUGGAUGAGAGUGGCAAAAUAUUAAACUAGACAAAAUUCUAAGCAUUUUACAUGUUUAAAUCAUUUAAAUCCGAUGCACGGUUAUUUACUUGUGAGCAAUUUAAAAUAAUGGCAUCCUCCUGUAAUUAUGCAUGCACUGGAUAAAAGACAAAUUCACAGAUCUGAAAAAAAAGGUACACGGGCCGAAUUCUGCUAGCCCAACAGUGCACAGGAGAGGCGCGGGUGCUGCUCACCCUGGGCCAAGGCCCGGUUGGAGCUGCGGGUUGGGGAGGCCGGCCGGACAGGGCGCUCUGGAUCCUGGGCCGCGGCAAGCGAGGCAGCGGCUCGGGCGGAGUCAACGGGCGCGCAGAGGCGCAGCGCCGCGAUGUAGAGGAUGCAGGCACGCGCUUGUCUUCGAAGCAGAGGCGAGGACGGGACGCCGGCGGUCGGACGAAACCCGAGGCGUCAGAUCACCGCGGAGACGAGGUGGCCGGAGUUGGAGCUCCGUGGCGGCAGUGGUUCUGCAGAAACGGCGACGUCGCAACACAAAUCAGAGAGAGAGAUUGGAGAAAAGAGAGAGCAGCGGGAGGGAGGAAGGAGAGAUGGGGCGGCGCGGGGCUGGCCUGGAGGCCCUCGAGGGUGAGGACGACGCUCGGGGACGAACACCUAGUUCGGGCACUGCGGGAUGGAUGCGAGAGCUUGAGGACGACGAGCUCCUCACCUCUGGAUUGAGCAAAGCAGAGGCGCGGGGACGAUGGGGGUACGGCCUCGAUCCCUUCCGGAUCGAGUAGGAGGACUGCGGUCAGUGGGUGGAUCAGCGGAUGGUUGGAUCGGAGGGAUCCGGUGGGGGUUGGUCGGUUGGGGAAAUCGAGGGAGGUGAGUGGAAGGAUCGGACAGAUCCCGAGGAAGAGGGAGACCAGGUGGAGAAGUCAGAGGAUGGCGGCGCGAGGAGGAUUGAAUGGAUUGGACGGGCUAGGGCUAGGGUUAGACUGUUUAUAAAGCAAAGUGGGUUUUGGUUAGGGGUUAACUUGGUCCGUCCGAUCGUAAUCGGGCGGUCGAGAAUAAAUAGGUAGGGAGUCCAAAUAAGAAAACGGAGAUGUUUUAUAGACGUUUGGGGAUGAUCCGGACCCAACGGUGAUGACAGUCCGGUUCGGGUUUGGGAAGUCUCGGACACGCGCGAGGGGUCUGUGCAUUGAGCAAAGAGAUUAAGCGGCCAGACAAGAGGGACUCGAAAAACCCGGUUGGUCUCGGAACGGUCAACGAGGCAAGGGGGAGCACGGCAACUACGAACGGAUGCAAGUUUUGAAAAAUGACGGCAACGAAGUGCCGAUGCAAUGCGGAUGAUGCAAUGAUGAAAUGCAUGACAUGAAGAAAAAGCAAAACAAAAAAAACAAAAAACCCAACCACGGAGGAAAAAAAUAUAACACAUCUCCGGAAAAGUAAGAGUUGGAGUUAUGAAUAUGGAAAGUUGUAUCCGAGGCGUUAUAGACAUAGACGCAAUUGCAUUGUUGAACAUGGCCACCCUUGACCAAUUGAUGUAGUCAUUGUUCUUAUCAGCGCCCGAGCGAAUCAGGUUGAAAUCGUCCCCUACCAUGAGAGGAGUCUGGGCUGCUGAAACCUCGAGCACCUUGGCUUGGAGUUCUCCCAAGAACUCAGCUGAGCGUGAGUGAUCCGCUGGUCCGUAGACUUGCAUGAUCACCAGCUCGCGAAGUGACACGCGAGCACGAAUGCUAGCGGCGAUGAAAAAGGUUCCAACCUCCCAGGUCAGUACCUCGAACGUGGAUUGGCAGAAACCAAGCAACAUACCACCCGAGUGGCCUGUCGCUGGGCUAUGGUUCCACACAAAUCGCUCAAGGGGAUCAACUGAAAGAAUAUCCUGGUGUCGAAACUCGGCCUUGAUCGUUUACUGGAGCCCUACAAUACCGACAGCCUCUUUCCUGAUGUAUUCUCUCAGUUGGGUGCGACGCCCCACGUGGCCAAAACCACGGAUUUUCCAGAAUAGAGCCUGCAUCUAAAUAACGCGGUUUCGCAAACGAACACCCCUAGAGGUGAUCGCCUUGGCCACGCGCCUCACCCUGCCACGGCUUGGUGAGGGGGGGACAACAACCCCUGUUCCUGUGUCGCCAUCGGGCUACAAGCUAAUAAAUGAAGCAAUCUAUGACACUACAACUAAGCUACACUAUUGAGGUAGUAACCUAGACUGGUGUCAUAUGUAUGACACUAGUAUAAGUUACUCCCCACUAUGACCAGCCUAAUAUCAUCAAGCUCUUGAUGCAUUGACGACAUCGUUGAGGUCUUGGGCAACAUUGAUGGGGAUGCUAUUAGAUAAGCCAAGUUGACUUUCUAAGUCAUUCACAACCUCUCUCAUCCAUUUACCAACAAGAUUUAGUAUCAAAAACUUCCGAAGGAUUGAGUCCAUCUCUAGUUGGUUCUCUGGCCUUAUGACAUCCCGUAUGAGGCGAAUAUCUAAUCCAUAUAGUGCCAAUCUGAAAAUCCAUAAUGUAAGCAUAAUCAUAAAUGUGAAAAUCAAGAUCCACAUCUUGUAAAGUUUAAGAACCUGUUGAAUCAGAAUUAUUUCUGCAGUGCACUAACAAAAGCUUCACUUCUUAUUAUGAAAUUAUGAAAUAAAUCUAGUGAGAGCGUUGCUUCAUGUCCGACAGAAAAAGUCCGCUUUUCGUACGAUUGCGUUGAUUGCAUCUCUACAAAGCAUCCUUGCCAUUCGUUGUCUCGUCGUAUAGAAGUCGGAGAGGCUUGGGUCGUACAUGAAGUAAUUUCCAGCUAAGAAACACUAUAGUCCAAGGUUUAUGCUCACCCAUUCAAAAUAAUCAAAUAGUAUGACUCGUGCAUAGCAUAGGUUUUUGCAUUAUUUAUUUGUUCUUUAUUUUGUUGAUUUUGUUUCUAUUUUCAAUUUGUUUUGUUCUUUUGGUUAUUAUUCUACAUUUUUUGUAUUUGUGAACAACAUAUUUCUAGUACACAUCUAACAUGUUUCCACUACAAAUUAUACAUUUUGUAAUACAUGGUCAAAAAAAAUUCUAUACAUGGUUAUACCAUUUUCGAAUACAUGGUCAACAUUUCUCCUAUAUAUUUUUUACAUUUUUUAAAUGCUUGAUUAAAAAAUUUCAAAUAAAAAUAUUUAACUUUUUUAAUACAUGGUCAAUAUUUUUUCUAUACACAUUAACAUUUACCAAAGGAUUGAUUGACAUUUUUCAAAAACUUGUUCAACAUUUUUUCAAAUUCCUGAUUAAAAUUUUAUAUACAUGAUCAAAUUUAGUCAUCAUUUUUUAAUACAUUGUCAACAUUUUUUCUAUGCAUAUUUAACAAUUUUCAAAUGCUUGAUUAACAUUUUUGAAAAUACUUGUUCAACAUUUUUCAAUGCUUGAUUAACAUUUUUAUAUACAAUGACCAAACAAUUUCAUCAUUUUCUAACACAUGGUCAACAUUUUUUCUAUACACAUUUGACAUUUCCCAAAUGCUUGAUUAUCAUUUUUCAAAUACUUGUUCAACAUUUUUUUUCUAAAUGCUUGAUUAACAUUUUUUGUAUACAUGAUGAAACCAAUUCAUCAUUUUUUAAUACAUGAACAAUAUUUUGUAUACACAUUUAACAUUAUAUCAAAUGCUUGAUUAACAUUUUUCAAACACUUGUUCAAUAUUUUUUUCAAAUGCUUGAUUAACAUGGCGACAGUCAAAGCCCUUGCGUGUUGGGAAGCAUGGCUUUAAGUGAUGUUGUAAUUAUGUCAGAUUGCCAAGGGGUGGUCAAUGAUAUAAAACAUGGUAAUAGAGGUGCAUACUCGAGCAUCAUCAAGGAGAUAAAGGCCACGAUGGAUCAGUUUUAUCAUUAUUCCUUCAUCUUCAAAGGGAGAGAUACCAACAUAGAGGCACGUAGCCUUGCUAAAUACACUUCUGGUUUAGUUUUAGGUCGCCAUCUUUGGCUCCUUAAUCCCCCUCAUCUUCAUAGUAUUCCUAUGAACAUUGCUGAAUAAUAAAGAGGUGUGUUUAGACUAAAAAACCAUGACGUGUGCAAAUUAACCCGGCAUUUUUUAACACGGUACAGACGUAGACGUUCAUAUAUAUGCGCACUCACUCAUCCAUAUGAACACACACGCACACCCUACCUUUUUGAGCACCUUCGAGAGACUAAGCUGACAUAUCAUUUUGAGAUUGACGAAGUCACCGAGGGCUCCUCGUAGUCGACGGGGACGAUCGAAAUCUGACAGAAGUCCAGGAAUAAAUGCAAGCACUAGGACUUGAACCCUAAUAGGCUGAAGAUACCACUAUCCUCUUAACCAUGCAAGCAUAGGUUGGUUCGCAAUUCAUCGGACAUUUGAACGGUGUGCUCCCACCGGUUCUAGCCAUACUGGCUGACGUGUCCAAACUGACAACAUGUAAGAACUCCUGGCACCUAUUGCAUGAGGGAAAAAAUAAGAAGAAAAAAACCCUGGCACGUGUUAUCCAGUUGUACAAUCCGACAUUUGAAAACGACCUUCAAGAACCAACCUAAAAGAGAACUAAAAAGAACAGACUUCAAGACCUUUGAACUCUUACAUCUCUACAACAAAUGCUGGUUCAAACGAUUGAUCGUUUAAAUAUAUACGGAAAUGUUAACGCCCACACGUGUGGGCGUUAGCCAACUCGCCCACAAGCCUCCAUCACCGUCCAGCGCCUUUUUGCACAAAUCUUGGCAUAAAAAAUCUGAUUUUGUGUGUCACGUAAGACAACUCGUGUGUGUGGCAUGUGGGGGAGUUCGCCCACACGCCUGUUUUCUCUCAGCGGCCAACGUUCGCCAGUCGGGGCGUGCGAUGGAAAUGCUGUCGCGCCCGCACGCCACGCACCACUCCUGUUCCCCAUCUCCCACGACUGCCAUUCUCCCACUCUCCCACACCCAAGCUGUCAUUUGCCAUGUUUUUGAAGGGUACAUGGCAACUGCCCUAUUUGUGACUGUAAGCAUAUGGCAACUCUCUUUUUACAUGAACAUGUUAUUGUGCCACGUCUGUUUUGUAGCGUUACAUGGCAACUGUCUAGUGUUAGUAGGUGGCAACUCCUAAAGAUACAUACCACCGUCACCCACAUGCCCGUCUCCUCUCCCACACACCAAAAGUCAUGAGUUGCCAUGUGUUUCGCAGGAUACAUGACAACUGCCCUAGCGUGCUUGCAAGCAGAUGGCAACUCUUUUUUUUACCCGUAACAUAUUUUUUUGCCAUGUUUUUAGUGCUACAUGGCAACUGUCCAGUGUUAGUAGGUGGCAACUCUUAAAGGUUUCCAAAUCAUGGUAACUGUAGUUGUCCGACAUGGCAACACCUGCAGUUGCCCAAAAAUGGCAUCCGGCACUUGACCUAAGAUGGCAACUGCAGUUGAGCAAACAUGGCAACUGUAGUUCAGCAACAUGGCAACUACAGUUCAGCAACAUGGCAACUGGAGAGGGUCCGAACCAUGGCAAUCGCGGCGGGACGCGUGGUUACUAACACGCGGGGCGUGUGGCUCGCAGGCAGGGAGGGGUGACGGCCGAGACGGGUCAUGCAGGCCGCGUGCUCACUCGCCCGGACGUGCUCGUGCGGGGCGAUCGCGCUGCACCGGACGUCCGGGAUGUGGCUGCGCGCGCCCGGACGCGGUCGUGUGGGCGGGGUCGUCUCCGUGCCACACAGGGCGUGCGGUACAACCACCCGAUGCACCACACGUGUGGCAGUUAUCGGGACCCAAUAUAUAUCGAGACGGUUAUGUAGUCCAAAUUCGACUUGAGACACUGAUCGCUAACUAAGCUCAUAUAUACGUACGUUCGUUCGCCCAACACAUCGGCACGAUAUUAGGGCCCAGUGCCGUACGUGCAAACGUCACUGAUAGAAAAAGAGGCUUCCGUCCAGCCCCAUUAGUCGCGAAACUGUAGGAACCGCGACUAAUGAAGUCUUUAGUCGCGGUUCGGCAGAUGAACCGCGACCAAAUGCCUGGGCCCAGGGCGCUCGCGGGCUUUAGUCGCGGUUGGCCAGGCCAACCGCGACUAAAGGUGCCCAAAGGCCUUUAGUCGCGGUUGGCCAGGCCAACCGCGACUAAAGCUCCUCCCUUUUAGUCCCGGUUUGUGGCACGAACCGGAACUAAUGGGGUUGAGACCUUUAGUCCCGGUUCGUGCCACGAACCGGUACUAAAGGUCCCAUUUUCAAACUCUAACCCCCCCCUCCCCGGGAUCGCCUUUUCAGUUUUAAAAAAAAUAAAAGAAAAUAAUGGAAAUGUCAAAAAAAUAAAAGAAAAUAAGUUUCUCAUGUGAUAUGUGGUCUAGUUGUUGGGAAAAUUUGCAAAUGUGAAUAUUGACUUUAUUUGCAAAAUCUCUCUGAAAUUUGUAAAAAUGGGCAUAACUUUUGCAUACUAACUCGGAUGAAAAAGUUUUUUAUAUGAAAAAUCAUCUACUCGAAAAGUUACAUCCAAAUUUAACGGGAGGAACCCCGUUAAACAUUUUCAAAAUCCUCAAAAACCUAAUAGAAAAAAAGUUACGGGGCUUGUAAGAUCUAGAGUGGAAAAAAUUGAAAAAUAUUCAAACAGUGGGCAAACUAUGGUCAAACAAUGGUCAAACUAAUUAUUCUAGAAUAUUAGUGUUACUAAAUAAUUAUUUUAAUUAUUUCAAUUUUGGUCAAAUCUGGUCAAACUGUGGUCAACUGUGGUCAAACUGUGGUCAAACAAUGGUCAAACUAAUUAUUCAAGAAAUAUUAGUGUUACUAAAUAAUUAUUGUUUUUUAAAACAAUAGUUUCAAACUCAAACAGUGAAAUGUGUCACUUCAUGCUCAAGCAAAGUUCCUGAAGGUUAAUAGGAUUGACAUCUUAUUAUUGUCAGGAAAACAACAAGUGCAGACUUGGAGCGUGGGAGAAUAGAACCCGGAAGUUAAGCGUGCUUGGGCUGGAGUAGUGAGAGGGAUGGGUGACCGGUUGGGAAGUUAGAUGAUUUGGAAUGAUGAGGGGUGAUAAAAGAAUAAAUUGAGAAGUGAUGAGGGGUGGUGAUUAGAGACUAGAGGUUAAAAUAAUUCAGAAAUUUGAAAAAAAAAAUUCAAUUUUUUUUUCAAAAACCUGUGGCGGCCUUUAGUCGCGGUUAGCCACAAGAACCGCGACUAAAGGUCCUCCGCCCCGAAGGCCACCUGGCGCCCACGUGGACGGGCCUUUAGUCGCGGUUCUUAAGCAACCGCGACUAAAGGGGGGGCCUUUAGUCGCGCCCGUUCGGUCGCGGUUGCGCAACCGCGACUAAUAGCAGUUGCGAACCGCGACCAAAGGCCCUUUUUCCACCAGUGCGUACGAUGGCAACCUCGCCGACAAAUUCCAGGAUCAGGUCGUCGCACGGCGAACCGCCUCCGUCGCUGAACCAAGAGCUGAUCGUCGACGAGAUCCUCACGCGCCUGCCGGUAGCCGCAGUCGUGCGCUGCAGAUCAGUCUGCCGGGCGUGGAAUGCGGCCCUCGCCUCCGACCACUUCGUCGCCGCCCACGCCGCCAGAGCAGCAGCCGCGCGCCACCCCGAGAUCGUCUUCUUCUCGCCGACAGAGAGGGGCGUCGCCACGUCCUUCUACGCGUGCUCGCUUCCCGUGGACGGAGACGCGCCGCCCGCCGAGGCCCGCAAGCUGCUCAGGGUGGGCAACCUCGCCGGCGAGCACCUCCUGCUGUCCGGGAAUAAGCCGUGCAACGGCCUGACGCUCCUCUUCGACGUCCGGUUGGCGGAGUACCACCUCUUCAACCUCUCCACCGGCCAGCACAUCGCCCUGCCGCCGUGCGAGACGGCGGAGGAGAUAACACCGCUUGUCCCGAAGCCGAUGCGGCUCAAACGGUUUCCUAUGGAGCUCUCCAGCACCGGCCUCGGCUUCGACCCGGCCACCGGCCAGCACAAGGUGGUCAGGCUCUUCAGGAACAUUUUCGGGCAGCAGAAGUGCGAGGUGUGCUCGCUUACAGCAUCCGGCGAGUGGCGGUGGCGGCGACGCGCCGCCAAGAUUCGCGUGCCACGUCGACGGUAUGCCGCCGGUGGCCCUCGACGGGUAUCUCUACUGGCUACUGCACCAGCAGAGCUGCGCCGACGACGGCAGCGCUAGGGACCGGGAGCACGACGCGCCCAUCCUGUCGCUUUCCGUCGGCGCCGAGCGCUUCGGGUGGGUGAGCACGCCGCCGAAGCUGGCGUCACGCAUCCGCCACCUCACCAACCUCGACGGCUCCCUCUGCGCCGUCGUCCAUGACGGCCUCAUAAUUGACAAUGUGCUCCUGCUCAUGACGUGGAGUCGGUCGUCGCCGUCGUGGUCGGCACGUUGCCAAGUCGACAUGGGCAGCCUACCCCGGCCGAUCCGCGACGAGCUCAGGGGGCGGAACAUCGUCCCGCUCUGCAGCAUGGGCGGCGCGGAAAAGAUCCUGCUUGCGACGAGCCGGCACAAGGUGUACAUCUACGACACGGAGAGCGGCGACGUCGAAGAGGUGUUUGACAUGAAUGCCUUCGUUGACAUCCCGUGCAGCAACAGCGAGGCCCAGCUGUUCGUUAACAUUGGCCUCCACGAGGAGCGCAUCGCCGGCGUCGGGCGGACGUUGGCCGGUGACAAACGGCUGCAGGUGAAGCGGGGUGGAGAUACGGUGGUCGGCAAGCGGGAGGUGUCGCCGGAGGUGUACCAACGAUAUAGGGACAAGGACGAGCAUUUUCGCAGCAUGAGAGGAAUGAUCAUGCAGUUUGCAUGACCAAUGCAAGGGAACUACUAGCUAGCUCCAAAUCCUCAUCCCUCUUUUAUCUAGUUUGUUUUUAACAUCACGAGAUACACACAUAAGGCCAAUUCUAGCCGAUCCCCUACAAAAAUAAAAUAGAGGAGGAUCCAGCCAAAUAAGGCCAGAAAUAUAAAGGUUAUAUUAUGCCUAUUCAAACAAUUGUUAGGUUUGAAGAUUGGUUUUAACAAAAGUGAAUUGUUCUGCUUUGGAAAAGCCAUGGAAGAACAAGAAGGUUAUCGACAAUUGUUCGGAUGUGAACUUGAUACCCCGCCGUUUAGUUAUUUGGUAUACUAAUUCACCAUCGCAGGCUUUCUAAUAAGGAAUGAAAGUGUAUUGAAGGUCGAUUUGGAACAACAAAAAAACUAAAUUGCUGAAAGGGUAAACUUAUGUCUUAUAGAGCUCGGUUGAUACUGAUAAACCCAGUACUCAUGAAUAUGCUGAUGUUCUUUCUAUCUUUCUUUGAGGUACAUGUAGGGGUACCGAAAAUGUUAGUUUUUUAUUGAUCACGAUUUUUUGGCAAAGCAAUGAGAAAUAAAGAGAAAAUACAUGCUUACUAAAUGGGAUACCAUUUGUAGACCAAAGAACCCGGGGGCUAGGCAUUGAGAAUUUAGAGGUAAAAGACAGUUUCUUGCUCAGUAAAUGGUUAUACAAUCUUUCUGUUAAGACUCAAGGCAUGUGGGUACAGUUACUGCAUAACAAAUCUUUCGGUCUAAAACAUUGACCCAGGUUACCGUUAGACCCAAUGAUUCACCUUUCUAGAAGGGGUUGAUGAGACGAAAACGGCCUGCUUCCAUAGGACAAAAUUCAUCAUUGGAAACAGUAAUUCUACUAGAUUCUGGUAGGAUACUUGGUUAGGGGAGACGCCUCUGGUCACACAAUAUUCGUCCUUGUAUAAUAUUGUACAACAUAAGAACGCAUAUGUUGCUACAGUAUUACAGUCUUCACCUCUAAAUAUUCAGUUCUGGAGGUCUUUAGUAGGAGAUGAGGGAACGCUUGGCUACAUCUCGUACGAAGGUUGAUGGACAUUCCACUCUCUGAUGAGCCAGAUACGAUUCAUUAGAGACUAUCAAUGAACGAUGUGUUUUCAGUGAAAUCUAUGUAUGUAGACCUAUUACAUCUGGUCCAAUUCCAAAAACCGAUGCAUAUUUGGAAAAUAAAAAUACCCUUAAGAAUCAAAGUCUUCAUGUGGUUUGUUCACGAGGAGGUGAUUCUGACUAAGGAUAAUUUGGCAAAGCGAAGUUGGGAGGGCACUCAACGAUGCUGCUUUUGUGAUCAAGAUGACUCGAUUGAACACCUCUUUCUCAAAUGUCCGAUGCCUAGAUUAUUAUGGCGCUCAAUCCAUUUAGCAUUUAAAAUAGUAUACACAUGUUAUUUGGGACCACUAGUGCAGAACCGGGCAAUAGCACCGGUUCGUAAGGCCCUUUAGUGCCGGUUCCAUAACCGGCACUAAAGUGUGGGCACUAAAGCCCCCCCCCCCUUUAGUACCGGUUCAGCACGAACCGGUGGUAAAGGGCAACCACGUGGCACGAGCCAGCUCCGGGGGGCUGGAGCCCUUUAGUACCGGUUGAUAAUACCAACCGGUAUUAUAAGGUUUGGGUGGUUUUUAGUUUUAUGAUUUCUUUUUCAUUUAAUUUUGUGUUUCCAUUUUAAUUCUUUUUCGUUUGCUGGUAUUUUACGAUACUACACAUUGUACACGUUAUACAUAUAUAUAUAUAUAUAUAUAUAUAAAUAGAAUUUCUAGUAGAACCAAUCAUGCAUAUAUAUAUCAUCAAUGUCUCACAAACCACCAUAUUAAUUAAUUCACACAUACACAAAUGUAUAGCUAGCUAUAUACAAUUUCUCCUACAUAUGCAUGUUGCCUUCGGAGCCAGUGGCAUUAGCCUAAUUGGUUCCUUCGGAGCACGAUGACAAUUGGAAGUGGUUUUCAUGGGGGCGGUAGCGGCUAAUAGUAUUCUUCCUUCGAAUUUAUGACCUGAUCGAGCAAAAAUCCCGCUAUUUCCUCUUGAAGUGCUUCUACGCGCUCCGUUUCUAGGAGCUUCUCCCGCACCUCUCUGAACUGUUAAGAAGGAGAUCAAUAUGCAUGUGUAUUAGUUGUGUGACUAGAUAUCGAUAAUGGUGUAAAAAUUAUGAAUAGUGUUCUGACAAGCGUACCCAUUCCUGUCUUUGAGAUCUGCUCCUUUCGGACGUCAUCAUGCGAAUGUUCUCGCAAACGCAGAAUGCACACAGAUCAGUCCCCUGCGCCUGCUUCAGGGCCUUUACGAGAAUGGAAUUUGAUCAGAUAAUAAUUAAUCAAGCAUGAUAAUUAAAGAGAUGGCAGCUAGCUAGCUAGCUAGUACUACUUAAUUACUUACCUUGGAUCGAAACCAUUGAAGCUUUUUUUUCCAUUCGCCAUCCGUGACGCUGAUGAACCUUGCCCAAGCCCUGCCCGCUGACAAAGAAAAUGAAUAAAGGGGUUAUUAAAUAGUUCAUAUCAUUAAAUGACGAACUAAAUAGGCCGAGAUAUAUAGUUAAUAAUGAUUGAAAUUACCUGUUGACUAUCCCAAACAAGAUGUUAUAGUCAGUUUUAACUUUGAGUAGUGAGUCCAGUAUUUCAACUGUUCCGUCGUCAACUUUAAUGAUACACAAGACCCAGUAAAAUCUGCAUGCACACACGUUUGCAUGUUUUAAUUAAGCGGACAUAUGUAAGCAAAAACAUGUAGCUAGCUAGUAGGCAAAAACAGAGAAUUUGUAGUACAAGACUGUGUGACUCACUGGAAGUUGUAAGGAAGUAAUAUAUCUUUAUUGUAUUUGAGGCGCUUCAAGAACUCUAACAUGUUGUCCUCUAUGUCCUUUUGAUGAUGUGGAUUUAUACGCCAUGUGUAUUCAUUAACGGUGUUUGGAUCAAUGAACCCAAUGCCAUAGCGUCCACCUUUUCUCAUUUCAUACAUCUUCAUCCUGCAUAAUACCACAGAAAAGAAUAUAGUGAGGAUAAUUACAGGUAAUGAUUGAUCAAAAGGAUCACUACAGCUAGCUUGAGACUUAAAUUACAGAAAGAAAUCACUUACAGAUAAUAGCAACUGACGAUAGAUUUGUCGAGUGCGUCUUGAUUGUAUAACUGAAACAGUUCAGAAUACUCAACGGACAGAGCUUUCUCAUGGAAGUAAUGAUCCUCCUUGACAUUCACCAUGAGGGACAAUCGAUCUGAAAUCUUGGUAAUGUUCAUGUACCAUUGAUGCAAUUCAUACAUUCUCGUUGGGAGGUUCUUGACCUUGUCUGGCUCGACCAAAGGUUGGCCCCGGACAUAUUUCCAUUCAUCCUCUCUAAGCACAGGCAUGGGCUCGAUCUCGAGGAGUUGUCCAACAGUGAUUUUGAGAACUUCAACCUGCAUUAUAUGCUCCUCCGUUAUUACCACAUUGCCCACCUCAGGAAUGUAAACUGUUUGCCCACAAUAAUAUUGGGCGCGUGUACUGUCACGUGUUGUUGGCACAACAAGCGAGGGGAUCGAUUGCGCCGCCUGCUCUCCCAGCUGGGGAAUGCUUUUCCCGCAUUUUUUGACAGCUGCUUCUUGUUUGCUCGAUCCCGAGCUCGCCUCCUUACGUAGACGUGCUCGAUUUAACUUCCUGAUGUGGCGCUCAUAGUCUGUGUCAACAGGCUUGGGAGCUGGUGGUUGAGCCAUACGAAUGAAGUGGUCAAUCGUUUCCUCAGGCACUUUCUCCCUUGGCGGCGGUGGUGGUUUCGGUGCAAAAUGGGCUUCCACCUCGACCUUCGAUAUGGCUGCGAUUUCCUCCUCGGACCUGUCAUAAGCCCUCUGUGGAAGAGGCGUGAGGCUUGGACCAUAUUUAUAUCGCUUGCCUCCGCCUGUACUUCCUGUACUACCUCGACUCGUACCGCUACGCACCAUAGCUGCGGGGUGUCUCUUCUGCGAUUGCUGAGGCGGCGGAGACGGCUGACGGGGCUGAGUUGGACGAGGAGGAGUGGCCGCCUGAAGUUGUGCCGGACUUGGAGGAGGAGUGGCCUGAGGUUGUGCCGGACUUGGAGGAGGAGUGGACAUCUGACGCUGUGGCGGACUUGGAGGAGGAGGAGUGGCCUGACACUUUGCCGGACUUGGAGGAGGAGUGGCCUGACACUUUGCCGGACUUGGUGGACUUGCAGGAGCGGGAGACUGCUGACUCGGUGGCGGACUUCGGCGAGGAGUCGGCUGACGCGGUGUCGGUGGCCUUCGAAAGAUGAUGCAAUCCUUUUUCCAUAGGAUGAUACGAUGUUUGGCCUCUUCGAGAAAGCGCUCGUCGUCACCUCCAGGAAUGUCAAGUUGUAGCUCCGAAUAUGGUGGGUCCACCACCUCAUCAACCAAGACACGAGCAUAGCCCGCUGGAAUCGGGUUGCAAUGGAAGGUUGCCUCGGGGGGAUUUGUAAAAGCAACGCCGUCCGCCACCUUCAUGGAUAUGUUCGUUAUUUUGACGUGUAGCUCGCAGUUAGUGUUCUCCGUGAUGUCAUCCACGGGGUAUCUACCCAGCAUUGCGUCAUCCGGGGCGGCCGAACCCACGCUGCUUCUCGGCAUGGAUGGGUCGGUGCUAUCCAAUGCUGGAUCAUCCGCUAGCUGCUGCAGCUGCUGAGACCCCCUUUGCUGGGUAAGUGAGUCGAUCUGCUCCUGCUGCCGCUGGAAUUUGACUGCCAAUUCCGCUUGACUUGCUUCUAGGCCUUGAAGGCGUUCAUAGUCCCGCUUCCUCUGCUCCUCCUCCAUCUUCCUCUUCUUCUCCUCCACAAUCUUCUUUCUCGCAUGGGUUCUGUAGUCGGUGUUCCAGUCUGAAAACCCCUCAUACCACGGAAUAGCGCCCAUGCCUCGUGUUCUUCCCGGGUGUUCAGGAUUUCCCAGGGCACGCGUAAGCUCGUCGUUCUCUCUGUUGGGCUGGAACACCCCCGAUCGUGCCUCUUCUAUUGCAACAAGUAUCGCAUCGUCGGCUCCCUUCAGACUUGCCUUCGUCGAAACAUUGCCUGUCUUCGGGUCCAACUCCCCCCCAUGCGCAUAGAACCAAGUCCUGCACCUGGGGGGCCAGCUCUUAGUAACCGGAGUGACACCUGCAUCCUCCAUCUCUUUCUCAGACUUAUCUCACUUAGGCAUUGCCACCGCAUAGCCACCUGGCCCCAGCUUAUGGAACUUAUCCUUUUUUUCGGCAUUCUUCUUGUUUACUCUCGACCGUUCCUUAGCUAAUUCUGAAUCCUUGAAUUUCACAAAAUCGUCCCAAUGAGCACGUUGGUUCUCUAGUGUUCCCUCGAAUACUGGAGUCUUCCUUCCUCCCUUGACGUACUUGUCCCAUUCACGAUUCUUGUGGUUCUUGAAUACAACCGCCAUCUUCCUAAGAGCAGCGUCCUUGACUUUCUGCACAUCUGCUUCUGUGAAAUGAUCUGGUAGGGUGAAAUGUUCCAUGAGAGUAUCCCAAAGCAGAUCUUUUUGAUUCUUGUCGACAAAAGUAACAUCUGGACGUGGAGCAGCGUCCUCUUUGCCUUUUUGUCUUUUGUCUUUUGCUGGCUCUCUCCAUUCUUGAAGGAAGAUCGGGAGUUGGUCCUUCACAAGAACUCCGCACUGACGAACGAACUUGUCCGCAAUCUUCUUAGGCGCUAAUGGUUCGCCAUUAGGUCUGACUGCCUCGAUAUUGUACUUUACGCCCUCCUUCAACUUUUUGUUUGGGCCUCAUUUCGUCCUUUUGCCUGAAGAUUUGCUCGAUCCGGAUGGCUGAAAGAACAAAGAUCGAUUCGUUAAUAUAUCUUCAAGUCAUUUAAAACAUGUGAUGAUCACCAGAUACCUGCUUAUAUAGAUAUAUAUACCUCGCCGGUCUUUGUUGUUUCAGGAUCAACAUGUUCUUCGUCAUCGUCAUAAUCGUAGUUCAUGACUUCAUCAAUUCGGUCGUCGCGAUCGAAUAUCAUAUCACCCUCUCCGGUGUUGUUUAGAAAUUCGGAGCCGUCAUAAUCUUCUUCAUUCUGAUCAUCAUCUGGCCCACAUAUCAUAUCAAACAUGGUCUGUUCUCCCUCUCUGUCGGUAUUGUCUGCCAUAGCUUUUAUUUAACUAAUCCAAAAGAAAUAUAAAACAAUUUAGUAUUCAAAUUACAUCGUCUCAAAUAAUAGAUAUAAUCUCGAAUACUUCGUCUAGAAUAAUAGAUAUAAUCUCGAAUAUAUCGUCUCGAAUAAUAUAUAAUAUUGAAUAGUACAUCACUGGCUAGCUAAUUAAAGAUCGAAUACUACAGAAGAAUCUAGGACACUUGCGGUUCCUGCGGCGCGGGCGGUGGACACCCAAAGAGAAGGAACCCACACAGGAUCAUAGCUGAAGUGAGAUCCCCGAAGAUACUGCCAGGUAUUGGAGAACCUUCUGCCCUCUAACGCAACCAUGUAGCGAUGGACGUGCUCGUCCUCCUCCCUGACACGGCGACGUACCACCUCCGGCGGGGCCGGGUCCCUCCGCACCGAAACUGGCCCACGCGAACGCCACCAAACGAGAUCAGGGUCGACGACGGGACCCGGGGCCGGGUUCCUCAUCAAGCGGCACGCCCCUCCAGGCAGCACCUCCCAGUGCCAGCCCGGCGGAGCCCAGUCCCGGACAUGGGUCGCUGGACGUCGUCACGGACGGGUCGACGGCGAGGAUGCGGGCCGGGCAUCGUCGAGAACAAAUACUAGCUAUAUGCCCGCAAAAAGUAACAUUUUUUUAAUGAUUGGAUUUUGAUAACUAAAAUUUCUAACAUUUCUACUAUUUCAAAAAUCUAUAUACUAUUUCAUACUAAUUAAGCAUCUAACACUAAAAACAGAAAACACAGCUUCUAUACAUCCAUUAAAAAACUGAAAAACAACAUUAUAUAAAAAAUUUCCAUACUAAUUAAACACUAAUUAUAUCCAUCUAACAUGCAUUCAUACAUAUNNNNNNNNNNNNNNNNNNNNNNNNNNNNNNNNNNNNNNNNNNNNNNNNNNNNNNNNNNNNNNNNNNNNNNNNNNNNNNNNNNNNNNNNNNNNNNNNNNNNNNNNNNNNNNNNNNNNNNNNNNNNNNNNNNNNNNNNNNNNNNNNNNNNNNNNNNNNNNNNNNNNNNNNNNNNNNNNNNNNNNNNNNNNNNNNNNNNNNNNNNNNNNNNNNNNNNNNNNNNNNNNNNNNNNNNNNNNNNNNNNNNNNNNNNNNNNNNNNNNNNNNNNNNNNNNNNNNNNNNNNNNNNNNNNNNNNNNNNNNNNNNNNNNNNNNNNNNNNNNNNNNNNNNNNNNNNNNNNNNNNNNNNNNNNNNNNNNNNNNNNNNNNNNNNNNNNNNNNNNNNNNNNNNNNNNNNNNNNNNNNNNNNNNNNNNNNNNNNNNNNNNNNNNNNNNNNNNNNNNNNNNNNNNNNNNNNNNNNNNNNNNNNNNNNNNNNNNNNNNNNNNNNNNNNNNNNNNNNNNNNNNNNNNNNNNNNNNNNNNNNNNNNNNNNNNNNNNNNNNNNNNNNNNGCGGCGAUGGGGACGGGGGCGGCGACGGCGACGGAGACAACAGAAACAGAGGAAGAAACAGAGGGAGAAUGAAAAUUUCGUAAGUGUAUAUAUAGAAGGCAGCUGUAGUACCGGUUGGAGCCACCAACCGGUACUAAAGGCCUGUUUUGGCCAGGCCAAGCGGCGGGAAGACGAGGCCUUUAGUACCGGUUGGAGCCACCAACCGGUACUAAAGACCACCCUUUAGUACCGGUUGGUGGCUCCAACCGGUACUAAAGGCCUCGCGCUGCCACCCCAAAGUUUAGUCCCACCUCGCGGGGCGAAGGGCAGCCGCACUGGUUUAUAAACCCAGCCGCGGCUACCACUUUGAACUCCUCUAUAUAGCAGGCUUAUGGACCUAAACUCUGCGCGCUGUCCUGUGAGUCUGUUGGGCCUUUAAGGCCUGUAAUUACACACCUGUGGCCUAUCAGGCCCACAGGGCAGCGCCCCAAUUUUUUUAUCGUUUUUUUCUUUUCUGCUUUAUUUUCUUCUAUUUAUUUUUGCGUAGUUUUUUGUAUAGUUUUUUCUUUUCUGUUAUAUUUAUUUUCUUCUAUUUAUUUGUGAGUAGUUUUUCAUCUAGUUUGCCAAAAUUCAACAUUUUCAGAGUUCAUUUUGUAGUGAUUUUCAAUUUCACGAUCGUUUUGUAAACGAUUGAAAAAUAGCAAAUAUAAUUUUUUUUCUUUUCUGCUUUAUUUUUUCUUCUAUUUAUUUCUGAGUAGUUUUUUCUUUUCUGCUAUAUUUAUUUUCUUCUAUUUAUUUUUGAGUAGUUUUUUUAUAUAGUUUUUUCUUUUCAGCUAUAGGUUUUCUUUCUUUUCUGCUAUUUUUUCUUUUCUGUAAAACUUGAUGGUCAAAGUCUGGAGUUAUAACUUAAAAAAAAGAAAUGUCGACGUGCAAUUAGUUUUUGCCAUAACAGAAGAAGUCCGGAGUUGUAAUAAGUUAUUAAAAAUAAAAAAGAGGUGCAAUGCUCGUUAAUUUGCUUCAAGCCUUUCGGAAUAGUGUAAACUGCACUGCGCAUAGCUCCGUGCAGUCUACCGUAUUCCUGAAUGCUUGAAGCUAAGCAACGUGAGCAUUGUUCCUCUUCUUCAUCGUCUCUGCACUCAGGGCUCAUAAACCGCUCCUAGUCCCUCUCACUUCGCGAGGUGGGACUAAAAAACAGCUUACGUCUGGUUCAUCCAUGAACCGGUACUAAAGGUGCUCGUGGGGCCCCAGCCUUACCUGACACAACCUCAUUAGUACCGGUUCGUGGUACGAACCGGCACUAAAUGGUGAUGGUGGGGCCAUAGCCUGACCGGAGGCUGACACAGCCUCUUUAGGUACAAAAAAUUACAAACUUUCUGUUAGUGCCCGUAGUUUUCAAAUUUGAAUAGUUUAAAUUUUGAAUUAUUUGACAUUAGUGUGAAUUUGUUUGCACAUAAAAUUUCUUCGCGUUUCAAAUGCCAAAACACAUAACUACCCUAACUAUUACAGAGAUUCCCCUCUGGGUGCGAAACACAGAAGAAAGUGAUGAUAGCUAGUGAAGCCGAUCACAUCCCAGAUCUUUGGGUGUGAAACUUUUUCUUCGCGUGUGUCCCUUUGCGCCGUAACCAUGGAAAAUCUUCAUCAUUUAAUGGGAUGCUCGGGUCAAUAUUCAUUGUGAAUGGAGCAAUUUCAUCAAACUUUUCAUAAUAUUCUGACUUGUCUGUCUUGUCAUCCACUCCCAUGAUGUUUCUCUUCCCAGAAAGAACUAUGUGCCGCUUUGGCUCAUCGUACGAUGCAUUCGCUUUCUUAUCUUUUCUUUUUCUUGGCUUGGUAGACAUGUCCUUCACAUAGAAAACCUGUGCCACAUCAUUGGCUAGGACGAAUGGUUCGUCUGCAUACGCAAGAUAGUUGAGAUCCACUGUUGUCAUUCCGCACUGCGGGUCUUCCGUUACCCCGCCUCGUGUCAUAUUGACCCAUUUGCACUGAAACAAAGGGACCUUUAAACCACGUCGAUAGUCAAGUUCCUAUAUGUCCUGUAUAUAACCAUAAUAUGUUUCCUUUAUUGUCUUGGUUUCUGCAUCAAAGCGGACACCACUGUUUUGGUUGGUGCUCUUCUUAUCUUGGGCGAUCGUGUAAAAUGUAUUACCAUUUAUCUCGUACCCUUUGAAAGUCAUUAUAUUCGAAGAUGGUAACUGGGAUAGCAAGUACAGGUCAUCUUCAAUAGAGGUGUCAUGCAUGGUACGUGUCUGCAACCAGCUGGCGAAACUCCUGGUUUGUUCAUGUGUAAUCCAGUCAUUAGACCGCUCCGGGUGUUUGGAGCGUAGCAAAUUCUUGUGUUCAUCCAUAUACGGAGCCACCAAGGCGGAAUUCUGUAGAACUGUGUAGUGUGCUUCAGUGAGAGAAUGUCCGUCCAUACAUAUUAUUUGUUCCCCUCCUAGCGUGCCUUUUCCAUCCAAUCUGCCCUUAUGCCGCGAUUCAGGAACACCAAUCGGCUUAAGGUCAGGAAUAAAGUCAAUACAAAAUUCAAUGACCUCCUCAUUUUGAUGGCCCUUGGAGAUGCUUCCUUCUGGCCUAGCACGGUUAUGAACAUAUUUCUUUAAGACUCCCAUGAACCUCUCAAAGGGGAACAUAUUGUGUAGAAAUACAUGACCCAAAACGUUAAUCUCUUCGCAUAGGUGAACUAGGACGUGCGUCAUGAUGUUGAAGAAGGAUGGUGGGAACACCAACUCGAAACUGACAAGACAUUGCACCAAAUCAUUCUGUAACCUUGGUAUGAUUUCUGGAUCGAUUACCUUCUGAGAGAUUGCAUUGAGAAAUGCACAUAGCUUCACAAUGGCUAAUCGAAUGUUUUCCGGUAGAAGCCCCCUCAAUGCAACCGGAAGCAGUUGCGUCAUAAUCACGUGGCAGUCAUGAGACUUUAGGUUCUGCAACUUUUUCUCUGCCAUGUUUAUUAUUCCCUUUAUAUUCGACGAGAAGUCAGACGGUACCUUAAUACUGAGCAGGCAUUCAAAGAAGAUUUCCUUCUCUUCUUUGGUAAGAGCGUAGCUUGCAUGACCCUGAUGUAUGCCGUCUUCUCCGUGCAUACGUUGCUAGUCCUCCCAUGCCUCAGGUGUAUCUUUUGUCUUCCCAUACACGCCCAAGAAGCCAAGCAGGGUCACGCAAAGAUUCUUCGUCACGUGCAUCACGUCGAUUGCGGAGCGGACCUCUAGGUCUUUCCAAUAUGGCAGGUCCCAAAAUAUAGAUUUCUUCUUCCACAUGGGUGCGCGUCCGUCAACGUCCUUUGGAAUAGGUUGUCCGCCAGGACCCUUUCCAAAUAUCACCUUCAAAUCCUUGACCAUAUCAUGUACAUCAGCACCAGUACGGUGGCGAGGCUUCAUCCGGUGAUCCGCCUCACCUUUGAAAUGCUUGCCUUUCUUUCUUACGAGAUGCCUGCUCGGAAGAAAUCGACGAUGUCCCAGGUACACAUUCUUCUUACAACUAUUCAAAUAUAUAUUGUCGGUAUCAUCCAAACAGUGCAUGCAUCCGCGGUAUCCCUUGUUUGUCUGUCCUGAAAGGUUACUGAGAGCAGGCCAAUCAUUGAUGGUCACGAACAGCAACGCCUUUAGGUCAAAUUCUUCCCCCAUGUGCUCAUCCCACGCACGUACACCUGUUCCAUUCCACAGUUGUAAGAGUUCUUCAACUAAUGGCCUUAGGUACACAUCAAUGUCGUUGCCGGGUUGCUUAGGGCCUUGGAUGAGCACUGGCAUCAUAAUGAACUUCCGCUUCAUGCACAACCAAGGAGGAAGGUUAUACAAACAUAGAGUCACAGGCCAGGUGCUAUGGUUGUUGCUCUGCUCCCCAAAAGGAUUAAUGCCAUCUGAACUUAGACCAAACCAUACGCUCCUUGCGUCAUCUGCAAACUCCUUCCCAUACUUUCUUUCGAUUUUUCUCCACUGCGACCCGUCAGCGGGUACUCUCAACUUUCCGUCUUUCUUACGGUCUUCUCUGUGCCAUCGCAUCGCCUUGGCAUGCUCUUUGUUUUGGAACAAACGUUUCAAAGUGGUAUUAUAGGAGAAUACCACAUCACCUUGGCAGGAAUCUUCUUCCUGGGGCGCUCGCCCUCGACAUCACCAUGCUCAUCGCGGCUGAUCUUAUAGCGCAAUGCACCACAUACCGGGCAAGCGUUCAAAUCCUCGUACUCACCGCGGUAGAGGAUGCAAUCAUUAGGGCAUGCAUGUAUCUUCUGCACCUCUAACCCUAAAGGGCAGACAACCUUCUUUGCUUCGUACGUACUCUCGGGCAAUUCGUUGUCCUUUGGAAGCAUAUCCUUUAUCAUUACCAGCAACUUUCCAAAUCCCUUGUCAGAUACACCAUUCUCUGCCUUCCAUUGCAGCAAUUCCAGUGUGGUGCCCAGCUUUUUCUUGUCACCUACGCAAUUCGGGUACAACAAUUUUUUGUGAUCCUCUAACAUGCGCUGCAACUUCUUCUUCUCCAAAUCACUUGUGCAGUUUCUCUUUGCAUCGGCAAUGGCACGACCUAGAUCAUCAACGGGCUCAUCUGAUGCCUCUUCUUCAGCUUCUUCCCGCAUUGCCGGCUCAGCUUCUUCCCGCAUUACCGGCUCAGCUUCUUCCCCCAUUGUUGUAUCAUCGUAUUCAGGGAACCCAUGGCCAGGAUAGCUGUCGUCGUCCUCUUCUUCUUCAUUGUCUUCCAUCAUAACCCCUCUUUCUCCGUGCUUGGUCCAAACAUUAUAGUGGGGCAUGAAACCGGACUCAAACAGGUGGACGUGAAUGGUUCUUGACAUAGAGUAAUUGCGACCAUUCUUAUAGCCAGCACAUGGACAAGGCAUAAAACCAUCCGCCCACUUGUUUGCCUCAGCCGCAAGCAGAAAAGUAUGCACGCCCUCAACGAAUUGGGGAGAGCAUCGGUCAUCGUACAUCCAUUGCCGGCUCAUCUUCAUUACACAACACCGAAUAGACCAAAUUAAUACAAGUUCAUACAUAAAGUUCAUACAACACUUAAAUGCAACAAACAAAUAACUCUCUAGCUAAAGCAUUUAAAUGCAACAACAAAUGCGAUCAAGAUCACAACUAAGGUAACAAUUGAUCCAACAGCAUAAUGAUACCAAGCCUCACUAUUGAUGGCAUAUUUUCUAAUCUUUCUAAUCUUCAAGCGCAUUUUCUCCAUCUUGAUCUUGUGAUCAUCGACGACAUCAGCAACAUGCAACUCCAAUUCCAUCUUCUCCCCCUCAAUUCUUUUCAAUUUUUCUUUCAAGUACUCGUUUUCUCUUUCAACUAAAUUUAACCUCUCGACAAUAGGGUCGGUUAGAAUUUCCGGUUCACAUACCUCCUAGAUAAAAAUAUCUAUGUCAACUUGAUGGGCAUAAUUUGUCAUAAAAACGAAAUGCAACAAAUAGUUUUAAAAGAGAAUAUACCACAUCCGAAUCAUAACAAGGACGAGGGCCGACGGGGACGGAUAUCAAAACCAUGGCACUAUGUAUAACAAACAACGUACGGGUAAGAUAAUUAUUAUACGAGUAACUAUAUAUCCAAAUCACACAAACAUCAAUUUUUUAUAUACAAUUUUAUGAACAAGAGGCUCACCACAAGGUGGUGCCGGCGACGGGACGGUGCGGGCGAUCGACGGUGGUUACGACGGAGAUUUAGAAGGCACUAAGUAAACCACACCUACAUAUGCAAACUAAGUGUUAUUUUGACCUCAAAUUGCAUAUAAAUCAAAUACUACCACAUAUAAUUCCUCCCAAAUUACUAAAACCCACAAUUAAUCACUAUAUAAACCAAUGCAUGAGCUAAUCUAGCAAUGAGAGAUGAAAGGACAAAGUUGCUAACCUUGGUGAUCAUUUGAAUGGAUGAGGGCCUGCAAAUCUUGACAAAUUUGGGGCAAAUUUUGUGAUGAACUCGAGAGGAAGAAGGGAAGGACAGAGGAGAGGGAGAGGGGAAAGGGGGAAGAACAGAGUGCGGGUGGACGAAGGGUUUAUAUAGGACGACCUUUAGUACCGGUUCGUGCCACGAACCGGUACUAAAGGUGCUGGAAGGGCCCCACUCUGACAACAUCCUGCCACCACUCUCAUUAGUACCGGUUCGUGGUACGAACCGGUGCUAAAGGUUUGCCAUGAACCGGUACUAAAGAGCUCCUCCCGGCUAGCCGUUGGAACCGGCACUAAUGGACACAUUAGUGCCGGUUCUGUUACAAACCGGGACUAAUGUGUCUCACAUUUGACCCUUUUUCUACUAGUGGACGUGGCUAAAUGGGGGUUGAUCCAACUAUUGUGACACAUAUUCGGAUAGGAGUAUGUGCGUUACUUUGGUCUAUAUGGAACUGCAUAAAUGAUAUGGUUUUUAACACACAAACCCGGAUUAAUUUUUUGUAGAUUAUCUACAGGGCCAUUAUUUGGAUCCGUACAUGGUCGUUACUCACUCCUCCGGAAGCCAGGGAGCCUUUGGUUACUGGGUCUACCCGAUGGGAGAUGGUAGCUCAGGAUAUCUACAACCAGUUUGAAUGGCGGUCCAAUAAUAGGUUAAGUGUUUAGUGACCUCGUUUUAUUUUCGCCGAUUGUGGCAUUUUACAAUUUCUUUUUUGCUUUCAUUUCAGCUCUGACAGAGCGUGUCACGCUGAUGCAGAGGCCGGGGGUUAUCCUCCUUUUCCAAAAUGAAAAUGUCACAAAGCUAGAUUCAUAUAUGAAUAGUAUGUGGACCUGCUUAUGCUCGAAACAAAUAUAGCUUGAUGGACCCAACAAAACUAGCUAUUCCGCUUGCAUCAACGUUUUGUCUCAAAAAAAAUCAUCGUUUUGGCCUUUAUUCAGCUUCUUCUUCAAGACAUGGAAGAAUAUCGCAAUGCAAAAGGUGAAGAUGGAGAUGACGAAUUUAUAGGUCUUUGAUAGUAUUUUAGGUUUAUCAGGAAUGUUUGAUGUUUUUGUUUUUUCUUGUUUCUUUCAGAUCAUUCAUUUUGGUUAGACAAAUUAAAGUCCAAACAUUUUCUAGACAAUAAUGUGAAAGAUGAUGAAAAAUCAAAAGGUAAAAUUAUGUGUCUCUCUUUGAAAAAGUUAACGAUGGACUCAACACUUUGGCAUCAAAACCAAAGAAAGUAAGUAUACAUUCCAAUUUUACAUGAAAACACAAAUGCCCCAGGCGAUCAGGCCGCCCGGGUUUGUGGCGUCGGAUCUCUUCAUCAACUGUAGCAUUGUCAGAUGGCUUCUGUGACUCGGUAAUUGUUUUAAUCCCAAAAGUGAACUCUCCUGAUGUGCUAUCUAAUUUCUGGCCUAUAAGUUUGUGCAAUGUUAUUUACAAAGUUGCUUCAAAAGUUACAGCUAAUCACUUAAAACCUUUUUUGCCGGAAAUAAUUUCUAAACAACAGAGCGCCUUUGUGUCAGGGAGACUAAUUACUGAUAAUAUCCUCAUUGCUUAUGAAUGUCUCCAUACAAUUAGAAAGCAAAAGGUAAAACACCCUUUCUUUGCUCUCAAAAUUGAUAUGACAAAGGCAUAUGAUAGAGUAGAGUGGAAAUAGCUCAAGGGUGUGUUGCUGAAACUGGGCUUUAAUGCUAGAUGGGUGGAGAUGGUAAUGCGAUGCAUAACUUCUGUGAAACAUACAGUCAAAGUCAAUGGUGAUUUUACCGAACCUUUUAAACCUACUAGAGGUAUUAGGCAAGGGGAUCCAAUUAGCCCCUACCUAUUUUUGCUAUGUGCUGAAGGCUUAUCUUGUUUGUUGCAGCAAAAGGAAGCGUCAGGGGACUUGAAAGGAAUUUGCAAUGGUAGGUUUGGUCCUCCUAUCUCCCAUCUCCUUUUUGUUGAUGAUACUGUGUUCUUUAUUAAGGGAGAUGACAAGAGUGUCGAGGCCCUAAAAUCAGCACUACACACGUAUUGCAAUGGGUCUGGACAGAAAAUCAAUUUUCAGAAAUCGUCUAUAUUUUUUGGUACACAUUGUGACGAACAGGUAAAGGAAAGAGUGAAAAGGAAAAUUGGAGUACAAGAUGGCACAUUACAAGCUACUUAUCUUGGCAUGCCGACCUGGGUGGGACGUUCACCAACUAAUUGUUUCAAUUUUCUCACUGGUCGGAUAUGGAAAAGACUUAAUGGCUGGAGUGAUAGGCCAUUAUCAAGGGCUGGGAAAGAAAUUCUGUUAAAAUCGGUUGCACAAGCAAUUCCAACAUAUGUAAUGAGUUGUUUUCCGCUUCCCAUUAGCGUUUGCGAAAAGAUAAGAAGAUCAAUUGCAAACUUCUGGUAGGGUGUAGAAGAUGGCAGAAGGAAACUACAUUGGAGAUCAUGGAAAUGGUUAUCCUCACCAAAGUUCCUAGGAGGCAUGGGAUUUAGGGACAUCUCAAUUUUCAAUCAAGCCAUGUUGGGUAAACAAUGUUGGCGUCUUUUAACCGAGCCCAACUCUUCAUGUGAGUGUUAAAGGGUAGGUAUUAUCCUGAUGGGGAUUUCUGGACUGCGAAGUGCCCGAGGUCUUCAUCUUACACAUGGCGUAGUCUGAUGUAUGGGAAGUGAUUGAUACAAAAAGGCAUGUAGUGGAGAGUUGGAGAUGGUAAACAAAUACAUAUAUACAGGGACAAUUGGAUUCCAGAUGUGAUUCCCGGAACUCCGCAACCAACGAGUGAAAACCAAUUAGUGAGUUCCUUGAUUACCGAGGGGGGUCAACAAUGGAAUGAGGCAGCCAUCAAAAAUAGAUUCACAGAAGACACGGUGGAGAAAAUUCUGAGCAUUCUUUUAAGUACAGAAGGUUGUACAGACUUUGCCUCAUGGCCCCACACAAAGAAUGGCGUCUAUACUGUGAGAUCAACCUAUAAUCUAGCUACAAUGAUGAUUUCUGGGGAAAGCAGAGUGUAGAUGGCAAAGGUUCAACUUCUGAACAGAAGCCAUUGGAGAAAAUGUGGAAGAAACUGUGGGCAAUUCAGUGUCCUAAUAAAAUGAAAGUAGUAUUAUGGAGGCUGGCACAUGAUUGUCUCCCUACAGGCUAUCAACUUCAAGUAAGAUACAUACCUACAAGCUAUAAUUGUUACUUUUGCAAUAGGGAGGAAACUGUUGAACACUGUUUUCUGAAUUGUCACUAUGUUAAAGAAAUCUGGAAAGAACUUAAAAAGGAUUAUGGAAUUUGCCUGAACCUGAAAAGCUUUACCCAUAUUAGGCAAUGGAUAUUAACAUGGCUAUUUAAUGCUACUGAUUUUCAUGCCAUUGUUUUUGCCGUGGCAAUUUGGCAUAUUUGGGAGAAUAGAAAUGCUCAUCGUAAUGAUGAGGCUUUAAUUCACCCACUUCGUGUUGUGGGAAAUAUCAAAGCCUAUAUUGAGUUCAUCAAUUUGCAUCUUUUCAGUUCGACCAAUUUCAAUAGGCGUGAGGCCUUGAAGUCUAGCCAAAAUUGGUCUCCGCCGCCGGAAGGGUCGAUGCUUAUCAACGUGGAUGCAGCAAUCUUUCCUCAGUCUACAAGAGCUGGAUUUGGCGUGGUCAUUCGCGACCAUUGGGGGAUGGUGCAAGCGGCAAGCAGAGGCUACUUUGCUCGAAUCCAAAAUCCUGAAGUUGCAGAAGCCAUGGCACUUCGUCAAGCUUUAUUUCUUGUUGGGGAGAGAGGUAUGCAGAGAAUAAUGGUGGCUUCUGACUGUUUGUCGCUGAUCAACAAAAUCAAAGAACCAAAUUUGGAUAGAUCCCCUGCAGGAGCAAUAGUCCACGAUAUCAAGAACUGGGCUACAAAGUUUAGGUCUUAUAGCUUUAUCCAUGUUUAUCGAUCAUGUAAUUUGGCAGCUCACACUCUUGCCAGGUCGGCAGAGUAUGAUGUUAGAUCAUGUUGGUUUAAUGAGACUCCUAAUGUUAUCAGGACCAUUAUCUAUAAUGAACAAGCUUAUGUAUAAAUAAAAGGCUGCUGCCAAUUACCUUAAAAAAAACUGUAGCAUUGUCGGUACUAUUUGGCACUGUAGCGUGUGAUCGGCCUGGGGCUUGCCCGGGGCCUCACUUGAUCAUGCCUACGCCAUUGGUCAUACCUCUUGUCGUGUUUAGAAAAUAGAGAAAAAUACCUUGUUGAUUUGUAGAUGGAUGAUGUACUGGAUGGACUAGAUGGAUUCUCCUUGUAGCCUGGCGGCUGGCGGAAUGACGCUGCGAUUACCGAUGACAACGGAGGCUGCAGGAGGCCCGCAGUGGCGCAGCCCCGCAUGGAUCACAACCAGAGGGGAGGGAGAGGGCCAGAGGAGCAGAGGCCUCGCCAUCGCCCGGCGGACCUCGCUUGUCGGUGCCUAUGUUUUGAUUUGGUGCCUAUGUUGAAUAUGUUUUUUUUCGGGGGUAAAGAGAUUUUAUUCUAUUAUGAUAGGGUUACAAUUACGAGACAGCUGCUCCUCACAACAUGAAGGACACAAGUUCAGCNNNNNNNNNNNNNNNNNNNNNNNNNNNNNNNNNNNNNNNNNNNNNNNNNNNNNNNNNNNNNNNNNNNNNNNNNNNNNNNNNNNNNNNNNNNNNNNNNNNNNNNNNNNNNNNNNNNNNNNNNNNNNNNNNNNNNNNNNNNNNNNNNNNNNNNNNNNNNNNNNNNNNNNNNNNNNNNNNNNNNNNNNNNNNNNNNNNNNNNNNNNNNNNNNNNNNNNNNNNNNNNNNNNNNNNNNNNNNNNNNNNNNNNNNNNNNNNNNNNNNNNNNNNNNNNNNNNNNNNNNNNNNNNNNNNNNNNNNNNNNNNNNNNNNNNNNNNNNNNNNNNNNNNNNNNNNNNNNNNNNNNNNNNNNNNNNNNNNNNNNNNNNNNNNNNNNNNNNNNNNNNNNAGGAGCUAGGAGGGGGGGGGGGAGGGGGGGGAGGAUUUAAAUGUGUCAUACCCCCUCCGUGAGCGUUUUUUACUCUAGUAGCUAAUUACGGUCAGCCAGAUAUACUUCGAGAUCUUCGGGGGUCUUCUUGUGCGCCAAGUUGGUAUCGCCCUUCUAGACUGGGCCGCAAAAAUUCUAAAAUUCUUUUAAGGAUUUAAAUGACACUAGCAUUGUCCCCCAAAAAAACUAUGCAGCAGCAAAUUUAUCAUUUUGCGAAUCAACCUGUGGUUGAGUUGGUUAGGUGGACAGUGGUAUCCCCAAUCCACCAGGGUUCAAAUCCUGGUGCUCGCAUUAUUCCUGAAUUUAUUAGGGAUGAGUGUAUGCGCGUGUAUAUGAGCGCUUGUGUCUGUACUGAUGCUAAAAAAAAGCAGCAAAUUUAUCAUUUUAUUUCAUAAAUUAUAUUUUUUUCAUGGUAAUAAUUGUCUUAUUUAUAUCAAAAGGAUCCUAGUACAGCCCACAUACACAACGACCUGACAAAACUGAAUAAAUAACAGAACAUUAGCAUUUGCAUAAAGUAACAAGGUCAAGAAGUAAAAUUACAAACAAGACCGAAGAAAUCUCUGAACUUGACACCAACGUCCAUCAUCUGCCUCUGGCACCACCGUAGCAGCCACCAAAAGAAAAAAAUGAUGGAUCACCUUCAUAAAUUUGAGAAUACACAUCAUACCCUACUACUAAGCGUACAGAGUAUACAAGCGUACAAUGUAUACAAAGUACACAUCGUGUCCCUACGCUGGGAAUGCAAGCUGCAUGAUCACCUCCCUCGUCCUGUGAAAAUCCUCGUCCUGCUCCCGAUGUUCCUGGCACACCGACGACGCCUCCCGCUUGUCGAGCACCAUGCCUCGUCGCCGCUUCACCUGUAGCCAGUUGUCACCCGCCGACUUCGGACCGACGCCGGCGAUGCGUUCCUCGUGGAGGCCAAUGUUGAAGAACAGCCGAGACUCGCUGUUGUGGGACGGCACGUCGACAAAGCGGUUCAUGUCGAACACCUCCUCGGCGCCGCCUUGCUCCGUGUCUUAGGCGUACACCUUGUGCCGGCUCGUCGCCAGCAGGACCUUCUUCUUCACGCUGCACAGCGGGACGAUCUCCCGCUCCCCGUUGAGCUCGUCCCGGAUCGGCCGGGGCAGGCUGCCCACGUCGACGCGGCAGCGCGCCGACCACGAUGGCGACGACGGACUCCAGGUGACGAGCAGGAGCGCGUCGUCGAUGAGGUUGUCGUGGACGACGGCGCAGAGGGAGCCGUCGAGGUUCGUGAGGUGCCGGAUGCGUGACGCCAGCCGCGGCGGCGUGCGCACCCACCCGAACCGCUCGGCGCCGACGGAGAGCGACAGGAUGGGCGCGUCCUGCUGCGGGUCCCUGGCGCUGCCGUCGUCGGCGAGGCUCCGCCGGUGUAGCAGCCAGUAGAGGGACCCGUCGAGGGCCACGGGAGGCCUGCCGUCGACGUGGCACGCGAAGCCGGGCGGCGCGUUGCCGCCGGCGCAGGGCCGCCACCGCCCCACGCCUAGUGGCGUCAGGGGGCACACCUCGCACUUCUGCUGCCCGAAGAUGUUCCUGAAGAGCCUGACCACCUUGUGCUCGCCGGUGGCCGGGUCGAAGCCGAGGCCGGUGCCGGAGAGCUCCAGCGGAAACCGUUUGAUCUGCAUCAGCUUUGGAACCGCCGGCGUUAUCUCCUCCGCCGGCUCGCACGGCGGCAGGGACACAUGCUCACCGGUGGAGAGGUUGAAGACGUGGUACUCCGACAGCCGGACGUCGAAGAAGAGCGUGAGGCCGCGGCACGGCCUAUUCCCGGACAGCACGAGGUGCUCCCCGGCCAGGUCGCCCGCGGUGAGCAGCUCGCGAGCCGCGACGGCGGGAGGCGCGCCCGCGUCCACCGGGAUCGGGCACGCGUAGAAGGACGUCGCGACGCCCCGCGCGGUCGGCGAGAAGAAGACGAUCUCAGGGUGCGUGCGCGGCGACGAAGUGGUCGGAGGUGAGCGCCGCGCUCCACGCCCGGCAGACGGCCCGGAAGCGCACGGCGGCGUCCACCGGCAGGCGCGUGAGGAUCUCGUCGACAAGCAGCUCUUCGCUUAGCGGUGGCUCGCCGUGCGACGACCUGAUCCUGCUGGAAUUCGCCGCGGAGAUUGCCAUCGUUCGCACGGCCGGAUCGAUUGAUCUGGACUUACGACUUCGAUCAAUGGAUGCACACGUAGCUCGUCGUUCGCACGUGUGUAUAUAUAGAGAGAGCGUCCCAAUUGGUUGUGACCGUAUCCGAUCAUGUGUCCGGAAUGAUUCGGAAGACAAGUUCCAGCCAACUCGCCCUUUUUUCACAAAGAGAAACAAAGCUGGUGAGGUAUGUGAUGGCAUUUGGGGACAAAUGCCGGAGUUGUGCCCGAAAAUAUCGAAGGACCAUGAUAAGUGUCAUAGUGUGACACGAAUGCAUGACAACUCCAAAUGUUUUUGUGACAAAUUUAGUGAUGCGAGGGUGAAGUUUAGUUUUUUUAGAUCACCAUGAUGGCAUUUUAUUAAACAUUCGGCGAUACAACUUCUGAUUGCACUUGGGCAAUCAAGAAAGCAGGGAUUACAUCAUAAAUAGCGUUCGCAAACGCCAAGUUCAGUGCUUCUUCUGCACAAAGAUGAGCUGCAAAAUUUGCACUUCUAGGAAUAAAAACAAGCGAAAAUCCCUGAAAAUUUGAGAGAUAUGAUUUCAUCUCUCGAAAUAUAUGGGUUGCACCCAAUUGGUCUUCCACCACCCCCCAGGCCGUUGCCACCAUCUGGCUAUCAGAACACCCGAAUUUAAGGUUGAACUUGAACUUUCCACAAAGCCUUCCAAGUUGCCUCACCCCCAUCUCACGAGGAUACAUCACACUGAAUACGAAAGGGAGAAUAUCAUACGGAAACCAACAUUCAGUGAAAACCGGUGAAAACCACGAGACAAAGAUGUUUUGAAGUUUCGAAAAAAACUGAAAAAAUACGGGAUGUUAAGAGGAUGAUGUUUUAUUGCCACACAAAAUUUCAAGUUGAAACACAUUACGAGAUGUGAGCUAUGAAAAGACAAAAUCAACGUUCAAUAGUCUUUUCAGUUUUGUGCGUGGCGACUUUCUUUUCGGAUGGCAACUUACAGUUUUUUUCAGUUUGUUUUUCUUUUCGGAUGGCAACUUUAGUUGUAAAAAAUGUAGGAUCGGAUUGCUUCGUGCCACACGUGUGACACUUAUCAUUUGAAAAUAUCUAAGGAAAGAUCUGAAAAACAGAUGCGAUGGCAGCGAAAAUCCCGUGUCGAUAUAGGAAACGAAAAGUAGCCGUUCAUCUUGGUUUGAAACUGGCUCGAGCUCGUCGACAGCAUGUAGCCUCUGUCCUUUCUCCAGUACGAGCCCAUCGGCGACAAGCCGAAGCACCUCCUCCUCCGUCCUGCUUACUUGGGCAGUCAAGAAAGCAGGGAUUACAUCAUAAAUAGCGUUCGCAGACGCCAAGUUCAGUGCUUCCUUUGCACAAAGAUGAGCUGCAAAAUUCGCACUUCUAGGAAUAAAAACAAGCGAAAAUCCCUGAAAAUUUGAGAGAUAUGAUUUCAUCUCUCGAAAUAUAUGGGUUGCACCCAAUUGGUCUUCCACCACCCCCCAGGCCGUUGCCACCAUCUGGCUAUCAGAACACCCGAAUUUAAGGUUGAACUUGAACUUUCCACAAAGCCUUCCAAGUUGCCUCACCCCCAUCUCACGAGGAUACAUCACACUGAAUACGAAAGGGAGAAUAUCAUACGGAAACCAACAUUCAGUGAAAACCGGUGAAAACCACGAGACAAAGAUGUUUUGAAGUUUCGAAAAAAACUGAAAAAAUACGGGAUGUUAAGAGGAUGAUGUUUUAUUGCCACACAAAAUUUCAAGUUGAAACACAUUACGAGAUGUGAGCUAUGAAAAGACAAAAUCAGCGUUCAAUAGUCUUUUCAGUUUUGUGCGUGGCGACUUUCUUUUCGGAUGGCAACUUACAGUUUUUUUUCAGUUUGUUUUUCUUUUCGGAUGGCAACUUUAGUUGUAAAAAAUGUAGGAUCGGAUUGCUUCGUGCCACACGUGUGACACUUAUCAUUUGAAAAUAUCUAAGGAAAGAUCUGAAAAACAGAUGCGAUGGCAGCGAAAAUCCCGUGUCGAUAUAGGAAACGAAAAGUAGCCGUUCAUCUUGGUUUGAAACUGGCUCGAGCUCGUCGACAGCAUGUAGCCUCUGUCCUUUCUCCAGUACGAGCCCAUCGGCGACAAGCCGAAGCACCUCCUCCUCCGUCCUGCUUACUUGGGCAGUCAAGAAAGCAGGGAUUACAUCAUAAAUAGCGUUCGCAGACGCCAAGUUCAGUGCUUCCUUUGCACAAAGAUGAGCUGCAAAAUUCGCACUUCUAGGAAUAAAAACAAGCGAAAAUCCCUGAAAAUUUGAGAGAUAUGAUUUCAUCUCUCGAAAUAUAUGGGUUGCACCCAAUUGGUCUUCCACCAUCCCCCAGGCCGUUGCCACCAUCUGGCUAUCAGAACACCCGAAUUUAAGGUUGAACUUGAACUUUCCACAAAGCCUUCCAAGUUGCCUCACCCCCAUCUCACGAGGAUACAUCACACUGAAUACGAAAGGGAGAAUAUCAUACGGAAACCAACAUUCAGUGAAAACCGGUGAAAACCACGAGACAAAGAUGUUUUGAAGUUUCGAAAAAAACUGAAAAAAUACGGGAUGUUAAGAGGAUGAUGUUUUAUUGCCACACAAAAUUUCAAGUUGAAACACAUUACGAGAUGUGAGCUAUGAAAAGACAAAAUCAGUGUUCAAUAGUCUUUUCAGUUUUGUGCGUGGCGACUUUCUUUUCGGAUGGCAACUUACAGUUUUUUUUCAGUUUGUUUUUCUUUUCGGAUGGCAACUUUAGUUGUAAAAAAUGUAGGAUCGGAUUGCUUCGUGCCACACGUGUGACACUUAUCAUUUGAAAAUAUCUAAGGAAAGAUCUGAAAAACAGAUGCGAUGGCAGCGAAAAUCCCGUGUCGAUAUAGGAGACGAAAAGUAGCCGUUCAUCUUGGUUUGAAACUGGCUCGAGCUCGUCGACAGCAUGUAGCCUCUGUCCUUUCUCCAGUACGAGCCCAUCGGCGACAAGCCGAAGCACCUCCUCCUCCGUCCUGCUUACUUGGGCAGUCAAGAAAGCAGGGAUUACAUCAUAAAUAGCGUUCGCAGACGCCAAGUUCAGUGCUUCCUUUGCACAAAGAUGAGCUGCAAAAUUCGCACUUCUAGGAAUAAAAACAAGCGAAAAUCCCUGAAAAUUUGAGAGAUAUGAUUUCAUCUCUCGAAAUAUAUGGGUUGCACCCAAUUGGUCUUCCACCANNNNNNNNNNNNNNNNNNNNNNNNNNNNNNNNNNNNNNNNNNNNNNNNNNNNNNNNNNNNNNNNNNNNNNNNNNNNNNNNNNNNNNNNNNNNNNNNNNNNNNNNNNNNNNNNNNNNNNNNNNNNNNNNNNNNNNNNNNNNNNNNNNNNNNNNNNNNNNNNNNNNNNNAAGGCCGUUGCCACCAUCUGGCUAUCAGAACACCCGAAUUUAAGGUUGAACUUGAAGUUUCCACAAAACCUUCCAGGUUGCCUCAUCCCCAUCUGACGAGGAUACAUCCCACCGAAUAUGAAAUUUCUUUUCAAUUUUGUGCGUGGCAACUUUUUUUUCAGAUGGCGACUUACAGUUUUUUUUCAGUUUGUUUUUCUUUUCGGAUGGCAACUUUGUCAGGGUCGGAUUGCUUCGUGCCACACAUGUGACACUUAUCAUUUGAAAAUAUCUAAGUAAAGAUCUAAAAAAACGGACGCGGUGGCAGCAAAAAUCCCAUGUUGAUAUAGGAAAUGAAGAGUAGUCAUUCGUCUUGGUUUGAAACUGGCUCGAGCUCGUCGAUGGCAGGCAACCUCCAUCCUUUCUCCAGUACGAGCCCAUCGGCGACAAGCCUAAGCACCUCCUCCUCCGUCACCCUCGACGGCAGCCAAUCCCCUUGGAUCUAGCCGGGCGGCGGCACAAAGGAAGAGGACGACCCCUUCUUUGUCGUUCCCUUCUUUCUCUUUCUUCUCGAGCUCGUGCGUCUUGUCUCCGGCCAUGACAACGGCAGCAGCCGCUGGAGGAAGAGAUGGAGGUGGCGGCGAGUCUUUGGGGAAAUGGCGGAGUGGGAAGACGAUUUGUGGUUUGCCCCUUUUUCCUCCUAUAUUUAUAUAACAAAGAAGCCAUUGAAGGUGUGUAAUCGUAGCCACACGUCGGCUAAAUCGAUGGCGCUCACGUUCUUCACAUCAAGGCGGUUUUUGGGCAAGUGGUGUUAGAUUGUCGCUUUGCAAUAAUACACAAAACGCCGUGUGCUCAGUUGGCUAUCACGUGGUAGUUAUCACCCGCAGGUCUCCGGUUCGGAUCUCCCUCUCCCCUACAUUACUCAUUUGGUGCUCUCCAGCGGAUCUGCUUGGACCUUCUUCUAGGACCCAAAGCAUUAGAUCCAUAAGUUUGGAAUUAGCAUUCCCCUGGCAUAAUGAAUGGCAUCUGUCUGAUAGAAAGAAUCCAUACGUCAGUUUCGCCACUUGGAUUUUAUGAUACAUCCACUAUUCAGAUCACUAGUGAAGCUCUUCCAGGAGAUGAUUCAGUAUCACCAAACUUUUCGUAUUAUAACUCACACCAAAAACUUAAACGUUAAAAUUGGCUCUGAGUAUUCAUCAAAAUCUUACUUCGAGCAAAUUCACAAGAUGUCCCACGUUGACAAACUACUAUGGAUAAAACCACUAUGUUGCCAACAUCAAAGAUGAUAUCCCUAGCACCACCACUCUCUCUAUAAUCUUCCACAACACCACCUACCAUCCAGAUUGAUCGUAAGAUCGGCAGAGCAUUAUUCAUCGGUUGGGCCUCGAGGAUAAACUAAUUGUUGACACCUCAAACACUAUGAAAUUUCCUAUUAAUUUACGCAAGCUCAAGAAUCAUAUUCGACAAACCGAUAUUAGGAAUUGGUAGGUAGAAUAUAUGUUAGGCACGUCAUUGUAGAACCCUCUAUUAAGAUAUUUAUAGAUACUAAAAUAGAUAUGAAAACCUUUAGCUACACUAUAAUCAAACGAAGUAGGACAAAUUAUUCCAUAGAUGGAUGUGAUAUUCUCGUGUUUUAUGUUUACUUUAAAUAUAAAGUAAAUUUAGCUCAUCAUAAUUUCUCAAACUAAAACCUGAAGAAAGAAAUAACACAUUGUUUUUGCACUAAAGAGAGGUCUACCUUCACAUUGUUGUAUUUGUAAUGAUAGAAGUUUAGGUUGUUUAGCAUAAAAUUUGGGGAUUUGUAGUACGAAAAAAGUUAAUAAUUUAGUGAUAAUUAAUGACAAUGAAAAGGUAAACAUGUUUAGUAUAAAUAAGAGCAUGGAGCGCAUUGUCAUGGAGGCCUACAGAUGUCCAGAACCUUUGACGUGUGAACAUGCAAGCAGAAGAUUUGAUGACACUGGGAGAGCGCCGGCGGGGAUUGGUAGAUGGCACUAGAAGAGAGUCAGUCAUCGAGGGAAAACUCAUAGCAAGCCCCGAUCCACAACACAACAUUACCUAUGAAAUGGAAUAGCAAGAAGAAUGUGGCAGAUCAAAGAUCAAAGAGUUUGAGGGUACAAUUUACACGUCACUAAGUACAUGUAGUUGAGUCGAUGUACGAUAGCAGUCUGUGUCAGAAUAACAAUGCCGCCACUGGUGUGAAGUAUCAAUGUCAGAGAGGCCUAGGCACCGUUGAAGGGUCAUUUGCUCCUCUAUCGCUGGAAAGGGUGAGGAACGUCAGAGCAGUAACCUGUGUGGCAUUGAUGAACUAUAAGAGGACUCCCGUGUUAGUAUUUCAAUUAUGUCGCAAUGCACAGAAACUAAGAAAGCGUGAUCGAUAGUUUUCUCACUAGCGAAUACAAAUGAAUAUAAAUAGAGCGGGUGGGCGUGGAGAAUGUGUCAGCACUAAGGCGGCGAUGCGAGACGAUGAUCAUCAUUGUCUGGCCAGGCCAAGCAUGUAUUCUUGGAGUCCGACGACUCAAAGCCAAUGGAAUUACCGAAUCAGAGCUUUUUGCCGGUUGACAUUUUGUGCAAGACUGAACAUAAGCGAUAACAUGAUGAAGAAAACAAUGGAAGAACAAAUCCACCAGCUCCUAUGGUCGAUGUCGAUGCCUAACAUUGAAACUAUCGGCCACAUUCUCAUGCAUUAUCAUGACCCGUCUUCUGUUCAGUAUCUGAUGUCUUAUCUUGCACAAUACUUUUGGAGGCAUUUGAACUUGCCUUCUCUUUGCAAAUCCUUCGGUAUCCCUGCUUUUUGAUUCUGCUUAGACAGCGCAUCCAGGUGAAGUGUCCUGACAUGUUAUUUCUGCCACUUGUGUUGUCCAGUUAUUGGAAGCUCGAAACAAGUACAUUUUUUUAACAAUAUCUACACUGAUCUUGCUAAAACACUCACAUGUUGUGGUGCCACCGGACAAGCAAGCAUAAUUACUGAUGUUUUUCAAUACUGAAUAUGUAGUCACAUAAUGUACGUCACUCAUCGGAAUUCUGUAACACCACAAUCUUGAGCACGAAAAUAAAAUGGCAGAUUGUUGCAGUAGAACCCCUUCUAUAUGUUGGCAUAGAACAUUUGAUGUCGGAACUCGAGGCUUGCACUGGGCAAUAGCAAGGUUCAGUGACCAAAGAUUCAAUACUUAUGCCGUCGCACGAUCUUGUCUACUACCCUAAAGAAUUCACUUAUUUUUAUAUCUUGCAUAACAGCAAAUUCACUCACCUGGUCCCAUUCAAGCAUCAUAUUCCACUUUAGGGCUUACUUUGAUGCCAACAUUUGUCCAAAUGGCAGCUUUUUAAGAGGCUGAUAAGAACCAAAUAGCCAAUCAAUUGCUACCCAAUUUCCUAGACUUUCCAACAAUUGGUAUGUCAAAUAUUGGCAUCAAAUCAACUAAGCUCUACGUUCUCAGCUUAGUAGGGGCUAGAGUUAAUCUCAAAAUAAUUUUCUAGCUCUAGCUUAUUACUUUUAUAAAAUAUAAAAUUAUAAUUUAAAUCCCUCUGCUAUUAAGAUCUAAUAGAUCUUGUUAGAUAUUGGCAGGCCUUUUAAUAUUAAUCACCAUUUAUUUUUUGUUAGAUCUAAGAAAGUUUAAUAACAUUUCCAACAGUGGAAAGGAAAAAUGGAAACCAGACCUCGAUCCAGUGUUCUUUUUUACGGGUCGAUGCAGUAUAUAUUGGUUAUACGAUGCCAAGUCAUAAUAACAAAGUGCCAAGUAAAGGUAUCCGAAAUCUGAAUAUCACACUGGCAGUCUUUCGACAAGCUUAAACUACAUAUAAAGGCAACACCAACUACGCUGCUGAAUAUAUAUCGUCUAAUAGUCGUAGUCUCCUUCAGCGAACUUGUUCUCGGGGUAGAACACGGUGACCGUCUCCUUCCCGUCGAACUUCCUCCCAUGCAUCCCAAUCCUCGCCUUGGCCGAGCUCUCCAUAUCGGCAUACUCCAAAAACACCUGCAAUGCAGACCCAGAAUCAGAAUGGAUACAUUUUGGUGAGCAAAAUCGGUGAAAGAUGAUGAAUAGCACAGAAGUAAAGACUCACCUUGCCAACUCCGGCAACAGGAUCACCGCUGGGAUGGGGUCGCGGGAUCACGGCUUGCACCAGGUUACCUGUCCACGUUAAUCAGUGAGAACAUAUACACACGUGAUAAAAAGGAAGAGAAAAGAACAUAUGGUUAGUCAAAUCCAAGUGAAAAAGAUUAGCGUCUUCGGUAAGGUUAGGCCCGACUGCAAGUUUCGCAUGAGGUCGGAUUAUAAAAGACUCGGCAAUGGUACUAUGUGGCACUACAAAACAGACACACAAAAAAGAAACACACAGAAGAAAACCGGUUCAGUAGCUGAGCAAAGAGGCAAGCACAUUGAUCAAACAGAGUAUAAAAGAGUUCAGAAUAAGGGCCGCACGAUGUUUACCAUAUUUGCGUGCUUCUAGCGUCAUGUCUUCCAGUAUGUCAUUGUAUUCCUCGUCGUCUCUAAGGUCGUCUGCUGAAACCACCUGGGUCAGGCAUACCACCUUUGUCGCUAGGGCUCCGCCGACUUCGUACACGAGUCUCUGCUCAGAAAGCAAACAGAGUCAGAAAGUGGAAGGCUAUAUUCAUAAACUAAUUGUUCAUUUUAUAAGAUCGCGUCUUUUAAGAACUAUAAUAAAGUCGUACCUUCAUUUGCGCCUCUUGCUGUGCCUGCAGGAGGAUGUGGUCUUGCUCUGGCCUAGGUUCUGCUCCUUGGUUUGCUCGCCGGACUGUGAGAGUCCUGUCACCCAACUGGAUACCGUUCAGAGCAGCACAGGCAAUGUCGGUGACAGUCACAUCCUGGUACAAACAGAAGGCAUAUCCCUUCGAGUUGCCAGUUUCCUUAUCCUUCACAAUGUCAAAUCCACGAAGAGGUCCAAAAGUUUCAAGCAACUCCCGCACUUGAGCCUCUGUGAAGUAGUAGGGUAGACCACCCACAAAAAUGCGGUCAGGGCCUUCUAUACCUCCACCUGCUCCAGGUGUCAAGCCAACAGCAGUGAGAUUGAGGUUGGGGUUCGGCUGGCUCGGACCCAAUGCAGCUGCCUGGGAAGGAUUGUAGUCUGUUGGCCUCCUAACUUUCACUGCUACUCCCUCGAACAUUAUACCAUCCAAGGCCAUUGCAUUGCUUGCUUCCUCCACAGACCUCAUCUCAACAAAAGCAAAUUUCUUGUCAUGGUUUAUGUAUACAUUAACAACUGCAUGGCCUAGACCAAAUGUGUUUCCUCCGAUAGCAGCCAUAACUUGAUUGAAGAAUACAGAAACCGUCUGCAGAAAGAACAAAAUACUUAGCACGGACUAAGAACAGAGAACGAGAUGCCAAGAAAUAACUAACUAGUUACUCAAGGCAAUUACCUGUUCAUUAGCGAUUGGAGGAAGUCCACCGACAUAGACACGCCGAGCAUGACGAGUGGCCUAAGAAAAGAGUGGUCAGACAUGAUUAUGCAGCACACAACAAGAUAAAUCUCAAGCACACAGAAAAAAAACUCAAACAUACCUGUUGUGUCAUGGCUAGUGGCUGCAUAGCAAGUGGAUCGAUGCAAAGAGAAGAAAGAAUUAGUAAGUAACAGAACAUUGAACAAUAAAAAAGCGUGAUACUAGAUCAGAGGGAGUUAUCCAUGAUUUGAGUACUAGCUACAAUGAAUCUUAAAAGGAGCACAAUAGUCACCUGUCCUAGGGCAGGUACAUUGACCAAGUUUGGGAGCAUGUUCGGAAACAUCCCAGGAUUAGCAGCAGGAAGUUCAGGUAGCUGAACUGCAAAGCAUCAACAGAGAAUUGUUAAUAACAUGAAUUAUUAGAAUAGAGACAUUCAAAACAUCAGUGAUUAUCUAUUGUAAGGCAUCAUACAACAUUUUCUGUUACCACAUACCUGGGGUUGCAGUGGGAGCAAGUAUAGGAAUGGCUCCUGAUGGUCCCUGGUCAAAUCCACUCAUGCGUUUGCUGUUUCAAUACAGGAAGACAUUAGUAAGCGGUUCAGCAAAUGAAGAUUGAUGUAAGAAAACUAAAGGCGGCCAAUAAUAUACACAUAAUAAAGAAAAAUCAGGCAAGACUAGACACCUGCAUCAACUAAAUGAGGUAUUGGCGAAUAUCAUCCAUGGUACAGCAAGAAACCAAGUCAAGGUAGUUCAAAUUUGCCGAUAUCAUCCAUAGUACAUUAUGUCAACUUACCAAUAAUACAAAAAAAAAAUUAACCCAUACCAAACACAUGUCAAUUGUCUUACUCAGAGGAAACAAGCAAACUUAAUACUAUUAUUAACAGUACAAACUGCAAAAAUACAAAUAAUAAGCUUUGGAUGGCAUCCAACACAUACCUCUGACUCUCCGAACGGGAGCGGGAGCGAUGCCUUCUGUGGCCAUCUCUAUCACGGUCCCUUCUGCAUUAUCACAACAUAGAUCAGAUUUUUUUAAGAGAGUAAUCUGCAUAGGAUAUUUUCUGGUUUGCAAAAUGUGCUUAGAAAUACAGAAUUGUUUGCACGUUAAAAAAGUUAAGCAGAUAUUAUAAUUAGUUCAUGACUCUUAUCACUAUUAUAAUUACUGUUUUGCUUUGCUAAGUAAAGAUCGCCACUGCAUACAGCACCAACCAACUAGAAAACAUCGCAGCUACCAGAUGGUUACACAGCAGCAAAAUUGCCUACAUUUACCAGUCCUGUAAUUCAUGAAAUGACAUGUGGGGCUGUCCAUGUACAGUCUAAUAACUAUGUUAAUGGUGUAGAACCAUAUAGUACAGUGAAUAAUUUCUGCAGAUAAAAUUACAAAACUCAAAAAACAUCUACCCUAAAGCAAAUGUUACACCUUGCCAAUUUUUCAGAAAAUAAAAACGUCUCCCUACUAAGCACAAGGAUGAAUAGGUUUCAACAUAUUUAACCAGCAGUCAAUUAAAAGCACACAAUGCUGGAAUCAAUUAAUGCAACAAAAUGCAUAAGACAAAUCACAGAAAUCAAGAACCAGGUACCUUUCAGCGUCACGAUCACCGCUCCGGCGGUUGUCACGGUCAUCGGAACGGUCACGUUGCUCCCUUCUCUCACUCCUCUCACGGUGCUCGCGAUGGUGGCGCUCACGAUCCCUGCUCCCAUCACGGUGCUCGCGAUGGUGGCACUCACGAUCCCUGCUCCCAUCACGGUGCUCGCGAUGGUGGCGCUCACGAUCCCUGCUCCCUUCACGGUGCUCGCGAUGGUGGCGCUCACGAUCCCUNNNNNNNNNNNNNNNNNNNNNNNNNNNNNNNNNNNNNNNNNNNNNNNNNNNNNNNNNNNNNNNNNNNNNNNNNNNNNNNNNNNNNNNNNNNNNNNNNNNNNNNNNNNNNNNNNNNNNNNNNNNNNNNNNNNNNNNNNNNNNNNNNNNNNNNNNNNNNNNNNNNNNNNNNNNNNNGAUCCCUGCUCCCUUCACUGUGCUCGCGAUGGUGGCGUUCACGAUCCCUGAUCCCAUCACGGUGCUCGCGAUGGUGGCGCUCACGAUCCCUGCUCCCAUCACGGUGCUCGCGAUGGUGGCGCUCACGAUCCCUGCUCCCUUCACCGCGAUCACGGACAAUCUCCCUGUCCCGGUACCUCUCUCGAUCUUCCCCGCGGCGCCUGUGGCGCUCCCUGUCCUUGUGCUCAUCGCGCUCCCUGUCCUUGUCCUCAUCGCGCUCCCUGACUCGGUCUCUGGAACUCGAGGACCUCUCCUGGUGAGGCUGCGCAUCCCGCUGGAAAAGAACAUGAAUUCCUCCGUCAGAUAUAUUCAAAAAAAUACAAAUCAGGGCCUGCUAGUAUGAUAAACAUAGUACUUACGAAUUAUAACUACCAAGCCUGCUAGCCACAUCACACAUCACAAAAUAAACAAAAACUGCAUGCUCCUGAACUUGGAAUCCCAUCAUCACAACGCAAUGCAUCUAGAGCAUCGAAACUACUUACAAAACACGCCCGAAUUCAGUUUUCAAGGGCGCGGACCAGAACUGAAAACACGACCCGGCACUAAUUUGGGGGGCGAAACUAGAAUCCGCAACCGAACAUGACGCGCGCGGCAAUCUAUCUAGAAACCGAACUGGUUCGAGCCGACCCUACCCAAACCCCCUGUUCGCCGGCGAAUCCGCCAAACCCUAUGCGCGAAAAAUAAACGGACAGAUAAAGACAGCCGCGCCGAUCGAUCGAGCGGGCGAGCGGUUCUCACCUGGGGAGAGCGGGCGUCGCCGCCGCGCUUGGCAGGCGGGGACCUCGCGGCGCCGGACUCGGGGGGCGCGUCGUGCUCCGCCAUGGGGUGGGGGUGCGGCGCGUCGGUUCCGGUCGGUGCUGGUGGCGGCGGCGGCGGCGGCGGCGGCUUCGGGUCGGUUCGCGCGUGACGGGCUCUGGUCGAUUGGUUGGUUAUACUUGGUUCGGCGGGGCGAAGUAUAUAGAGGGGCGGUGGUGGCUGACGUCGGAGUCAGACACGACCAAGGUCGGUUCCGGAGGCGGUACGCUCGUUGAUUUUUGACUUGGACUCGUACCGUCGUGUGCUGUCAACCGACACCCAAUUCAAAUUCUCGGGAUUCCACUUUUGAAAUGUGGCCGCGGCAUGAAAGAAACUGGCGUGACAUUCACCUAUGCAUGUAUCAUUCGUGUUGUCUGCACCAAGCAAGCUGACAACCAAUCCUACAUCGAAACUUUGGUGGACGUCCUCUUCUUGCCCGCCGCCCUCGCCACCACAUCCACCUCCGCGCCCAUCGGUCAGCACCCUCUCAAGUGUCAGCAACCUCGCCUUUUCAAUGGUUGUACGGCGUCGGCAGAGGCGUCACGAGCAGAGAAACACGACGGACGGCAACAAGGGGAGACUUAAAAGUGGAGAAGUUAAGGAAGCCACCAAACAGCGGCGAUGGUUUCGUUGCUCACUGCGCGCGCUCUCGCUCGGAAAUGCCACGCGUCGAGGAGCAUGUUCGUCCAGUCGGGGCUCGUUGGCACCAAGCUUUCCUUGGUUACGAUGCCACAAUGCCACCAGUGCCAACCGUGCCCGCGGUCACCACACCGUAGGUCACAGUGCCGCUGAUGCCAGCCGUGCCCGCGGUCACCGCUCCCCAAGUCACAAUACCGCCCAAGCCGGCCGUGCCCGCGCUCACCGCUCCCCAAGUCACAAUACCGCCCAAGCCGGCCAUGCCCACGAUGACCGUGCCCCCAGGUCACGGUGCCACCCAUGCCCAUCGUCCCCACGGUCACUUAUGUAGUUUUGUGGGGCUGAUGCUUCCGUCGACUUGUGGGUCGGGGUUGCGGCUAGCGGCGACCUGGCCAUCCCGUCCCGCCGGAGUACUGGGGAUUGGCCAAACUUGAUCGGGACGGCGAUGUGAGGUGGAGGAGGCAGAAGCUACGAGGAAGGGGAGGACGGGAGGGGAUGCGGUGGCGGCAGGAGUACGGCGGCGCUGCGGCGCCACCUCUGUUUCUGUGUGUCCACGAGAGAGAAGGGGCUGGUGGGAUCCCGAUAGGCUGAUAGACCUAACCCACUUAAUAUUUUUUUUCUGUUCAAUGGGACCCCACUAAAGCAAUUUAACUGGGAUGGGUUUGGUAGUCCCACUAAACCCCACCUCCACCUGCAGCGUGAGUUUCACGACAUCUCUAUGGCUUCGCUUACUUGUUCAGAACGGCAUCUCGAUGCCACAAUGCCACCAACAGCUGCUCGUUUAGGAUGCGUUUGGUAGGUUUCAUCGUCUUUGCCCAGGGUAUUUAUAUUUGUAGCUGAGUUGAGCCUAGCUGGGUGAACACAGGCAAAAAAAAUCAUGUUCUACAUAUAGUAGUUUGCUAGCCUGCCUUCAACCACUACGCAGUUUGAUAUCUGACGUUUGGUUGGCAGCAGUGAUGUCAAUGCCCAAAACAUGAGUUUUGGUUAUACACGGCCUAUGUUGUGAUCUUGCUAUCGGUGACCUUACCGCACAUUACACUACAUAAGCAGUAUGAAAUGGACAUCGAUUUUUCCCUGACUAGUAAAUAAAUGAUGGUUUAUCCUAACUACUAAAAAAAUGCAAAACAAAUUAACACUGCAUAUGGCUCGUUUGGGAAAAGUUCAUCAAUGUCAAGUCAAACUAGGGGGGAGUCCAUCGUCAUCUUCUUCCUUUGUUGUUGCUUCUUAUUCUUUAGAUCCUUUGUUAUCUCUAUUUGUCCAUGUUGCCUCAGUUCGCUCCAAUCUUUUGAUCUUUCAAGUUCGUUGUCAUGUCCCCCUACAUCAUGACCGUAGCCAUCAACAUCAUCAACCAACACAUGUUCCUCCUCUACCACAAGCUCGUCACAACCUCAUUCUACGACCCAGUUAUGAAGAAUGUAACAUGCAAGAACAAGCCUAACUUGGAUAGAAAAAGGAUGGAAUGUCUUCUAAUAUAGGAUCUUAAUUUUAUUCGUCAGAGCUCCAGAUUCCCUAUCAACUACAACUCUUAAGGCUAGAGUAUCUGAGGUUGAACAAUUUUGCAGCAGCCCUAGGAUGGUUCUUAGAAGGGAACUCGUUCAAUGGUACCUGGUUUUCCCGAAAGAUGAAAGAACACCGGCUGACAUGCAUAUCCAGCAUCUCACAGGUAGAACUACCGUCAGAAGAUUGAUUCCAUCAGGUCUGGACAUACUAUCAGAAAGAAUGUUAGCAUCAUGGGUUAAUCCUUUCCAGCCAGCUAAGACAUAUGUGACCUUUAGAUCAAAGUCAACAGCUGGAAGCACAUUCUGGAUUGUGUGCUUUUUAUCCAUGUAUGAUGCAGCUUGUGACCUCGACACUCUAACAGUCACAUGAGUACCAACCAAUACAAUCAUGCGAUGGCAUGAAAACAUAUUGUUGUGACUAUAAAACAAUACAAGCAUGGCAUGGCAUGAACUACUAGUAGUGCUCACCUUGAAAUGUAGAUACAUGGCUCGAGUGAUUCUUAGUAGGAGUUUGCCCAAUUGGUGUCUUGAUCAUCUCUCCUAUGAGCUUCCCAAUAGCAUAGAAGACUUCAUUGAAAUACCUGGAAAUGGUCUCACUAGAUCUCCUAAAUGACAACAGAAGAGAUCCAGAUACCAUAUCCUCUCGCCCCGUCGCUCUGGCGAGCGGCAGAUGGCGAGCCCCCAUCCCCGGUCGGCCUGCUCCCCUACCUCCUUCCUCCUCCUCGCCGCCGCCACUAGGCGCCGCCAGGUGAAGCCUGGCCUGCGUAGGAGGCGGCGGGGCUUCCUCUCCCGCCCGCUGGUGGCGGCUCGCGCGGGCAGCUGGUCCAAGCUGGUGGCGACAGGGCAUGGCGGCGCGGAGACGGGGGGUGUGAUAUGUCUCCAACGUAUCUAUAAUUUUUGAUUAUUCCAUGUUGUUAUACUAUCAUUUUUGGAUGUUUUACAAUCAUUUUAUAUCAUUUUUUGGUACUAAUCUAUUGACAUAGUGCCCAGUGUCAGCUGCUGUUUUCUGCAUGUUUUUUACACCGCGGGAAAUCAAUACCAAACGGAGUCCAAACGCAGCGAAACUUUUUGUGGAAUUUUUUUGGGCCAGAAGACAUCCAAUGGGACAGGAACAUACCUGAGGGAAGCUCCGAGGGGAGCAAACCCCACCAUGGCAUGCCUGGGGGCCCAGGCACGCCCCGGUGGGUUGUGCCCUCCUCGUUGGGCCCCCGCACCGCCUCUUUGCUCUAUAAAUACCCCCAAUAUUCCAGAAACCCUAGGGGAGUCGACAAAAAUCAAUUCCAGCCACCGCAGAGUCCAGAAACACCAGAUCCAAUCUAGACACCAUCUCGAAGGGGUUCAUCAUGUCCAUUGGUGCCUCUCCUAUGAUGCGUGAGUAGUUCUUUGUAGACCUACGGGUCCGUAGUUAGUAGCUAGAUGGCUUCCUCUCUCUCUCUCUCUCUCUCUUGAUUAUCAAUACAAUGGUCUCUUGGAGAUUCAUAUGAUGUAAGUCUUUUGCGGUGUGUUUGUUGGGAUCCCAUGAACUUUGAGUUUAUGAUUAGAUCUAUGUUUUUAUCCAUGAAAGUUAUUUGAGUCUUCUUCGAUCUCUUAUAUGCAUGAUUGGUUAUAGCCUCGUAUUUCUUCUUUGAUAUUUGGGUUUUGUUUGGCCAACUUGAUCUAUUUGUCUUGCAAUGGGAAGAGGUGCUUUGUGAUGGGUUCGAUCUUACGGUGCUUGAUCCCAGUAACAAAAAGGGAAACGACACGUAUGUAUCGUUGCUAUUAAGGAUAACAAUAUGGGUUCUAUUCUACAUAAAUAGAUCUUGUCUACGUCAUGUCAUCGUUCUUAUUGCAUUACUUCGUUUUUCCAUGAACUUAAUACACUAGAUGCAUGCUGGAUAGCGGUCAAUGUGUGGAGUAAUAGUAGUAGAUGCAGGCAGGAGUCGGUCUACUAUUCUUGGAUGUGAUGCCUAUAUAAUGAUCAUUGCCUGGAUAUCGUCAUGAGUAUUUGAAGUUCUAUCAAUUGCCCAAUGGUAAUUGUUUUCCCACCAUUUUCUAUUUUUCUUGAGAGAAGCCACUAGUGAAACCUACGGCCCCCCGGGUCUCUUCUCAUCAUAUUUGCUUUUGUUUUCAGAUCUAUUAAACCAAAAAUACAAAAAUACCUUGCUGCAAUUUAUUUGUUCUGCGAUCUAUUUAUCCUAUCUACCAUAUUUAUCUCAUGUUAUCUUGCGGUCUUGCCUGCUUGAGGUGUCGUGCCCGAAAGGGAUUGACAACCCCUUUAACACAUCGGGUUGCGAGUAUUUGUUAUUUAUGUGCAUGUGCUGUUUACGUGGUGUUAUGAGGUUCUCCUACUGGUUCGAUAACCUUGGUCUCGUCAUUGAGAGAAAUACCUGCAUCAUCCCUUCCUCUUUGGGGAAAUACCGACGUAGUUCUAGCAGACAUCAGGGCGGAGGCGGGAGCUCGUGCGUGUUGCGUGGCUGUGGCUGCACCUGGGAGCUGUGUAGUGGGUUGCACAAGACUCCCCCCGUGGCUGCCAUGGGGGCUUGAUCUGGCUAUCGGCGCCACGGGUGGUUGAGGGCUUCCCUCUGCCGGUGAUGACUGGCCUUGGCUGGAGCUCCUCCUCCAGUGGUGGCUGCUGCCUCCGGCUGGUGUUGCCCGUGGCUCGGGGUGGUGGUCUCGGCAUGUGCAGCUCGUGGUGGUGGCGUUGGUUGUUAGCAUGGUCGUGGCACGACGAUUGGCGCUUGGCGGUGGGGUGCGGAUGGAGAUGGUGGCCUCCCUUCUCCUAGGUUCAUGCCGGCAAUGCUAAUACAUCGAGGGUGGCUAUGACCUAGGGCAUGUGCUUGCGCGGACCGGAUUUGGGCCCGAGGCAGGUCGAAGCCGGCGCUCCGGGUAGGUGAGGUCAGGCGUGGUUCGGGAUGUGCUUGUGGAAGGCGAUGGGGCGGCGCGGCUGCUUUGGCUGGCAGUGGUGUGAUCCGAGUUGUGGUGUCUUCGGCAGGCGGCGCGGAUCUGGACUGUGGUGGUGGAUGAUGUCCGAUAGUGUGCAUGUAUGGGGGUUGACUUGCUCCGCGUUGGAUGCCUUCGCGUUGUGCCCUUCUUGCUUGGUCCUGUUGUGACGUUGGUCCGAGGUUGGCUCUUCGAGCAUUGCUGUGACGUCGUACGGAUCGACCCUAGUGGCCACGGACAUGGCGGCAUUUGAGUGUGCUCGGUGGUGGCCAUCAACAGUCACUAUGUCCCCCCCCCCCGGUCCACCGGGACCGGCUGGGACACAGGCGUGGGCUUCCUACAGUGGAGGUGCCGACCCAGACCUAGUUGUUGAUGUCAGGCUGGGAGUGAAAGGAGGUCCCUUUCACUCCUACUACUGUGGGUGGGUGGUUUUGAUGUGGAUGGUCAGUUGUGCCUAGGGGCAUGGAUGUCGGGGCGGCAGGCUUCACGGUUGGCGUUUCGGCAGGCUCCAUGGUGGCGGUGGUGGCUCCAUCUCUUGGUCGUGUGGGCGACAAGGGGUAUUAUGGCGGGAGGCUCAGGCCUGCUCUUGAAGUGACCAGAUCUGGGGUGGACAAGUUGGCCAUCAUUGAUGUGGUGGCUGGGACUUCUCUUGAUGAUGUGGGUGAGUGUCUGGGUGAAAGCUUCGUGCUUCUGGCGCUGGCGAUGGCAACGCCCGUGGGCGCCGCUUGCUUCUUGAAGACGUCAUCGUGGAUCUCGUUCUUGUGCCAGGGCUUCAGGUGAAAACCUUUAUCUCUCUUGAGACUCGGCAGCGGCGACGCUUCGCGCAGUCACCCUCUUGGGGGCGUUGUCAUGGAUCUCGGGAGUCUUCAGUCGGGCCUUGGCAAUGUGUUCGACUUGUUCUAGGUUUUUGUUGUGUCUUUUGAUCUGCUUUGUAAGGGGCCCUCCCCACCAUACUGUAUCCUUCAGCCAUGUGCUUUGGUUCGUUGCUUUAUUUGUAAAGCGGCCCGAAAGCCUAUUUCGAGAAGAUCUCCUAAAUAUAUUGUGAGUAACAAUGAAUCUCUGAUUAUGACCAACAACAUGAAGGAAUAAGCAAAUUUUCUCUUCCACAUAGGUGUGUGGAUGUUAUCUUUUAGCAUCCCCUUGACCCUAAAUGUGUCAAAAAACUUGGGAAACGAUGAUCUUCGCAUUCGAAGCAUGUUUAGAGUCUCUACAUUGUUGUUGUAAAUGUAGUCCAGAUUCACCAUCCUCGCCCUACCUUGGGUUGACAUUGGACCAUAACGGAUCAUAGGCUUAUCACUCGGAUGAACCACUUUCUUUUGUACCAACAUGCCCCAAGCCUGAAUAACAACUAUGAGUGUUGCUCUCUGAACAACUAGCUUCAUUUGUUUGUCAUUACCGACUUAAUGAUGAAACUGAUGUUGCGGUAAGUACCGGUGAAAUUGACCUUGCACCCUACCUAACGACCUAACAGAGGAGGGGGUUGUAUGGUACUUAACCCCUUUGGGGCUAACGACCCGCCCAUGCCAGAGACAAGGACACCGAGGAAGAUGAGACGGACUCCAAGACGAAGGGGACAAGCGCUUGUCGCCCCUGGAGAUUGAACUCGUCGCCGCCACCGCUUCUGCAGAUUUGAGAGUCGGUGCAAAAAACGGAAGGCUAGAUUUGUCCUAGCGCUAGAGGUGUGCGAGUAAAUUACUAGAAAAAUCGCCAAUUUAUUUAUUUUGUGUGGGUUACAUACCAUUCGACUUCAAAGGCACCACCUAUUUUCUAACGAACUGCAAAUAUUUCACUGGCCCUCAAAAUAACACAAAAUUUCAAAAGAAGUUUCAUCAAAAUGUUAAGGACGCUGAUAAUGCCCACACGUGUGGUGGGAGCAACACCAACUCACACGCCCUAUAACACAUAGAUUGCGUCACGUCGAUUUCCAGUUUUUAAAAUGUUUUAUCUCUUAGAUGGAAAAUCUGAUUGAAGAUUCGUUUUCAUCAUUAAAUCCAUCGUGACGAGAUUUUCGAAACUAGAUCACAUACCAAUAUGUUUCGACGACUUUCUUUUUUGGGUUAAAAGUUGUCAUGUCUAUUGCACUUGAAUUGUCAUACUGUUUACACUGAAGUUGCCAUGAUAUGUUUCAGCUAUUUUUCUUCUACAUUUAAAAGUAAAUUUUGACAUAUUAUAAAACAGGGAAUUAAGAAACUAGACUUGCCAUGAACCAUAAACUAAAAUUGUCAUAAUACACGCACUUAGAAUUGCCAUGGUUCAUACAAAAAAUAAUUUUUAUGGUCAAAGUACUGGAAUUGCCAUGGUUAAAAUACUAAAAUUGACAUGAUCUAGAAACUAAAAUUGCCACAUAGCAACUUUAAGCCUCCUUUGGUUUGUAGGAAUUUUGUAGGAAUCCCAUAAGAUAGGAUUUGUAUAGGAAAAAUUCCUUUAGAUCCCUUUGGUUUGUAGGAAUAGAAUCCUAUUCCUACGGAGGAAUUCUUCCUAUCCUCCACAUUUCAUAGGAAAAUAAACAUUAGCCUAAACUCAAUGGAAAAAAUCCUAUGAUGUGAACCAAAGGGCAUCUUCUUUUCUAUUCCUAUUCAUAAGAUUUCAGAUACAUGUCAUCUAAUUUCCUGUGACUUUUCUAUUCCUAUGACUUUCCUAUCCUAUGAACCAAAGGAGGCCUUAGUGUAAACACUAUGGCAACUACACUGUAAACAUCAUGGCAACUUUUGGCCAGAAAAAAAUUUCGUCGAAACAUAUCAAUAUGAGAUCUAGUUUUGAAUAUCUCGUCGAGGCGGAUUUAAUUAGGAGAUAAAAUAUUUUUAAGCCGAACACCAAAAAGAUUCCUGCUGAUGUCAUCUGUCUUUGUGCGAGAUGCGGAAACGUCUUACCCUCGUUGGAGGAGACGGCUUCGUGUUUAUAGGCAGGGCGCAAUAACCCUGAUGCGCAUACAGAGAGGUUGAGAUAUUACAGGAGAUUACAAUCUUGGAGAGGAAGAGAUAGAGAUGGUUACAAUAGAUAAACAUGAAAGCUAACUAUCAGGUCUAUCUCUAAGCCGAUCGUGGAUCUCCUUGGAUAGCUGUGACAGGUGCAAUUACCUGUUUAACACCCUCCCUUAAUCACAACUUCAUCAAGUUGAUAUUAUGUUUGAAGUCUUCAAAACUUCUUGUAGGCAAAGGUUUUGUAAAUCCAUCUGCAAUUUGAUCUCUGGAAUGCACAAACCUAAUGUCAAGUUGCUUCUUGGCAACUCUUUCUCGUACAAAGUGAAAAUCUAUCUCAAUAUGCUUGGUUCUUGCAUGAAAGACAGGAUUAGCAGAUAGGUAAGUGGCACCAAGGUUAUCACACCACAAACAUGGGGCUUGGGUACUUUUGACACCAAGUUCCUUCAACAUGGAUUGUACCCAUAUAAUCUCAGCUGUAGCAUUAGCUAAUGCUUUGUACUCUACUUCUGUACUGGAUCUGGAAACAUUAGCUUGUUUCUUGCACACCAUGAAAUCAAGUUAGGACCAAAGAAUACUGCAAAGCCACCAGUUGAGCGUCUAUCAUCUAGACAUCCUGCCCAAUCAGAAUCUGAGAAAGCACUAACAAGUGUUGAUGGUGACUUGCUAAAAUUGAGACCAAGAUUGAGAGUAUUCUUGACAUAUCUAACUAUACGUUUUGCAGCAGUCCAAUGAACUAUAGUGGGUGCAUGAAGAAACUGGCAAACUUUGUUAAUAACAAACGAUAUAUCAGGUCUAGUGAGUGUCAAGUAUUGCAGUGCUCCUACUAGACUUUUGUACCUUGUGCUGUCAUCUUGAUUUAAAGGUUGUCCUUCUGUAAGAGACACUUUUUCUGAGCUUGAUAAUGGAGUAGGUGAAGGUUUACAACCUUGCAAGCCAGCUUUCUUAACCAGAUCUAUUGCAUACUUUUCCUGAGACAGAUGAAGUCCAUCAUCAUGCUUCUUCACCUCAAUUCCCAAAAAGUAAUGCAAGUUUCCAAGAUCCUUGAGUGCAAAUUCUGACCCAAGAUCCUUCAAGAGUCUUGUUAUGGCCUCAUCUGAAGAGCUUGUGACAAUAAUGUCAUCAACGUAUAUGAGAACAAAUAUAUGUGUGUUGUACUUGUUGUAAAUGAACAAUGAGGUUUCAGACUUAGAAGGAAUAAAGCCAAGAGUUUGUAUUUUGUGACUAAGACGAGAGUACCACGCCCUUGGAGCCUGCUUCAGUCCAUAUAAUGACUUGUCAAGUUUGCACACAUGAGAAGGUGCAUUCUUGUUCAAAAACCCAGGAGGUUGCUUCAUGUACACUUCCUCUUCCAGAACACCAUGGAGAAACGCGUUCUGUACAUCUAGCUGUCUUAGACUCCAGCCCCUGGAAACAUCAAUAGACAAAACCAGGCGAAUGGUGGCAGCUUUUACAACAGGACUAAAGAUGUCCUCAUAGUCUAUACCAUAACGCUGUUUGAAGCCUUUUGCAACUAGUCUUGCCUUAUAACGAUCAAUGGUUCCAUCAGAUUUUCUUUUAAUUCUGAAUACCCACUUGCAGUAAAUGAGGUUUUUACCUUGCUGUGGAGGAACCAAAUGCCAAGUCUUAUUUUUCUGUAAUGCCAUGCAUUCUUCAUCCAUGGCCUUUUUCCAUUUUUCAUCACCAAGUGCCUCUUCAAGCGUGUGUGGUUCACCAGGUUCACCUGUAGAACAAACCAACCCAUAUUUUGUUACAUGCUUGUAAUUAACAGGUUGGAUUACCCCUUUUUGUAGUCGUGUGCGGUGUUGGGACGAUGUUGCUGAAGCUUGUGCCACAGAAGAUCCCGUGACAUGCACCGAAUCUGCUGUUGCAGUUGAUCCCGAGGUGGAUUCUGCCGCAGCACCAGCCGGAUCCACCUGAGCUUGAUCUUUUGUGGCAGCCGAACGAGUUCUGCAGGGCGCAGAAGAUCCAGCCCUGCAUGCCUCAUCAUUGUCGCAUGAUGGCGCAUUAGCACGGGGUUCCGCGCCUGUCCCCACGCCUGUCCCCGCGCCUGUCGUCGUGCCUGUGGAGCGGGCCGCCUCGCGCCGCUUGUAGCAAAGCGGCUGGACCGGGAACCGCGUCCUAGUGGAGCCACCCGGGGGACGCCAGGUGUCGAUGUCGGGGCCACUCCCGCCCGAGCGCCCGACCGCAGCUGACGAGGGAGCCGGCGCGGAUUCGGAGGCGGAUCGCCCUGGCCCGCCUGGCGCACCUGCAGGCGGUGAUCCCGAAGAUGAUGCGCCUGACGCAUCUGACGGCACGGAUCCCAGGGAGGAUUUGCUCCCUGCGCCUGGACACAUGCGAUAUGGCUCUGUUGGGGCGAUUUCUUCAUCAUUUUGGCCCUGGUUUUUUUCUGCAUGUUCUCCUGCAUCACCACAAGGCUCAUACAUGGGAUUAGUCAAUAGUUGAUCAUCACAGUUAUUACCCCCUUGAUCAAGGCCGGUGAGAUGAGGAGACAAGAGAAGGAUUUCUUUGCGAAGAAGGGCUCCGGUGUUUGGGUGUAGAUCAGAAAAAGGGAACUUUGUUUCAUCGAAGACCACAUCACGGGAUAUAUAAACACGACCAGUGGCAACAUCAAGGCAUUUAACACCUUUGUGUUGGGCACUGUACCCAAGAAAUACACAUUGUUUUGACCUGAACAUAAGCUUCCUAUUGUUAUAGGGACGGAGAUUCGGCCAGCAAGCACAGCCAAAGACGCGAAGGGAUUUAUAGUCUAGCUUGGUGUUGAGAAGUCGUUCCAUGGGAGUUUCGUUGUGUAUAACACGACUAGGAAGCAUGUUAAUAAUAUGCACGGCGGUCAAAAAGGCUUCGUCCCAAAACUUAAGGGGCAUAGAAGCACCGGCUAGAAGAGCAAGACCAACUUCAACAAUGUGGCGGUGCUUGCGCUCAGCCGAUCCGUUUUGUUGGUGAGCGUGCGGACAUGACACGUGGUGUGAAAUGCCAAGAGUUUGGAAGAAGGAAUUCAACUUCUCGUAUUCCCCUCCCCAGUCCAAUUGGACGGCAAGGAUCUUACGAUCAAACUUGCGUUCUACUAACGCUUGGAAAUUCUGAAACACUUGGAAAACAUCAGAUCUUUUCUUAAGAAGAUAAAUCCAAGAGAAUUUACUGUAAUCAUCGAUAAAACUGACAUAGUACGUGUGUCUACCAACAGAACUAGGGGCAGGGCCCCAAACAUCUGAGAAGAUUAAUUGCAAAGGUUGAGUAGACACACUAGUAGAGAUAGGGUAUGGCAAUUGAUGACAUUUUGCUCUUUGGCAAGAAUCACAAAUAGUUUCAGUGUUACGCUCUCCAACAAACGGGAGCUUAUUCUUUCUAAGCAAGCGUUCAACCAAAGAAAAAGAAGCAUGUCCUAAGCGAUCAUGCCAUCGUGUGGAAGAUAACUUGAUGGCACUGUAGACUUGUUUAUUGAACCUUGAACACUCCGGAAGCAACGGGUAAAGCCCUCGAACACAUCUACCUCGAUAUAGUACUUUCUUCGUGACCUGAUCCUUGAUCAAAAAGAAGAAAGGGUGAAACUCAAGGAAGACAUGGCUAUCGAUGGCAAUUCUAUGGACAGAAAGAAGAUUCUUAUGAGCACUAGGGACAUGCAAGAUUUUCCUAAGGUGUAUUUUGCGAUGAGGGGUAUGUAUAACUGAAUGACCAACAUGACUAAUCCUCAUACCUGCACCGUCGGCGGUGUGAAUCUGAUCCUUGUCGUGGUACUUUUCACGGAGAGUCACCUUUUCCAGCUCUCCAGUGAGAUGGUUGGUGGCGCCGCUGUCGAGGUACCAGUUGGUGUCGACGCCGUAGGAGCCAUCUACCGCUGCCGCGACCUUUUCAUCAUCUUGGGAGUCUUCCUCGUCCUCGUCAUAAUGGUACCAGCAGUCCCUGGCAGUGUGACCAGUUUUGCCGCAGAUUUGGCACCGCGGAGCAUCGGGACGGGUCCUGCCAGGGCCGCCACCGCGACGUCCUCGGGUGCCAGAUCGGCCGCCUCCGCCGCCACUGUUGUGACGGGCACCACCUGACCUCCCCUUGCCACGGGAAGAGGCGCGAUAGCGAGAGCCACCACCGCGCCCACGGGUAGCAACGUUGGCGGAAGAUUUGAAGCCGCCACCGCCCGAUCUGUGGAACUGCGCCAUGCGCUGUUCAAAGUUGCUGAGCAUGGAGAAGAUUUCGUCGAGGGAGGGGUGUGUGACGCGCGCGUCGAGUGCCGAGACGAGGGGCUGGUACUCCAUAUCCAGACCAUGCAAGAUAUACGAGAUGAGCUCGUCAUCCUGGAUCGGUUUGCCGGCGGCGGUGAGCUCGUCCGCGAGGCCGCGCAUGGAGGCGAAGUAGGCGGCGGCGCUCUGGUUGCCCUUCUGCGCGUUGAUGAGGGAGGUGCGGAUGUUGUUGACGCGGCUCAGCGACUGCGACGAGUACAUGCUCGCCAGCGUCGUCCAGAGCGCCUGCGUCGUGGUGACCGUGGUCACCGUGACGAGCACCUCCUUGAAGAGGUUGCUCAGCAGAUAUCCGAGCACCUGCUGGUCCUCCCUGACCCAUAGUGGGUGGAGAGGGUUGGGCUCGAAAGUCUCCUUGCCGUCCUUGUCCUUGGCGGCGAGAAGCUUGGCCGGCUCCGGCGAGGUGCCGUUAACAUAGUUGAAGACACCGGCGCCACACAACUGCGGCGUGAUCUGUGUGCGCCAUAGCACGUAGUUCGUGUGAGAGAGUUUCUCAAUGACCUGCCCAUUGAGGCUAGGGUGAGAUGCGCCGGAGGAGGAAGACAUGGUGUAGGGCACGAUUGGAAGUCGGGAGAAGCUAGAUGGGAAGUAGGAAGGCUUUGAUUACCAUGUGCGAUAUGCGGAAACGUCUUACCCUCGUUGGAGGAGACGGCUUCGUGUUUAUAGGCAGGGGCGCAAUAACCCUGAUGCGCAUACAGAGAGGUUGAGAUAUUAUAGGAGAUUACAAUCUUGGAGAGGAAGAGAUAGAGAUGGUUACAAUAGAUAAACAUGAAAGCUAACUAUCAGGUCUAUCUCUAAGCCGAUCGUGGAUCUCCUUGGACAGCCGUGACAGGUGCAAUUACCUGUUUAACAGUCUUGACAUGGCAAAAUGAAUAAUAAUGGAGGCGUUUGGGCCAUGCACGUGUGGGCAUUAUCAUUUGGGAAUUUUAAACCUAAACCUUGGUGCAACACGAUGGUAACAAGUUGACUAUAAUAUGAUAUGUAUUCGCAUCUUAAUUCCAUAAUUUGAUUCAGAUUCGUAUCUGAAUUUGCACAGCACUGAAAUUUGCCAUUUUAUUACUAAAAUUUACAUGUGCCAUUUUAUUAGUACUAAAAUCUACAUGUUCCAGAUAUGUAAAAUCAAUUAAUCAUCAUUUCUGUAGAGUUCUCCUGUAAAAUAAUCUACACACAAACACAGUAAUUUACAUCCACUUUAGCUACACAUAGAACACCUGCCCAACAUUCAGCAGGCUCUCAUGGGGAACAUUGAAGAUGGCGCUGUUCUCCCUGCAGAUCUUCCUCAGGAAGGCGUAGAGGUAGUCGAUGGCGAGCUUCUUCAGCGGCCCCGAGUCCCUGCGAGCCCUGAUGACGGUGUUCCCAAGGAUGUGCACGACCCCGGCGUCCCUGCACGAGUUCAGGAACGUGACCUCGUCGCCCACGGUCUCGAACCCCGGGGUCGCCGUUGUAGCCUGCGCCGACGACAUGGCCCCCAGGCGGUUCGGGGAGCGCACCGGCACGAUGGAGUCGCGGGAGGCAUAGCUGAGGUCGGCGGCAGACCUGGCGUCGCUGCUCGCCUCGUCGAUCAGCUCCUGCUGAUCCAGGGCACUGUACUCAUCGGAGUCCGAGUACUCCUCCAUCAUGCUCUCCAGCCGGAUGAAGAGCAGCAGGCUGCUGAAUAGCAUCUUCUCGAAGUCGUCGUCCUUCCUGUGGAUGUCCUUGUAGCCAUACCGCGCCACGCAGCGGAACAUGUGGAAGUUCUUGGGGCCAAUCCGCUUCACCAGGAACCGCUCGUCCAGUGGCACUGUGUACACUGGCAGGUACUUGACGCAGACGAACACCAGGGUGGAGUGGAUCGCCGGGAGGUUGGUGAUGAAGUGUGAGAAGAUGUGGGGGACGCCGCUCGCCAGCUCCGUGUACACCAGACCUAUCCCGGGCACCCGGACCAGGCCGAGGCUCGGGCCGAGGCCCAGGAUCCACGCCAUGGACACCUUGCUGUGCAUCUCGAACUCGUAGCGCUUGAGCGUGCCAUAAUGCCACACGUACAUGACGAGAAGGAUGGCCGCGGCAAACACGAGAGGAACCCAGCCGCCCUGGUCAAUCUUCUUCAUGACGGCGGUCAAGUACGGGAUCUCGACGACCAGUGACAGCGCCGUGAAGAGGACGACCAAGGCCCAAUGGCUGCGCCAUACCAGCAGCAUUAUGGGGACCAUGAGAAAUGUUGUCACAAGCAUGACCAUUAUCACAGCUGUGCCUGUUUUUGCAGCAUGCAACACUCAUGUUAGCAACAGAGCAGAAACACACAUCGCAACUGCGGAAAUUUUAGGAAAAUACAAGUAUUUCAUUUACCAUAAGCAUUUGCAAUCUGGGACUGAUUCUUGAAUCCAGCGGUGACGGCAAUACAGAGAAUCAUGAGGAUCCAAUUAAUAUCAGGACUAUAUAUCUGGCCAAGAUACUUCUUCGAUGUAUGGAUGAUCUUCACCCUAGGGAAGCAUCCCACCGCAAGCGCUUGCUUGAUAAUUGAGUACGUUGCGGAAAUGGUUGCCUGGCUAGAAACUAUUGCAGCAGCUGUUGCAACGACAAAUGCUGGCCAAAGUAUACGCUCUGCGCUAAAUAAUCGUGUCACUAUGUAUUCUAACCAAUACGGCAAUCACUUAAUUGGGGAAUUCCCUAUGUCCAAAUUUUACCUGGAAGAGAAAAAUAGAAGGAGUGGGAGACUUUGUCUUUGUGCGUGGCUAUAUAGGCAGCUUGACCAGUAUAUUGCAAAAGAAGAGAUGGGAACACAACCGUAGUGAAAGCAAUCUGCGUUUUGAAAUGAUAAAAGGAUGUUAGCAAGCAAACUGACUGAUUAAAGUACUCAUGUGAAAGUUAUAUUGGUAGAUCUACUACUUCUAACAAAAUAAAACUGAGUGCGUUCCUCUUAAAAUGCAGAUUAAAAUAUGCAUAGCGAAGAACAAUCACAGCCAACAUAUGGUACCUGAAUAGCUUGUACGGGAAAAUAUGAAAGGUCAGCAAACAGUGCUUCUGUCCCUGAAACAUGAGCCAAACAGUCAGGUCAGGUUAUUGCCAGGUUAAAAGGACAAGCCACCAUAUGAAAUAAGUUAAGAAUUCCAGACCUGUUAUGCUGAGCAUAAUUCCUCCCAGGGAAGCCCAGCUAGUCUUCCCUCGCUUAAAAUAACGAUAUACAUAAACAGGAUUGAACGCCUUGAGAACCGACCUAUCAUAUGUAUAAAUGUUUACAGCCCCCAGGAUUCCAAUAAGUAUGAACCAAACAAAUACUAUUGGUGCAAAAAGCCAGCUGACUUUGUCUGUGCCAUAGUGCUGCAUACUGAACAGUCCAAUCAGUAUCACCACGGAGACUAUUACAACCACAUCUGUCAUGGGAAAAUAAUAAAAUGAGUCAGUUAAUCAUAGAUCUAACCCGGUAUUAUUUGUAUAACAGCAUUAACUGUUCCCAUGCACACUACCACUACAAAGUUCCUACGAUAAAAGGCAAUGCUUCAAAUCACAGUUAGCAUUUCAAGCUUAUCAUUCCACAGACAAAAGAAUAUGGUCAAUUAUUUAAAGUUGGAAUCAACAGUUCUGGUUAAAUUAACAUCAAUUGCAAAUUUUGACAUCCUCCUCUGAGAUGCACAUGGCAAAGCUAAUAAAAGCAGAAAACUGUAGUAAUAUAAUUCCAAAUUGCACAUGUACCAUUUCUCAUUCUGGGCUCUUCAACCUUUAUUCCACCAGUUGCAGAAAGAACUGCAAAUUGCACAGCAGUUGUUAAUAUCAAGUCACUUGGGUUAUUGGGUAAAACUUAACGGUAGAAUUAUGAAUUACAAGCAUCACAAAGAAGGUAUGUAGAACAGCUAAAAUUGAUAGAAAUCAGUACAGCAACACUCGUCUGUUGUGGACAAAAAUAAUACGGAGUAGUUGGUAAUCUCAGAUGCUCCAUCAUGGAGGAGCACUCUACAGGCAGCUAUGUACAAGGAUCGUUAUCUGUACAGGUUUAUCAUUCCCUAGCUUGUUAUUUUUAUCCUAGUAUGGUAGUUAAGGACUUAAGAGAUUGGGAUCAAGUAAGUUAUGAAAGAAAAGAUUAGUUUCUUGAGUUAGGGGCAAGCCCUCUUACAUAAGGGCUGCCACAUCCUCUGGUUGAAAUAAGCAGAGAAUAAACCAAUAUUUCCAAAAUCUUUGUCCUUUCCGCCCCUGAGCGCAGCUGCCUUCACAGCUCUUGGGGCCACGGUGACUUCGAGCAAGCCCUAGAGCCAUUAUCGCCAGGUCGUGUACUGGAUGCAUGACAUCUUAUAUCAUGAAAAUAGUUUAUGCAAUUGCUUCGCAUCUAAUUGCAAACCAAUUGCUGUAAUAUGCUUCAAAUGAAUAUCUGCCAUGCAUUUUUUGUCAAAUAUUUCUGGUUUCUGGUAACAUAAUAUGAUUCUUAGUAGGCCAAAGGUAGGUUCAUGUCAGGCUGAAAGCUCCCUGUUCUCCUAACAAUAUAAUUUUUGAGAAAUCUGAUAUUAAGUAAAGAUGAUAAAACAUGCAUGCACUCACCUGAUAUGGCAGGAGUGAGAAUUCCAUCUCCAACAGCCAUGCAAGUACCAAAAAGUACAAGAAUAAGAAUGACAUUCUUUCUGAAUUGGUGCCCCUCUAACCAUCUUUUGAUCUUUGCAGCAAGAGACUUCUCAUGAUAUGUCUGACGGCUGUAUGUUGUUAGGUCUUCAUCGGUCUUGUGUUGAUUGGGAAUAAUGCUUAUCUUUGCAUGCCGGCAAAGCAAUGAAUAAAGAGCAAAAGUUCCACCUGAAAUUACAGAAAAGCUAUUAGAAGAUGCAGAGAAACACAAGGGGGGCUGGAAUAGCAGUAAACUCAUAAGCAUCCCUAUUUUAGGCAGGGUGUCUGUGCAACGCAAUGGUGUCUUAUACUAACAUAUGUGACUUAUUGUCUAUGGCACAUUAAAAUUUGUGUCCCUACUUGAGGCAUCUGCACAGACAAAAAUUGUGGCAACUUAGCAGAAGGGGGUUUAGACUUUAGAGGGAUGGCUUUAUAGUCUAUUAUCAGCCUUUUCCAGUGAUAGGAUUACUUAAAUACAAAACAACUUGUUUUUACAUGGGGAGGAUAAUUAGUUUUAUUUUUAUUUUUCAAAAUGUUAAAAAUCUCUUUAUAUUGGCCGGACCAAUAAAAGCCCUAUAUAACUGUGCUGUUGCAUGGACUUUAGGAAGCUGUUGACCAGAAUUUCCUCUAUAUGGCCAUACACAUUAGCUUUUCAUUUUCAGGUGAUCUUCAGAUGUUCAUAGAACAUGCUGUAUGUAUUACUGCAUUAUCUCAAACAAAUAAGACAGACCAGCUAUGAACAGUUUAAUAUUUCCAUAAUUGAGGCACAAAUUCUUACCUUGGCCGUUAUCGCUUGCCCUCAAGACGAUAAAAACAUAUUUAACGAGUGGAAUGAGAGUAAGCGAGUAGAUAAUAAGCGAGAGUGCCCCAAUAAUUUGCUCCGUGUCUUCUAUCUUCUCAGGAAAGAUAUUGUAGAAAACAUAAAGAGGUGAUGUGCCUAAAUCUCCAAACACCACACCAAGGCUUUGGAAAGCUAGUUGUAGCAUCAAAACUGUUGGGUAGGUCUGCACAUACAAGAGGGAGAAACAGGGCAAAGACAAAAUUACUUAGCAUACUGUGGCUGUUCAUUUUUGUCAGAAGUUCAGAGUAAAGACACCAAAUAACUCUGCAUCUUAGGCAGCUAUCAGGGAGAAUGCACUGCUAAAAAGAAUGUGCCACAAAACACAAAAUUGUGAUGUUGAACUAAAGCCAUGUUGUUAACACAGCACAUUAGAUGAUCCAUGACCUUUAUUGAUUGUGUCAAACAAAAUACUGCAUCCUAUUGGCUAAGAUUCAGAUACAGAAACUGGAAAAUUCUUGGAUGAUGAUAGCAAUCACCUUUUCUCUGUACAUAUUCCUCAGUCUCCCGGCCUCUGCGUCCAUGGGCUGAUCAAGGCUCUUCUCCAGCUCCCACAUCGCCCCCUUGCCGGUGUCCUCAUUCGUCGAAACGGUCUCCAUGAGGUUCAGACUUCAGAGCAGUCAAUCAGCAGCAGAAGUAUGUCACAAACUGCAGGCAUCAAGAAAGUCAAGAACCAGCUCAGUCUAACUGUAUUUGUCUUUCCCUCUUACAUACAAACUCCAACAAAACACAUGCUGAUUGCUGCACAGAGUACAUGACAACCCAACGACAACACAUCUUAUUUUGAUUACGAAUCUAAACGAGAACGCGUUGUUCCAAGAGGCUCAGAAACAGUCAAAAACAACCACAAAUAUCCAGAUGUUCAAUCAAAUCAGUGCUCCAGAUUUGAAUCCGGGCACAAGAUUGCAGGUACAUACACACAGGAAAGCAAAGCCGGGGCGAAGACUAGAGGUUCGAAAAGGCUCAGAGGCAGUCAAAAGCAACCAGAAAGGUCCAGAUGUUCAAAUCUGUUCACGAGAAAGAUUCGGGGGGCCGGGACGGCGAGCACCUGCCGCAGGGGACCAGCGACACCUCGUCAACCAUGCGUCGCAAUGAGCUAGGACGAAGAUACGCCGCCGCCGCCGCCGCCGUCGCCGGUGAGGAGCUCGGCCGGUUGCGGCGGGAUGGGCGCCGCCAGGUGCGGGGAGGGCCGGGGAGAAAAGUUGGAAUUUUGCUUCUUUGCGGCGCAGUCUUUCUUUUUCUGUCAGAAAUUUUCGGAUGUGGAGCAGAGAGGAGUGGAGAUGAUUUGGAAAUUGUCGCUACACGGCAUGCCCUCAAUUAUUCGAGGAGCAUAAAUGGGAGGCAUUGAUUGGCUUAUUUGUUAUUGCGCUGUCGUUUUAUUUUUCAUUUUUCUAUUUUUUCGAGGAACCGGCAGGAGCGCUGUCAGAAUCAUGCACAAUGUCAACGUCGGCGUAUGAGUGUUUGUUAAUCCACCCAAACCUUAGCAUAAAAGUCAAAACCGAAUUCUUUUUGUGCGAUGUCGGUGUCAUCGGUGUUAGUGAGCAUGGGAGUUUUGUUAUUUUUGAGAAGUUGUCUCGGCAAGUGAGUCAUUGCGGAUGAUGACGGUUUACCUCGGCAUAUUUUAAUAAAAUAUAAACUUGUGUAUGGCUACUUAGAUUGUUAAUUAAGUGAUGAUGCUAUUUUCCCCGCAAAAAAAGUGAUGAUGGUACGUUAUUCGCUUGUUCGUCAUGUAAGACAAGACAACGGGCGUUCAGAAUAGGAUCCCGAUGCUAGCGGACAUGGCUGUUAGCAUCGUGAUCCAAAUAAUUAAGCCACCUCCUUCGAAAACGACUUGGCACGAAAUGAAUCAUGCCACCACAUACCACUUACGAGAGAAACCUAAUCAAAAUUGUUUGGGGUGCAAGAAGACAACAACAGGAACCUAAUGACAACUUGUUUUUUUUUCUGCAUUUGAAAUAAUCUAAGUGGGUACACAUUUUUUUUUAGAAGUUCUAAGUGGAUCCACAUGGCAGCAUGUCUCUUCUUUCCUCGCAAAAGACAUGCCCACGAAGUAAAACAGGAGACUUAUGCCAACGUUUGGCCCAACCAUGAACCAUCCAUCUGCCCAUGAAAGGCCCACCAAACUAGAAUGUCUGGAUUGGGCUCUUAUGUGCCGCUUUAGGGCAGUUGCGAUUCAUGAUUAAUAUAAAUGGGGUUUUUAAAUUUGGCAUAUUUUUUCAUCCACAAUUCAUAUUUUAUAUGAAAGUUUGUUUAUUAGUAAAAAAAAAUUUAUGUUGUUCCUAUACGUGAUAAAUGUUCGUCCACAAACAAAAAUUCUGCAUAUUUCAGAAUAAAAUUUUAAUGUGUUGUCUAACUGUUAUUCCUAUGCGUGAUACAAAGUGUACUAUGACUUAGGGAAAAUGUUCAUGAUCUGAAAAUGAAAAUAUGCAUGUAUUCCAAAAACAAUGUUCAUGCAUAAUAAGAAAUAUUAUUCAUGUUCAUGAAUAAAAUAUGUUUGUAUAUAAAAAACUCAUAUAUAUUGAAAUAAAAAAAUUAUGUGUUUUGAAAAGAACAUGUAUCUGUGAAAAACAUAGAAUUAUGAAAAAAUAUUUUAAAUAUAAGUAAAAAUAUUCGUGCACCUGCUAUAAAAACAAGAAAAUGAAAAAUAAAAAGAACACAUUUAAAAUGAAAAAAAAGGAAAAAGGAGAAAAUGGAAGGCAACAAAAAAGAGAAAGGCAGAAAAUAUGGAAAAAAUGUUGAGUUUAAUCUUUGAUUUUUUUCCCAACAAACAACCAUGGAGAUGNNNNNNNNNNNNNNNNNNNNNNNNNNNNNNNNNNNNNNNNNNNNNNNNNNNNNNNNNNNNNNNNNNNNNNNNNNNNNNNNNNNNNNNNNNNNNNNNNNNNNNNNNNNNNNNNNNNNNNNNNNNNNNNNNNNNNNNNNNNNNNNNNNNNNNNNNNNNNNNNNNNNNNNNNNNNNNNNNNNNNNNNNNNNNNNNNNNNNNNNNNNNNNNNNNNNNNNNNNNNNNNNNNNNNNNNNNNNNNNNNNNNNNNNNNNNNNNNNNNNNNNNNNNNNNNNNNNNNNNNNNNNNNNNNNNNNNNNNNNNNNNNNNNNNNNNNNNNNNNNNNNNNNNNNNNNNNNNNNNNNNNNNNNNNNNNNNNNNNNNNNNNNNGGAUGAGAUUGUCGCAAGUACUAUUCAGAGCACUGUUCAUAGCAAAUCACUACUUGGUCCUCUUGUAGCCAGUACUCCCUCCAUAAUGGUACAUCUUAUAUUAUGAGACAGAGCGAGGGUUGUUUAUAGCGCUCAUAGCAUCCAAUCCGGGUCGCUGUUUUUCAAUCUGACAAAUGAAAUUGAGCAAAGGUAACAAGUCAGAGAAUCCAUAGUGUAUGAAGGGCGUGGGAGCGGUAACUUUGACAAUGUGAAAAAAAAAUUCAGUCCUUUAUAACACUACGCUUCCUAGCUUUAGUGAGUCCACAUUCAACUGAGGUCUCCAAUUAAAAUUGGGUCAUCCGAUUUUGACCGGGUCAACAAUUUCUCAAAGCUCUCUCAUUCAAUUCUUUUAUACUACACAUUAUACUUUAUAAUUUUUAAGGCCUCACAGUUAAUUGAUGCCUUCAAUUUAGAAUUGGGUCACACGAUUUUGAUCCGGUCAACAAUUUUUCAAGGAGCUCUCACAUUCAAUUCUUUUAAUUCCCCAUGUUCACUAAAUCUGAAGCUCUCUCAUUAAAUUGAGGUAUUCAAUUUUAAAUUUGGCUUACGAUUUUGACUGGGCCAACGAAUUUUUCAAAUCAAUCAGCAUCGACCGGCCUAUAAAAACAUAGCAAUCCCGCGCAUCCUCCGACCACCUAGAAAAAAGAAGCACCACCAUGUGAUACUGUAGCACCAAUAUAGUACAUGCAGCAACCAACACCGAAGUUUCCCCAUAUAAAUAUAUGUUGAUUAGCGGAUAGCAAAGAACCACAGCACAAAAGGCCCAUCAAAUCAUCGUAUUAUAAAUAAAAAUAAAACACACUCCGUCAUCUCCCCAACCGCCAAACUAAAUAUUCCACCAGUUUCAAAUUAUAAGGGGUAUUCUGGAAAGUCAUUUUUCUUUACUUGGACCAAGUUCAGAGCAAAACAUAUCGACAUCCACAUUAUUAAAUAAAAUGGGUAUGAAAAUUAAUUUCAUGAUGAAUAUAAUCAUACCGAUUUGAUGUUGUGCAUUUUGAUAUAUUUCUCUACAAAUUAUCAAAUUUAAAAUGAUUGACUUUUGAGAAAAGUAAUAAACCUUAUAUUUUGAAACAAAGUUAGUAUUUUUUUAAAAGAAAUCCAGCAACACCAACGGCGCAGCAAAGCACGUGCAACCAUUCUAGUAUAGAUUACUGACAAAGCUAGCAUAUGACAUAAGAGCAACUCUAGUAGAGUCCUGAUAAAUUGGAUCACCACAUGCCAUGUGAAGCGGACUCCAUAAUGAUUUGAAGGCUGCUAGGCCUAUGCGCAAUCACAAAAUGGCCAAAUGUCCGCAAAAAAAAAGGCCAAACGACAACCUCCAUAUAUAAUUGUUCUUUUAGUUAUUCCUUUUUUCAUUUGGUUUAAAUUUUUAGCUUCAAUUUAAGUGAAAUUUAAUCCAACCUAUAAGUUCAUAAUCAUCAUCAAACAUAAUUAUAAACUAUUGGUCAAAAGUUGUCGCAUUACAUAGAUUUUGCAACUUGAAAUGUUGUUAAGCAACAUCACCCUAGUGGGGCCCGGGGCUUGGGCUACGACUCAAUGGGGACGGGGACGAAUUGUAGGAGGAGGGUAGCGGGGCGAUGGUGAUGACAUCAUUGACCACGACAAUGCCGCCUAAGGUGCUAACUCGACGCCUGCCGUCGCAAGUGGCAUCGUCAACACCACGAGAAGUGCCAGAUCCCCCACUACCACUAUCACGAGCGCCAGAUCCGCUAUGACCGUCGUCACGAGGAGAUCUCGCACCGUCGCUAUGCGAUGUAUGGGAUGUGAGGUUUUGCCCGAGGACAUGAUGUCGCAUGGCGUCCCUCCAAUGGACCGCCACGAGAAACCAAGGAAGGCACUGAAGGAAAUAUGCCCUAGAGGCAAUAAUAAAGUUAUUAUUUAUUUCCUCAUAUCAUGAUAAAUGUUUAUUAUUCAUGCUAGAAUUGUAUUAACCGGAAACAUGAUACAUGUGUGAAUACAUAGACAAACAUAUAGUCACUAGUAUGCCUCUACUUGACUAGCUCAUUAAUCAAAGAUGGUUAUGUUUCCUAACCAUUGACAUGGGUUGUCAUUUGAUUAAUGGGAUCACAUCAUUAGGAGAAUGAGGUGAUUGACAUGACCCAUCCCGUUAGCUUAGCACUUGAUCGUUUAGUAUUCUGCUAUUGCUUCCUUCAUGACUUAUACAUGUUCCUGUAACUAUGAGAAUUGUGUAACUCCCGUUUACCGGAGGAACACUUUGGGUACUACCAAACGUCACAACGUAACUGGGUGAUUAUAAAGGAGUACUACAGGUGUCUCCGAAGGUACAUGUUGAGUUAGCAUAAUUCGAGAUUAGGUUUUGUCACUCCGAUUGUCGGAGAGGUAUCUCUGGGCCCUCUCGGCAAUACUCAUCACCUAAGCCUUGCAAGCAUGUAACUAAUGAGUUAGUUAUAAGAUGAAGUAUUACAGAACGAGUAAAGAGACUUAUCGAUAACGAGAUUGAACUAGGUAUUGGAUACCGACGAUCGAAUCUCGGACAAGUAACAUACCGAUGACAAAGGGAACAACGUAUGUUGUUAUGCGGUUUGACCGAUAAAGAUCUUCGUAGAAUAUGUGGGAACCAAUAUGGGCAUCCAGGUCCCGCUAUUGGUUAUUGACCAGAGAUGUGUCUCAGUCAUGUCUACAUCGUUCUCGAACCGUAGGGUCCGCACGCUUAAGGUUUCGAUGACAGUUAUAUUAUGAGUUUAUGUAUUUUGAUAUACCGAAGGUUGUUCGGAGUCCCGGAUAUGAUUACGGACAUGACGAGGAGUCUCGAAAUGGUCGAGACAUAAAUAUUGAUAUAUUGGACGGAUAUAUUUGGACACCGGAAAGGUUCCGGAGAAGUUUGGAGCCCCGGGAGGUUACCGGAACCCCCCGGGAGGUAUAUGGGCCUUAUUGGGCCCAUGUAGGAGGAAGAGAGAAGGAGCAAGGGAGGGGGGCGCGCCCCCCAAGCCCAAUCCGAAUUGGGGAGGGGGGCCGGCCCCCCCUUUCCUUUCUCCUUCCCCCUCUUCCUAUUACUACUACUAGUACUACUUCCUAAUACUAGUACUCUUUCCUUCCCCCUCCAAAUAAGAUAAGGAAAAGAGAGGGAAACCUACUUGGAGUAGGUUUCCCCUCCUCAUGGCGCGCCCCCCUAGGGCCGGCCACCUCCUCCCUCCCUCCUUUAUAUACGGGGGUAGGGGGGCACCCUAGGACACACAAGUUGAUCAUUGAUCGUUCCUUAGCCGUGUGCGGUGCCCCCCUCCACGAUAUUACACCUCGGUCAUAUUGUAGCGGUGCUUAGGCGAAGCCCUGCAACAGGAGAACAUCAAGAUCGUCACCACGCCGUCGUGCUGACAGGACUCCCCCUCGGCGCCUCUGCUGGAUUGGAGAUCGAGGGUGCGUCAUCGAGCUGUACGCGUGUCAAGAACUCGGAGGUGCCGGAGUAACGGUACUUGGAUCGGUUGAACCGGAGGACGUACGACUACUUCCUCUAUGUUGCGUCAAUGCUUCCGCUUCGGUCUACGAGGGUACGUAGACAACACUCUCCCCUCGUUGCUAUAUCAUCACCAUGAUCUUGCGUGUGCGUAGGAAUUUUUUUUUUGAAAUUACUACGUUCCCCAACAGUGGCAUCCGAGCCUAGGUUUUAUGCGUUGAUGUUAUUUUCACGAGUAGAACACAAGUGAGUUGUGGACGAUAUAAGUCAUACUGCCUACCAGCAUGUCAUACUUUGGUUCAGCGGUAUUGUGAGAUGAAGCGGCCCGGACCGACAUUACGCGUACGCUUACGCGAGACUGGUUUCACCGUUACGAGCACUCGUGCUUAAAGGUGGCUGGCGGGUGUCUGUCUCUCUCACUUUAGUUGAACCGAGUGUGGCUACGCCCGGUCCUUGUGAAGGUUAAAACGGAGUCUAUUUGACAAACUAUCGUUGUGGUUUUGAUGCGUAGGUGAGAUUGGUUCUUGCUUAAGCCCGUAGCAGCCACGUAAAAUUUGCAACAACAAAGUAGAGGACGUCUAACUUGUUUUUGCAGGGCAUGUUGUGAUGUGAUAUGGCCAAGACAUGAUGCUAUAUUUUAUUGUAUGAGAUGAUCAUAUUUUGUAACCGAAGUUAUCGGCAACUGGCAGGAGCCAUAUGGUUGUCGCUUUAUUGUAUGAAAUGCAAACGCCCUGUAAUUGCUUUACUUUAUCACUAAGCGGUAGCGAUAGUCGUAGAAGCAAUAGAUGGCGUAACGACAACGAUGCUACGAUGGAGAUCAAGGUGUCGCGCCGGUGACGAUGGUGAUCACGACGGUGCUUCGAAGAUGGAGAUCACAAGCACAAGAUGAUGAUGGCCAUAUCAUAUCACUUAUAUUGAUUGCAUGUGACGUUUAUCCUUUAUGCAUCUUAUCUUGCUUUGAUUGACGGUAGCAUUUUAAGAUGAUCUCUCACUAAUUAUCAAGAAGUGUUCUCCCUGAGUAUGCACCGUUGCGAAAGUUCUUCGUGCUGAGACACCACGUGAUGAUCGGGUGUGAUAGGCUCUACGUUCAAAUACAACGGGUGCAAAACAGUUGCACACGCGGAAUACUCAGGUUAUACUUGACGAGCCUAGCAUAUACAGAUAUGGCCUCGGAACACGGGGACCGAAAGGUCGAGCGUGAAUCAUAUAGUAGAUAUGAUCAACAUAGAGAUGUUCACCAUUGAAACUACUCCAUCUCACGUGAUGAUCGGACAUGGUUUAGUUGAUUUGGAUCACGUAAUCACUUAGAUGACUAGAGAGAUGUCUGUCUAAGUGGGAGUUCUAUAUUAAUAUGAUUAAUUGAACUUAAAUUUAUCAUGAACUUAGUACCUGAUAGUAUUUUGCUUGUCUAUGUUUGUUUGUAGAUAGAUGGCUCGUGCUGUUGUUCCGUUGAAUUUUAAUGCGUUCCUUGAGAAAACAAAAUUGAAAGAUGAUGGUAGCAAUUACACGGACUGGGUCCGUAACCUGAGGAUUAUCCUCAUUGCUGCACAGAAGAGUUACGUCCUGGAAGCACCGCUGGGUGCCAGGCCUGCUGCUGAUGCAACUGACGACGUUAAGAACGUCUGGCAGAGCAAAGCUAAUGACUACUCUAUAGUUCAGUGUGCCAUGCUUUACGGCUUAGAACCGGGUCUACAACGACGUUUUGAACGUCAUGGGGCAUAUGAGAUGUUCCAGGAGUUGAAGUUAAUAUUUCAAGCAAAUGCCCGGAUUGAGAGAUAUGAAGUCUCCAAUAAGUUCUACAGCUGCAAGAUGGAGGAGAACAGUUCUGUCAGUGAGCAUAUACUCAAAAUGUCUGGGUAUAAUAAUCACUUGAUUCAACUGGGAGUUAAUCUUCCGGAUGAUAGCGUCAUUGACAGAAUUCUCCAAUCACUGCCACCAAGCUACAAGAGCUUUGUGAUGAACUAUAAUAUGCAAGGGAUGAACAAGACUAUUCCCGAGCUCUUCGCGAUGCUGAAAGCCGCGGAGGUAGAAAUCAAAAAGGAGCAUCAAGUGUUGAUGGUCAACAAGACCACUGGUUUCAAGAAAAGGGGCAAAGGGAAGAAGAAGGGGAACUUCAAAAAGAACGGCAAACAAGUUGCUGCUCAAGUGAAGAAACCCAAGUCUGGACCUAAGCCUGAAACUGAGUGCUUCUACUGCAAGCAGACUGGACACUGGAAGCGGAAUUGCCCCAAGUAUUUGGCGGAUAAGAAGGAUGGCAAAGUGAACAAAGGUAUAUGUGAUAUACAUGUUAUUGAUGUGUACCUUACUAAUGCUCGCAGUAGCACCUGGGUAUUUGAUACUGGUUCUGUUGCUAACAUUUGCAACUCGAAACAGGGAAUACGGAUUAAGCGAAGAUUAGCUAAGGACGAGGUGACGAUGCGCGUGGGAAAUGGUUCCAAAGUCGAUGUGAUCGCGGUCGGCACGCUACCUCUACAUCUACCAUCGGGAUUAGUUUUAGACCUGAAUAAUUGUUAUUUGGUGCCUACGUUGAGCAUGAACAUUAUAUCUGGAUCUUGUUUGAUGCGAGACGGCUAUUCAUUUAAAUCAGAGAAUAAUGGUUGUUCUAUUUAUAUGAGUAAUAUCUUUUAUGGUCAUGCACCCUUGAAGAGUGGUCUAUUUUUAUUAAAUCUCGAUAGUAGUGAUACACAUAUUCAUAAUGUUGAAGCCAAAAGAUGCAGAGUUGAUAAUGAUAGUGCAACAUAUUUGUGGCACUGCCGUUUAGGUCAUAUCGGUGUAAAACGCAUGAAGAAACUCCAUACUGAUGGACUUCUGGAAUCACUUGAUUAUGAAUCACUUGGUACUUGCGAACCGUGCCUCAUGGGCAAGAUGACCAAAACACCAUUCUCCGGAUCUAUGGAGAGAGCAACAGAUUUGUUGGAAAUCAUACAUACAGAUGUAUGUGGUCCGAUGAAUGUUGAGGCUCGUGGCGGAUAUCGUUAUUUCCUCACCUUCACAGAUGAUUUGAGCAGAUAUGGGUAUAUCUACUUGAUGAAGCACAAGUCUGAAACAUUUGAAAAGUUCAAAGAAUUUCAGAGUGAAGUAGAAAAUCAUCGUAACAAGAAAAUAAAGUUUCUACGAUCUGAUCGUGGAGGAGAAUAUUUGAGUUACGAGUUUGGUUUACAUUUGAAACAAUGUGGAAUAGUUUCGCAACUCACGCCACCUGGAACACCACAGCGAAAUGGUGUGUCCGAACGUCGUAAUCGUACUUUACUUGAUAUGGUGCGAUCUAUGAUGUCUCUUACCGAUUUACCGCUAUCGUUUUGGGGUUAUGCUUUAGAGACGGCCGCAUUCACGUUAAAUAGGGCACCAUCAAAAUCCGUUGAGACGACGCCUUAUGAACUGUGGUUUGGCAAGAAACCAAAGUUGUCGUUUCUCAAAGUUUGGGGCUGCGAUGCUUAUGUGAAGAAACUUCAACCAGAUAAGCUCGAACCCAAAUCGGAGAAAUAUAUCUUCAUAGGAUACCCAAAGGAGACAAUUGGGUACACCUUCUAUCACAGAUCUGAAGGCAAGAUUUUCGUUGCUAAAAUCGGAUCCUUUCUAGAGAAGGAGUUUCUCUCGAAAGAAGUGAGUGGGAGGAAAGUAGAACUUGAUGAGAUAACUGUAUCUACUCCCUUAUUGGAAAGUAGUUCAUCACAAGAACUGGUUCCUGUGACAACUACACCAAUUAGUGAGGAAGCUAAUGAUAUUGAUCAUGAAACUUCAGAUCAAGUUUCUACUGAACCUCGUAGGUCUACCAGAGUAAGAUCCGCACCAAAGUGGUACGGAAAUCCUAUUAUGGAAGUCAUGUUACUAGACCAUGAUGAACCUAUGAACUAUGAGGAAGCGAUGAUGAGCCCAGAUUCCGCAAAAUGGCUAGAGGCCAUGAAAUCUGAGAUAGGAUCCAUGUAUGAAAACAAAGUAUGGACUUUGGUUGACUUGCCCGAUGAUCGGCAAGCCAUUGAGAAUAAAUGGAUCUUUAAGAAGAAGACUGACGCUGAUGGUAAUGUUACUGUCUACAAAGCUCGACUUGUUGCAAAAGGUUUUCGACAAGUUCAAGGGGUUGACUACGAUGAGACUUUCUCACCCGUAGCGAUGCUUAAGUCUGUCCGAAUCAUGUUGGCUAUUGCUGCAUUUCAUGAUUAUGAAAUUUGGCAAAUGGAUGUCAAGACUGCAUUCUUGAAUGGAUUUCUAGAAGAAGAGUUGUAUAUGAUGCAACCUGAAGGUUUUGUUGAUCCAAAAAGUGCUGACAAAGUGUGCAAGCUCCAACGUUCCAUUUAUGGACUGGUGCAAGCAUCUCGGAGUUGGAAUGAACGUUUUGAUAGUGUGAUCAAAGCAUAUGGUUUUAUACAGACUUUUGGAGAAGCCUGUAUUUACAAGAAAGUGAGUGGGAGCUCUAUAGCAUUUCUAGUUUUAUAUGUUGAUGGCAUAUUAUUAAUUGGAAAUGAUAUAGAAUUUCUGGAUAGCAUAAAGGGAUACUUGAAUAAAAGUUUUUCUAUGAAAGACCUCGGUGAAGCUGCUUACAUAUUGGGCAUCAAGAUCUAUAGAGAUAGAUCAAGACGCUUAAUAGGACUUUCACAAAGUACAUACCUUGACAAAAUUUUGAAAAAGUUCAAAAUGGAUCAGGCAAAGAAAGGAUUCUUGCCUGUGCUACAAGGUGUAAAGUUGAGUCAAACUCAAUGCCCGACCACAGCAGAAGAUAAAGAGAAAAUGAAAGAUGUUCCCUAUGCUUCAGCCAUAGGCUCUAUCAUGUAUGCAAUGCUGUGUACCAGACCUGACGUAUGCUUAGCAAUAAGCUUGGCAGGUAGGUACCAAAGUAAUCCAGGAGUGGAUCACUGGACAGCGGUCAAGAACAUCCUGAAAUACCUGAAAAGGACUAAGGAUAUGUUUCUCGUAUAUGGAGGUGACAAAGAGCUAGUCGUAAAUGGUUACGUCGAUGCAAGCUUUGACACUGAUCCGGACGAUUCUAAAUCGCAGACCGGAUACGUGUUUUUAUUAAACGGUGGAGCUGUAAGUUGGUGCAGUUCUAAACAAAGCAUCGUGGCAGGAUCUACAUGUGAAGCGGAGUACAUAGCUGCUUCUGAAGCAGCAAAUGAAGGAGUCUGGAUGAAGGAGUUCAUUUCCGAUCUAGGUGUCAUACCUAGUGCAUCGGGACCAAUGAAGAUCUUCUGUGACAAUACUGGUGCAAUUGCCUUGGCAAAGGAAUCCAGAUUUCACAAGAGGACCAAGCACAUCAAGAGACGCUUCAAUUCCAUUCGGGACCAAGUCCAAGUGGGAGACAUAGAGAUUUGCAAGAUACAUACGGAUCUGAAUGUUGCAGACCCGUUGACUAACCCUCUCUCACGAGCAAAACAUGAUCAGCACCAAGACUCCAUGGGUGUUAGAAUCAUUACUAUGUAAUCUAGAUUAUUGACUCUAGUGCAAGUGGGAGACUGAAGGAAAUAUGCCCUAGAGGCAAUAAUAAAGUCAUUAUUUAUUUCCUCAUAUCAUGAUAAAUGUUUAUUAUUCAUGCUAGAAUUGUAUUAACCGGAAACAUGAUACAUGUGUGAAUACAUAGACAAACAUAUAGUCACUAGUAUGCCUCUACUUGACUAGCUCAUUAAUCAAAGAUGGUUAUGUUUCCUAACCAUUGACAUGGGUUGUCAUUUGAUUAAUGGGAUCACAUCAUUAGGAGAAUGAGGUGAUUGACAUGACCCAUCCCGUUAGCUUAGCACUUGAUCGUUUAGUAUUCUGCUAUUGCUUCCUUCAUGACUUAUACAUGUUCCUGUAACUAUGAGAAUUGUGUAACUCCCGUUUACCGGAGGAACACUUUGGGUACUACCAAACGUCACAACGUAACUGGGUGAUUAUAAAGGAGUACUACAGGUGUCUCCGAAGGUACAUGUUGAGUUAGCAUAAUUCGAGAUUAGGUUUUGUCACUCCGAUUGUCGGAGAGGUAUCUCUGGGCCCUCUCGGCAAUACUCAUCACCUAAGCCUUGCAAGCAUGUAACUAAUGAGUUAGUUAUAAGAUGAAGUAUUACAGAACGAGUAAAGAGACUUGUCGAUAACGAGAUUGAACUAGGUAUUGGAUACCGACGAUCGAAUCUCGGACAAGUAACAUACCGAUGACAAAGGGAACAACGUAUGUUGUUAUGCGGUUUGACCGAUAAAGAUCUUCGUAGAAUAUGUGGGAACCAAUAUGGGCAUCCAGGUCCCGCUAUUGGUUAUUGACCAGAGAUGUGUCUUAGUCAUGUCUACAUCGUUCUCGAACCGUAGGGUCCGCACGCUUAAGGUUUCGAUGACAGUUAUAUUAUGAGUUUAUGUAUUUUGAUGUACCAAAGGUUGUUCGGAGUCCCGGAUAUGAUUACGGACAUGACGAGGAGUCUCGAAAUGGUCGAGACAUAAAGAUUGAUAUAUUGGACGGAUAUAUUUGGGCACCGAAAAGGUUCCGGAGAAGUUUGGAGCCCCGGGAGGUUACCGGAACCCCCUGGGAGGUAUAUGGGCCUUAUUGGGCCCAUGUAGGAGGAAGAGAGAAGGAGCAAGGGAGGGGGGCGCGCCCCCCCAAGCCCAAUCCGAAUUGGGGAGGGGGGCCGGCCCCCCCUUUCCUUUCUCCUUCCCCCUCUUCCUAUUACUACUACUAGUACUACUUCCUAAUACUAGUACUCUUUCCUUCCCCCUCCAAAUAAGAUAAGGAAAAGAGAGGGAAACCUACUUGGAGUAGGUUUCCCCCUCCUCAUGGCGCGCCCCCCCUAGGGCCGGCCACCUCCUCCCUCCCUCCUUUAUAUACGGGGGUAGGGGGGCACCCUAGGACACACAAGUUGAUCAUUGAUCGUUCCUUAGCCGUGUGCGGUGCCCCCCUCCACGAUAUUACACCUUGGUCAUAUUGUAGCGGUGCUUAGGCGAAGCCCUGCAACAGGAGAACAUCAAGAUCGUCACCACGCCGUCGUGCUGACGGGACUCCCCCUCGGCGCCUCUGCUGGAUCGGAGAUCGAGGGUGCGUCAUCGAGCUGUACGCGUGUCAAGAACUCGGAGGUGCCGGAGUAACGGUACUUGGAUCGGUUGAACCGGAGGACGUAUGACUACUUCCUCUACGUUGCGUCAACGCUUCCGCUUCGGUCUACGAGGGUACGUAGACAACACUCUCCCCUCGUUGCUAUAUCAUCACCAUGAUCUUGCGUGUGGGUAUGAUUUUUUUUUUUGAAAUUACUACGUUCCCCAACAGGCACAGUGCCAAUAAUGGGUGUGUGGUACCGGUAACGCCCCCCCACCGCCGGUGAUUAUCUAUGUGUGGUGGUGUGUGUACGAGCCGCAAUGAGCUUCAAAAUCCGAUUGUGUCGUAUGAGGAGGGAGAAGAUAAAACUUCCCUCCCGCGCUGGUGGUUGGAGUCGAGCCCCCCACAACUUCCAUAUUUGGCGGCUAUGCGGGUGUUUUUUGAGCGAGAUGUGUAAAUCUUGACGAUUGCAAUGCAUACGAUCACAUUGUUACAGUUUUAGUUUUGUUCGCCGAUUGCCAUACUAACUGUUGUUAUGGCAAUCAAUCACAGCCGGCGCAUCUGCUAGAGUUGCCCCAAAAGGUCGAGACUAUUGGUUGUUAAGUCAGACGAGAACAUUAAUCAUUUAGAUUAUUUAGAGCAUCUAAAGCCGGACCCCUCGAACCAUCUCUCAUACACCCGCAGACGCACCCGGUCAGUGACCGGACAGGAGAGAGGGAAAAAAGUGACGCAACCAGACCCCUCAUAUCAUCCAUAUACGUUUGGGCAGUCUGCGAACCCUCAUAUCCAUUUCAAAUGUAGGGAGGAUAUGAGGGCUCGCGGACGCGCCCGAUCAGUCUGCCAAGUAGGAUGCGGUCCCGCCUCAGAUCAUCUUUUCUCUUUCUUUAUUCAUUUUUCUCUUUUCUCUAUCUCCACCAAUCACGUGCAAGUGAUACCGGACACAUGAGGAAGAAAAUGAGGACUGUGACUGCGCGGACGGACGAGUAGGAGCUCAAAACGAGCACGCCCGGUCACUGACCGGGCCCGCCUGAGGGGUCGAAUUAGAUGUACGUGGCUCUGGAUGCUCUUAGACUACACUUUUGUUUUCUUGUUUACUUGCCAUGCCAUGCCGUCUUACCUAAACUCACCAAAUGGCAACCCAAGCCAUACCAUACAACAGCCCUCAACAGUCCGGCAUUGGUUGACCUAAUCAUCAUUCCCCCAACAAACAAUUCCCCAAAAAAGGGAAUCACAGAUCACACCACCGGGCUAGAGAGAGAAACCCAUGGAAAGAGCCAUGAAUGAGAGAGAGGGAUGGCCCACCCACCAGACAGGGAGGGGUUUUAAUAAAAAUCUUGCCUCGCCAUUAUUCCUGCACUGGAAAAACCACCAACCCCUCCGCCCCCAACAGCAGCGGGGAGCUGGCCUGCCGCCGCCGCGCGCCGCCGGGGAGGCGAUCCGGCGACCGGAGGAGAGCCCGCCAUGGCGCGGAAGCACGGCUGGCAGCUCCCGGCCCACACCCUGCAGGUCCGUCCUUCCUCCAGCUCCUCUCCCCCCUUUCCUUCCCCGCCUUUCCCUUUCCUCCCACGCUAGCUCCCGGCCCUCGGAUCGGCGCGGCCGGGAUGGAAGUACGCACUCCCCGCUCGGCUCGCGUCUCCGGUAGCAGCCGCAGCAGGAGCUCGCCGCGUGCUCGCGCCGCCCCGUGAGCUCGCGCCGGAGGGAAUUUCCCGAUUCCGAAGAUCUGCCGAGGAGGGGGCCAGCUCGGCGGCGGUUGGUUGGCUCUCCCUUUCCUCUCCUGCUUUUCCGCGUGUCUGCGUGGGUGAGGCAGGUGGAUAAUGUGAGCUGGGCCACGGAAUGGCUUGGGAAUUUUGUGAAUUCUGCCGGCCCGUGCUCGAUUUGGUGGGGUGGUUCCUCCUCCUCCUGCUGCUGCUGCUGCUGCCUAGGGUUGCUCGUCCGCCUGGCCAGAGCGGGCUGGAUGCGUCUCCUGUCUGAGUGUGAGAUGGCUCUAGAGCACUGCCUGGAAUGGUUGCUUGUUACUCGUGAUUAAACCGGGAGUAGCAGUAGUACUGUCUGAAUAGGUUGUAUAUUUAGUACUGUCUGGAAUUGGUAAAACCCUUUAUGCGAAAUUAUCCACUUAUGCUCUGGAGUGAGGUCUGGGGCCUGUUUGUUUGGUCUAUUUCUGGCUGCGUCUAGGCAGGUUUCCAAGGGAACGGUUUGGCCAUGCAAAUGCAGGUGAUUUAGAGGAGCUGCGAUUUUUUUGUUUUUGGUUUGUCAGUGAAUGGUGGUGCAGUAUCGCGAUGUUUCCGUCUGUUUUCUAGAUUCUGUUGGCUUAUGUUGCGAGAGUUGGCUCAGUAGCUUGUAAGCUUGUUCUUGAGUCCACCAAGUUAGCCCUUGUCUGUUUUCUGGAUUCUGUUGGCUUGUGGGAGAGUUGGCUCAGUAGCUUGGUUUCUGUCCUAAGCUUGUUCUUGAGGCCACAAAGCUGGCUCUUGUCUGAAUUUCGCAUCGAGCUUGGUGGUAGAAAACUCUUACUGGUCAAGUGGUGGCAAGAACUUUCAUGGUACCAUAUUCUAGUUUCUUUUGUGGGGAAGGGCCACUUGUCAGAUAUCUUUGUGUAUGGUGGUCUUCUGCAACAUGGAUUUUCUCCAUCUAAUGUGGUCAAUUGAUGUUGUUAAGUGACUGUGUCAUGGUUUUGGUUCUGUUUUUAAAAAGGAAAGCCAGUUUUUCAGGCUUCAAGAAAAAUAAUUUCGCAGAAUAUUACUGCUAAGCCCAAGCUUGUUAAUCGGCAUGUACAUUUCUGUGAUAUAUUGCUAGUGUCUGCUCAGAUGUGUGCUUGCUAUUGUCACCCGUCUUUUUUUUUCUACAUGAUAUGAAACCUUAUGAUACUGCACCAAUAGCCUUUGUGCAUCUAAGUUAUCAAACUGUGUGAACUAGAAAUGGAAAUUGAGAGAAUUGAUCAUUACUUUUCUGAACUGUUGCAGAAGCCUCAAUAGUUCUUUCAAGUUCGUACAUUGAAACACUUGUUUCACAAUUUUUACUGAUUCCUAAUAUUGUUUUGACAGAUCGUUGCAAUUACUGUAUUCUUCCUUCUGGUGGUUGCAUUUUAUGCCUUCUUUGCACCAUUUCUGGGAACGCAAGUCCUUGAGUAUGUUGCGAUAGGCAUUUAUACUCCCAUGGUAAGUCUUAAAAAGUCUCAUUGUCUUUUAUGUCUUCCUGUUCAUCUGAAGAGAGCUAUCUUGUGGUAUCAUGAAACAUCAUUUCCACUCUUCACAUCACUUCCAGGCAUUGGCUGUCUUCAUCCUUUACAUCCGGUGCACAAGUAUUAAUCCUGCUGAUCCUGGUAUCAUGGCAAGGUUUGAGGAUGGUUUUGUCGAUGUACCUGUCAACAGCGAUGGAUUGGAAGGCAUAAACUUGCCCCAGAAAGCAAACAGCGCUAUUGGAACACACUCCCCAACAUCUACUUGCAGAAGCUCUCUAGAUGGCCAUUCUAAUCAGAGAGGUACAUCUGUAGGGGAGGCAAACAUACAUGUGAGCUCACAACUGCCGAAGAAAAGAUCAAGCUGUUUCCUCUUUGGUGGGCUCGUGUGUGCUUUAUUUGUUAAGGAGGACUGCCGGAAGCCUGAUGAUUCAGAGCAACAAGCUAAUGGCGAAGAGGCUCUGUUUUGCACAUUAUGCAAUGCUGAGGUAUGCUUCUCUAGCUUUUGGUUAUGCAGCAUGCAGCCGAACAGUCAGUUUGGAGCAUGGGCACAUUGCGCCCGUUUUUUUUUUUGAAGUUUAAAUUUUCUGAUUUUUCCGGCUUAAAAAAAUCCGGAAUUUUGUGUACAUGCACAUAUAGAAGUGUAGUAUAACUGUGCAAAAUUUCAUCAAUAUACGUGUUUGUAUGUGACAUACAAAAAAGGCAAAUACAUGCAAAAAGUUGGCUUGUUUUUUUUGUUGAUUUUGGGCUGGAGUUUUGUCUUUUUUGUGUAGCGUAUAAUAUAAUGUACUUCCUCCGUUUCUAAAUAUAAGUCUUCCUAGAGAUUUCAAUAUAGACUACAUACGGAUGUAUAUAGACAUAGCAGAGUCUAGAUUCACUCAUUUUGCUUUGUAUGUAGUCCCUUAUUUGAAUCUCUAGAAAGACUUAUAUUUAGAUCACAUGCAUACGUAUUCAUGUAAAAAAACUCCAAUUUUGUUGAAACUUUUAAGCACCAUUUUUGAGGUGUUUAAAAAAACGUGCUCCAAUACCCCCAUGCUCCAUAAGUGCGCUUUAGCAUGCAGCUGGCUUAUUUGAAGCUUAUGUUUAUUUUUAUAUAAAUUAAUUUUACAGGUUCGCAAAUUCAGUAAACACUGCAGAAGCUGUGACAAGUGUGUGGAUGGAUUUGAUCAUCAUUGUCGGGUAACUUUCUUGAACUGUAUUAGCAUGCGACCUUCUGACAUCUGAUUCUGCAUAGCUGAUAUGAGCAUCUUCCUCAGUGGCUGAAUAAUUGUGUUGGGCGGAAGAACUACUUCACGUUUAUUGCUCUGAUGGCAAUCAGUCUCCUAUGGGUAUGCAAUGUUCACCUGUUAUAGAUUUUUUUUAUUGCAUGCAGUAGCAUAUCGUUUUUAAACCCACUUGGUUGUAGAGGUUUGUGGUUAUACCCUUCCCUUUAUGGUACUAAAUAUUUACAGUUUCCUGUAACAGCUUGCAAUUGAAUUUGGAGUGGGCAUUGCUGUUCUUGUUCUCUGCUUUGUCGAUAAGAAUUCACCAAGGAUCCUUCAAGAAAAGCUUGGGAAUGGCUUGACUCGUGCUCCAUUUGCUGUGAUUGUAGUAAGUACCGUAAUGAAUUAUAGUACCUUUUACUAUAUAGGAAUCUUCUCUUUGCUAUAAUAUCUGAAGCAGCACCUUUCCACCAUUAGCUGUUGAGGAAUCAAAGACUGUUUGCCUUCUAUUUGUUGCACUACAUGCUAUGUUGGCAAAGUUCUGACGCUGUUACCUAUGUUAUUGUUUCAUUUAUACCAUAUAGAGUAUUAUGGUUGCACAUUAUUUUUACCUUCUGGAAGUGCAACUAUUACUGUUUAGGAUCCAUGAAUUAACUUCUUAGCUGUUGUGCCUGUCAUUGGUUUACCACUUACCUAUAGUGCUUGCAUAUUGGAUCUAAUGUAUACUAAGCAUUACUCACUGGUUCUUACUUUUUAGAACAAGUCUUGUUAGCCGAUAAUUAACUGAAUUGUGAUAUUAUUAUGUCCAGGGUGUAUUCACACUUCUGUCAUUAGUGGCCUGCGUACCUUUAGGAGAACUUUUCUUCUUCCACAUGAUAUUGAUCAGAAAGGUUUGCCUCACACCUCAUACUUGAAAUGUAAUACAUAAUGGGAAGUUUAUCUUGCUUUCUCAGCUGGGUUCCUUCUUUAUUUCCCUAUCAGGGGAUCUCAACCUAUGAUUAUGUGGUUGCAAUGAGAGCUAUGAGUGAGGGGAUUCCAGAGGACGAGGAAGGAGCAAAUAUCAUCUAUUCCCCCUCAAAUUCAGCAACAACCGGAUUCAGUGUUGGAAGUUCUCUUGGCCUUCACCACAAGGGUGCUUGGUGUACACCUCCAAGAAUAUUUAUUGAUCAGGUAAGCUGCCUGUGUAAAUUGCAAGACUUUUGAAAGUUUAAUCAUGACUCUCAGCUGGAAAAAUUAUAUUUAUAUUGUUAGAGACAAUUGUAAGACUACUGAAUUUAGUUGUGCUGAAACUUUCAACCAGGAUGAAGUGAUUCCACAUUUGGACCCUGGGAUGGUUCCUUCAACCGUUGAUCCUGAUGCUGCUGGAUACGCUGAAAGAGCAAACAAAGCCAAGAAGCCAGUCAAGAUUAGUGCCCGGAGCCUUGCAAAGCUGGACAGAAACGAGGUGAUGAAAGCUGCAGCAAAAGCUCGGGCAUCAUCCUCUGUUCUCCGACCAAUAGAUGCCCGCCAUGGCCAUGAAGCUGAUAUUAGCUCCAGUGGCAAUGCCAGCGUCAGGAGUAGCAUGAGCGUUGACUACAGUGCUACAAAGGAAUCAAGGAGUGAGAUGAGGCUGUCUCCUCUACAGAACUCAUAUCCACAGAGUCUUGCAAGCCAGGAUGACUAUGAGACUGGCACACAGACUGCAAGCAGUUUAAGCAGCCCGGUCCACAUCCACAAGCUUGCCCCUCAUGCUCAAUUUCGUGCAGCACCUCAUCCAGCUCCACCUCCUGAAAGGCCUGCGCUAGGGAUUACAAGGCCACCUGUUCCUGCCACACAUAUAAGUAACAACCCAAUGUUCCAGUCAGCCACAUCAUAUGUCAGGGAGAACCGAAGAGCCUCUGUUGUCUGGGAUCAAGAGGCUGGUCGGUACGUGUCAGUGCCCAUGCAAACAACAAGAACAGGACCCGGUGUUGAGCUGCCUGCAAGAAACCCAAGUUUCUUGGCGAAUCCAAGUGGUGAACCAGGCAACCAUGGGAGAAAUCUUGCACCUGCCAACACAACUUCAUCAGCGAUUCCUCCGGGGCAGCCGUCCGAGAGGUUGACGUACACAGGCCAAUCAAUAUUCUUUGGCGGGCCAAUCCUGAGCACCACUGGCGUAAAUGCAGAAAGGAAUGAGGCGGGCACAAGAGUGCGUCCUGAGACAAGCAGAGAUCCCAACUCCCACCAGCGUGACAUCCGUGGUGAGAAGGCUCGGACAGGCUCCUUCCCAUUGUUUGAGCCUAGGAAUUUCUAGAAGAACCUGCUUUGUUGGCAAGUGACCUUGACCGGCUGUUUUACUCCUCUCUACUAUGUCGUCUGCUCAAGUGCCACCACCAUGACAGUGGGGGUGAUGUUGAUGCACUGCACCCCUUGCAGAGUCAGGGAACUGCUGAAAUAGUUGACCUGGGGUUUCAGCGAUACAUAGAUAACGAUGCUUCUUAGAGCUUUAUUAUAGCGAGUGAGGAUGGCGCUAACUUUGUUUGAUGUUUUACAAACUGACUGAUAGUCGCAGUUUUAUUUUGCGUGCAUUAGGAGUUGUGAUGUUUGAUGCGCUUGGCAUGUAGUAGAAGAGCUGAUUAAACUUGUCCUUGAUGUGUACAACCUUGUGAUUUGCCGCUGACUUUGUUCACAUUACGGACUUCGGAGUGUUCAUUGCAAGUCUCUGUUCUGUUACUGCUGUAAUAGUAGCCCACCUGUGAAGGCAUUGUCUCCAACUGUCUUAGCGUUCGACUGCUUUAUUUUCAUGUUGAGAGAAUGGAGUUUAACUCGGAUGAUACUGCUUGCUGCAUAAUUGAUGUUCAUUUUCCAAACUGAAUUAGUGAGAUGGGUAUGAUUGCAAUUGAAUAAUUCUUGUUCUGUAUCAUGAGUUCAUAUCUAAAUAAACUGCGGCUUAUUAGUGCCACCGCAUUGCUGUCAACGUGCCAAGGAUGUUGCAAAAUUCCCCGCAUUUUUGUAAACUACUCCCUCUGUCCAAUAAUAUUAUCAGACGGAGGGAGUACCUAUUUGAACAUGGCAAGAAUAAUGAUAGUAUCGGAAGUUAAACUUAGUUUCAUUGCAUCCAUAGGCUGUGGAUGCUCUAAGGAGGCAUCAUCUUCUGUGCCAUCAGGCUGGUUGCAACCGCCUUUAACCAGGAAGCCUGUGUUUAAUUCUCUUUUCUUUACGGGCUGACUUCCUGAUCGAAGCAACAUCUUUCACCUCGCGGGGGAAAAGAUCUUGAAUCCAUAUGCCAUUCAUGGGAGAAGAACAAAGGAGGAUGUAGAUCAUACAGUGGCGGCCAAAGCGUUUCCUUUGGAUGAAGUGGUGUUCUCGGUGUUUGCUGUAUGCAUUGUAACAUAUGAUGUAUCCUGGGGAUAUAUAUAUAUAGAGAGAGAUCUAGAGAUGUAAUGGCCAUGUGUAGACCUAGCUGUAAAUUAUGCAGCCCUUAGGUACAAACCUGAGUGUCCUGGCUUGUUGUGCUCUCAACCACAUGUAGCCAUGAUACAACUGAUUUGUUUACGAGCAUUGGGAUGCCCUCGCAGAAGGAAAAAGUAAAACCCAAGAGUCAAGAAAAAAAGAAAAACUAAUGAUACUUCCUUAGAACCACACGACAAUCGUGGUUAGCCACUUAAACCUGAUAUCAACAAUAGAUGACGGUUCCAUAGAGCAUCUACAUCCCCUGGAGAUAAACCUCUAUAUAUCUCCUGUAGGAAAAUAAUACUAGCUCUACAUCACCCUUUUUAGUCUUCCCGACUCCAUUGAUAUCAUAUGAACCAACCUGUGGUUGGAUUGUUAGGAGAACAAUGGUAUCCACAGUCCACCAGAGUUGUCUUAAAGAAACAAAGUCCAUUGAUAUCAUUAUAAUAGUAAUAACCAAGUAACUAAAUUGAAGUAGUUAAGAAGAAAUUCAUAGAAUUUAUUCUCUUUGAGAGAAAGAAAGCUAGUUUAAGAUGAAAGGAAGCAAGGUAACUUUACGCGCCUUGAUUAGUACUACUAAACAUUGUUCAUGGCACGUUUUCCUGAUCUUGGCAUGCACUGCACAUAGCGUGAUCCUUUCCAUGCACUUGUUGAAACAGAAUUGCUUCUUUAGACAUCUUAUCUUUUACUCUUAUUUUGGGAAACCCUAGCCGCUGUCCCCUCUACCACACCUCCUCCCAUCCUCUCGUCUCGCAGCCGCCGGAGCUCGCUGGCGGGCAAAGCUCAGUCGGUGGCGGCGGGGCAUCCUCUUCUCUUCGUGCGGGGCCGGGCAGCGCGUGACACGUUCUUCGCGCGGGGGCGCGUCGCUACGCGAGGCACGGCGGUGCAGGCGGCUGAGCCUCGGUAUGGAGGGUUGCUUGGCAGUGGUGGUGGCGGCGGCUAGUGCGUGGUGGCGGUGGACCAGGCCAGAUCGGAUCUGGAGGGUUCCUGGCGGUGGGCGGCGCGUGGGUGGGCAGCGACUUAGUAGGGUCUCUUUGGCCAUGGCCACGAUAGCGUGCAGGCCGUUGUUGUAGGGGUUCCAUGGCUGCUGGUCAGAUCCGCCCAGAUCUGACCCUAGGCGCCGACAGGCGGCUCGGGGUGGUGGCCGCGGACUCCUGGUUGGAUGUGGCUGCUUGGAUGUGGGCUGCAACGGCGUGGUGGCAGUCCAUGGCAGUGGGUUGGGUCGUUCCAUGAUGGCGGCUGGACAUCUCCGGCGUCGGUCGUCGGGGAGCGGCUCUUGCGGUGGCGACCUUCUUCCUGCGUCGGCUCGUCCGUAGGCGGCCCGUGGAGGCCUUCGAUCCCUCUCCUUGUCGUCCUGGCGCUACUUUUGUCGAAGGGCUGACCCUCUCCCAGUUGCGAUCCAUCGCCCGUCUCGCGCCCAGUGCUGCAGCACCGAGCUCGUCUUUCGCCUAGCAGCAGGACCAAUCUCGUCUCGCGCCCGGCAGCAGGACUGGCAUCGUCUCGCGCCCGGUGCUGCAGGACGGGUCGAUGGAGGCCAGUUUUGGCCGGCCUAGUGGUCUCAGCGCCGGGGGUCGCACAGGGGUGUGAAAGGCGGAACCUUUUCGCUCGUCUCUUUGGCUGGGUUAGCGGCGGGCCUCAGGUGAGGUGGUGUCAAGGUCUUGGAUGCCAGGGCGGCGGCCCUGGUGGUGGUAGCAUGAUGCUCUUGGGCAGAGCCCGUGGCUUGGUGCUGCCCGGUGGCCAUGGCCGUGAGGGCGGUGUGGUAGCUGGGGUGUGGAGUUCGGUGGCGAUGAGUAUUGGCCGGCGUGAAAACCUGUUCUAUCUUUGGCUGGACCGGCGACGGCGAAGCUCGUUCCCUUCUUGAAGGUGUCGCCGUGGCUCUCAUUGCCCAUCGUGUUGCUCCAGGGGAAACUCUAAUCCUUGGUUAGGACGGUGGCGGCGCUUUGGUAUUGUAACCUUCCUGAAGGCACCGCCUUGGAGCCCACGGUUCGUCAUAUGUGGCUUCAUCUCUUCGCGGUGGUGUGUUCACGGUUGAGGACCCCGGUUGCUCAUGUAGUGCUAGGGGCGGUGUUGCUACGCUCAACGCCUAUAUAUGUAUCCUGCCUUGGGUGUGUGCAUGUGUUGUGGUGGCAUGCGUUUGUACUGGGUUGUUGUUGAUCGUUGCUGUAUAUAUAAAGCGGGGUGAAAGCCUUUUCAGUAAAUGACUAAUAUAACUAAGUAUAAACCCCCCCUAUUUGCAUCCAUAAACACUUACAUUUGAGUAAGGAUAGAGCAAUUAUGAUAUGGUGAGUACAACUUCCAAACUGCUGGUUCAGUUGUCCCACGGUCCAGCCGCACAGAGAAAACAAAGGUACUUUCAGCAAUGGUGGCAAGAACCGCGGGUGCCCGCGGCGGAGUGGCUACAAGCAACAGAGUGGCAGCGACUAGCGGGUUGGUAGUGGUUGACAAUGUGAUGGCUAGCGGAGGUGCAAAUGGAGGAGGUGGGGGCGGGUCCUGGGGCGGAGAUGACCAAUGGAGAUCUAGUACUCAGGGCAUCGUUUGCGGUUGUUCAACGCUGCAUAGACAAGCGAGGGAGUUGUUGGGCUCGCAUGCUACCUUAGUCAAACUCAAGCUAUAACCAAGCCAAGUUCAAGUGCGGACACAUAAGCUUAGACGGGCCUGGUGAAGCAGGUCCACGAGCGGGCUCGGCUUGGAUUCUUUCCAACCCAACCAACAACCUCAAGCGAGACAACCAACAUUUAGCUUUCUAUUUUCACAUGGUGGAUUAGUGACAAUAGCUACAUUUUCCCCUAUGCCUCUCAAUCCGGUUACCAAAUCCGUGCACCUCAGAUGGGUAACAUAUCUUGAAUCCGUAUGCCAUAGGAGAGGAACAAAGUAGGAUGUAGAUCAUACCGGGGUGACAGGGUGCUAAUUGUUGCAUGCAUUGCAAGAAAUGAUGUAUCAUGUGGAUAUAUAGAGAGAUGUAAUGGCCACGUGGGCCGACCUAGAUAGUAUGUAUCAUGAAAGUACAAACUUAAAUGUCCUGACUCAUACAGCUCUCAACCACCUGCAAACAAUGCUAUAAUUGUUCCAUUGACGAGCAUUGAGAUUCCCUCACCCCUCACCCCACCCACAUAGGCACACGGAACGGGACGAGAUGAAACACAUAGUGAGGUUCAUAACCAGGUUUUGCAAUCCAGGAUGACUAUGAGACUUCAACACAGACUAUAAAUUGUUUAACCAGCCAGGUACACAUCCCCCUCAUGCUCAAUUUUGUGCCACACCUCAUCCAGCUCCACAUCCUAAAAUGGCUGAAGUAGGGAUUACAAGGCCACCUGUUCCUACUACACAAAUUACCGACCCAAUGUUUCUAGUCAGCCACACCAUAUGUCUGGGAGAACCAACGAGCUUUUGCUGUCUAAGAUCAAGAGGCUAGUCGGUACUUGUCAGUGGCUCAGUGCCUACGCAAAUAAGAAUAGGACCUGACAUCGAGCCGCUAGCAAGAAAGCUAAUUUUCUUGGCAAAUCUAAGUGGUGAACCAGGCAACCAUGGGAGAAAUCUUGCACUGUGAAAACAAAUUCAUCAGCGAUUCCUUUAGGGCAGCCGUAUGAGAGAUUGACAUACACAUGCCAAUAAAUAUUCUUUGCCGGGCCAAUCCUGAGCACCACUGGCAUAAACGAAGAAAAUAAUGAGGUGGGCACAAGAGUGCGCCCUGAGGGAAACAGAGAUCCCAACUCCCACCAGAGGGACAUCCGUGGCAAGAAGGCUCGGACAAGCUCCUUCCCAUUGUUUGAGCCUAGGAAUUUCUAGAAGAACCAGUUUUGUUGGCAAGUGACUUUUACCUGCUGUUUUACUGUCUCUAUGUCGUCUGCUCAAGCCCCACCAUGACAGUGGGGGUGAAGAUAUGGAGAACUGCUGAAACAGUUGCUCCUUCGGGGCAACAAUGAUACAGAGACGACGAUGAUCUUUAGAUCUUUAUAGUGAGCGAGGAUGGUGCUAACUUUGUUUGAUGUUUACGAACUGACUAAUAACCGUCGUUUUUUUCUUUCGCAUGCGUUAGGAGUUCAGUUGUUUGGUGCGCUUAAUAGGUAGUAGAAGAGUUGAUUAAACUGUUCAUGGUGUGAAGAACCUUUUGAUUUGCAGCUGACUUUGUUCACAUUGCGGACUUUGGAGUGUUCAUUCUGUUACUGUGGUAAUCGUUACCCACGUGUGAAGGCAUCAUCUCCAACUGUCUUAGUGUUUGAUUGUUUCUCUUCCAGUUGUGUUUGAGGGAAUGAAUUAACCCAGGUGAUAUUGUUUGUUCUGUGCUGUUGUUCAUCUGUCAAACGUUUGUGAUUACAGUUGAGCAAGUAUUGUUUUGUAUCAUGAAUUCAUGACUAAUGUAGUAGCAGAAGUUAAACAUAGCUUCAUGCAUCCAUAGGUUAUGGAUACUACAAGGAAGCAUCAUCAGGUGCACGAGCAGCCUGUACAGUCCAACAUCUUGAUCGAAGCAACACCUUUCCCAAUACCUCGCAAUCCGGUUAUGCUUCACCUCAUGCGGUAAACAUAUCUUGAAUCCAUAUACCAUUGGAGAAGAACAAUGGAGGAUGUAGAUAAUACUUUUGGUGGCUAUGUCGUGGCCAGGCUGUUUGUGCUAUGCAUUGCAGGACAUGUUGUACCCUGGGGGAUAUAUAUAUAGAGAGAGCUAGGGAUUUGAUGGCCAUGUGUAGAGCUAACCAUAACUUAUGCAACCCGUAGGCACAAACCUGAAUGUCCUGGCUUGUAGAGCUCUCAAACACCACCAGCCAUGAUACAAUCGACUCACCAACGGGCAUUGAGACGCCCUCAUAAAAGGCAAAAUAAAAACCCGAGAGGCAACAAAAUCCGAAGAUACUUUGUUAGAACCGCACGACAAUCGUGGUUAGCAUCUCAAAACUGAUGUCAACAAUAGAUGACGGUUCCUUGGAGCAUCCGCAACCCUUGGGGCUAAACCUCUAUACGUCUCUCCAAUAGAAAAAACACAGACCUAUCUUACUCCAUUGAUAUCAUCAUCGUAGUAAUAACAAAGUAAUUGAGUUCAAGUGGUUCCUUAGAUAAGAAGAAAUUCACAUAAUUUAUCCUUGUUGAUGGAAAGAAAACUAGUUUAAGAUGAAAAGUAAGUGCUCGUGGAUGUGACCACAAUGAAGCAUGCCCCUUUGCAGUCAAUCUGUCGAAUCUUUCGUGCAUAUUUUCUGUCAAUGCCCGUCCUCUGUCGAAACAUGAUUUAAGCCUAGCCUAAUAUGCAUUGAUUAACAAAGGUGUUAUUAAAUGAUAUGAAUAAAUAAUAGUACUGAACUAAACCUUCACUUUUUUGCAUCCAUACAAAUUCCAUUUGAUUAACCAUGGAACAGUUAUUAUAUGAUGAGUACAAGUUCCAAACUAUCACACAAAACUUCAGAAUGCUUGAGCGCAUGAUACCCUGGAAUCAUGAAAUGAAGACCUGAAAGAAUUUAUAGGUUGUACUCCCUUCGUAAAGAAAUAUAAGAGCGUUUAGAUGAGUGCGGCUAAUCUGCACCCGGGCUCAUCUGCACCCCCGCUUAAAAAAAAUUCAAAAAAAAUACUAGAAAAAUUCAAAAAAUUCCAAUUUUUUGUGGUGGCAGAUAAUUUGACGCGUGAGGUGCGCACCAAAAUUCAACUCAUUUGAGCAUCUGAGCAGCUCUCGGCAAAAAAGACAAAAUCAGGGUCUGUAAAAAUGUUUACUGUUCAUGCACUGUUUUGACCCGAUUUGUCUUUUUUGCCGACAGCUGCUCAGAUGUCCAAAUAAGUUGAAUUUUGGUGCGCACCUCACGCGUCUAAUUAUCUACCACCACAAAAAAAAUUGGAAUUUUUUGAAUUUUUCUAGUAUUUUUUUUAAAUUUUUUGCUGAGAGGGAGCAGAUGAGCCCGGGCACCGUUUUGAGUUUUCCCGUUUAGAUCACUAAACUUUCUUAUAUUUCUUUAUAGAGGGAGUAGUUGAUAGACAAGUUAGAUAGGCCAUGAUGGAGUGGCGGUGACUGGCGGAUGGCACUGAGGUGGAAAGAGCGGCAGUGGCCGGCAGAGUGGAAACAACCAGUGGUGGAACACAUGGUUGGGUGGGGCCAACGACCACUCUAACAUGCAUGCAUUGAGUGCGGGGGUUUGUUUCAGAACAAGAGCUCGUGCGCCGGUGCAUGAGAAAAAAACUGAGCAUGGGAGGAAGUUUUGCUAGGCCCGCAGGCAGACCGAGUGAAACUCAAGCUUUGACCAAGUCGAAUCCAAGUCCAACUUUUAUGGCUUAGAUGAGCCUUGCAAAGCAGAGCCAUGAGCUAGCUCGGCUCGACUUGUUUUCAAACGCAAGGAGCAACCUCUAGCCAGACAAUCAGUGUUUAACUUUUCUUUUUCAUCGAAAAAGGCUUUCGCCCCACUUUAUAUAUAAAGAAAAUCGUCACAAGCACAACCGGCAUCCAAUAGGAUAGUAGCACAACACACAACACACACCACACACACACACACACACACACACACACACACACACACAAGUUCGCACAAGAAAAGUAUUCUGCUGAGGGCACCACCACAAGAAGCCCUAAGAAACAAAAGCGGUACAUGCCGCGAGGGCGCUCCGUAGAGCUAGUUCAGAUCUUCCCUUUUUCACACAGUGGAGUAUGGAUGGUAGCUACAUUUUUUCCAAUGACUCUCAAUCCAACUUCCAUUCAUCUCUUCAGGGAAAUAGAUCUUGAAUUCAUGUGGUGUUGGAGAAGAACAAAGAAGGAUNNNNNNNNNNNNNNNNNNNNNNNNNNNNNNNNNNNNNNNNNNNNNNNNNNNNNNNNNNNNNNNNNNNNNNNNNNNNNNNNNNNNNNNNNNNNNNNNNNNNNNNNNNNNNNNNNNNNNNNNNNNNNNNNNNNNNNNNNNNNNNNNNNNNNNNNNNNNNNNNNNNNNNNNNNNNNNNNNNNNNNNNNNNNNNNNNNNNNNNNNNNNNNNNNNNNNNNNNNNNNNNNNNNNNNNNNNNNNNNNNNNNNNNNNNNNNNNNNNNNNNNNNNNNNNNNNNNNNNNNNNNNNNNNNNNNNNNNNNNNNNNNNNNNNNNNNNNNNNNNNGGGAGGUGUAUAUAUAGAGAGAUCUGGGCAUGUAAUUGCCAUGUGAAGACCUAGCGAAAUAUUACCUCUGUCCCAAAUGACUUGCCUUAAAUUUGUUUAGGUACCGAUGUACCUAACACUAAAACAUGUUCAAAUAUUUUUUUUUCAAAAGUAGCACGUUUUUUAUAGCAAUUUUGAAAACUAGCGGUGCUAACACGUUAUUUGCCAAACUAGCACCCCGUCAGUCAGCCGUUGGCCGAAGAGUGACUCUUCAGUCAGGUGUUGGCCGAAGAGUGUGUUUUCGGUCUGGCGUUGGCCGAAGACCUGCGGUGUCUUCGGCCAGCAGAUGGCCGAAGAGUGCUUUUCUGUCAUUUGUUGGCCGAAGAGUUCAUACUCUUUACGUUAACACCUGACCGAAGUUCCAUGGGAUUACUCUUCGGCUUACACAAGAGAACGGAGAACAUGCACCAACGGACAACACCAACGCCACCCCCUCGGCGGCACGAAGCUGCACCUCCUCCUCACCAGCCAAACCGCCUCCUCCUCCUCACCCCAUCAUGACUCUAACUCACUUGUACGCACAAAUAACUAUUCCAUAGAAAAAAAAUGACCGUAGGCCGGUGGAGAUGGCUACGAUAUACCAUUUCUGUGGUUUGGAUUCAAAAAUAGGUGGAGAAACGAAGAGAUCAGGGGGUGGGGGGGACGUACAGAGAGGAACCAAAGAGAGAGAGAGAGAGCAAGAACAACGAGACGAAAAAAGAAACCAGCUCGGGCCUUAUCCAAAGGUCUUCGGCCACUCAUUAGCCGAAAAGGUUUUCGGCCACGGGCUGGCCGAAGAGGCCCGUCUUCGGCCCAGCUCACACACUUUUCGGCUUACGUGUAACCGAAGAGUCCUCUUCGGGCUUCGGCUGGUCAGAAAGGCCCUCAUCGGCCAACGGUUGACCGACGGGGUGCUAGUUUUGCAAAUAACGUGUUAACACUGCUAGUUUUCUAAAUUGCUAUAAUAAAUGUGCUACUUUUGAAAAAAAAAUUCAAAUACAUCACUAUUUAGAACAAUCUAAGACAAAUAAUUCGGGAAGGAGGGAGUAAUAUGUAGCCUGCAGGUACAAACUGGAAUGUCAUGGCUUGUACAUGUCUCAACCACCCGCAGCCAAUGAUACAAGUCCACACACACAUGCACACGCACACGCGCGCGCGCACACACACAUACAUACCACAUAGACACAUACACGCACGCACUCACUCACACACACACACACACACACACGCACGCACACACACACAGGAUGCAUCAUAAUGUGAGGAUGCUUCCUUGCGUGACAAAGGAGGUAAGUCAUCCUAAAACUGGUAUAAAAAUAUAGGAUGCCUCUUAACAUCCACUAUUGGUUGCUUCAUCAAACAUGAAAUGCAGUUUAUCCAAAUUGAAAAGGUACAAUUUAGAUAUACGAGACCAGAACACACUUCUUAACACUGAUAUCAAUAUAUUAUGAAGCCACCGCACAUGACACAAUUUAUUCAACAACUACCUCUAGCAAGGACACAAUUGAUUCGCUUACUUGCAUUAGGAUGCCCUCACAUAAAGAAAAAUAAAAAAUGGAGAGGCAACAAAAACUGAGGACAUUUCCUUAGAAUUGCACAACAAAGCUCGGUUGGCAAUCUCAAAACUGAUCUCAACAAAAGAUUACGGUUCCUUAGAGCAUUAAUUCACAAUCCUUGGAGCUGAACCUCUAUAUAUCUGUCAUGUUAAAAGACGUAUCUCCUAAACACCGUUUUAGUCUUCUUUAACCCCACCAAUAUCACCAUUGUACCAAUAACUGAGUAAAUAAAUUUAAGAUUUUUUGGUUAAGAAGAAAUUCAUAGGAUUUAUCCUUGUUGAGAGAAAGAAAGCUAUAGUUUUAAGAUGAAAAAGAAGUCAGGUAAAUUUAUGCGCUUUGAUUACUACUAAACAUUCUUCAUGGCAUUUUCCCCUGAUCAGCUUGGUAUGCUGCAAAUCGCGAUCCUUUGCAUGCACUUGCUGAAACAAAUUGCUGCACUAGUCAUCUCUUUCUUUACUUGCUAUCAUUUCACCGCGUACUUCAUAGUAGCUAAGGAUACGUGAGCUCACAAGGUGUGAAAUAAGAAUAAGACCAAUCGAGACUUCAAAUGGGACAAUUUGAGCUGUAGAUCAUAAUGCCCAUUUGAAGGUAAAUCUCAACCAUAGAUGACUACUAGCACUAAACAUAAACCUUUCCUUCUUUGCAUUCACAAAUUUUUCAGUUGAGUACGUAUUGAGCAAUUAUGAUAUGGCGAGUACAACUUUCAAACUACUGGUUCAGUUGUUCAUGCGGCUCCGUCGUGUAGAGAAUGCAGAGGACGGUCAGCAAUGCUGGCAAGAACAACGAGUGACCGAGGUGGAGUAGCUACGUGCGAGGGAAUGGCUCCCAUUGGAGGAUUGACUGUGGUUAACGGAGUGGUGCUGGCUGGCCAAGGAGCAGACGGACGGGGUGGGAGCCGGCUGUGGAGUGGAGAUGCCUGACAGGGCUCUAGGAUUUCGUGCAUUGCAUGCUGGGGUCGGGAUCAGGAGAAGAGCAGAUACACGGGUACAGUGACAAGCAGCGGGAGUCGUUGGGCUUGCGUGCAGCUCUCGCCGAACUCAAGCUUUGACAUGGCCGAGUUCAAGCUUAGUUUUGUGAGUUUUGACGAGCCUGGACGAGGCAAGUCAUGACCCCGCUCGACAUGGCUUGUUUCCACCCCAUAAGCUAGAGAGACAUCAUUUAGCUUUCUUGUCACCGAGAGGGUUGUUGAUGGAUGCUACAUUUUUCCCAAUACCUUACAAUCCAAUUACAAUUUACCACAACCGGGUAAUAUAUCUAUGAAUCCAUAUACAUAGAAGAAGAACAAAGGAGGAUGUAGAUCAUAUUGUGGUGGCCUGCAUGCUAAUUCCUGCACACAUUGCAAGAGAUGAUGUAUCUUGGGGAAUACAUAUAUAGAGUUGGGCAUGUAAUGGCCAUGUGCUAGCUAAAAAUCAUGUAUUCAGCAGGUACACACAUAAUGUCCUGACUUGUAGAGCUCUUAAAACCAUCGUCAGCCAAUAAUGAUAGAAUCAGUUCGUUAUGAGCAUUGGAGUGCCCUCAUAAAGAAAAAAACUCUUUAGAUGCAGGACACAUGGAGGAGGAUGCUUCUUUACAUCUGCACAAUAGUAUGGUUAGGCCAACCCCAAUGCGGAUCACCAAAACAGACAUUACCAAAUCUCUGCGGGCAGACGCCGUUUAACCGGAGUCACCAAAUAUCUGGUCAAAUCCGAACAGAUAUUUAACAAAAGCCGAUGAAAUUCAUACAACCAGUAGGACAAAAAUUAACAAAGUUUGAAUUAACCGGAAAAAAAAAAUCAAAACUACACUCGAGAUACAGGACGAUGACCUUGUACGCAUGGUCCCUGAGACAGCCGACACCAUAGUCCUUGUCUGCGCCGUCGCCACUGCCGUCAGAGCCGUCAUAUUCAACGUGCUUUCAGUCCACAGGAACAUUGGCAAGCAUCGCGACAACCCUCAUUGGUUACUGCUGCACAAUUGCGGUCCAGUAAGUUGGCCUCCUUCGCCUAGGCAGCGCCUUGGCCGCCUCGGUGGGGAGCCGGAUCCCCUGACGUACGGCCACCUGACGUUGGGCCACUGACGCGUGGAUCCGGGUCCACACGUCAGCGAGUGCGCCGUACGUCAGAGGAGCUGCGUCCCCUCGGUGGUGCCGACACAACCGUGGACUCAGUCGCGCGCAGCACACAUUUGAGCCGGUCCAAGCACUCGGACUCGGCCAACCCCACUUUGAGGAGCUGGUCGCUGAUCUGGCACCCGCCACAAGUGGUGGUCUGCGCGGUGUUCCUGGACCGGUCAAUGCCUAGGCCUUCGCGACUGCACACCUCGCGAACGACACCCGAUGGUAUGCGUUUCAUCACUACUAGAGCGCCGCCUCACAGGCCACCAUGGAGGACACCAUCAUUCUUGAAGACGAGCUGUUGCCACCGAGGUAGUAGGCGAGGUGUCUGCGCUGUAAAAAUUAUUGAAUGAUUGUGUUGUUAUGUGUUGUUGUAUUGAUCUAACACUCGUAGGGGUAUAUAUAAAGUACAACAUGCGAUGAGACUUGGAGUACAAGACAAGUCAUAGUAUAUUAAAACUAAUUCUAUCUCCAUCUCUCCUUAUCUCUAACUGAACACGUUUAUAUUAUUACAUUCCCCCUCACUCGUAGCGGGUCGCCGGAGUGAAGCGGACAAGUACGACUGAAUUUGAAGUCUUGUGCUUCCGUCGUCUUCUCCGCUGCGCCAUCAUCAAUUGCGUCUCUGAUGGGUCGGCACCUAGGGCGGUGACUGCGUCCCCUUCUCGUGCUUCCUUGUCUCUUCCCUCUUCCCUGUCGUAGUCACAGCAGGAGUGACGUGAACGCUGAUGACGACGCGGAAGCUGUUGACUGGAGUUGUUGCCGAUAUGUUGCUGUAGACGUAGCCAUUAAUGUCAAUAUCGAGGUAGCCGAUCAUGGUGAUGUAGCCGUGGUCGAGGUAGUCGUGGUCGAUGGUGUGGUCGUCGUGGAUGAUGAAGCCGCAUAGAGCCUGAAGGCGCAAAAAAUGCGCUAUGACGGAGCUGCAGACGUGGACGAUGCACCUUGCGGAUGUGAGAGGGUGCCAUCGGUGACAAGUUGCCGGUUUUGCCAAGACCAGAGGAAGCCCAUCAAGAACACAUCGGUUUUGCUAGAACCGUGUGGCCAUGUAGGGUCGUCACUGUAGUGACGCCGUGUCGAUGCAGUCGUGCUGUCGUGGAUGACGCCAUCGAUGCUGUCGUCGUUGUCGCGUCUUGCAGAAAAGUCUGUCAGAGGACACUAGGUGUCCAUCUUGUGUACAAGGCAGCGGCGGUGCGUUGACGAAAAUGUUGGUGAAGACCAUGUUGAUGAAGAGCUUGGCGAUGAUGUUGCAGCGGCGUGUCGACGAUAAUGUGUCGCUUGAAGGCGUCCCUCGCGGCGACCAAGUGUCAAUGCCGUGUCGCGCCAGAAAAGUCAAUGAAGAUUGCAUCUCGUUCCACACCGGCCUGACGUGUGGAUGGUGCAUGUUGAGAUCGCUUCUCGUAGACAUACUCGUCGAAGUAUAUUGGCUUGUAGUCUGGCGUAGUGUAUAGCUUGAUGAUGCGGCGUGGGUCGGCGGAUGGUGCGUCGUUCAGUCGCGUGGCCGCCCUCCCGGUCGAUGCCUCGUAUAUGCGCAAAUGGAUGUGUAGCUGGCGGUUGUCGAUGGCUGCACGUGUCGGAGUCCAUGUAUCGCUGCAUGCAUCUCCUCGCAUGGCUGGAUGGGCCUUUGACAAUGGAGGCUGCUGGGGCGGCUUGGGCGGCACCGUAAGCCAGCCGCCGCCCGCUCCCCUCCCUCCAUCUCUUUCCCUCGCCGUCACCUGAGGAGUCCGGCGAGAAAUCUCACUGCGCUUUCGAGGAGGGUGGCAACCAGGCGUUCUCUCUCCAGCCCAGGCGAGUGGUGCGGGAAGCCAACGCGUGGAGUGCUCAUGGCGGCUGGUGUCAAGGCUCUUGUAGAUCCGGCUCGCUGGUGGUCGGGGAUGCAACGUAUGAUGGCGGAUCCGGUGAGCAGUAGGUGCUCCGUUGGUGUAGUGCAGUCGUUGGGCGUCGACGUGGCUUCGGUCGUGGACGUCGGUCCCCAGCCCGGGGGAUCUGGAUCUGGCCGGUCUGCCCCCCUAUCUGCGGGCUGGUGGCCUAGAAGGAGUGCUGCUGGCGGUCGGUGGUGCCCGGUUGGCGCGAGCAAGUAGGCUCUGGCCGUGGUGGAUGCGUGGGGUGCAGGGCCGAUCUGGCUUGUGCAAGCCCGACGUCGCGGGGGCUCAGCGGGCCCGUGUUUGCCGGCGGUGAGGAAGAUGGUGGUCCUGGGCAGUGUUGGCGUGCUCGCUGCGUUGGGGUGCGCGGCCAGCGGAGGUACUUGUCGGCCUUGGCUGGCUGCGUGGGAGUGGUUGCUCCGGGCGAAAGCUUGGCCGGUGCUCGCCGGUCGGCGACGACGGCGCCCGUGGGCGUCGUUAUCCUCCUUGGAGGCAUCGUUGGGAUCUGCAUCCUCUACUCCCGGGUCAGGAUCUUCGGGUGAAACCCAAGAUCCUGCUAUAGGAUCGGGCGGUGGCGUCGUCUUCAAUGUCGUUUUCCCCUCUUUAGAACGCCGUCUUGAAGAUCCUGGUCCCAUUGGUGCCUCCUACGGGCUGGCCGUGCACGGCAUUGUGGCUAUCCGUUUGUCAAUGAGGGUGGUUGGACUUCUAUGGCAACGAUGACGGUGGUGAGCAUGGUCGGGGGCAUGGCAUUGGUCGUGGUAGUUGGCUCUUCUCCGACGUGUCCGUUGGAUGGCCUUAGCUGCUUGUUGCUGUGAAGUCGAAGCCGCGGUGCAGGGCGGUGCGGGGCCCUGGUGGCGUACGACAGGUGCUCCGUUUGGCGAUUCUUCGCGACGCCAACCUUGCCUAGUUCUCCGUAGUUCUUCGUUGGAGUCGAAGCUACGUUGUCUUGUUGUGGGUGGAUGGUGAUCCACAACGUGAGUAUAGUGUUGUUCUGCAGCCAAUAGGUUGUCGUUUUUUUUUCUUUUUUUUUGAUCUUUGGAUCCUCUUCAUGUUGUUUUUCCGUUGCUUUCUGCUAAAUCUAAUCGAAGCCAGCAAUUUGCUGGAUCUUAAAAAAAAAGAUAAUGGAGGCUGCUGGUGGCUGUUUGAGGAGCCGGUGGCCGCUCUGGAUCACGCUUGCGCGAUUCCUGCCGUGCGUGCUCGUGGCCGGCCCUCCUGUGUGGCCUCGGCUGGUGGACGCGAGGAGGUGGUCGUCGUUGCCCUUGAUCUCUCAGCCUGUGCAAAGCUAGCUAGCCUGAGGCUUGAUCCAUCACUGGCCAAAUUACCAAGCUAGCUCACGAUGCGAGGAUGCCGCGGCCGGCGCGGCCUUCCGGAUCGAAGGUGUCGUGUGCCUGGUGUCGAGGGAGCCGCCCAAAGCCACGAGAUGUGUAGCUUGAUGCCGCAGGUGAUCGCCGCCGCGUACGUCGAUAGGUGUUGUACGAUUGGCCGCCGGUAUAAGCACCAAUUUUUGCUGGAAUUUGAGGGCAGCAGGAUUUUAUUUGGUGGCUAAUUGAAUUAAUCUAGUGGAUGGAUUUUGGAAAACUCGAAAUUGGAAACCUAUGAAAAUCUAAUUGGAUCUAAUCUAUCUAAUGAACCGGUCUAUCUUUGAUGGUCGGAAGCCACGCCCUCGGGGAGAGGAGAUUAAUCUACCCGGAGGCGACACACUGCGGAAGUGGUGGAAGGUCCUAGGAUCAGCGUCGUUGGACAAACUGCUCUAAUAUCAUGUAGAAAUUGUAGGAUGGUUGUGUUGUUAUGUGUAGCUGUAUUGAUCUGACACUCGUAGGGGUAUAUAAAAAGUACAACAUGUGGUGAAACUUGGAGCACAAGACAAGUCAUAGUAUAUUAAAACUAAUUCUAUCUCCAUCUCUCCUUAUCUCUAACUAAAUAUGGUACCUGAGCCAAGAGUUUCAAUAAACGAUUCUGCGGUCUACAUCAAUCCCACGUCUAAGGACUAAAAUAGACUAGACGUGAUGGGUGGUGUUGAAGUGUAAUGUCCGGUCCUCUUUCAUAGUUCGGACUGAUGGUGAACUGGUUAAUUGCAUAAACUUACAACCAAGAGGUUCAGGGUUCAAAACCCAGUAAAAGCAAUAAAUAAUUGUGGCCUGCCCCCGCUUGCGCUGCCUUCGUCGUAUAGCCAGUAGCUCCCGGAGUGACAACUGCGUACACCUCCAAGAAUAUUUAUUUAUCAGGUAAGAUGCCUGUGUAAAUUGCAAGAUUUUUGAAAGUUUAAUCAUGACUCUCAGUUGGAAAAAAUAUUUAUAUUGUUGGAGACAAUUGUAAGACUACUGAAUUUAGUUGUGCUGAAACUUUCAACCAAGAUGAAAUGAUUCCACAUUUGGACCCUGGGAUGGUUUCUUCAACCGUUGAUCCUGAUGCUGCUGGAUACGCUGAAAGAGCAAACAAAGCCAAGAAGCCAGUCAAGAUUAGUGCCCGAAGCCUUGCAAAGCCGGAAAGAAACGAGGUGAUGAAAGCUGCAGCAAAAGCUCGGGCAUCAUCCUCUAUUCUCCGACCAAUAGAUGCCCGCCAUGGCAAUGAAGCUGAUAUUAGCUCCAGUGGCAAUGCCAAUGUCAGGAGUAGCAUGAGUGUUGACUACAGUGCUACAAAGGAAUCGAGGAGUGAGAUGCUGCUGUUCCCUCUACGGAACUUGUAUCCGCAGAGUCUUGCCAGUUACGAUGACUAUGAGACUGGCACACAGACUGCAAACAGUUUAAACAGCCCGGUCCACAUCCACAAGUUUGCCCCUCAUGCUCAAUUUCGUGUAGCACCUCAUCCAGCUCCACCUCCUAAAAGGCCUGCGCUAGGGAUUACAAGGCCACAUGUUCCUGCCACACAUAUAAGUAACAACCCAAUGUUCCAGUCAGCCACAUCAUAUGUCAGGGAGAACCGAAGAGCCUCUGUUGUCUGGGAUCAAGAGGCUGGUCGGUACGUGUCAGUGCCCAUGCAAACAACAAGAACAGGGCCCGGUGUUGAGCUGCCUGCAAGAAACCCAAGUUUCUUGGUGAAUCCAAGUGGUGAACCAGGCAACCAUGGGAGAAAUCUUGCACCUGCCAACACAACUUCAUCAGCGAUUCCUUCGGGGCAGCUGUCCGAGAGGUUGACGUACACAGGCCAAUCAAUAUUCUUUGGCGGGCCAAUCCUGAGCACCACUGGCAUAAAUGAAGAAAGGAAUGAGGCGGGCACAAGAGUGCGUCCUGAGACAAGCAGAGAUCCCAACUCCCACCAGCGUGACAUCCGUGGUGAGAAGGCUCGGACAGGCUCCUUCCCGUUGUAUGAGCCUAGGAAUUUCUAGAAGAACCUGCUUUGAUGGCAAGUGACCUUGACUGGCUGUUUUACUCUUCUAUACUAUGUCGUCUGCUCAAGUGCCACCACCACGACAGUGGGGGUGAUGUUGAUGCACUGCACCCCAUGCAGAGUCAGGGAACUGCUAAAAUAGUUGACCCGGGACACAUAGAUAACGAUGCUUCUUAGAGCUUUAUUAUAGUGAGCGAGGAUGGCGCUAACUUUGUUUGAUGUUUUACAAACUGACUGAUAGUCGCAGUUUUAUUUUGCGUGUAUUAGGAGUUGAGAUGUUUGAUGCGCUUGGCAUGUAGUAGAAGAGCUGAUUAAACUUGUCCUUGAUGUGUAGAACCUUGUGAUUUGCCGCUGACUUUGUUCACAUUACGGACUUCGGAGUGUUCAUUGCAAGUCUCUGUUCUAUUACUGCUGUAAUAGUAGCCCACGUGUGAAGGCAUUGUCUCCAACUAUCUUGGCGUUUGACUGCUUUAUUUUCGUGUUGAGAGAAUGGAAUUUGACCGGAUGAUACUGCUUGCUGCAUAAUUGAUGUUCAUUUUCCAAACUAAAUUAGUGAGAUGGGUAUGAUUGCAAUUGAAUAAUUCUUGUUCUGUAUCAUGAGUUCAUAUCUAAAUAAACUGCGGCUUAUUAGUGCCACUGCAUUGCUGUCAACGUGCCAAGGAUGUUGCAAAAUUCCCCGCGUUUAUGUAAACUACUCCCUCUGUCCAAUAAUAUUAUCAGACAGAGGGAGUACCUAUUUGAACAUGGCAAGAAUAAUGAUAGUACCGGAAGUUAAACUUAGUUUCAUUGCAUCCAUAGGUUGUGGAUGCUCUAUGGAAGCAUCACUUCUGCGCCAUCAGGCUCAUUGCCACAACCUUUAGUUAGGAAUCCUGUGUUUAAUUCUCUUUUCUUUACGGGCUGACUUCUUGAUCGAAGCAACAUCUUUCUCAAUACCACACAAUCAGAUUACCAUUCACCUCGCGCGGGAAACAGAUCUUGAAUCCAUAUGCCAUGGGAGAAGAACAAAGGAGGAUGUAGAUCAUACAAUGGCGGCCAGAGUGUUAUUUUUUGUUUUGUUUUUGGAUGAAGUGGUGUUCUGGGUGUUUGCUGUAUGCAUUGCAACAUAUGAUGUAUCCUGGGGAUAUAUAUAGAGAGAUCUAGGGUUGUAAUGACUGUUGGAAAUAUGCCCUAGAGGCAAUAAUAAAAGGAUUAUUAUUAUAUUUCCUUGUUCAUGAUAAUUGUCUUUAUUCAUGCUAUAGUUGUAUUAUCCGGAAAUCGUAAUACACGUGUGAAUACAUAGACCACAAUAUGUCCCUAGUAAGCCUCUAGUUGACUAGCUCGUUGAUCAACAGAUAGUCAUGGUUUCCUGACUAUGGACAUUGGAUGUCAUUGAUAACGGGAUCACAUCAUUAGGAGAAUGAUGUGAUGGACAAGACCCAAUCCUAAGCAUAGCACAAGACCGUGUAGUUCGUUUUGCUAGAGCUUUUCCAGUGUCAAGUAUCUUUUCCUUAGACCAUGAGAUCCUGUAACUCCCGGAUACCGUAGGAGUGCUUUGGGUGUACCAAACGUCACAACGUAACUGGGUGACUAUAAAGGUGCACUACAGGUAUCUUCGAAAGUGUCUGUUGGGUUGAAACGGAUCGAGAUUGGGAUUUGUCACUCCGUAUGACGGAACAAGGUAUUGGGAUACCAACGGUCGAAUCUUGGGCAAGUAACGUACCGAUUGACAAAGGGAAUUGUAUACGGGGUUGCUGAAAUCCUCAACAUCAUGGUUCAUCCGAUGAGAUCAUCGAGGAGCAUGUGGGAGACAACAUGGGUAUCCAGAUCCGCUGUUGGUUAUUGACCGGAGAGCCGCCUCGGUCAUGUCUGCGUGUCUCCCGAACCCGUAGGGUCUACACACUUAAGGUUCGAUGACGCUAGGGUUGUAUGAAUAUGAGUAUGCAGUAAACCGAAAGUUGUUCGGGGUCCCGGAUGAGAUCCCAGACGUCACGAGGAGUUUCGGAAUGGUCCGGAGGUAAAGAAUUAUAUAUGGGAAGUCGAGUUUCGGCCAUCGGGAAAGUUUCGGGGUCCACCAGUAUUGUACCGGGACCACCGGAAGGGUCCCGGGGGUCCACCGGGUGGGUCCACCUAUCCCGGAGGGCCCCGUGGGCUGAAGUGGGGAGGGUACCAGCCCCUGGUGGGCUGGUGCGCUCCCCUGGGCCCCCCUCUGGUGGUUCAUCCGAUGAGAUCAUCGAGGAGCAUGUGGGAGCCAACAUGGGUAUCCAUAUCCCGCUGUUGGUUAUUGACCGGAGAGCCGUCUCGGUCAUGUCUGCGUGUCUCUCGAACCCGUAGGGUCUACACACUUAAGGUUCGGUGACGCUAGGGUUGUAUGAAUAUGAGUAUGCAGUAAACCGAAAGUUGUUCGGGGUCCCGGAUGAGAUCCCAGACGUCACGAGGAGUUCCAGAAUGGUCCGGAGGUAAAGAAUUAUAUAUGGGAAGUCGAGUCUCGGCCAUUGGGAAAGUUUUGGGGUCCACCGGUAUUGUACCGGGACCACCGGAAGGGUCCCGGGGGUCCACCGGGUGGGGCCAUCUAUCCCGGAGGGCCCCGUGGGCUGAUGUGGGGAGGGGACCAGCCCCUGGUGGGCUGGUGCACCCCUCCUGCCCCCCCUCUGUGCCUAGGGUUGGGAACCCUAGGGGAGGGGGCGCCUCCACUUGCCUUGGGGGGCACUCCACCCCCUUGGCCGCCGCCCCCCUAGAGAUCCCAUCUCUAGGGCCGGCACCCCCCUGGGGGUCCCUAUAUAAAGAGGGGGGGGGGAGGGAGGGCAGCCGCACCUGAAGUCUUGGCGCCUCCCUCUCCCCUUGCUACACCUCCUCCUCCCGUAAUCGCUUGGCGAAGCCCUGCCGGAACCCUACUGCAUCCACCACCACGCCGUCGUGCUGCUGGAUCUUCAUCAACCUCUCCUUCCCUCUUGCUGGAUCAAAAAGGAGGAGACAUCAUCCGCUCCGUACGUGUGUUGAACGCGGAGGUGCUGUCCGUUCGGCACUUGGUCAUCGGUGAUUUGGAUCACGACGAGUACGACUCCCUCAACCCCAUUCUCUUGAACGCUUCCGCUCGCGAUCUACAAAGGUAUGUAGAUGCACUUCUAUCACUCAUUGCUAGAUGAACUCCUAGAUGGAUCUUGGUGAAACCGUAGAUUUUUUUUAUUUUCUGCAACGUUCCCCAACAGUGGUAUCAAAGCCAGGUUUAUGCGUAGUUCUCUAUUACAUGAGUAGAACACAAAUCUGUUGUGGGCGUAGAUCUUGUCAACUUGCUUGCCGCAACUAGUCUUAUUUUGCUUCAGCGGUAUUGUGGGAUGAAGCAUCCCGGACCGACCUUACACGUACGCUUACGUGAGACAGGUUCCACCGAUUGACAUGCCCUAGUUGCAUAAGGUGGCUAGCGGGUGUAUGUCUCUCCCACUUUAGUUGGAGCGGAUUCGAUGAAAAGGGUCCUUAUGAAGGGUAAAUAGAAGUUGACAAAAUCACGUUGUGGUUAUUCGUAGGUAAGAAAAUGUUCUUGCUAGAACCCAAUUGCAGCCACGUAAAAGAUGCAACAACAAUUAGAGGACGUCUAACUUGUUUUUGCAGCAAUUGCCUUGUGAUGUGAUAUGGCCAACAGUUGUGAUGAAUGAUGAAUGAUAUAUUGUGAUGUAUGAGAUCAUGUUCUUGUAAUAGGAAUCACGACUUGCAUGUCGAUGAGUAUGACAACCGGCAGGAGCCAUAGGAGUUGUCUUAAUUAUUGUAUGACCUGCGUGUCAAUGAUUUAACGCCAUGUAAUUACUUUACUUUAUUGCUAAACCGUUAGCCAUAGUAGUAGAAGUAAUAGUUGGCGAGCAACUUCAUGGAGGCACGAUGAUGGAGAUCAUGAUGAUGGAGAUCAUGGUGUCAUGCCGGUGACGAAGAUGAUCAUGGAGCCCCGAAGAUGGAGAUCAAAGGAGCUAUAUGAUAUUGGCCAUAUCAUGUCACUACUAUAUAAUUGCAUGUGAUGUUUAUUAUGUUUAUGCAUCUUGUUUACUUAGAACGAUGGUAGUAAAUAAGAUGAUCCCUUAUAACAAUUUCAAGAAAGUGUUCUCCCCUAACUGUGUGCCGUUGCUAAAGUUCGUCGUUUGAAGCACCACGUGAUGAUCGGGUGUGAUAGAUUCUUACGUUCACAUACAACGAGUGUAAGACAGUUUUACACAUGCAAAAACACUUAGGGUUAACUUGACGAGCCUAGCAUGUACAGACAUGGCCUCGGAACACAGGGACCGAAAGGUCGCACAUGAGUCGUAUGACGAUCAACAUGGAGAUGUUCACCGAUGAUGACUAGUCCGUCUGACGUGAUGAUCGGACACGGCCUAGUCGACUCGGAUCGUGUAACACUUAGAUGACUAGAGGGAUGUCUAAGCUGAGUGGGAGUUCAUUAAAAUAAUUUGAUUAGAUGAACUUAAUUAUCAUGAACUUAGUAUAAAAUCUUUGCAAAAUAUGUCUUGUACUCCCUCCGUCCAUGAAUAAGUGUACAUCUAGCUUUUGUCUUAAGUCAAAGUUUUAAAACUUUGACCACCUUUCUAGGAAAAAAUAAAAGCAUUUAUGACACCAAGUUAGUAUCACUAGAUUCAUUUUGAAAUGUACUUUGAUAAUCUAUCAAUUUGAUGUCAUAUAUGUUACUAUUAUUUUCUAUAAAGUUGGUCAAAAUUUUAAAAUUUUGACUUAGAACAAAAGCUAGAUGUACACUUAUUCGCGGACGGAGGGAGUAGAUCAAAUGGCCAACGCUCAUGUCAACAUGAACUUCAAUACGUUCCUAGAGAAAACCAAGCUGAAAGAUGAUGGUAGCAACUAUACGGACUGGGUCCGGAACCUGAGGAUCAUCCUCAUAGCUGCCAAGAAAGCAUAUGUCCUAGAAGGACCACUAGGUGAAGCACCCAUCCCAGAGAACCAAAACGUUAUGAAUGCUUGGCAGUCACGUGCUGAUGAUUGCUCCCUCGUUCAGUGUGACUUGCUUUACAGCUUAGAACCGGGGCUCCAAAAGCGUUUUGAGCACCACGGAGCAUAUGAGAUGUUUGAGGAGCUGAAAAUGGUUUUCCAAGCUCAUGCCCGGGUCGAGAGAUAUGAAGUCUCCGACAAGUUCUAUAGUUGUAAGAUGGAGGAAAAUAGUUCUGUCAGUGAGCACAUACUCAAAAUGUCUGGGUUGCACAAUCGCCUGUCCCAGGUGGACAUUAACCUCCCGAACGAGGCGGUCAUUGGCAGAAUCCUUCAGUCGCUCCCGCCGAGCUACAAGAGCUUUGUGAUGAACUACAAUAUGCAGGGGAUGGUGAAAACUAUUCCUAAAGUAUUUUCAAUGCUGAAGUCGGCAGAGGUAGAAAUCAAGAAAGAACAUCAAGUGUUGAUGGUCAAUAAAACCACCAAGUUUAAGAAGGGCAAGGGUAAGAAGAACUUCAAGAAGGACGGCAAAGAUGUUGCCGCACCCGGUAAGCCAGUUGCCGGGAAGAAGUCAAAGAAUGGACCCAAGCCCGAGACUAAGUGCUUUUAUUGCAAAGGGAAGGGUCACUGGAAGCGGAACUGCCUCAAAUACUUAGCGGACAAGAAGGCCGGCAACACUAAAGGUAUAUGUGAUAUACAUGUAAUUGAUGUGUACCUUACUAGUAAUCGUAGUAACUCCUGGGUAUUUGAUACCGGUGUCGUUGCUCAUAUUUGUAACUCACAGCAGGAGCUGCAGAAUAAGCGGAGACUGGCGAAGGACGAGGUGACGAUGCGCGUCGGGAAUGGUUCCAAGGUCGAUGUGAUCGCCGUCAGCACGCUACCUCUACAUUUACCUACGGGAUUAGUUUUAAACCUUAAUAAUUGUUAUUUAGUGCCAAGUUUGAGCAUGAACAUUGUAUCUGGAUCUUGUUUAAUACGAGAUGGCUACUCAUUUAAAUCCGAGAAUAAUGGUUGUUCUAUUUAUAUGAGAGAUAUGUUUUAUGGUCAUGCCCCGAUGGUCAAUGGUUUAUUCUUAAUGAAUCUCGAACGUAGUGUUACACAUAUUCAUAGUGUGAAUAUCAAAAGAUGUAAAGUUCAUAUUCAUAGUGUGAAUACCAAAAGAUGUAAAGUUAAUAACGAUAGUCCCACAUACUUGUGGCACUGCCGCCUUGGUCACAUUGGUGUCAAGCGCAUGAAGAAGCUCCAUGCUGAUGGACUUUUAGAGUCUCUCGAUUAUGAAUCAUUUGACACAUGCGAACCAUGCCUCAUGGGCAAAAUGACCAAGACUCCGUUCUCCGGAACAAUGGAGCGAGCAACCAACUUAUUGGAAAUCAUACAUACCGAUGUGUGCGGUCCAAUGAGCAUUGAGGCUCGUGGAGGAUAUCGUUAUGUUCUCACUCUCACUGAUGACUUGAGUAGAUAUGGGUAUGUCUACUUUAUGAAACACAAGUCUGAGACAUUUGAAAGGUUCAAGGAAUUUCAGAAUGAGGUAGAGAAUCAACGUGACCGAAAGAUAAAAUUCUUAUGAUCAGAUCGUGGAGGAGAAUAUUUAAGUCACGAAUUUGGUACACACUUAAGAAAAUGUGGAAUCGUUUCACACUCACGCCGCCUGGAACACCUCAGCGUAAUGGUGUGUCCGAACGUCGUAAUCGCACUCUAUUGGAUAUGGUGCGAUCUAUGAUGUCUCUUACCGAUUUACCGCUAUCAUUUUGGGGAUACGCUCUAGAGACAGCUACAUUCACUUUAAAUAGGGCUCCGUCUAAAUCCGUUGAGACGACACCGUAUGAAUUAUGGUUUGGGAAGAAACCUAAGCUGUUGUUUCUAAAAGUUUGGGGAUGCGAUGCUUAUGUCAAGAAACUUCAACCUGAAAAGCUCGAACCCAAGUCGGAAAAAUGCGUCUUCAUAGGAUACCCUAAGGAAACCAUUGGGUAUACCUUCUACUUAAGAUCCGAGGGCAAGAUCUUUGUUGCCAAGAACGGAUCCUUUCUGGAAAAAGAGUUUCUCUCGAAAGAAGUAAGUGGGAGGAAAGUAGAACUCAAUGAAGUACUACCUCUUGAACCGGAAAGUAGUGCAACUCAGGAAAAUGUUCCUGUGGUGCCUACACCAACUGGAGAGGAAAUUAAUGAUGAUGAUCAAGGUACUUCGGAUCAAGUUGCUACUGAACUUCAUAGGUCCACAAGGACACGUUCCACACCAGAGUGGUAUGGCAACCCUGUCCUGGAAAUCAUGUUGUUAGACAACGGUGAACCUUCGAACUAUGAAGAAGCGAUGGUGGGCCCAGAUUCCAACAGAUGGCUUGAAGCCAUGCAAUCCGAGAUAGAAUCCAUGUAUGAAAACAAAGUAUGGACUUUGACAGACUUGCCCGAUGAUCGGCGAGUGAUAGAAAACAAAUGGAUCUUUAAGAAGAAGACGGACACGGAUGGUAAUAUUACCAUCUAUAAAGCUCGACUUGUCGCUAAGGGUUAUCGGCAAGUUCAAGGGGUUGACUACGAUGAGACAUUCUCUCCCGUAGCGAAGCUGAAGUCCGUUCGAAUCAUGUUAGCAAUUGCCACAUACUAUGAUUAUGAGAUAUGGCAGAUGGACGUCAAAACGGCAUUCCUUAACGGACAUCUUAAGGAAGAACUGUAUAUGAUGCAGCCGGAAGGUUUUGUCGAUCCUAAGAAUGCUAACAAAGUAUGCAAGCUCCAGCGAUCCAUUUAUGGGCUGGUGCAAGCAUCUCGGAGUUGGAACAUUCGCUUUGAUGAGAUGAUCAAAGCGUUUGGGUUUAUGCAGAAUUAUGGAGAAGCCUGCGUUUACAAGAAAGUGAGUGGGAGCUCUAUAGCAUUUCUCAUAUUAUAUGUAGAUGAAAUAAUUUUGAUGGGAAAUGAUAUAGAACUUUUGGAAAACAUUAAGGCCUACUUGAAUAAGUGUUUUCAAUAAAGGACCUUGGAGAAGCUGCUUACAUAUUAGGCAUCAAGAUCUAUAGGGAUAGAUCAAGACGCCUCAUAGGUCUUUCACAAAGCACAUACCUUGAUAAGAUUUUGAAGAAGUUCAAAAUGGAUCAGUCCAAGAAAGGGUUCUUGCCUGUAUUGCAAGGUGUGAGAUUGAGCGCGGCUCAAUGCCCGACCACGGCAAAAGAUAAAGAAGAGAUGAGUGUCAUCCCCUAUGCUUCAGCCAUAGGAUCUAUUAUGUAUGCCAUGCUGUGUACCAGACCUGAUGUAAACCUUGCCGUAAGUUUGGUAGGAAGGUACCAAAGUAAUCCCGGCAAGGAACACUGGACAACAGUCAAGAAUAUCCUGAAGUACCUGAAAAGGACAAAGGACAUGUUUCUCGUUUAUGGAGGUGACGAAGAGCUCGCCGUAAAGGGUUACGUCGACGCUAGCUUCGACACAGAUCUGGAUGACUCUAAGUCACAAACCGGAUACGUGUAUAUGUUGAAUGGUGGAGCAGUAAGCUGGUGCAGCUGCAAGCAGAGCGUCGUGGCGGGAUCUACAUGUGAAGAGGACUACAUGGCAGCCUCGGAGGCAGCGCAUGAAGCAAUUUGGAUGAAGGAGUUCAUCAUCGACCUAGGAGUCAUACCCAAUGCGUCGGGGCCGAUCAAACUCUUCUGUGACAACACUGGAGCUAUUGCCCUUGCAAAGGAGCCCAGGUUUCACAAGAAGACCAGGCACAUCAAGCGUCGUUUCAACUCCAUCCGUGAAAAUGUUCAAGAUGGAGACAUAGAUAUUUGCAAAGUACAUACGGAUCUGAAUGUCGCAGAUCCGUUGACUAAACCUCUUUCGCGAGCAAAACAUGAUCAACACCAGAACUCUAUGGGUGUUCGAUUCAUAACAAUGUAACUAGAUUAUUGACUCUAGUGCAAGUGGGAGACUGUUGGAAAUAUGCCCUAGAGGCAAUAAUAAAAGGAUUAUUAUUAUAUUUCCUUGUUCAUGAUAAUUGUCUUUAUUCAUGCUAUAGUUGUAUUAUCCGGAAAUCGUAAUACACGUGUGAAUAUAUAGACCAUAAUAUGUCCCUAGUAAGCCUCUAGUUGACUUGCUCGUUGAUCAACAGAUAGUCAUGGUUUCCUGACUAUGGACAUUGGAUGUCAUUGAUAAUGGGAUCACAUCAUUAGGAGAAUGAUGUGAUGGACAAGACCCAAUCCUAAGCAUAGCACAAGAUCGUGUAGUUCGUUUUGCUAGAGCUUUUCCAAUGUCAAGUAUCUUUUCCUUAGACCAUGUGAUCGUGUAACUCCCGGAUACCGUAGGAGUGCUUUGGGUGUACCAAACGUCACAACGUAACUGGGUGAUUAUAAAGGUGCACUACAGGUAUCUCUGAAAGUGUCUGUUGGGUUGACACGGAUCGAGACUGAGAUUUGUCACUCCGUAUGACGGAGAGGUAUCUCUGGGCCCACUCGGUAAUGCAUCAUCAUAAUGAGCUCAAAGUGGCCAAGUGUCUGGUCACGGGAUCAUGCAUUGCGGUACGAGUAAAGUGACUUGCCGGUAACGAGAUUGAACAAGGUAUUGGGAUACCGACGAUCGAAUCUCGGGCAAGUAACGUACCGAUUGAUAAAGGGAAUUGUAUACGGGGUUGCUUAAAUCCUCGACAUCGUGGUUCAUCCGAUGAGAUCAUCGAGGAGCAUGUGGGAGCCAACAUGGGUAUCCAUAUCCCGCUGUUGGUUAUUGACCGGAGAGCCGCCUCGGUCAUGUCUGCGUGUCUCUCGAACCCGUAGGGUCUACACACUUAAGGUUCGGUGACGCUAGGGUUGUAUGAAUAUGAGUAUGCAGUAAACCGAAAGUUGUUCGGGGUCCCGGAUGAGAUCCCAGACGUCACGAGGAGUUCCAAAAUGGUCCGGAGGUAAAGAAUUAUAUAUGGGAAGUCGAGUCUCGGCCAUUGGGAAAGUUUUGGGGUCCACCGGUAUUGUACCGGGACCACCGGAAGGGUCCCGGGGGUCCACCGGGUGGGGCCACCUAUCCCGGAGGGCCCCGUGGGCUGAUGUGGGGAGGGGACCAGCCCCUGGUGGGCUGGUGCACCCCUCCUGCCCCCCCUCUGCGCCUAGGGUUGGGAACCCUAGGGGAGGGGGCGCCUCCACUUGCCUUGGGGGGCACUCCACCCCCUUGGCCGCCGCCCCCCUAGAGAUCCCAUCUCUAGGGCCGGCGCCCCCCUGGGGGUCCCUAUAUAAAGAGGGGGGAGGGAGGGCAGCCGCACCUGAAGUCUUGGCGCCUCCCUCUCCCCUUGCUACACCUCCUCCUCCCGUAGUCGCUUGGUGAAGCCCUGCCGGAACCCUGCUGCAUCCACCACCACGCCAUCGUGCUGCUGGAUCUUCAUCAACCUCUCCUUCCCCCUUGCUGGAUCAAAAAGGAGGAGACGUCAUCCGCUUCGUACGUGUGUUGAACGCGGAGGUGCUGUCCGUUUGGCACUUGGUCAUCGGUGAUUUGGAUCACGACGAGUACGACUCCCUCAACCCCGUUCUCUUGAACGCUUCCGCUCGCGAUCUACAAAGGUAUGUAGAUGCACUCCUAUCACUCGUUGCUAGAUGAACUCCUAGAUGGAUCUUGGUGAAAUCGUAGAUUUUUUUUAUUUUCUGCAACGUUCCCCAACAAUGACCAUGUGUAGACCUAGCUAUAAAUUAUGCAGCCCUUAGUUACAAACCUGAGUGUCCUGGCUUGCAGUGCCCUCAACUGCAUGUAGCCAUGAUACAACUGAUUCGGUUACGAGCAUUGGAAUGCCCUCACAGAAGCAAAAAGUAAAAUCUGAGAGUUAAGAAAAAACCCUAAUGAUACUUCCUUAGAAUCACAUGACAAUCAUGGUUAGCCACAUAAACCUGAUAUCAACAAUAGAUGACGGUUCCAUAGAGCAUCUACAUCCCCUGGAGAUAAACCUCUAUAUAUCAUGUAGGAAAAAAAUGCUAGCUCUAAAUCACACUUUUUAGUCUUUCCCGACUCCAUUGAUAUCAUGUGAACCAACCUGUAGUUGGAUGGUUAGGAGACCAAUGGUAUCCACAGUCCACCAGAGUUGUGUUAAAAAACAAAGUCCAUUGAUAUCAUUACAAUAGUAAUAACCAAGUAACUAAAUUGAAGUAGUUAAGAAGAAAUUCAUAGAAUUUAUCCUCUUUGAGAGAAAGAAGGCUAGUUUAAGAUGAAAGGAAGCAAGGUAACUUCGCCUUGAUUAGUACUAGUAAACAUUGUUCAUGGCACGUUUUCCUGAUCUUGAUAUGCACUGCACAUAGCGUGAUCCUUUCCAUGCACUUGUUGAAACAAAAUUGCUGCUUUAGACAUCUUGUCUUUUACUCUUAUUUAUUUUAUCACAUACUUCAGAGCAACUGAAGUGUUGAUGAAUGUAAUGACUAAUAGAGUAGAUUCUUUGGGGCAUCCCCCACGACAUUGCUCCUACGAGCGACGGGGGGAAACCCUAACCGCCAUCCCCUCAACCCCCUCCUCCCCUCCUCUCGUCUCGCCGUCGCCGGAGCUCGCUGGCGGGCAAAGCUCGGUCAGCGGCGGCGGGGCAUCCUCUCCUCUUCGUGUGGGGCCGGGCGGCGCGUGACGCCUUCUUCGCGCAGGGGCGCGUCGCUAUGCGGUGCAUGGCGGUGUAGGCGGCCGAGCCUCGGCAUGGAGGGCUGCUUGGCAGCGGUGGUGGCGGCGGCUAGUGCGUGGCGGCGAUGGACCAGGCUAGAUAGGAUCUGGAGGGUUCUUGGCGGUGGGCGGCGCGUGGGUGGGCAACGACUUAGCAGGGUCUCUCUGGCCAUGGCCAGGACAGCGUGCAGGCCACUGUUGCAGGGGUUCCGAGGCUGCUGGUCAGAUCCGCCCAGAUCUGGCCCCUGGGCACCGACGGGCGGCUCGGAGUGGUGGCCGCAGUCUCCUGGUUGAGGCUUGGAUGUGGCCUGAAACGGCGUGGUGGCAGCCCAUGGCAGUGGGCUAGGUCAUUCCAUGAUGGCGGCUGGACAUCUUCGACGUCGGUCAUCGUGGACCGGCUCUUGUGAUGGCGGCCUUCUUCCUGCGUCGGCUCGUCCGUAGGUGGCCUGUGGAGGCCUUCGAUCCCGCUCCUUGUCGUCCGAUGCUACUUUUGUCGCAGGGCUGGCCCUCUCCCAGCUGCGCUCCGUCGCCCAUCUCACGCCUAGUGCUGCAGGACCGAGCUCGUCUUCCGCCUGGCAGCAGGACCAACCUCAUCUCACACUUGGCAGCAGGACCGACCUCGUCUCGCGUCCGGUGCUGCAGGAUAGGUCGAUGGAGGCUAGUUUUGGCCGGCCUGGUGGUCUCGGUGCCGAGGGCCGCCCAGGGGUGUGAAAGAUGGAACCUUUCUGCUUGUCUCUUUGGCUGGGUUAGUGGCGGGCCUCAGGUGAGGUGGUGUUAAGGUCUUGGAUGCCAGGGCGGCGGCCCUGGUGCUGGUAGCAUGAUGCUCUUGGGCAGAGCCCGUGGCUUGGUGCUGCCCGGUGGCCAUGGCCGUGUGGGCGGCAUGGCAGCUGGGGUGUGGAGUUCAGUGGCGGUGAGUAUUGACCGGGGUGAAAACCUAUUCUAUUUUUUGAUGGACCGGCAGCGGCGAAGCUUGUUCCCUUCUUGAAGGUAUCGCCGCGACUCUCAUAGCCCGUCGUGUUGCUCUAGGGGAAACUCUGAUCCUUGGGUAGGGCGGUGGCAGCAAUUUGGUAUUGUAACCUUCCUAAAGACCUCGCCUUGGAGCCUACGGUUCGUCGUAUGUGGCUUCAUCUCUUCACGUUGGUGUGUUCACGGUUGAGGAUCCCGGUUGCUCAUGUAGUGCUAGGGGUGGUGUUUCCGCGCUCAACGACUAUAUAUGUAUCCUGCCUUGGGUGUGUGCAUGUGUUGUGUUGGCAUGCGUUUGUACUGGGUUGUUGUUGAUCGUUGUUGUAUAUAUAAAGCGGGGCGAAAGCCUUUUUGGUACAUGACUAAUAGAACUAUGUAUAGACCUCCCCCUUUUUGCAUCCAUAAACACUUAUAUUUGAGUAAGGAUAGAGCAAUUAUGAUAUGGUGAGUACAACCUCCAAACUGCUGGUUCAGUUGUCCCACGGUCCAGCCGCAUAGAGAAAACAGAGGUACUUUCAGCAAUGGUGGCAAGAACCGCGGGUGCCCGCGGCGGAGUGGCUACAAGCAACAGAGUGGCGGCGACUAGCGGAGGUGCAAAUGGAGAAGGUGAGGGCGGGUGCUAGGGCGGAGAUGACCAAUAUGGAGAUCUAGUACCCAAGGUAUCGCGUGCGGUUGUUCAAUGCUGCAUAGGCAAGCGGAGGGAGUUUUUGGGCUCGCAUGCAAUCUAAGUCAAACUCAAGCUAUGACCAAGCCAAGUUCAAGGGCAGCCACAUAAGCUUAGACGGGCCUGGUGAGGCAGGUCCAUGAGCGGGCUCGGCUUGGAUUCUUUCCAACCCAACCAACAACCUCAAGCCAGACAACCAACAUUUAGCUUUCUAUUUUCACAUGGUGGAUUAGUGACAAUAGCUACAUUUUCCCCUAUGCCUCUCAAUCUGGUUACCAAAUCCAUGCACCUCAGAUGGGUAACAUAUCUUGAAUCCGUAUGCCAUAGGAGAGGAACAAAGGAGGAUGUAGAUCAUACCAUGGUGAUAGGGUGGUAAUUGUUACAUGCAUUGCAAGAGAUGAUGUAUCCUGUGAGAUAUAUAGAGAGAUGUAAUGGCCAUGUGGGCCGACCUAGAUAGUAUGUAUCAUGAAAGUACACACUUAAAUGUCCUGACUCAUACAGCUCUCAACCACUUGCAAACAAUGCUAUAAUUGUUCUGUUGACGAGCAUUGGGAUGCCCUCACCCCUCACCCCACCCACACAGGCACACGGGAAUGGGACGGGAUGAAACACAUAGUGAGGAUGCUUCCUUCUACAUUCAUAACCAGGAUUUGCAAUCCUGGAUAACUACGAGACUUCAACACAGAAUAUAAAUUGUUUAACCAGCUAGGUACACUUCCCCCUCAUGCUCAAUUUUGCGCCACACCUCAUCCGGCUCCACAUCCUAAAAUGCAUGCACUAGGGAUUACAAGGCCAGUUGUCCUACUACACAAAUAACCAACCCAAUGGUUCUAGUAACCACACAAUAUGCCUGGGAGAACCAACGAGCUUUUGUUGUCUAGGAACUAGGAUCAAGAGGCUAGUCGGUACGUGUCAGUGGUUCGGUGCCUACACAAAUAAGAAUAGGACAUUGCGUCGAGCCGCGAAAGCUAAUUUUCUUAGCAAAUCCAAGUGAUGUACCAGGCAACCAUGGUAGAAAUCUUGCACUGUGAAAAAAAAUUCAUCAACGAUUCCUUUAGGGAAGCCGUCUGAGAUAUUGACGUACACAUGGAAUACGUAUUCUUUGGCGGGCCAAUCUUGAGCACCACUGGCAUAAACGCAGAAAGGAAUGAGGUGGGCAAAAGAGUGCGCCCUGAGGGAAGGAGAGAUUCCAACUCCCACCAGCGGGACAUCCGUGGCGAGAAGGCUGGACAUGCUCCUUCUUGUUCGAGCCUAGGAAUUACUAGAAGAAACUUCUUUGUUGGCAAGUGACUUUGACAGGAUGUUUUACUCUUCUCUAUGUGGUCUGCUCAAGUGCCACCAUGACAGUGGGGGUGAUGUUGAUGCACUGCACCCCAUGCAUAGACAGGGAAAUACUGAAAUGGUUGCUCCUCUCAAGUAGAAAAUAAUACAAGGAAGACGAUGAUCUUUAGAGCUUUACAGUGAGUGAGUAUGGCACUAACUUUGUUUGAUGUUUACGGACCGACUGAUACCCAGUUGUUUUUCUUUCACAUGUGUUAGGAGUUCAGAUGUUUGAUGCGCUUGAUAUGUCACAUAAGAGUUGAUUAAACUGUUUGAAUGUGUAUAACCUUUUGAUGAGGAGGUCCAGCGACCGCCCCGGUGGCUCCCGCGACGCACCCUGCGCGCGUAUCGGGGGAUCCAGAUCUGCCGCUGGCGGGCAGCUCCCUCCCCCGCCCCCUCAUCCCCCUCGCCGCUGCCAGAGGGCGUCCGCCGGGCAAAGCCCGUGCGGCGCUGGCAGCGGUGGGGCCUCUCUCCUCCCUCCCCUACUCGGGAUACCGCUGACGCGGGUCAGCCGACCGUGGGGGAGUUGGAUCAGGCGAGCUCUCCGGUGGCGGGGACGCGCAGAUUCUGAAGUAGCUAUGCUGGGAGUCGGUGGUGCAGCUCUGCAGCGGUGGUGGUAGGGGACAGGUCCGACGAGGUCGAUCUAGUUCCCUCAGGGCUGCGGGUGUCGCUGGUGGCAGUGGCCACGAGAGAGGGGGCUGCUCCCAUAUCUGGGGGUGGCGCUGGCGCUGCGAUGCACUGGUCUUGGCCAUGCUGGGCGGCGCGCGAGGCGGUGGCGACCAUGGAUCUCGAUCUGAAGUUGGAGGCUUUCACCAGCAGCUUGUCCUCCUUGACCGGCCGAGAUGUGGGCGUCCUCCUAGCGUCCUGUUUGAUGGCGGGGCGCUGGGUGUGGGCACUAGGUCGGGGGAAACCCUUGACCGGCGAUGCCGGGCACGAUGUUGGCGACGCCGGUGGCGUCGUUGUCCCUCUGGUGGGCAACAUCGAGUCUUACUUGAUGCCCUCCACCUACUGGUCUCGGGCGAAAGCCUACAAUCUCUAGAUUGGGGCGGCGAUGGCGCGUCAGCGUCAUGUACUUCUUGAAGGCGCCUUCUUGGGGGAUCAGCGGUCUUGGAUUUGGCGUGGUGUUGGUUUGUUUCUUCAGUGGAGUUCAUGCUCGAUAGUUGCAGUGGGCUUCUGGGUCUUGGCCAGAGACAGUGGCGAUGUAUGGGUUUCAUUCAGAGGUGAGGUUGCCAGGGUGGUCGCUCUCUCCUUGACAUCUGGUUCACUGGUCCAAGGGUGCUCGGGGGUGAGCUGCUUUGCCUACUGAUGGGUCGACUUCCUUCGAUCCAGGACGAGAGGGUGGGGGUGCCCUCUUCAGCGGCAUAUUUGGAUGGUGAACCGAGUGGCCCUGGGAGGCGACGAAGCAUGGCUCUCCUCCAGCGACGAUUAGCUCCCUUGUCGCGGGCGUGUCCAUGUCAUGAUCUGUAACCGUCAUGGGCUCCAAAGUGCUUUUGGGUUCUUCGGAGCUCGUUAGCUGUUCCGUAGUGCUUUGUAUCCGUGUUGAUUGUAUUUUCCUUUUCCUGUUGUCCUGUUGGUUGUAAGGUGUGGUCAUUGCUUUAUAUAUAAAGUGGGGCGAAAGCCUUUUUCGGCAGAACCUUUUGAUUUGCAGUUGACUUUUUUCACAUUGCAAACUUCGGAGUGCUCAUUGCAAGACUAUGUUCUGUAACUGUGGUAAUUGUAGCCCACGUGUGAGGCCAUCAUCUUGAACUAUCUAAGUGUUUGAUUGUUUUCUUUCAUUUGUGUUGAGGGAAUGAGUUUAACUCAGAUGACACUGCUUGCUGGGUAACUGUUGUUCAUUUGUCAAAUUGAAUUAGAGAGACUGGCUAUGAUUACAGUUAAGCAAUUCUUAUUCUUAUCAUGAGUUCAUGAAUAAUUAAACUAUGGCUUCAUUAGCGCUAACACAUCGCUGCCAACAUGCCCACUGCUUUAGGAACUAGAUGCUUCUUACACUACCUAUUUGAACAUCUCAAAAAUAAUGGUUGUGUCAGGAGUUAAACAUAGUUUCAUGAAUCCAUAGGUUGUGGAUGUUGUAAGGAAGCAUCAUUGCACCCUCAGGCUGGUUGCAACAACAUUUAGCCAGGAAGCCGGGGCUCUUCUCUUUUCUGUAGGAAGUGACUUCUUGAUGGAAGCAAUAUCUUUCCCAAUACCUCACAAUCCGAUUACCAUUCAUCUCACAUGGGAAACUCAAUUCAUAUACCAUGGGAGAAGAAGAAAGGAGAAUGUAGAUCAUACUGUGGUGGACACCCUGUUUUUUUUAUAAAGUCGUGGCCAUGGUGUCUGUUGUAUGCAUUGCAAGAGAUGGUGUAUCAUGAGGGAUAUAUAUAGAGCUAGGGAAUAAUGGCCAUGUGUACAUCUAGCUAUAAGGUAUGCAGCCCGUAGGGUACAUACCUUAAUGUACUGGCUUGUAGAGAUCUCAACCCCCUUCAUCCAUGAAGCAAUUGAUUCCCUUACGAGCAUUGGGACACGCUCACAGAAUGAAAAAAAAACUGAGAGGUAAGAAAACCGAAGGUACGUCCUUAGAAUGCACGACACGCGUGGUUAGCUAUCUAAAAACUGAUGUCAAUAAAAGAUGACGGGUCCUUGGAGCAUCCACAACCCUUGGAGCCAAACCUCUAUAUAUCACUUAUGUAGGAAAAAAACCAACCUAUCUCUACAACACCCUUUUCAAUCUUCUUUAAUCCCAUUGAUAUCAUCACCAUAGUAAUAAAAUAGUAAUUGAGUUAAGUGGGCUUUUUAGAUAAGAAGAAAUUCAUAUAAAUCCUUGUUGAUAGAAAGAAAUAUAGUUUCACAUGAAAAGAAGUGCUCGUGGAUGUGGAUGUGACCACAAUGAAGUAUCCCCCCUUUGCAAUCAAUCUAUAAAAUCUGUUGGGCAUCUUUUCAUUGAGCUCCCAUUCUCCAUCUAAACAUGGUUUAAGCUCAGCCUAAUGUGCAUUGACUUAAGCUCCAUAAAGAUCAAUGCCCUCGGAACCAUCAAUGAUCGGUGGAGCAACAUCGUUGGUGAGAACCAAAAAAAUGCAACUGCGGUGCCAAAUUUUCCGGUCAUAUUUGGAACAAAUUAAACCACUGUAUUUUUCAUAACUCCAUCACCAACCAUGACUUUGUCGUCGGUUAGAUCAACUCUGUUCUGGAUGCCCCAAAUCUAGAGAUUUUAUCUCUCUCGUCGUUGUACAGUCAGCGCCUAACGGUGAGUGAACCCUCUUUUUUUUCUCUUGAACUCUUACAUAUAUCUUCCUAACCUAUAAUCUGAAGGUAGAGAUGCUGCCAAUUUAGCUUAAAAAAUCUUUAAAAAAUAGAUGAAAAGGAAGUCAUGUAACUUUAUCUGCUUUUUAAAUACCAGUAAACAUUAUUCUUGCCACCUUUUCCUGAUCCUGGCAUGCACUGCACAGAGUACCAUAUUUUCCAUAGACUAGUUGAAUCAAAAUUGCUUCCCUAAUCAUCUCGUCCUUUACUCUUCAUUAUUUUAUGAAAAAAUUCAGAGUGACAAAGGUAUUGAUAAAUGAAAGGACUAGUGCUAAACAUAAACCUUUCUUUUUUGCAUCCAUAAAAAUAUCCAUUUCAUUAAACAUAUAACACUUAUGGUGAGUGCAACUUCGAGACUGUAUCACAAAUCUUCAGAAUGCUUGGACAUAUGAAUGAUAUGAUCCCCCUGGAACCAUGAAAUGAAGCCUUAGAGAAAGUGUUUGGAAUAUGACGAAGACGAGCAAGCCUUUGUCGGCGAGUGAUAAGAGAAAUGUAGGAGCUUGCCAGGACAACUUGGUAAGCAAGCUACCUAUUAUGUAGGCGCCAACUCCCAGCUUUUUCUCUUCUUUCUUUUUGAUUUUUUAUUCUCGUUUUUUGUAAGCUGUGGUUGGCAAACCAUCUAGCUAGGAUAUGAAAGAGUGGUGGUGACCGGCGGAUUGGCAAUGGCUAAGGAGCAAGGAGCGGUGCUGACUGGCGGAGUAGCACUGUAGCAGCGGCCGGUGAAGGAAAAGAUGGAUGGCGUGGGGGCCGAUGAUAGCUCUAGCAUGCGGGGCCUCAAGUGUGGGGGUCAAGAUUGAAAGGAGGGCUCGUGUGCCGGUGCAUGAGAGAGAGAGAGAGAGAGAGAGAGAGAGACAAGCUGAGAACAUGAGGGAGUUGCUAGGCUCACGAGUAGAUCGUCUCAAUGUCGAGCUUUGGCCAAGCUGAUUCCAAGUCCAACUUUGAAAGCUUAGACGAGCCACCAUGAACCAGCUUGGCUCAGCUUGUUUCCAACCCAAGGAGUAGCCUGUAGCCAGAUAGUCAAUGUCGACCUUUGUUUUUCCACAUGAAGGGCUAAUGAUAGUAGCUACAUUUUCCCCAAUGCCUCUCAAUACGAUUACUACUCACCUCAUACGAAAUAUAUCUUGAACCCAGACGCUAUAGGGGAUGAAUAAAGAAGGAUUUUGCUUAUACCAUGGUGCCCAGUGGUGCCAAUUGUUGAUUCUUGAUUGCAUUGCAAGAGAUAAAAUUGUCAUGGUGGAGCAGGGAGGUUUUGUUGUCCAUGAAUAGACGCAAACGGUUGUCGACGCAAGUGAUAGCUAGAAGUUGGUGCAUCUUGUGCUGGGUUUGUGGUUGGAGGCUGACAGUUCUGGCUUCCUCCUCCGAUGUCGUCAUCGUGUGAGGGUGUCAGAUCUGAAGUUCGAUGGUGUGUCCGGGGACAUUUUGCCCCGGUCUGAUUCUUUCAACGACAAUGGUUUAGUUUCUGGCAAACUACUUUCAAGGUCCGUAAAGCUGCCGAUCAGUGAUGGAGCCGCAUCAAGUUUGGGUGAAGAGGUGAUCUUUCUUCUUUCCCUUUGGUGGCUGCUUCGGUGGUGUUGAAGGAGAGGGGCUGCGUGGAUAUUUUGUGUAGGAUUAUCCUAUCUUUUUAGUCCUGUAAAGUCGAUGUUUACGUGCCUUAUAAUUUGAUUUUUAUUCUACAAAUGAGACACGUAUUAUCAUGCAAAAAGGUACAAAACUAAAUGUGAUGACUUGUACAUUUCUUGACCACUGUACCCGCAACCAAUGAUGCAGGUUCGUUUACGAGCAUCACACACACCCACGCUCGCGCACACACACGCAAACGUGAUGCAACACAAUGUGAGGAUGCUUCCUUUGAAUUAUGUGACAAGCAGGAUAAAGGCAUCUCUAGCAGAUCCUUUAUAUCAUGCACCCAUAUAUCGCGUUUACAGUUCGUGGCUGUCUUCGGAUAUGGGCUGAAUACAGUUGCGGCUGAACAACAACCGAAUACGAACCUGCAAAAUUUGUAAUCACAUAUUCGCUCGAGAAAUUGUACUAGUUUAGUAGGACUGCUAACACUUGAUCAUCUUAAAAAGUCAUACAAAGUAGAAAUUUUACACCUAAUAUUUGGAGGAGCAGGCGCCACCAUAACCCUAGUUACAAAAUUGGGCUCAUCAGAGCCGGGGGGAUUGCAGCGGCGACACUGUAGCGGAGGAGGAGCUCAGUCCACAUCGUCGGAGACGAGGUCGACGUAUAGACCUCGUCCUGCUUUUUGGCUACGAGGCGCCACUCUUCCAUGUUAGCCGCAAACUCCUGCGCCCCCGCGAUCCCCUGCUCGAGGAAGAUUCUAUCGAUGUCGAUGUCGACGUCCCGUUGACGGUGCUGCUUUGCCUCCUCCGCGUAGAGCGCGCAUGAUGGCAGCCGCCAUGACAUCCGCCUCCGCCGGGGGGAGGUAAUCCUCUGGCCCGACGACGCUCUGCCGCUCCGGCUCCCUCUUUACCGCGUGGAGCGGCGGGAGCUCCUCUGGCUCUCUUUUCACCGGGGUGAGCGGCGUCCUCGAGCUCGAGGCACCGGCGGAGGAGCCGGAGGACAGCCCGCGGUGGAGGAGUGCCUGCCUACGGUUGUACUCCGUCUCGCGGCGGAGGAGCGAUGGCGGUGGCGAGAGCCCGUUGUUGGUGUACCCGGGCGCUCCUUUUCCUCACGGCGUCGGCGGUGACGCACCGCCUCCGCUCGGGGUCGUCGCCACUGCCGGUGCCGCGGCCCGCCGACCACGUUCCGCAUCACAUCAAGAGGGGAGAGGGGGAAUUGAAGUCGCCGGCGGAGAGAAAUCGAGAGGGAGGAUGGGGAAUUGCGGCGGCGCGGAUAGGGUUUCGACCCGUAUUUCAGCCGCAAACCCUUACAUAUAUUGCGUGCGAAGGGGGGGGGGCAAUUUGCGGGUCACUGUAAAAGAAAUUAUGGGUCGGACGAUUAUAUAGGCUCUGGUCUUGCCCAAAAAAGGGGCCAAACCUGUAUAGUCGUCGAAUUUUUACGGGCCAUCCCAUUUUAAGAGGUCUGCUAGAGAUGCUCUAAGCCAUCUUAAAACAUGUAUUAAAGCAGAAGAUGCUUACUUAGAUCCACUAUUGGCUUUUCAUUAAACCUGAAAUACAAUUUAUAGAAAUUAAAAAAAAGAUGUAAUGUUUAUGCACGAGACCAGAGCACACUUAUUGAGACUGAUAUUGAUUUAUUGUGAAGCCAUCAUUUUCCAUGAAUCCAGUCAUAGGCCUGGGCGUUCGGUAGAAACCGGAACUGUUCGUUUUUUUAAAUUCGGUUAGCAAAAGUCAAAACCGAAAUAGGCAUGGAAAUCAAUUAACCAAAAAUCCAGUUAACCAAUUUAUUUGGUUCGGUUUCCGGUUUUAACCCAAAUUUGGAUUAAGCAUACAAAACACAGUUUCAGUGCCAUAUGCACAGUUUCAGGAAAUUUAUCAUAUGAACACUUGAACAGAAAAUGAACACAAUAGACAAUCCAUCAUUCGCUGCUGAAGUACAUGUCCACGAACAUCAUAUGAACAUGCAUCCAUCCAAGUUACCAAUACAACAGUGCAAUAACUAAACAAGAAUUUGAGGCGGAGGAUGGGACGACUGGAUGGACGGACAAGCGAGCGAGCUACAAUCGGCGAAGCAAUAGGGGGCGCUGCGCUCCUCCUCUGGUCCUUUCCUCUGCGUGCAGCGACUGCGUGAUGGUCGGCGGCAGGUGAGAAGGUGAGGGAGGAGAUGGGGGAGAUCCCAGGCAUUGGCAGUGGGCAUACAAGACGGCCCGUCGGCUUUUAGGGAGUCGAGGUCGGGGAUGUGGGAGAAGAUGUGGUGGUGGCUCACCGAGUGGCGGCCGGCGGCGGCAGCGGUUGAAUCGGGGCGGGGGGUUGAGGAUGGAGAACGAAUGCUAGGCUGUUGUGUCCCUUUGUCUAGUAUACGUGGUACGGUUGUGACCUAGGUCUAGUACGUGGCUACCGUCGGCGUGCCACUUCCAGGAGUUCCUAGUUGGGCCGGCCGGCCGAGAGGGCUGCAUGAUUUCGGCUUCUUUGGUUAACCGGUAGAAAUACCGAAACCGACCGAAUUGAGUUCGGUUAGUAACACAGGUAACCGAAUUUUCUACGCUCGUUAAAAAAAACGACGGUGUUGGUUUCGGUUCAGGUUUUGGUUGGUCGGUUUUUAUGCCCAAGCCUACCGGUCAAGAUCAAUGCUCGGAGCCUUUCAAAGCUUGAUAUAUAAACGAUGUACCCAAAGCGGCAACAAAAGCUCGAGCACCAUCCUUGUUGGAUUUCACCCAGGAGGGAUCACAUGAAAAACCACACGAACAUACAUAUAUGACCGAAACAAGUUAGCCAAAGUCAUGUGCCAUGCGCCUUUCUUUUUCAUUUCUUAAAUUCAUAACUAAAUUUUGGGACCCAUAUGUAGCACAUAUAUCUGAACCUUAACUCCACCUAAUACUAGCCAAUCAGGAACUGGUGGUAAUACACUAAUACUAGUCAGUCACGUCUGAGCCUACAGGAACAUGUAAUUCGUAAUCCAACUUUCUUGCAGUUGUUGGUCUGCGUUGUGCUAUGAAUCAUAGCCUAUGAUUAUAAUCUGCUGUUAAAAAAUAAGCAUCAAAAGUAGAUGCACGCAUGCAGAUUAUAAUCCUCCUCCACAAGAAAAGAUCCCAGCACUAUUGGAAUUUUUACGUACGCCGGGUGUAAUGCUCUUCGCCGAGUGCUAAAACACGGACAGUCGGCAAAGCAAGCUUUACCGAGUGUCACUCUCGGCAAACCCACCUUCACGGCAAACUGCAAUCUUUGCCGUCACUGCCUCACGGCGAAGAGGCACCGUAUGGCAAACCCUGUAGACGCCGAGAGCCGCUCAUGGCAAAGAGUAGCCACGUGGCAUGCCCGUCCGCAACAGACGGCUCCGUCAGUUACUGCGUACUUUGCCGAGUGUCGCUCUCGGCAAAGCACAUACAACAUCCUAUAUUUUUUUUUGUGUGUUCUUUCUAACUGACAUGUGGUCCCACUGGUGACAUUUUAUCAGUAAAAACAAUGACGAUAUCUUUGCCCAGAGGUGCUCUCGGUAAUCCUUCAUGGGAGCUGACAGUUUACAUAGCUUUGCCGAGAGCUAGGCUCGGCAAUGCUCUCCUUUUUUGAGAGCUUCUGUCGAAAAAGUUGUGGCACAACAGUAGUGUCCCAGACGACCAUGUUUCCGAGAGUUGCUCUCGGUAGUCUACCUUUUUCCGAGUGUUGCUCUCGGAAAUCUUUCCCAUCCAUUCUGCUGUCAAGCUAUUUCUUUUCUGAUCCCUGCAGAUAAAAACCACUACAGUGCAAUUUGAUCUAGUCCACACAUAUAUAGGCAUAAUUUGAUCAUAUAUAGGCAUAAUUUGAUCUAGUCCACCUAUAUAUGCAUAAUUAGGGAUAGUCCACAUAUUGUCACACACAAGUCGAAUGUAUUAUCCUAGUAGACGUCACACACAAGUCGCAAAUUCAUACAUAUUGUCACUGCUUGCAAAACACGUGCACGUCACAAUAGAAGUACACUUGUUCAUAUAUAGAUCAUCUUGAUGAGGAGAGGCCAUCGGGUUAACAUUCCGGAGGAGGAGGAGGGGCAUCACUUGCACUGCUUAGAGAUUGCAUAAGAAUCUAUAAGAGUAGACUCACGUGAGGGUGGUUCGUCCCUAUGUAAUGAAUCUUCUACUCUAGUUUAGAUAAUGUUCUACCUGUAGUUGAUCCUCAAGCAUCUUCAACCUAUUGUUAGUGUCUGCCCGUUCCUUUUCUCUGGACUCCUCCUCAGCCUUCCGCCUUUGCUCCUCUUCAACAGCCCGCUGCGCCAUUAAAUCCUGUAACAUGGCAUUAGGCUCAUAUAGGUUGAAACGGUGCUAUUUCAAGGCAUGUACAUAAAUAAAAGGUUAGGAUGCUAACCUUGAGACGCGCUAUCUCACAUGAUGCGGCAGUUGGGCGACUCCGUAUGGACGGAGUGAGCUGGUGCUCGACGCACGUAUCUCGUGCAGCUUGCGGUGCCCAGAGGUGGUGGUCGCCCCGUUGCAAAGGAGGUGGCGACCAUGGCCCUUCCCCUGGCCAGCAAUGAUGAGAAGCUCAGGGUCAAGGGGCUUGGACGUAGGUUCGGCUUCCUUCCCGUGCACCUCCUAGAAGACCUCUUUGAAGGUCCCCCACUUCUCCUCCGCCGACUUGCUGCAGAACUCGGCGCCAUCCUUCCCCUUGUGGCCUUCUUUCCAGGCUUCCAGGAUGUGGACCGGUCGACCAACCUUCGCCUCCUGCAAAAUUAACCAUCAAGUUGAAUGAACCAAGAUGCACCGUGCGAAAAAGUUAACAUCUUAAUCCACAUACCAUGUGUUGCUUGAGAGCGGUUAGGUUCCGGCUCCCCUAGACAUGGGCCGGGCCUGGCAUUUUGGCUCGUUCGUUUCCCUUCUCCACAUGCUGCGCCUGCCAUGCUGGGUCACACCACAUGUCAACCAGGGCCUCCCAACAAUCGUCCUUCAUCCAGGGUUCCUUCACCUAGUCAGAAAAAAUCGAAUAAUUGAGGAACAAGAGGGAUGAAUCAAAGUACUAGCAACCGAUGUAGUCACUUACCACUAACAGGUAUUCUUCUCGCGACAAGUUGGUCUGGCAAGCAGUCUUCCUUGUCAUCUUCUCGCCCUUCUCAUUGAGCGGCCGACACUGCAUCACGGCUUUGUACCACAGCGUGUGCUUGGUGUCAGAGAGUAUCUUUCGGUCAGAUUUCACGAUGCCUUUGAUUGCCUUCUGCUGCUCACCAUCCACGCAAGCAAAUGUUUGCUACAAGAAAGCAUAUGGCAUCUUCUCACCAUCCACGCAAGCAAGGAUUUGGAUAUGAAAAAAUGCAGUGGUCGGAGCUAAGAUACUUACAAAAAAGCAUUGAUGACCCGAGUGGCCAUGGUGACAUCGUGCUCAUCCUUGUUGUGUAGGUAAUGCUCCCAGGUUAAACCUGGCGACGGCGGAUCGUCAUCACCCGGCUUGGACAAUCCAGGGAAGUGCUUCCUCAAGAGGGAGCUGAUGAUGUGGUUCGGCGGGCGUGCCCCCUUAGGUUGUGUCAGGAUAAAUUCCCACCGACUGCAUGAUAUAAAAGACAAGCAUAUGUGAGUGUCAAAGCUAUGACAUCCAAAAUAUGAUGCAAAUGAAAUGCUUGCUUACCCCUCUCCUGUCGGGCAAAUGACAGGAUGGUUGCUGGCAGCAGUUGGUUCCGGGACCUUCCCCGGACCACGCCCGGAUUUCUUCCUCUUGGAAAUGUUGCUCGAUGUAGACCCCGAGCCGUCCGAGGCCUCCAUGUCGCCCGACUCAGUGGCGAGCGGAUCUAAGUCCACUCCGACAUCGCCAUCCGAUGAUGACGAUGCCUCGGUUGUGGCAUGAUGGGAGGCGAACGACUCGGCCCUACCAAUCGGGACUCUCCGGUACUUAUUACGAGUGCUCUCAUCAGAAUCUGAAAAACAAAAUAUAUAUGGUUACUCUCAGUUCCAAAGCAAAAUCUUCCUAAUCUAAGUGUCAUAUCAUAUAUGGCAAAAAAUAACACAAAUAGCUCAAUCAAGUCUCAGAUAUAUAGUUCCAUUUACUAAUGACAUAACACUGACAAGGAUUUUUUUUUGAAACGAAAGGGGUUGCCCCCCUGCCCCAAAUUUUUAUUAAAAAAGCAAAGGCAACCUAAGAUCAGAGUUCACCACUGACAAGGAAAUAAGCACAACUAUAUAGUUUCAUUGAUCUACUCUAGUAUUUAUCUAAAAAAAACACAAGCACUAGUAUUGAUCCUUCGAGCACUCAUUCAGUUUAACUAAAACUAAACCAGUCAAGCAUAGGAGUCAAAACCAAAGCAUUCUACUCUAGGCAUUAUUCCAAACUUCUAAACUUCCAUACUACUCUAGGAUAUCACUUACUUCGAGGCAUGGACCAUCAAACGUACCAAAUACGACAAGGGCAAGGACCCUCUCCACCCGGAGAUGGACUGGAUCAUCUCUAAAGCCCGGUCAGAUGGAGAGAACUACACCAAAAAAUUAAAGGAGACGUACGGGCCUGACGCUGAUCCUCACGUGCUACCGUUUGACCCUCUUGUGGCCAUUGCCACGGCAGGAGGUAGACCGAAUGGCCGGAUGGCGGUUCACCUCGAUUCUGUCAUAACCUCCUCCCUUCCGACAGUCAACACGCUCCGUGCUAUGAGUACUGGCUCUACUCCUACCGUAGAGCGUCACGUACCACAUUCCGUGAGCAUUAUUGAGGAUAUUCAGGUCAGUGCUUCUUCAUUGAUCCUUCAUGGUCCUUCUUCAUUGAUCCUUCUUCAUUAUUGAGGAUAUUUGCAUUUCAACAUGAAUGACAUUUGCAUUGCCAUAUUGUAGACUCGACUGAUUGACACCGAGAAAGAACGAGAUGAAAACCGGGCCAAGUUGAAGGCACAAGAUGAUCUAGUGAAGUCUUUACAACAUAUGGUGGCCAAUCUUUAUUCCAUGCAAGGCCAACCAGUGCCAGAGAUGCCACCGAUGCCAGAGUGGAACAUUGUGAGUUUUGUUCCAACUAUUACUAUCACCAUUUUCGGCAUUACCAUAUGCAUUCAUCUCACUAUUGGGUCAAUCCAUCACAACUCAACCCAUCACAAGGGUCGAACAAUGUUCCGGUAGUUCCACCUCAAGUUGGUGGAGUUGGGGCAGCAAAGGGAAUGAUGCCUUCUAAUGUUGAUGUUAUCACUCCGGUUCAUGGAGUUGGGGCAACAAACGGAAUGAUGCCUUCUAAUGUCGAUGUUAUCACUCCGAUCUCCAAAAUCGCGUGAACUUCAUGUUAUGUUUGAAACUGUUCCUUGUAUGUUGAGAACUCUUGCAUCUUGAGACUUGUAAACUUGUGGUCUAUUGCUUUGAUGCACUAUUGCUUUUAUGUGGAAUGUUUUUCAGAAUCAAUCAUUGCUUCUUUUGUUCAAUGAUGCCUACAUGGGACAUGUUCUAUGUGUGAUGAACUAUAUGCUGCUGCUGUAUAUGUUUCGCUGCAGGAAAGAAACAGAAACAGGGAAAAAAGGCUCCUGGGCACACUAUUGCCGAGGGCGGCUCUCGGCAAUGACUGUGAAAUUGGACCAGAACGCACCCUUUACCGAUAGGCCUCUCGGUAAAGGAUAAUAACCUGUAGUCCUCCUGGCACCUUUACCGAGAGGCCUCUCGGUAAAGGAUAAUAACCUGUAGCCCUCCUGGCAACUUUACCGAGAGGACUCUCGGUAAAGGAAAAAGAAUUGCCGACGGUGGCUCUCGGCAAACUAUUUUCACGGCUUUUAGGAGAAGUGAUGUGGCCCUUCCCUAUUGGCUGAGUUUGCCGGGAGUCACACUCGGCAAAUAUAGAGUUUGCCGAGAACAUCCCUCGGCAAAGUUGUCAUUCUUUGCCGAGAGUGGCACUCGGCAAAGAUGGCCCUCGGCCUGUUUGCCUGGUCCCACCUGUUAGGAGCUGACAUGUGUCAGCCACCUACUGGCUAUCUUUGCCGAGCGUGGCGCUCGGCAAAGAUGGCCCUCGACCUGUUUGCCUGGCCCCACGUGUCAGGAGCUGACAUUGUCGAGAGGGGCACUCGGCAAAGAUGGCCCUCGGCCUGUUCACCUGGUCCCACGUGUCAGGAGCUGGCACGUGUCAGCCACCUACUAGCUGGCUUUGCCGAGAGGCGCACUCGGCAAAGAUGGCCCUUGGCCUGUUCGCCUGGUCCCACAUGUCAGGAGCUGACACGUGUCAGCCACCUACUGGUUGUCUUUGCCAAGAGGUGCACUCGGCAAAGAUGGCCCUCGGCCUGUUCGCCUGGUCCCAUGUGUCAGGAGCUGACACAUGUCAGCCACCUACUGGCUGUCUAUGCCGAGAGUGGCACUCGACAAAGAUGGCCCUCGGCCUGCUCCCCCUGGUCCCACGUGUUAGGAACCGCCGUCACCGUCUGCUAUCCGUUAGCUACUUUAUUUUGCCGAGUGGUACUAUUUGACUCUCGGCAAAGUCUUUGCCGAGUGCCCGCGUUCUGACUCUCGGCAAACUCCUGUUUGCAGAAGAGGUGUACGCCGGGUGGCUUUUGCCGAGGGUGACACUCGGCAAAGGCUUUGCCGACGGUUUUUGGCCCUUUGCCGAGUGUCUGUGGCACUCGGCGUAGCACAGAAUUCCAGUAGUGCGGGAUUCCCUCUUCCUCCCAUCCGUGCCGCCGCCGGUCUGUCCAUCUCCGAUGGUCUUUGGGCCAUGGAGGUGUGGAGGACCUCGGGCCCCCGCCGGCAGGGGGGGGGGGGGCGUUCUUGUUCUUACUAGUUUCGAACAAAUUGCAAAAACCAUCAUAAUUGGGGACCCUAAUUCAUAAAUCUUGUUUACUCAUGGAUUUGUGAAUUAGGGUUCAUGAAGGAGAGGAGACAUUGGGGAAAAUUCUGGGGUCUUCUACCAAUCCCCUUCUCACUUCUCUUCAUUUAUAUUUUUGUUCUUUUACGAUGUAGUCUUCAUGUCCUUACAUAAUUACAACUCACAUCAACACUCCCCCUCAAGAUGGGGUGAAUAUAUCAUACAGACCCAUCUUGCUACAGAAAAUAGAGAAUGAUUUCUCGGGUAGACCUUUUGUAAGUAUAUCCGCUACUUGACUAGAUGAACUUACAUAAGGCAUACACAUUAUUCCUCUAUCGAAUUUCUCUUUGAUGAAGUGAUGAUCAAUUUCCACAUGUUUGGUUCUAUCAUGUUGCACUGGGUUAUUUGCAAUAUCUAUGGUGGCCUUGUUAUCACAUUAUAGCAUCAGUGGUGAUUCCUUGAACAACCCUAGUUCUGUCAGUAAUAUCUUUAACCAUAAUACCUCACAUACACCAUGUGCCAUAGAUCAGAACUCAGCUUCUGCUGUGGAACUAGCCACAAUAGUUUGCUUCUUGUUGCGCCAUGAAACUAAAUUCCCACCAACGAAGGUACAGUACCCAGAUGUUGAUCGUCGAUAUCCAGUGAGCCCGCCCAAUUCGCAUCAGUAUAACACUCAACCUGGAAAAUUCCCUGAUGACUGUACAGUAAACCCUUUCUAGGACACCCCUUCAAAUAGCGUAGGAUUCGAGUCACGACAUCCAUAUGAUAUGAUCUUGGGUCAUGCAUGAAUUGGCUCACUACACUAACAACAAAUGAAAUAUCUAGUCGAGUAUGAGACAGGUAAAUGAGCUUACCGACUAAUCUUCGAUAGCAUUCACGGUCCACGGAUUUUCCUGAAUCACUCAUCAGGCGAUGGUUUUGCUCAAUUGGGCUUGCAGCUGGACGACACCCAAGCAUACCUGCCUCUUGUAGUAGGUCUAGGACAUAUUUUCUUUGGGAAAGGAAAAUACCUUUUGUUCCUCUAGAUACUUCUAUCGCAAGAAAAUAUCUCAAGUGUCCCAAAUCCUUGACUUCAAACUCUUGCGCAAGAUGAUGUUUUAAGUGAAAAAUUUCCUCUUGGUCAUCACCUGUGAUAAAAAUGUCAUGCGCAUAUACAAUGAGGAGGACAACCUUGCUCAUUCUAUGUUUGUAAAACAUGGUGUGAUCUGCAUUGCUCUGAGUGUACCCAAUUCUCAACAUAGCAUGCCGAAACCUGUCAAACCAGGCCCUCGGCGAUUGUUUGAGCCCGUACAAGGAGCGACUUAAGCGAAGUACCUUUCUAGUAACAUAGCCGGACUCGAAACCUGGUGGGACCUCCAUACACACUUCUUCUUGAAGGUUGCCAUGAGGAAAUGCAUUUUUUACAUCCAUCUGGUGAAUGUUCCAGUUCAAGUUUGCUGCACAUGAUAUGAGUGUUCUACCAGAAUUCAUUUUUCCUAUAGGUGCAAAUGUUUCCUCAUAAUCAAUUCCAUAUGUUUGGGUAUAUCCCUUUGCCACAAGGCAAGCUUUAUAUCUAUCCACUUUACACUCUAGGGUAUGCUUAAUGUUGAAAACCCACUUGCAACCUACAGGUUGUUUACCUGGUGGUACAUCCACAAGCUGCCAGGUUUUAUUCUUUUCCAAAGCUCACAUCUCUUCAUGCAUAGCUUCCCUCCACUUUGGAUCCUCUUUGGCUAUGUCCCAACUAUUAGGUAUGAAUGUGGAAUCUAGAGGUGUAAUGAAGCUCUGGAAGGAUGGGCUACAAUGUUUGUAGGAGAUGAAAUUGGCUAUGUUGUGUUUAUAACCAACGUCGUAGUCUUUUAGGUGUGGGGAAGAUUUAAGGUUCUAGUUGGUUUUCUCAAGGCAAUGGGUAAAUUACCUCGUGGAACAGAUGUCGACAAUUGGUUAUCACUCUCACCCAUGGUGCUAGUAGGAGCAAUAGGACUAGGAGAGUGGUCAUCAGUACCUGGGCCAUCAUGUGCAGAGUGAUCAACAUUCUGUGAAGGUGAUAAUGAAUCUCCUAUUGUAUCUUUGCAUGUCUCCAUGACCAGAACUGUUACUCUCCUCAUGGUUAGGAAUAUUAUUAUCAAGAGCAGAAGCAUCUGGAGAGGGACAAGUAUUGAUCCAAUAAGGGUGCCUCCACCACUGCUCUCCCCCUCUUGUCCUACUUCAGGUGGGGAAAGAACAAUGUCAGCGUCAUUGGCUGAUCCAAGAUAAUAAGGUUCAUGUUCACGAAAGGUCACAACCAUACUCAUAAAGAACCGACGUUUAGAGGGACACCAACACCUAUAGCCCUUUUGAGAAGGAGAAUAGCCCAUAAAGACACAUUUGAUGGCACGAGGAUCUAAUUUCCCAACAGAAUUUCAAUAAUCAUGCACAAAAGAAACACAACCAAAUACCUUUGGAGGGACCACAAAAUCAUUUUUGUAUUCAAAAGACACUCAGCUGGAGACUUAAACUCACGUGUGCGUAGAGGUAUACGAUUUAUUAAAUAUGUUGCUGUUUCUAUUGUCUCCCCCUAAAGAAACUUAGGGACAUUCAUGGUGAACAUGAGUGAAUGAGCAACUUUAAGUAAAUGCCUAUUCUUACAUUCUGCAACACCAUUCUGUUCUGGUGUAUUAACGCAUGUAGUUUGAUGUUCAAUGCCAUGUGAUGGAAGGAACUGUCCAAACUCCAUGUUAACAUAUUCAGUACCAUUGUCAUAACGUAAGGUUUUUUAUAGUUGUUCCAAACUGGUUUUGAAUGAGAGUACACAAAUCUUCGAAAAUAGGGAACACAUCACUUUUAUGCUUCAAAAGGUAAAGCCAAGUGUAACGACUAAAUCCAUCAAUGAAAGUCACCCAUGUCCAGAAACAGAAUAAACCUCACAGGGCCCCCAAACAUCAGAAUGUAUUACUUCAAAUGGUUUAUGACAUCGCAAACCCCUGCUAGGAUAGAUGCCCCUUGUAUGUUUUGCUAAUUCACAUGCGUCGCAUACAAGGGAUUCUCUAGGACACACGUUAAAGAGAGAGGGAUAAAUACGUGACAUAGCAACAAAAGAGAGGUGUCCCAAUCUUCGGUGAUGAAGUAACAAUUCUUGAGUAGGACUGUAGGAGACAUGCAAGUUGCAAGAGAAAUUUCAUCUCCCCCUUCAUCAAGAUAGUAGAGUCCCUCAUGCAUGGUCCCAGUCCUGAGAACUCUCCUUGUCCCAAGCUCCAGAAAAGCACAACAUGUAGGAUCAAACCAACAUCUACAAUUGAGAGCUCUAGUGAUGGAGCUAACUGAUAAUUGGCUGAUAGGAAAUUUAGGAACAUGCAGAACUGGUGAUAAGGACAAUGUCUUGGUACACUGGACGGUUCCACGUUCUGUAAUAGGUGCCAUGGAACCAUGAGCAACACGAACUUUGUCCUUACCAGAGGUAGGUGUGUAGGAAGUAAACAAGUUUGAGGCUCUUGUUAUGUGGUUAAUUAGUAGCUCUAGUAUCAAUUAUCCAUGAUUUUGAAUGGGCUUAGCGGGAUUCCAUAUAUACCUUGGGUGAUGGCAUUAAAGCUAGAAUCAACUUUGGAGAAACCUUGGGACGAAGAUGAGCCUUCAAAGAGUUUGAGCUUGGAUUUGAAAUCCUCAAGAGCUUUCAUAUCUACCGCAGGUAGUUCCUUUGCAGAUGCAUUGUAAUUAGCUUGUCUUUUGUUUGAACCCCGAGCUCCCCCCUAGCUGACAUCUCCCUUUAUCCCACCAAGGUGGAUAACCAUGCAACUCAAAACAAUCACCCUUGGUGUGUCCUUUUCUGUUGCAAUGGUCACAAAGCAACUUGCUUUUAUCGACCUUACCAAAGGAAUUUGUAGCACGGCGUGGUUGUAUGGAUAAUGCAGCAUGAGCAUCUGCACGCUCCUGACCCUCCUCCUUCGGUUGUGCCAAACGAGUCUCCUCCUCAAUCAUGCUAGAAAUAAUAUCAUCAAGACUAGGCCACUCAGGCAUUGCAAAUAUGAAUUGACGACAAAGGUUUAUUUCCUGGUCUAGGCCAUCUAGAAAGAGCUUGCUCACAAACGACUCAAAUCACACAUGAUGAAUUGCCAAGUCAUCCUUGUGAACAGGUUCAAAAGGGUGAUGAUAAUGCAAGUCUCUGUAUAAUUUUUUUACUUCACCUGCAUACUCUGUUACAGAUCUUGAGCGCUGCUUCAAAUUAGUUAACUCAUGCAUGAUACGGGUGGCUUGCAUUUUAUUUGUUUUCCCUGCAAAUUGUUUCUUCAAAGAUGACCAGACCUCACAAACAGUGUCCAUGCCUUCCACUUGUUCUCUAAUUGUUGGUUCCAUACUUCCCAACAGCCAUACUAGUACUUUAUCAUUGAUUUGUUUCCUGCCCGCACUGCCUUUCUCCAAACUAUCUUCAUUGCCAACAAGUAAAUAAUCAUACUCAUUGGCACUCAAAAUCAAUUUGGCAUGGCGUGCCCAACUGAUGUAGUCACCAGGUCCUGAUAGUCUGACUGGAUUUUGCUCAAGUGUAUGCUUAACUGGCUCAGCAGCACCCUUUGAUUGCUGCUGGUGCUCAAGCAGUUUGCUAAAUAUUUCAUACAUCUUAUGAACACUAGAAUCCCCUGUUUUUUUUCUGUACUUGGAUCUCCCAUGGUUCAAUGAGCAAGAAUAUAUUCCAACACUAGUACUUGGUUCUUCUUCUCAAACACGUGCAGCACAAAGAGGAACCAACUAGUACAGCUCAACAAUGUGCCAAAGAGUACGGCAAUUACUUCAGAUUGCAACACUAGCAAAUAGUAUUAUUUAAUCCGGCCAGCUGACCUCCAAAGCAGCUCCAGGCAACACCGAUACUGCUUCUAAAGCAAUAAAAAAACACAGAUGCUCAAGGAGUCCGAGAGUCAAGUUGGGGACGAACUACACCUGCUCACGAUGCCGGAUGGCAGGAGAGAAAAAAUUAGCUUGUAGCGGGCGAGGGAGUCCAGACGCCCAGGCUCUAUAACUCAACUUGUAGCUGCAGGAGCCUCCCCGAUUGUACUGUACUUGAUUCAGACAGAAUCAAGGUCGCUUCCCAACUCCUACAGCAAAGCCAGCAGCAGAAGCACCUCCAACAAUAGGAGCGACACAGUACCGCACCGACGGCCAAACUCAAUAGGAAUCAUAGGAGAACCACACAGGAUUCGUCCUGCCCUGAUACCAUCUUUUUGUGAACUAGGGUUCAUGAAGGAGAGGAGACAUUGGGAAAAAUUCUGGGGUCUUCUACCAAUCCCCUUCUCACCUCUCUUCAUUUAUAUUUUUGUUCUUUUACGAUGUAGUCCUCAUGUCCUUACAUAAUUACAACUCACAUCAACAAUAAAACCACCAUUAUUCAAUUUUUUUUCAAAAACCCACCGCCAUUGUGGUGACAUUUUUCAAAAAACACUCCGCGAUGUCCCUCAGUAGGAAUAAAGUCUCCCACGUUCUACGAUGGUGCGUCUAGUGUCAUCGUAGGGCAUGUGGAGGUGUAUCUCCUUCGGAUCUCACGGCAUUCAGUUGGUGCUGGUUUUUCUGUGGACUGUUUGGGGCCAGUGUUCGUUCGUCUUCGCUUGGGUGUUUAUAGGUUUGAUCCUUCCAAUCUAUGAUUUUUUUCAUCGGCCUUAACACGACGAUUUUCAACUGUCUACUGCAACAAGCUUUGCCCAGCUUCAGCGUGGGAGGGGCAAUAAUGGCGGUGCCUUCAGCUCACUCUAGUGUUUUUAGUCGCCGCUAGGUGGUCAAUGGACAUGGUUGUAAUUUAUAUCACCUCUAGUGUUCUUUGUACUGCCAUGAUCGAAAAUGAAUAUAUUGAAAGUUUCUCCUGCAAAAAAAAAGUAGGCAAAAACAUGUCGAAACAGAAAAGCGGAUGGAACCAACAAGACUAUGAUAAUCCACCAUAAUGCCAAACAAAGCCUAGAACGCACGAAAACCUGCCGAACAAACAUACUUGGCAUGGUUCUCUCCUCUUGAGAAAUCGUACACACAAAAGUCUUGCCACGCAGAUGACUAUGAGACUGCCACACGGACUCCAAGCAGUUCACACAACCGGCACACAUCCGCAAGCUUUGCGUCUCACAUCCAAUUUCGUGCAGCAACUCAUCCAGCUCCAUCUCCGGAGAGGCCUGCGCCGGGGAUUACAAGGCCACUUCUUCCUACUAUCCAGAUCACGCUGGUCCGGUCCCUGACCGAGCCGGCGGCCGUCCGGACCGCACUGAGCAGCGCGCUGGUCCCUUUUCCAUGCACCGGGCCGGUGAGGCAAAAGCUCGGUAACCGAACGAUGGCAUGCGUGCGUUAUCGUUCAUGGUGUAUGCGUGCAGCAUGUAGAAGCUGGAGUACGUGUUGCUGCUGCGUCUCGACGGCAUCUCUUGUUCGACUCCGAGAUCACUGGCCAUGAACGAGAUCAACCAUCUCCGCCGAAUACAGAGCUAACAGAAAACGGGAAAUCAGGCCACGGCGGAGACGCGAACGCUGCCAUCCCAACGUUCGUCGACCGCUACCCUACAUCGUCGCCAUGAUCGUUUUAGUAUCGUGCCAUCCCACGAUCACUAAGACCAAGUCGCGGCUUAGCUUGUUUCACUAAUUGAGGAAAAUCCUAACUGACGAAUCUGCACUUUAACAGCUACUGCUGACGAAACUGAAUUUUUCUGAAACUUCGACAACAACUGGUGGUAACUGACAACAUGGUGAUCGGAGGGACGGCACGGGGCGUGCGUCCGUGUGCGCUAAGGUCGCCGUCGCGUCCGUGCGCUUGUUUCUGCCGUCAUCCUCGGUGUCCGCGGUGGUCGCGAGCGGGAGCGCGAGCAGAUUGUGUCAACUUUGAAAGCUUAGACGAGCCUACCAUGCAGACCCAUCAACCGGCUCAGCUCGACUUGUUUCCAACCCGAGGAGCAGCCUGUAGCUAGAUAGUGAGCGAUGACCUUUGUUUUUCCACAGGAAUGAUGAAAGGCGGUAACUACAUUUUUCCCAAUGCCUCUCAAUACAAUUACCGGACAUCUCACAUGGGAAAUAGUUCUUGAAACCAGACGCUACGGGGAAGAACAAAAUAGGGAUAUAGAUUAUACCAUGGUGGCCAGGGUGCCAAUUGUUGAUUGCAUUGCAAGAGAUGUUGUAUCUUGAUACGGGCAAGUAAUUGCCAUGUGAAGCCUAGCUGAAUGAUAUAGCCUGCAGGUUACACAAUUGAAUGUCAUGGCUUGUACAUUUCUCAACCACCGUACCAGGGAUAAAGAGAAACACAAACGUGAUGCACCACAAUGUGAGGACGCUUCGUUUGAAAUGUGCGACAAGCAGGGUGAGCCAUCCCAAAACUUGUACUCCAUCCGUUCGACAAGAUAAGAGUAUUUUUUAUACUAGUGUAGUGUUAAAAGCGCUUUUAUAUGGUGGGACGCAGAGAGUAUUAGAAUCGAGGAUGCUUACUUAGAUCCACUAUUGGCUCUUCCAUUAAACGUGAAAUAAAAUUUAUAGAAAUUGAAGAAAUGAGCACAAGACCAGAGCACACUUAUUGAGACUGAUAUCGACUUAUUACGAAGCCAUCGUUUCGCGUGAAUCCAGUCAAGAUCAAUUUCCAGAGCCUUUCAAAGCUUGAUAUAGAGGAUGUACCGAAAACGGCCGCGCAAAAGCUUGAGCACCAUCCUUGUUGGAUUUCACUCAAGAGGGGUCAUAUGAAAAACAACAUAUAUAUAUGAUCGAAACAAGUUAGGUAGAUUCAUAUGCCACGCGUCUUGACCAUCAGAUUUCUUGGUGUGAGUGGCGCGAGGUCACAUCACAUCAUCAAUCGUGUAGAUAGGGCGACAAUUUUUGCCAUGAAGGUGUCUUUGGGUUGCUAUAUAUACUAGUAAUUUGUACGUGCUUUGCACGUAGCUGAUUACGUAUAAGCAUGGUACUAAAUUAGUGUAAAAAACUAAAGCACACAUAUAUUAUGAUUAAUUUUUUUUAUAGAAGCUUCAAAUGGAGAUAUCCGAUAGGCAUCUGUGGAAUCAUUUUUGGGCUUCGCAAGGCCGGAUAACAACUAUUCCCCAAAAAACAUAGUACAAUGAUUUUCUUAAUAUGAAACAUUGGAUAUAAUCUUUGCCCUUUUAUAUAUAUAUAAAUUGUUUAGGAAGUCCUUCAAUUUAUUGGACUCAUACUAAAAACUUAUUUUUUUAGAAAAAUGAUGUGAAAAAAGAAGUACAAUUAAUAAUAAAUUUUCACCUUCGCAAGCUCAUGUCAGCUAAGAAAAUAAAAGGAGUCAAAACGUACUCUUUCCUCAUAGGUUAUUUGCACAUUCUCAUUCUAAUUAUCCUAGGUACCUUACUACUUGUUUCAAAUGAUAAGAAAAUGGAAAAGUUCACAAUGCAUACAACAUUGCAAUGCUAGGCUCGCAUGCUAGCCUCUCGUGAAGCGGUCGAUGCAUGCAUGUAGGCAGGUAGUACGAAUUAAAUAAUUUAGAGGAGCAAGUGUCCAGCCCAUAGUGGAAAGAUCCAGAACAUAGUCAGAUGAUGGGUCACACAGCGAAUUCUAGAAAUAGCAGACAUAAGUUUGGAGCAGCCACUGUUGAUGCGAAUCCCGCUGCUCCCAACCGUUAGAUUGAGAGCACCAAUGAUCAGGAUUGAUAUUCUAGAUCCAUUCAAAACUCGUACACUAUAUAGUGGUAUAGAUAUAUUUUGCAAGGCCUUGUUGAAUAAUGCAAUAAAGAUGGCUGUGUGCAUCGCUCGAUGCAGAGACCGGGGGUAGUCGUCCUUUUUGAGAAAAACUAUGCAACGCGUCUUUCUUUUUCAUUUCUUCGAAUUUACACUACAUUUUGGGACCCAUAUAUAAAACAUAUAUGUGAACCUAAACUCCGUUUAAUACUAGGCUAAGACGGUCUGAGCCUACACGAACAUUCAUGUAAUUACGUAAUCCGACUUUCUUGCAGUUGUUGGACUGUGUGUUGUGCUAUGAUUAUAAUCUGCGGUUAGAAAAGAAGCAUCAAAGUAGGCAACAACAAGUGAACCAAACACUUAAAUAGAGAAAAACAGAUGUAACAAACAAGAUUACGAGAAUCCACCAUAAUGGGCGAAUACAACUUUCAAACUACUGGUUCCCAAUGUUGUUCACGCGGCUCCGUCAUGUAGAGAAUGCAGAGGACGGUCAACAAUGUUGGCAAGAACAACGAGUGACCGAGGCGGAGUAGCUACGUGCGAGGGAAUGGCUUCCACUGGAGGAUUGACUAUGGUUGACGUAGUGGUGCUGGCUGGCCAAGGAGCAGAUGGACGGGUUGGGAGUGGGCUGUGGAGUGGAGAUGUCUGCCAGGGCUCUAGCGUUUCGUGCAUUGCGUGCUGGGUUCAGGAGCAGGAGAAGAGCACAUACACGGGUACAGUGACGAGCAACGGGAGUUAUUGGGCUCGCGUGCAGCUCUCGCCGAACUCAAGCUUUGACAUGGCCGAGUUCAAGCUUAGUUUUGUGAGGUUUGACGAGCCUGGACGAGGCAAGUCAUGACCCGGCUCGACAUGGCUUGUUUCCACCCCUAGCAACAGCCUUAAGCUAGAGAGACAUCAUUUAGCUUUCUCGUUUUACACGGUGGAUGUGUGCUGGAUGCUAAUUUUUCCCAAUACCUCACAAUCCGAUUACCAUUUAGGCAUUUCCCCCCCGUGGAUAAUAUAUCUUUGAUUCCAUAUACCACAGAAGAACAACAAAGGGGGAUGUAGAUCAUAUUGUGGUGGCCAGCAUGCUAAUUGUUUCAUGCAUUGCAAAUGGAAUAGAUGAUGUACCUUGGGAAAUAUAUAGAGUUGGGCAUGUAAUGGCCAUGUGCUAUAGCUAAAAAUUAUGUAUCCUGCAGGUACACGCCAUGAAUGUCCUGAUUUGUAGAGCUCUCAACUACCUUCAGCCAAUAAUGAUAGAACCAGUUUGUUUAUGAGCAUCGGGAUGCCCUCGUAAAGAAAAAACCUCUUGAGAUGCAAUGCAACACACACCAAGUGCUCAGACUCGUCCAGUCCCACUCCGAGGAGAUGGUCGCUGAUCUAGCACUAGAGGCGAGCGGUGGUCCUGGACCGGUUGAUGGCCCAGGCCUCCACGAGCAUGAGGUCCAGUAGGACCCAGGCUAGCACGGCUUCAGACCUCGUGAAUGACGCCCGAUGUUGUGCACUGCCUUGGAGGCCAUCACGGAUAAUGUCAUCAUUAUUGAGGAUGAGCCAUUGACACCGAGGUAGUAGGUGAGGCAGCCACAUGCCUUGGCGAUCUCCGGGAAGGGCUGAUAACUCAUAAGUGCAGAGGAUCAAUUUUAGCAUUUCCAAUAAGUAAGAUUGUCGAACCCAACAAGGAGGUAAAGGUAAGACUAAUAUUCUCUCAAGUUCUAUCAACCUUGAUCCUGAUGCUACUGGAUACGCUGAAAGAGCAAACAAAGCCAAGAAGCUAGUCAAGAUCAGUGCUCGGAGCAUUGCAAAGCUGGACAGAAACUAGGUGAUGAAAGUUGCAGCAAAAGCUCGGGCAUCAUCCUCUGUUCUCCGACCAAUAGAUGCCCGCCAUGGCCAUGAAGCUGAUAUUAGCUCCAGUGGCAAUGACAGUGUCAGGAGUAGUAUGAGUGUUGAUUACAGUGCUACAAAGGAAUCGGGGAGUGAGAUGACGUUGUCUCCUCUAUAGAACUCGUAUCCAUAGAGUCUUGCAAGCCAGGAUGACUAUGAGACUGGCACACAGACUGCAAGCAGUUUAAGCAGCCCGGUACACAUCCACAAGCUUGCCCCUCAUGCUCAAUUUCGUGCAGCACCUCAUCCAGCUCCACCUCCUGAAAGGCCUGCGCUAGGGAUUACAAGGCCACAUGUUCCUGCCACACAUAUAAGUAACAACCCAAUGUUCCAGUCAGCCACAUCAUAUGUCAGGGAGAACCGAAGAGCCUCUGUGGUCUAGGAUCAAGAGGCUGGUCGGUACAUGUCAGUGCCCAUGCAAACAACAAGAACAGGACCCAGUGUUGAGCUGCCUGCAAGAAACCGAAGUUUCUUGGCGAAUCCAAGUGGUGAACCAGGCAACCAUGGGAGAAAUCUUGCACCUGCCAACACAACUUCAUCAGCGAUUCCUUCGGGGCAGCCAUCCGAGAGGUUGACGUACAUAGGCCAAUCAAUAUUCUUUGGUGGGCCAAUCCUGAGCACCACUGGCAUAAAUGCAGAAAGGAAUGAGGCGGGCACAAGAGUGCGUACUGAGACAAGCAGAGAUCCCAACCUCCACCAGCGUGACAUCCGUGGCGAGAAGGCUCGUACAGGUUCCUUCCCAUUGUUUGAGCCUAGGAAUUUCUAGAAGAACCUGCUUUGCUGGCAAGUGACCUUGACCGGCUGUUUUACUCCUCUCUACUAUGUCGUCUGCUCAAGUGCCACCACCAUGAUGUCAGGGAACUGCUGAAGUAGUUGACAUGGGGCUUCAACGAUACAUAGAUAACGAUGCUUUUUAGAGCUUUAUUAUAGUGAGUGAGGAUGGCGCUAACUUUGUUUGAUGUUUUACAAACUGACUGAUAGUCGCAGUUUUAUUUUGCGUGCAUUAGGAAUUGAGAUGUUUUACAAACUGACUGAUAGUCGCAGUUUUAUUUUGCGUGCAUUAGGAGUUGAGAUGUUUGAUGCGCUUGGCAUGUAGUAGAAGAGCUGAUUUAACUUGUCCUUGAUGUGUAGAACCUUGUGAUUUGCCGCCGACUUUGUUCAUAUUACGGACUUCGGAGUGUUCAUUGCAAGUCUCUGUUCUGUUACUGCUGUAAUAGUAGCCCACGUGUGAAGGCAUUUUCUCCAACUGUCUUGGCGUUUGACUGCUUUAUUUUCAUGUUAAGAGAAUGGAAUUUAACUCGGAUGAUAUUGCUUACUGCAUAAUUGAUGUUCAUUUUCCAAACUGAAUUAGUGAGAUGGGUAUGAUUGCAGUUGAAUAAUUCUUGUUCUGUAUCAUGAGUUCAUAUCUAAAUAAACUGUGGCUUAUUAGUGCCACCGCAUUGCUGUCAACGUGCCAAGGAUGUUGCAAAAUUCCCUGCGUCUUUGUAAACUUCUCCCUCUGUCCAAUAAUAUUAUCAGACGGAGGGAGUACCUAUUUGAACAUGGCAGGAAUAAUGAUAAGUUAAACUUAGUUUCAUUGCAUCCAUAGAUUGUGGAUGCUCUAAGGAAGCAUCAUCUUUUGUGCCAUCAGGCUGCGUGCAACAGCCUUUAGCCAGAAAGCCUGUGUUUAAUUCUCUUUUCUAUACGGGCUGACUUCCUGAUCGAAGCAACAUCUUUCCCAAUACCUCACAAUCCGAUUACCAUUCACCUCGCGGGGGAAAAGAUCAUGAAUCCAUAUGCCAUUCAUGGGAGAAGAACAAAGGAGGAUGUAGAUCAUACAGUGGCGGCCAAAGCGUUUCUUUUUCUUUUUGGAUGAAGUGGUGUUCUGGGUGUUUGUUGUAUGCAUUGUGACAUAUGAUGUAUCCUGGGGAUAUAUAUAGAGAGAGAUCUAGGGAUGUAAUGGCCUAGCUGUAAAUUAUGCAGCCCUUAGGUACAAACCCGAGUGUCCUGGCUUGUUGUGCUCUCAACCGCAUGUAGCCUUGAUACAACUGAUUUGUUUACGAGCAUUGGGAUGCCCUCACAGAAGGAAAAAGUAAAACUUGAGAGUCAAGAAAAAAGAAAAACUAAUGGUACUUCCUUAGAACCACACGACAAUCGUGGUUAUCCACUUAAACCUGAUAUCAACAAUAGACGACGGUUCCAUAGAGCAUCUACAUCCCCUCGAGAUAAACUCCUAUAUAUCUCCUGUAGGAAAAAAUGCUAGCUCUACAUAACCCUUUUUAGUCUUUCCGCUCCAUUUAUAUCAUGCGAACCAACCUAUGAUUGGAUGGUUAGAAGACCAAUGGUAUCCAUAGUCCACCAGAGUAAAUACCAUUUCUUUCAAGCGCCUAAGCUAGAAAAUCCUCCCCAAUUCGAGGGGACGGGCGAAUUUUCAAUAUCUCAACAAUGUCCACCGGGAGGAAGUACUGCUGUAACUUCUCCAAGUCCCAGUUGCCACAGAAAUCCAUAAGCUUUGAGACCCACUUAAGGUGACAUCUACCCCCGCGCAGAGAUCAGUCCACCUGUAGGUUCAUGCGCCACCCAGUGAUCCCGCCAUAUUAGGACUUGCUGGCCAGUGCCAGUCCUCCAUACCAUGCCUUUUUCAAGAGUACUAGGCCAUGGGUGAUCGCUUGCCAAGUAGGUGAUGGAUUUCCCUAAAAGACUGUAUCCAAGAACUGCCCAUUGGGAAAAUAUUUCGCUUUUAAUAGUCUAGCACAUAACGAGAUCGGAUACUCAAGAAUUCUUCAAGCUUGGCGAGCCAGCAAAGCUCGAUUAAACAUGCGAAAAUCUUUGAAGCCUAACCGCCCUUGCUUCUUAGGCCGAGUAAUUUUAUUCGAAGCAUACUAGUGGGUCUUUCUCUAGCCCUUCUACACACACCAAUAGUAAUGGCGGAUCAUGCGAUUUAAAUCAUCACAAAGUUCCAUAGGAAGUUUAAACACACUCAUGAUGUAGGUCGGUAUGGACUGCGCAACCGCCCUAAUGAGAACUUUCUUGCCAGCUUGCGUGGGAUUGCCAUCAUACGCAACAGCCGCUCUGACAUUUUUACCUGUAGAUUCUGGAAUUUCCCUUUUGACGUUCUCCCAUCAGGAGUGGGUAGGCCCAAAUACUUCUCCUCAAACCCAUUUGAAGUGACUUGCAGCAGAUUUUUUUACAACUUCCAUAGCAUCACUAGGGCAGGAGUUCCCAAACAACAUAAAUCAUUUUGUGGGAUUCAGGAGCUGCCCAGUAGCAGCUGCAUAUUUAUCUAGUAUGCUCCCAACACAAUAGUAGCUUCUUUAGCAUUUUCUUUAAAGCACAAGAGUGUGUCAUUAGUGAAUAAGAGGUGAGAUAUACCUGGCGAUCUCCUUGUGAUUUUUACUGGUGAUAAGGUUCCAUCCUCAAUGCUCUGAUUGAUAAGUGCACAGAGGCCAUCAGCAACAAAUAGGAACAAAUAAGGGGAUAGUGGAUCACCUUGCCGAAGACCACGCGACGGUGCAAACGAAUCCAAGAUAGCUCCAAAUAGCUCUUGCAUGAAAGAAUCUUGUGUUACAGUCGCCCUCCUUCAACCAGUCGACACGCGAGCGCUGCAACCACAUCAUUUCUUCUCUAUACAGAAGUUCAUUCAGCCUAUCAGUAGCUUUCCAGAUCUCACAUCUGUCUACAUUCAUAAGCAUUAGUUCCUCAAGCUGUGUUCUAGAUUUGUCAAUCCCUUUUGUUACUUCCAAAUUCUUCUUUGCUCCAAGAAUAAAGCUUAAACAUCGUGUAUCUGAGAGCAGCGUGGACGUCUCCCAGACACCUUUUUUGUCCGGCUACUUCCCAAGCACACGCAAUUAUUUCUUGAAGAAUCGGUUCUCUCUCCCACAUCACUUCAUAUUGUCUAAACUUGUUUUUUACAUGCAAGUCCACAUACUUAUCAUAGCAUACAUGCAGCGCCACAUGGUCCGACGCAGGGGAGAUCAGGUGCCAGACAGUUGAGUGCUCAAAACAAUUGCGCUAGCUAGGGGAUGCAACCGCCUGAUCUAGUCAUACUUUCACAUGACCAUUACCGUUCUUUUGUUAUCAUAGGUGUGGGGAACUCCCGAGAAACCCAAGUCUACAAGUUCACAUAAUUCAAGAGAGUCUGGAAAAUCUUGCAUCUGUGCUUCGGGUCUAGGUGACAAAGAGAAAUGCUCAAAAUCCAACAAGCACUCAUUGAAGUCUCCUACCACAAGCCAUGGCAAACUAGACUGGGUACUUAGACCAAUAAGAAGAGUCCACAUAUUGUGUCUAUCCUCGACUCUUGGCUCUCCAUAUAUACAGGUGAGACGCCAGGUCUCCUCAUCUGUUCCUAGCUUAACAUGCACAUCAAUGCAUCUCUGACUUGCAAACACAAACCUUCACCUCAAUCUUCAUGCCAAUACAAAGCCAAACCACCAUUGUUGCCAAUGCUAUCAACUCCAUCAAAACCCUUCAUGCCAAACUUUGACCGAUGUUUCUUCAUUUUAUCCUUGGGCUGCCUUGUUUGACAUAAAAAUACCAAAAUGGGGAAAUGCGACUUGAUGAAAGUCGCCACUUCUCGAACUGCCUGGGUAUUCUCCCCACCUCGGCAGUUCCACCUAAGUAGAUUCAUUGGGACCGGCGGUCCUCCAGCAUGGAGGUCGCCUCAAAAGUCAUAUAUGUAUCUGCCUCUUCAAUUCCUUCACCUUGUCUUCUUCUCUUAACAAUAGGGUCCUUGCGUGGAGUUGUGCUAGGAGGUAAAUCACCCCCUGAACUUGCCUCAUCCCUGCCGUUCUCUAGCAUAAGCACUGUGUUAAACACUUUCCCUAUCAGAUUUGGCACUACUUGGCCACAAAUAUUAACAGAGUCAUCCUCCCUAAUCAGCCUCUUGCGAACCCCUUUGCCAUCAUCGCCCGCAGAUGGGUCAUACAAAUUCGACGUGCCUACCAUCCCAGGGCCCUCCCCAUGUACACGUCCUCAUGGAGGUUCCGACCUCCCUCCUCUUCCUCCGCUUCCUCCAUGACCACCCAUUCUUCCUCCUCGGCCAAAGCCUAUAGGGGCACUUCCUCUUCCUCCAGAACUUGCGCGACCACCUCCUCUACUGCCCCUUGAGCCACUGCCAUAGGAUUCAUUAUUCCGACUUAACCAAUCGCCCCAGUCACAAGACUGAGGGGCAUGAAUUCCAUCGCCACAUUCCUCCACCACGUGUCCCAUGCACCCACAAAAGAAGAAAAAGUCUGGAAGGUUUUCAUGGCACACUGGAUAUUUCUUUCCUCCCUUCAAAGUUAUAGGGACAAAUCUGACUAGUGGGAUGUUCACGUUCACACCUUACCCGUAGAUAGUUUGAGUCAUUGAUUUUUCCUUCAUUAACAACUAUAGUAAAGGGCGGUUCUCCAACCUUCUUUGCCACUUUUUCCACCAAUUCCUUCUUUCUUGUGAGACCAUCCGGUAGCCCUUUGAUUCUGGACCACAAUGGAUACAUAUUCAGGGCAUAUUCAGUAACAUUUGUGAAGCCAUCAUACUCUACUAGCACCACCGGAUCCCAUCGAAAUUGCCAAGGUCCCCCAUCCAUUACUCGUUUCCAAUCCCCCAAGCAGUGACAUUGAGCCAAAAAAAGAUUUGGCCCUUUUAUGUUAAAGGUAACUCCUUGGGCACACGACCAUGCGUUCCUCAUCGAGUUUAACAGAGCUGCAAGACUGAACAGCCUCAUCGUAUGAACCCUAAACAGAGCCAGCCAACGACCUUCUCUUAUCAGAUCUUCAACCUCCCCGGACAAGUCCAGGUCUUCUUCUUCCUCCCCGUGCAAAUUCAAGACCUCAAACGCAUCCUCCAGAUCCGGAUCUGGGCCAUAGUGAUCCCAAUUCCCAUCCUCGUCCUCUUCACGAACUGCCCCACCCGCGUCCUCCUUGGGGUAGCCCUCAGGCAACUCCAUGGACGGGUUGGAUGACUUCCUGAUUGCAUCACCAUCCUCACACAUCUCUCCCUCCCGAAUCUCAGACUCCUUUGCUUUCUCUGAUCCGCCGCCUUCUUCCAAUCUUUGAGCCGACGCCAUGGGGACCUAGUGCAUUGUUGGGACGCACCAGGGAAGUUAAUCGCCGGAAUAGGAGGCGAGACGCCGGUGAAUUUACGUGGACUCUGGCGCGCCGCCAGAGGAGGGGGUGGACUCUAGGAAAACCCUAGAGGACUUGUGGAUAAUAUAUCUUUGAAUCCAUAUACCAUAGAAGAGGAACAAAGAAGGAUAUAUAUCAUAUUGUGGUGGCCAGCAUGCCAAUUGUUUCAUGCAUGCAUUGCAAAUGCAAGAGAUGAUGUAUCUUGGGGAAUAUAUAGAGUUGAGCAUGUAAUGGCGAGGCGCUAUAGCUAAAAAUUAUCUCAAGGGAAAAACUCUUGAGAUGUAACAUCCACCGAGAGUGUUUCUUUACAACCGCUCAGUAAACAUGUCCAGACGUGUCCACGGACAGUUAUAGGGUAGGUCACCAUUCAAAUGAAGGCACCAAAUGUUUAACUAAAUUCAAACAAAUAUUGAAUAAAAGCGGAUGAAAUUCAUGGAAACCGGAUGAUAUUUGUUAAAUUUUGAUAUAUUACAGCCGGAAGGACCAAAAUUAACAAUGUUUCAAUUAAACCAUAAAAGAAUAAACUGUGCGGCAAACCAGACGAUGACCUCGUACACAUGGAUUUCGUGACCUCUGGCACCUCCGUCUUUGUCAACGUCAUCGUCACUGGCGUCCGAGCCAUUGUCCUCCUUUCAGUGGCAGGAACACUGCCAAUCGUUGCAUCAACCCUCAUUAGCCAUUGUUGCUCGCAUGCGGUGCAGCCUCUCGGCAUCCUUUGCCUCUGGAGAGCCUUGGCCUCCUCCGCAUGGUGGCGAUGAUCAGCCAUAGUCACGGAAUAUGCCUCGCGCCGCUAGCCUUUAAGUCGGCCUCGACCUGGUGGCGACUCGAAGAACCCCACUUGAGGAGGUAGUCAUUGAUUUAGCGUAGUGGUCAUGGACCGGUCGAUGGCCCAGGCCACCACGAGCACGGGUCCGGUAGGAACUAGACCGAUGCGACUUUGGACCUCAUGAACAACAUCCACUGCUCUAUCCUAGGCCGCUCCUCGCGUGCCACCUCGGAGGCCACCACGGAGGACGUCGUCAUCUAUAAUACCUAAAUAGUUCAUCCCCACUACCUUAUUUCUCUUGACAUGCAGCCUAUCUACAUCACUAUCAACAUGCAGCCAUCCACGUCACUCCACCUUAACAGUCUAGCCACAUCAUCAAUUCAAAAUACCAUACAUAUUCCUUUUUUUUCCUUCAGAAAAUGCCCUUCGUAUUCCUAUGAUUGCCUGUUUGAGCAGGUAGUAGUUACCGUGCAUUGGCUGGACAUUAUUACGUGCGUUGCAUUCUCAUUGGUUGAUGGGUGCCCAUGAGAAAAUAUGUCGAGUCCAUCUUCGGCAUUGUGUUUCAGUCUACCCUACCUUAUCGCCUGCCAAUUGUCCACCAGCCCAACAGCUCCGUCGCCCAUCCACGCCGCCACGGAUGCACCCGGCCAGUCCAACGACCAUCCGCCGCUACUUUGUUGUUCCUUGGACAGACUCCGUUGCACCAAUGCUCUCUCCCGGCCACUCUCCGUCAAGUCCACACUCUCCCUCUCGGCCCGCUGCCGCUCUCAGGCCACAUGUGCGCAUUAACUCGCUUAAUUGUUGACCCUCCCGCUACCAUUGUAGUGUUGCCGCUAUGCUUUCCGCCUCCACGUCAUAUGCUCUCCCGGCCACAAAUUUUCAUGAAACGGGUGAGGCAUCACUAGUAGAAAAGAGGACUUUAGUCCAGGCCGGGUUAGCCCAUUAGUUCCGGUUCAGUCUAGAACCGCGACUAAUGGGGGCAUUAGUCCCGGUUUGUGAGCCCAGGGGCCACGUGGGACAUUUGUCCCGAUUCGUCUGGACCUUUUAGUCUCGGUUGGUGUCACGAACCGGGACUAAAGGGUGCGAUGCCCAUUAGUACCCGGUUCGUGGCACCAACCGGUACUAAAGGUUAGACCUUUAGUCCCGGUUCGAGCCACCAACCGGUACUAAUGGGGUUUGAGGCAUUAGUACCGGUUCAUGGCACGAACCGGUACUAAAGGUCCCAUUUUCAAACUCUACCCCCCAUGGAUUGCCUUUUCAGUUUAAAAAAAUAAAAGAAAAUAAGUUUCCCAUGUGAUAUGUGGUCUAGUUGUUGGGAAAAUUUGCAAAUGUGAAUUUCGACUUUAUUUGCAAAAUCUCUCUAGAAUUUAGUAAAAUGGGCAUAAAUUUUGCAUACUAACUCGGAUGAAAAAGUUUUUUAUAUGACAAAUCAUCUGCUCGAAAAGUUACAUCCGGAGGCAAAAAAAGUUCAUCAAAUUUCAGUUUUUUUUUGCAUUUUUGUUAAAUCUGGUCAAACUACUUAUUCAAGAAGUAUUAGUGUUAGUAAAUAAUUAUUCAAAAAUAUUAGUGUUACUAAAUAAUUAUUUCACCUUUUUUGAAUUUUGGUCAAAUUGGUCAAACUAUGGUCAAACUGUAGUCAAACAAUGGUCAAACUAAUUAUUCAAGAAAUAUUAGUGUUACUAAAUAAUUAUUUCAGUUUUUUUGAAUUUUGGUCAAAUCUGGUAAAACCAUGGUCAAACUGUGGUCAAACAAUGGUCAACCUAAUUAUUCAAGAAAUAUUAGUGUUACUAAAUAUUAGUGUUAUUUUUUAGAACAAUAGUUUAAAACUUAAACAGUGAAAUGUGUGACUUCAUGCUCAAGCUAAAUUCCUGAUGUUAAUAGGAUUGACAUCUUACUAUUGUCAGGAAAACAACAAGCGCAGACUUGGAAACGAGGGAGAAUAGAACCCGGAAGUUAAGCGUGCUCAGGCUGGAGUAGUGAGAGGAUGGGUGACCGUCCGAGAAGUUAGAUGAUUUGGAAUGAUGAGGGGUGAUUAGAGAUUAGAGGUUAAAUUGAGCAGUGAUGAGGGGUGAUUAGAGAUGAGAGGUUAAAAUAAUUCAGAAAUUUGAAAAUAAAAGAAAAUAUUCCAAAAAAAAAUUUCAAAAUAAUUUAAAGAAAAUCAUAAAAAUUCCUUUAUUACCGGUUGGUGUUACCAACCAGGACUAAAGGUGGACCUCCAAGUAGCGGCAAUGUGGAGAGCCUUUAGUCCUGGUUCGUGUUAGAACCGGGACUAAAGGGGGAGGCUUUAGUAACGACCCUUUAGUCCCGGUUCCAGAACCGGCACUAAAGGUCCUUAUGAACCGGGACUAAAAGCCCUUUUUCUACUAGUGCAGUGAUGAGGGGUGAUUAGAGAUGAGAGGUUAAAAUAAUUCAGAAAUUUGAAAAUAAAAGAAAAUAUUCCAAAAAAAAAUUUCAAAAUAAUUUAAAAAAAAUCAUAAAAAUUCCUUUAUUACCGGUUGGUGUUACCAACCAGGACUAAAGGUGGACCUCCAAGUAGCGGCAAUGUGGAGAGCCUUUAGUCCUGGUUCGUGUUAGAACCGGGACUAAAGGGGGAGGCUUUAGUAACGACCCUUUAGUCCCGGUUCCAGAACCGGCACUAAAGGUCCUUAUGAACCGGGACUAAAAGCCCUUUUUCUACUAGUGCAUUACAGCAUUCAUGUUCACGAAUUACAGGGCACCCUUUCCCCUUCGAUUCUCAACCCAUUCAUGUGUAUAUAUGUUCACCCACCCCUCCUGCAGCACAAGGUCAAAAACUCCCAGCCAGGUUACUGCAAUUGGGUGCCGCCCCCUCCUUAUUGUAAGCACGCCGGUACUCUUGCUUUCUUUGCAGCGAUGACGCUCGCGUCGUAUCCACGGCAUCAUUUUCGUUGAAGGAGAGAUCUCAAUCAUCAUGUAUUCAUCUAGGUUGUGGCCGCAGGAUAAACCCCAUGGAUAUUGCCCCCUUUCUCAUCCCUCCAUCAUGGAAUCAGGGAUGUUUCUUCUCCACCCAAUACCAAUCUAUGCGCAGAGCAGAUGAAUUCUUAAUAUUGUGUGUUUCUGUGACAUUAUAUUCCAUGUGCAUGCUUUGCUACUUGCAGAUCGGCCAAAAAGAGAAAAUCCCAGCUCUCCGGAAACUGUAUUGCAACAGGCUACCCCUGCGGAUAUGCGCGCUCUACUCUCUGUACGCGGUGACUUGAUGGAUGCGUGCGUGGUGAUGAUUAAGGGCAUCUCCAGCCGUUGGCCCCCUAGAAGGGGCAAAAAAUCGCCCCCUGGGGAUGCACCGGCGCUAAACCGCGCACUGGGGGCGUGAUGCCCCCCAGUCGCGGCGCCCACGGUUAGUCAAAAAAGUCAAAUACGGCGCAAAAACGACUCAAAUUUAACGUAAACAUCGGCGAGUUCGUUCAAACUUAAACAUACUUUAUAAAAAAGGAAAAAACUAUUGCGGGCUACCCCCGCCGUCUCCCUCGCCGCCCGCCUCGCCGCCCGCCCACGCGGUUCUACAUGCCGAGGAGGCUGUAGAACCGCGUGUAGUCACCGCCGUCGUCGUCAUCGUCGCCGCCCCCGCCUACGCCUCUGCGUCCCUGCUGCAUCCCUCCCCCGGUUGGCGCGGCGGGUUGGACGGUCCGGGGGCGUCGUCGUCGUCGCUGUCGAGGACCACGACGCCGUGCUCGUCCUCGCGCCCACGCUUGCGAGCGGCGAUCUCCUCAAGGGCACGGCGCUGCCGGACCAUCUCGUCGCGGAGGUAGUCGUCCCGCGCCCACCGCAUGGCGUCCUCGUCGGAGAAGCCGCGCUGGGCUAUCUCCUCGUACUCCGUGGGGAGGCCGGGCUCCGGCUUGGACCCGCGCUGAUCCUCCACGCCCCGGGCACCUGCAUGUCCGGCUUGGACUCGACGAGGACGAAGCGGCCAGUGGGUGGAGAGGCAUUGGCGCCGAUGCGGACGCCGGAGCUGCGGGUGCGCGCGCUGACCGGCGUGCCCUGGGGCUCCGGCUUGACGGGGCGGAGGCAGGGCGAGCCGCCGGACGAGGAGGAGGACCCCCCCGGUCUCCAUGCGCCUCGGGGUUCAGGAGCUUCCCGGCGGCGUGAGAAGGAAGGGGGAGCGGGGUACUCGAGGCACGGCGUGUUGUCGCCCUCGAUGUACUCGAGGACGGCCUCCAACGUGCGCCCGGGCACGCCCCAGCACCGACGCCGGCCGGCGGCGUUGAGCCUGCCGGAGGGCACAACGCCGUUGGUGGCCUCGAGCUGCUGGGCGUGACGACGACGGAAGUAAGGGUCCCAAGCGGGCUGUCGGGGACGUACCGUGGCCCCUCCCUCGCCGCACGCGGCAGGUUCGAGCGGAUGCGUGCGUCCGCACGCCGCGCCGCGCCGGUGGGUACCGGGGGCACCGGCACGCCGCCCGCGCUGAUCCUCCACGCCCCGGGCACCUGCAUGUCCGGCGGGACCGGGUACUCGGCCUCGUAAAGGAGGCGAGCCUCGUCUUCAUGAAGAUGGCGGCGACCGAAGCCGUUCGCCGCCGCGCCGUCGCCUGGGAAGCGCUCGGCCAUGGGUGUGAACUGGAGACGGCGAAAAAGAGGAGAGGAGAGGGAGGAACGACGACGGCGGAAGAGUGUGAGUCGCCGAGUGCGCCGGGGCGUGUCAUAUAUAGGCCGAGGCGCGCGUGCCACCGUGUGUACGCGUGGCGGGGGAGGGAGGGCGAGGGACGCGCGUCGUCCGGUCUUCACUGCGCCGCCCGUGAGGCAUCAGUGGUGCAGGCUGACCGGCGCGGCAGCGCGCGGCAGCUUUGGCAUUGAUUCGCCGCGGGAAACGAGUCGAUGAGGACGGCGAAGGGCCGAGAAGAGAGCCGUGUCGUUGACGCGGCGGGCCCGCGGCUUUUUCGCGCCAAAACAGUUCGCCCGGCGCCCCCGGGCGUCCCCCAGCGCGCCGGGUUCGGGCUGGGUCCGCCAGCGCUGUUUUCGGCCCAAGCCGGCGAAAAUCGGGCUCCUAGGGACGCGACUGGGCCGUUUUUUCGGCGCCGACGCGAAAAAAUGCCUGAGGAGGCCUUCCUGGGAGCGCGGCUGGAGAUGCCCUAACGCAUUCGUGUUCCUGAUGGAGGCAAUAUCUGCAAGCUGAUGUGGCUCCACUACCUCCGCCUCUCUACCCAAUGGUGCAAGGAGGCGACAUGAGAGUACACAAGGCGCACGACAGCAUGCCUUUCUGUACUUCUCUUAUUACUAACAUGCCCUCUCUCUUCCACAUAAAAUUCUAGAAAGCAAACCACGAGUAUCCCAUUGUUAAGUUCUUUGCUUGCCUAAGAAUGAGAUCUUUCAUAAUUAAUUAGAUUGGGAUUUUAUGAUCGGAAGUGACCUGCACACGACGUUGUGUGCACGAUGUGCAGCCGAUAAAUCCUCCGCACCGUCAAAUACUCUACGGACAACGUCGCUGACGGCUGGAUGGGAAACGUCGUGCACGUGUCGUCUAAUAAGUGUCGGCUGUAUAGCAGUGCUCGUUGUUGGGCUUGCGAGUGUCCCGAGCAGACAUUAAGCUUUGUCCAAGCAGAGUCCAAGCCCUGUUUUGAGAGCUUUGAUGAGGCUGGCCAACCCGAGCCUUGAGCUGGCUUGAGUGACUCAGCUUGGUUUCAGCCCAAGCGACUACCACUAGCCAGGUAGCCAGCGUUUAGCUUUCAAUUUUAAGAUGAUUGACCAUCGCUUGUAGAUGCAUGUUCCCAAUCCCUCGAAAUCCUAUUACCAUUCACCUCCACGUGGGUAGCCAAUUCUGAAUAUAUACGUCAUGGGAGAAGAACAAAGCAGGAUGUAGAUCAUACAUCCAUACUGUGGUGGACCCUGGCUAGGGUGAAAGUUCUUGCUUACAUUGCAAGACAUGAUUUAUCGCAGGAUAUAUAUAAGAGAGGGCUGGGCAUUUAAUGACCAUGUUCCGACAUAGCUAAGUAUACAAUAUGGNNNNNNNNNNNNNNNNNNNNNNNNNNNNNNNNNNNNNNNNNNNNNNNNNNNNNNNNNNNNNNNNNNNNNNNNNNNNNNNNNNNNNNNNNNNNNNNNNNNNNNNNNNNNNNNNNNNNNNNNNNNNNNNNNNNNNNNNNNNNNNNNNNNNNNNNNNNNNNNNNNNNNNNNNNNNNNNNNNNNNNNNNNNNNNNNNNNNNNNNNNNNNNNNNNNNNNNNNNNNNNNNNNNNNNNNNNNNNNNNNNNNNNNNNNNNNNNNNNNNNNNNNNNNNNNNNNNNNNNNNNNNNNNNNNNNNNNNNNNNNNNNNNNNNNNNNNNNNNNNNNNNNNNNNNNNNNNGAAAGAGCUAGGCAUAUAAUGGCCAUGUGCAGUUCUAGCUAAAAAAAAUAUGUAACAAGUCAGAAUGUCCUGGAUUAUAGAGCUCUUAAACACCUCUAGCCAGUUAUAAAUUGGUUCGCUUGCGAGCAUUGGGAUACCGUACAGGAAUGACGCAACACAAACCGAGGAUGAUUCCUUAGAACUGCACGACAACAAUAGAUGAUGCUUUCCUAGAGCAUCCACAACCUUUGGAGCUAAACCGCUAUGUCGCCCACAGAAUACUCCCACCGUUGCAAAAUAACAGAAGUUCUAGGGUUUUUCUUUGUCAAAUUUUUUAAAUUUGACUAAGUGUAUAGAAAAAUCCGCAAAGACCUACGAUAAAUACUAGCAAACAUGCCCGUGCGUUGCAACGGGAGAAUGAAAUUUAUCAUGAGUCCCAAUAAGCAUUGCUCAAGACUGUCCUUGCUGCUUACCCUUUAAGCUGAUGAUGCAUGUGUUAAAUUUAUGUGAAUCAAGGUAGAUGGCUCACCAUCAAGGUAGGGACCACAUGGAUGCUGACGUCACGGAUCGAAUGGCCUUGAACAUCUCAUCCAUCGAAGGCAUUUCAUCGGUCGGCGUCUACAUCCGAUCGAGCAACUGCGUCUCCUUUACCUUACCCGACCUGUUGUGACGAGUUGCCACGGGAGGAGCAUUCAUCGGCGGGCUUGAGAGCUUGUAUGACGACUGGCACAUCGUCCAGUGAGCGACGUGUCGCUUGAACGGCGUGAACGACGACUUCUGUCGCCUUGCACCAUUGCGAUGGUGGGAUUUGGUUGGCGUCGUGUCGUCAUGGCUGCGGAAGGGGCUUGGGCUCUUUUAGACUUUAUUAUAUUUUGUUUUUUUAUAUAAUCUACCGUUUUAGAGUUUGUUUUUAGUUUUAUUGCCCGAUAGCAGACUAAGUUUGUACGGAUUGAUUCCCGCAAAAAAAAGUUUGUACGGAUUGAGCAACGAUGAUGUGAAUGCAUGUGCUAGCACAACUUUUGUUUUCUUUUAUAUUACCAGGCAGUGUGGUUAGCUAGUUAGUUCACUCAAAAAAAUCCACACACAUACACCGAACGACAAGAUUCACAGAGAUUUCACAUGAUGGAGACGUGGAGUAGUGCUGGUUGCUGAUUAGUCAGAAUUUGUGUUGACGCGUGGCUUUGCCCGCCGCUGGUCUCAGCUGCAUCUGGAUCAAAAUAAAAUAAAAUCCCAGCCCAGCCGGAUCAACAGGCAAGGCCCAGCCUGGCCGCCAGGCAUCCUGACGCCAACCCCAGCCACAAGCCCACAACACGCAGCGAGGCCUGUGGCCGAGACCCCGCCUGCCUCCCUCGAUUCCCCUCUCCUCUCUCCUCUCACUUGCAAGCCCCCCAUCGCCGUCGGCCAGCUCUCCUUUCCCCGACGCUCCCUCCCGAUUCCCUCAGGAGUCACGCCCGAGCGCCCGAGGAGAGGAGCUCCUAGAGCACCUGCGCCCGCCGCCGGCAAGACCACGGCCAGGUCGUCCCUUCUCCUUUCCCCUUUCUUCCUCCUGUCUCCUCCCCUAGCUCUCUCUCAUGCCGUCUCUCCCUCCAUCUCUUUUCCCUACAGGAGCUCCCCACGCGCCAUGGAGUUUGCAGAGGACCUCCCCUGCCUCGCGCCGCCGCCUCGUUAGCCCCGCGCCCGGAGCACGCCACUGCGGCACCUCUCUUUCUCCCUCUUUUCAUUCCUUCUCCUCCAUGGAUCGUCCUCACCCCCCACGCAUCUCUCUCCCUCUCUGUGUUCCAGGAAACGGCCAUCGCCGAGCGCCAAGCCGUAUCGAGCUCUGCCGCCCUCUGCUAUCCGUCGUGCCGGCCAGCCUCCUCUACGCCGAGGCCCUGCAGCCAUCCCACCACCUCAGAUCUCGCCGGACCCGUCCGGAUCGAGACUCGUGUUGCCCGCCGAGCUUGCCACCUGCUUGUUUUCUUCUGUCGAGCAGGAGCUCGUCCGUGGACUCCUCUGCUCCUAUUGACCCGAGCGAGCAAAUGCCCAUGACCCCCGUGGAUAGCACCGCAGUGGGUGCACUCUGCACUGCGCUGCCGCACUGCUCCCGCUGCCGCCGCCUCGUCUCCCCUCCUUUCUCCAGUUUUUCCUCCCUCCAUCUUCCCGUCUCCUUCCUGACAGGAGCCAGAUGCCAUGAAUUCGCCCGGGAAGUCGCGCUCCGGCCUUAAUCGUCGUCACCGGUGACCCCCGUCCUCACCGCCCGCCUCUGAAUCCUUCCCAGCCCAUGCCGCGCAUGGAUCCGUUCGCUGCAAGCUCCAGCCGCCGCGCCGCCGCCGUUCUGCAGAUCGCUGGUUGAAUAGAUGAAAACACAGGGUCCUGUUUGUAAAUUUGAAACAUUUUUCUGACUGAGUAAAGCCUGUAUUGCGGGUUGAUUUCUCAUAAACAGGGGGGCCUUUUUGUAAAAUGGCCGAUGACGGAUGACAGAAACCUAAUUUGCUUUAUUAUUAGGUAAAGAUAUAUAAUAUGAAAUUUCAUUUAAUAGUAAAUCUAAUGAAGUAAAUUUGGUUUUGUAGAUGUUGCUAUGUUUUUUAAUAGAGUGGUUCAAAUUUAACGAAGUUUGACUGAGAACAAUCCUGGAAGUUCAGUCAUUUUGAAACGGAGGAAUUAGAAAAGAACAUAUCUCUACAGUACCCUUUUAACCUUAUUUUACUCCAGUGAUAGAACCAUCGUAGUAAUAAUUGAGUAAAUGAAUUUAUGUGCUUUUUAGCUAAGAUGGAACUCAAAGAAUUUAUACAUGUUGAGAGAAAGAAAGCUAUUUUAAGAUGGAACGAAAGUCAGAUAAGCUUUGAUUAGUAGUGCUAAUAAACAUAGGAGGUGUUUGGUUCACACUUUUGUAACGUUAUUCGAUAACGAUGGUAACGGAUAGCGCUAAAUCGUGUUUGUUUAGAUCGCUCCGUAAUCGGAUAACUCUGGUAUCGGUUCCCACCCUAUUCAAGGUCGAUUACGCUAGGUACCCGGCGUAAUGGAAUAACGAUACAUAUGGAGCCCUGAGAACACCAUAUGGAUAGAAUCCUGUUCGUCCAGAUGUUUAAGCUGAUACUCAAUUGUGGUUGUUCCCCCAUGGGAAGCUGCCCCAACCGCUUCCUUCCUUGACAUUGCCUCACUUGCUUCUCUGCAAAGGGUCAAUCUGGUUCCAGAGCAAAGGGAGCUUUCAGCCUCCCCCAAAGAUGAUUCUGAUUAUCCAUCAAGGCUUCUCCUUGCAGCUCCUUAAACAGUUUUGUCCAGUCUCUCAAAUAUCUGGAGACCAGGCCUAGCACCUGUUACAGGGAGAUCCAUAAAACUCUUUUAAAUACUGUAGAGUUUCUAAAGUUGCACAACCAUCCCAACACUCGCGACCCGAGCGCUCCGCUAGGAUUCCGCCUGCCGCCGCUAGUCGUUGCUCUCGCCCUCCACCCCUCCCUCCCCUCCUUUCCCCCCUCCCCCGUACCCCUGCCGCCUCCCCGAGCGAGCCGACCGGGCCCCCCUCCCCAUUCCUCUCCAGCACGCCCCCCACGCUCCUCCCUCCUUCCGCCGCCGCCAGCGCACGCCGCCGGGCCUUACCCGCGUGGUGCCGGCGGCGGCGGGUCUGCCUGUCCCGGCACGCGGCCUCCCCUGCUCGAGCGUUGGUGGUUGGCGGCGGUGCUCCUUGGUUGGCGAUGGUGCGGCUUGGCGGCGGGGUUUCGCAGGUCGCUGGCGAUCCUGAUGCGGUGGCGCGGCCAUCUGGCUCCAGCUGGGUUUGGCCGAGCCGGCGUUCCGGCGUGUGGCGGUGCGUCUCCCCGGUGGUGGUGGCGGCUUCGUCGGCCGAUGUGCUGCAGCGUGGCGGCAGCGGUUGUCCGGAUCCUUUGGGGUCCGGCUGGGCUUGUGCGGGCCUGGUAAGCUCCUGUCGUCACGUCCGGUCGGCUCCGCGUCGGUGGUGGUGGUAGUGCCCUCCCGUCGGCUGAGUGGCGGAUGCCACCGAGCCCGUUGGCUCCUCGUCCCUCCUCCAGGUCUCUUGUCGGUGAGCAGAUCCUCUGGCCCGCUCCCGCUCCCGCGACUAGGGUUAGCCCCGCUCCCCCAGCCGCCGCCGCCGCCCCCUCCCGCCUCCGUCGGCCGCCGCAGCGCUCUCCCCGCCUACCUCUCCCCCUUCCCCUCUCCCUCCCCCGUGCACCUGUNNNNNNNNNNNNNNNNNNNNNNNNNNNNNNNNNNNNNNNNNNNNNNNNNNNNNNNNNNNNNNNNNNNNNNNNNNNNNNNNNNNNNNNNNNNNNNNNNNNNNNNNNNNNNNNNNNNNNNNNNNNNNNNNNNNNNNNNNNNNNNNNNNNNNNNNNNNNNNNNNNNNNNNNNNNNNNNNNNNNNNNNNNNNNNNNNNNNNNNNNNNNNNNNNNNNNNNNNNNNNNNNNNNNNNNNNNNNNNNNNNNNNNNNNNNNNNNNNNNNNNNNNNNNNNNNNNNNNNNNNNNNNNNNNNNNNNNNNNNNNNNNNNNNNNNNNNNNNNNNNNNNNNNNNNNNNNNNNNNNNNNNNNNNNNNNNNNNNNNNNNNNNNNNNNNNNNNNNNNNNNNNNNNNNNNNNNNNNNNNNNNNNNNNNNNNNNNNNNNNNNNNNNNNNNNNNNNNNNNNNNNNNNNNNNNNNNNNNNNNNNNNNNNNNNNNNNNNNNNNNNNNNNNNNNNNNNNNNNNNNNNNNNNNNNNNNNNNNNNNNNNNNNNNNNNNNNNNNNNNNNNNNNNNNNNNNNNNNNNNNNGGUGGUGAAGUGGCGGUGGUCUGCGGGCGGUGGCGGCUUCGUCGGCCAAUGAGCUGCAGCGUGACGGCAGGGGCUGUCCGGACCCUGCUGGGUUCGGCCGGGCCUCGGUGCCUGGCAGGUCCCUUGUCCGCGCGUCCGGUCGGCUCCGCGGUGGCGGUGGUGAUUGUCCCCUCACGUCGGUGAUGUUGCGGAUGCCCCCAAGGACACUCUCCCUUCUCCCAUCCUCCAGGUCUCGUGUCGGUGACCUCAGGGAGACGGCGGAGUUGAUCCGGUGAUCGUGGUGGCACAUGUUGGUGGGCGGCGCGAUGGGCGGUGCACUAUGAUUCGUCUGGGGUGGUGGUGGGGGUCUGGGUUGGGAGAAAUCUCUGGCGGCUUGUUCGGCCCCGACGCGGCGACGCCUGUGGGUGCCGUCGGACCUUCCUGAAGGGCGUCGGGUACACCCCUCCCCUCACUGCCCUCCUGCGUACCGGGGGAAACCCUAGGACUAGUCCGGGCAGCAGCGGCAUCAUCGUCGCCUCCUUCUUGAAGGUGUUGCUUGGUACGCGGCGCUUCGGGUGCUGGGAACGUGGUGGUACUUCUCUGGAGGGUGAAGCGGUCGCCGGUCAUCUUCGUUUCAUCGAUCUGCCGUUGUUGGCAUUUGUUUCUAUUCCUUUCUUCUUUGUUUUUCUUUGGGCUUAUUUGUGCUGCGGCCCUAGCACCUAUCGUUGGAUGUAUCGGUGGUUGCUUUGUAAUACAAAGCGGGGGAAAACCCUUUUUCGUCAGAGACAGCGAUGAUGGUUCGGUGACUGUGGUGGCACAUGUUGGUGAGCGGCAGUUCUGGUGGAGCACUUUAGAUCGUCCGGGGUGGUAGCGAUUGUUUGGGCUGGGAGAAAUCCCUGGUGGCUCAUCCGUCAUCGAUGCGGUGACGCGUACGGGCGCUGCCGGACCUUCCUAAAGGGCAUCGGAUAUGCCCCUUCCCCACCGCACUUUGCUUACCGGGGGAAACCAUUGGACUUGUCCGGGCAGCAGCGGCGUCGUCGUCGCAUUCCUUCCUCAAGGUGUUGCUCGGUACGCUGUGCCUUGGAGUGCUAGAAGCACGGUGGUAUUUCUCCGGAGGGUGCGCCGGUCACUAGCCAUCUUUGUUUCGUCGAUCUGCCAUUGUGAGCAUUUGUUUCUCUUUGUUUUUCUCUCUGUCUUUUGGGCUUGUUUGUGUUGCGCCCUAGCAAGCUCGUUGUAUCGGUUGGUUGCUUUAUAAUCUAAAGCGGGGGGAAACCCUUUAUCGUUUAAAGUUGCACAACCCCCACCGGAUUGCAGUUGUAACUACACCCACAUGAAGGUAUCUCUUGUUGCAAAGCCACAACUUAAUUAGCAACAGAUCCAAAAUUGACAGUUGGCACGUGGAAGAGCAUUUCUACAUCUUUCCAAAUUUUCCUAGCUACAAUACAUUCAAAAACAGAUGAUAUACAGUUUCACUCUCCUUACAAUGAACAUACUCUAGGGGUUUAGCCAUCCCCCUUUUCCUUACGUUGUCACAAGUCAUGAUUUUGUUCUAGGAGAACAGCCAAAGGAAACAUUGUACCCUAUGGUGCACUUUAGUACUCCAUACUGCAGGUAGAUACAGAGGAUGGCGGGAGAAGCCAAACCCUUACGGAGUUAAGUAGUUGAGCUAGAAAUUGCCGAGGAGGGCUAAUCCAUCAGAUCAUCGUCAUGGGGAGGUGGGGGAGCAGUGGAGCGGCACCAGAACAACACCUCAUGCUAGGAUUGCCGCAACAAAGAGCAGUCGAUGAUGAGGUGUUGCAUUGUUUCCUGUUCUUGGUCGCAAGGAGGGUAGUUGAUGUCAUGGGGCAGGCUGUGCUAGGCUGGCUAAUUCGUAGUCUAGCACCGCCCCUGAGGGCCAGCCACAUGAAGAUCUUGAUGUGUAGGGGUUGCGGCCCAAUUCUUCCAUGUCAGACGCCAAUGAGGAGCAGUGAUCACGCCCAAGAUGAUAGGCUGCUAGCAGGUCUUAGCAUUAUAUAGGCCAUUGGCAGACCAACGCCAUGUGAGCAUAUCCCGCGUGUCACUAAGAACAAUAUGGCGAAGGAGGAGCCAUAGCUAAACGUAUUGCACCAUGGCCACGAGACGAAGACCACCCUCAAUAUCAUGAAUCCAGGCAUGCAGAAGAAGGCCAUUACGAACUGAGUGGCCUUCGCGGUGGCGCUUCAACACAAUGGCGUUAAUCAAAGGGGCAAUCUCCACGAUCGAGUAGCCAUCAAUUCAGUGAUACGUCUAUAACCAUGAAGAAUGUUUGUCGCCUAGGGUCAAGAAUGUGGAGGCUUGGAAGAUCGAGUGGACGUCAGGUCGAUAAAGGAUAUAGGUAGGUGCUACAAGGACGUGACGUGUAGGUCCUCUGGAGCCACAUCCAUCGAACGCGGAGGGACAUGCCUAUGCACUGCAAGUUCUGAAUGCCAAAACCACCGAAGGCGGCAAUCGUCCUGCAUACCUUUGCCCCCGCUAGCGAGGCCGCGGCUGCUGCUCACCUCUUUUCUCCCUUACGAGAGAGGAACUUGCGGUUCAUGCACUUCAUUUUCUUCAGGACAUUGUGGCCGGGGGGAGGGCGUGCGGUUGAUAGCCAUUAGGAUAUGAACCAGCAUAGUUCAGAGCACGUGGCACCAGUCAUCAAGUUGUAAGAAUGACAUCUAUAGUAGCUGCAAUUUUCUCUUUGCCUUUCAAUCCAAUUAUGAUUAACUCGCAUGGGUAAAAUAUCUUGAAUUCAUAUGCCAUAUUGUAAUAAUAAAUGAGGAUGUAGAUCAUAUUGUGGUGGUUAAUCUCACCACCAUAGACACAUUCGACUAAAUGAAUUUAGGUGCUCUUUAGAGUUUAAGAUUACAUGGAAGUCAGAUAAUUUUAAGCUUGUUGAUCCAUACUAGUGUACAUAUGGUUAUCCUAGUCAAAGAUCAAGUCAUCGCUUCUUCUCGUAAUAAAACAGAUGAUAAUAGGCUUGAUUAACAAAACACCCAAAUUGCUUCUAGAGAUGUACCAAGAAAUGCAAGGAUGUCACAACAUGUAGAUGGAGUUUAAUUCUGGAUGGUGAAUACUCAUUGCAGUGAUGAUGUCUCUUACUCUGCUCAAUGACGAGGCAAGCAUCAGACUCACAAAAUAUAGUCAUACAUAAUGCAGAGAAAAUAUUCAUAACUGGGGACUCAGGUGUGUUGUUUGCUGAUCUACAUUCAAUCGUCGUGAUUCUGUAUUCAUCUAGUCAUUUUCUAUCGGGCAAUAAAUGAUGGAUUUUACCUUCUUUUUUGAUUGCACGCUCAUGUUUGAUAAGUUAUUGCUAAAGCAGACCUGUGGAAGUACACAUAUGCUGAUCUUUUGGAGGGGGGGGGGAGGGUGUCGGUGUCAAAACCGGCAGAUCUCGGGUAGGGGGUCCCGAACUGUGCGUCUAAGGCUAAUGGUAACAGGAGACUGGGGACACGAUGUUUACCCAGGUUCGGGCCAUGUCGAUGGACGUAAUACCCUACUUCCUGCUUGAUUGAUCUUGAUGAUAUGAGUAUUACACGAGUUGAUCUACCACGAGAUUGUAGAGGCUAAACCCUAGAAGCUAGCCUAUGGUAUGAUUGUUGUUGUCCUACGGACUAAACUCUCCGGUUUAUAUAGACACCGGAGGGGGCUAGGGUUACACAGAGUCGGUUACAGAGAAGGAGAUCUAUCAUCCGAAUCUCCAAGCUUUCCUUCCACGCAAAGGAGAGCCCCAUCCGGACACGGGACGAAGUCUUCAAUCUUGUAUCUUUAUAGUCCAACAGUCCGGCCAAAGUAUAUAGUCCGGCUGUCCGGAUACCCCCUUAUCCAGGACUCCCUCAGUAGCCCCAGAACCAGGCUUCAAUGACGAUGAGUCCGACGCGCAGAUUGUCUUCGGCAUUGCAAGGCGGGCUCCAUCUCCGAAUACUCCAAGGUAAAUUUCGAACACUUAAGUCGUGUCCGGCUCUACAGGACAAAUUUCACAUACCACCGUAGAGAGAACAAUAAUCCACAAAUCUAAUCCUCUGACAACUCUUCGUAGCGUGACAUCAUGCCACGGCCCGGUCAUUAUUCAAACUGUUUUUUAUAACUAGCUAGUGCGCAUAUUGCGAGGCGGCUUCUUUGGCACGUCUUGUUGAAGCAGAGAUCGUGCCCCCCUUAUCGUGGGAUUCUUAUCAAUACGGGUGUGGGUAACCAAACCGCACCACCAAUCGUGGUGAGUGGGGAACGAGCAGGUUUCAUUAGGCAAGCGGGGAUCCGGAGCAGGAGGCAAGUGGAUGGCCUCUACCGUCCAGGAGAAGGAUAUCAAAAAGCUUCGGGAGGCCGGGUACCUAGCCCAGAAAAUCGGCCACCGCCUUCCGACGGUGGGACAGAUUGUCCCUACUCCGGAGUCCCAUGAGAGGGUCGUAUUCCUCCCUCAUUUUGUCCGCGGGCUUGGGUUUCCCCUUCACCCAUUUGUUCGCGGCAUCAUGUAUUAUUACGGGAUUGAUUUUCAUGAUCUAUCCCCCAAUUCCUUCCUCAAUGUCUCGAUGUUUAUCAUCGUGUGCGAGACCUUUCUCCGCAUCACGCCACAGUUCGGCUUAUGGCUGAAGAUCUUCAAUGUGAAGCCCAAGGUGGUGAACGAUGAGCACGCCGAGUGCGGAGGCGCCAUGGUGAGCAGAAUGCCCAAGGUCACAUGGCCGACAGGUACUUUCAACGAUUCCGUCAAGGAGUGGUAGCAACAGUGGUUCUAUAUCACUGAGCCGCGCGGCAAGAAAUGGGCCGCUGCUCCUGAGUUCCGAUCCGGAGUCCCUUUGAGGCUUACGUCCUGUCCCAAGAAGGGCUUGAACUGAUCUUCAUCUGACCAACUGUCGGUGAUCCAGACACGCGUCAAAGGUAUGGAAGACAAGGCCAUCAAGCUUGUUGACGUAGUCCAGGUGAUGUUUGUGCGCCUGGUUCUUCCCUGUCAGCACCGAUCCUGCAAUUUGUGGGAGUAUGACCCGGCCGAGCACCAGACCCUGCGAGAGCUUUAUGGCUCCUCACACAAGGACAUCUAGAAGGUGCUUUUUAAGUCCGGCAAACCGUGGCCAGACUCUGCCGCGGACCAUGGGUACCAACUUUCACGCCCCGCAAGUCUGGUAAGUAGUCAUUAUAUUUUGUCCAUCCAUAUGUUUCAUUGUCAUAUCCCGGGGAAGAUGCCCUAACGCACUUCCUGCAAUUAUCCUAGGGAUGGACGAAGAAGGAGGGGCGGAUACAUUGUCCAACCCCGCUGCCAGAAGAACCAGCCGGACCACUUCUGACAAAGAUGCUGGUCCCGGCGCCUUACAAGGCGCCAAAGAAAGAGGCCCAUAAAGAGGCCAAGGAGACCAGGAGCGGCCUCCGUCGUCGUGGUGCUUCGGACACAAAAUCCGAAGACUCCAAUACCCAUCUCUCUUCUGAAGAGGAAGAUGAGGAGGAAGAAGACGAGUCCCGCACGGGGGAAGGAAAGAAAAGGACGACCUCCUCAUAUCUGGAGGCCGAAUUGCCUAAGAGGGAAAAAACUCUCCUGCCAGAGGCGUCCACUACGGCUACCGACAGUAGCCCGGAGUGGGAUCCCAGGUCCCAGCCCCUGGAAAACUCGUAGGUGCACAAAAUCCGAACACAUCUAUGCGACCAGGAUUACCGAGGCACAAUAAAUUAAUUGGUACCAUACUUUUUGCAGCCCGGCCAGGUCUUGCACCGAACAGUCGUCAUCGGAGGAUUCGUUGAGCUCAGAUGCCCUAAAGAGCGAGACACCUCCGAAGGCCCUUUCCCCGAAGCUCGGGCAUGACACCGAGGUGUCAUCCCAGAAGGAGCUAGACCAGGAGGGGCGUACCUCAGGGGCCGGAUAUACGGGAGCGGCGGCUCCCCUAAGUGUCGACGGCGGGGGCGAUCUUGGAUUCGGCCCACAGUCGGACACAGUCCCGGAGACCUUUGAGGCUCCGGGAUUAGACAGGCAGCUCCCCUUGACUAGAGGAGGUGAUCCUGCUCCGCCGGCGACCUUUGCCCAACCAGAGGUGCAGGACAACUUAUUGACAGUGCUAAAGAGUGCUUCCAUCGUCGAUGAACAUCGCGCCCUUAUGGGCAUGGUGAUUGAGAAGGUUCAGGCCACUGAAAGUGGACUGGAUGAAUCCUGCAUCAGCCAUAUAAAAGGCUUGGAGGUAAGUUUUAGUAGUUUUUAGAAGAUUUGUCAUAGUAUAGAUAGUAGCCCCUGAUACACUGUCCGGUGAAAGAAGGAACCAGACAGGGGAUCAAAUUUCCUUCCACAGGAGACUCAAUGCAUGACAUAUAUCUCUUCCUUUAUAAAUAGGCGUCUGCAGCGACUGCCGCAUCUCAUACUGCGGAAGUAUCCGGACUGAAGCAGAGUCUGGAGCGGGCCGAAGAAGAACUUGGCCGGGUGAAGAAGCAGUUGGAGGACCAUCAAGGUAUGUCAAAACCUUGUUAAGUUGAGCACAAUUAAGUAGGUGUGCCUAAUGAAAGUAUAUAUACUGCGCGCUCUAGGGGCGAAUGCCGAAAUUGACGCAUUGAAGAAGGCUAUGGCCUUAGCCGAAAAGAAAGCAGCCGCUGAACAGACCCUUCGCGAGAAGCACGAGGCCAGGGUCAUUGAAGCUGAACGAGAGCUUCAGGAGGCCGUGCAGAAAAGUGAGACUUUGGAGCAGAGUCUAUCAUUGAAAGAAUCCGAAGUCGCCCAAGCUCUCCAAGCCGCAGCUGAUGCUCGGGAGGAAGCCCAAGGUGCUCUGAAGGACAUUCAGCAGGCGAGGAAGAUUGCGGCUGGUAAGUCUUUUUCCUAUUUAGAGCAAUUGUUUAUGCCCUAACAGGAAAAAUUCAAGGUGACAAAUUGACUUCUGAUUUCUCCAGGGGCAUUUGCGGAUCUUUCGCGCAGCAUAUCUGAUGCUGCUCAAUUCUAUCGAGUUGAGGAGAAGAAGACUGCGGAAAAGCUUUUCUGGUCACAGUAUUUGGCACCGAAUUAUCUGGUGCCAUUCGUCGAUCAGCUGAAGCAGCUGGUCGCAGUGCACCAGGCGGCCGAACUAGCCAUGAAGGAUUUGAUUGUCCGUCUAUGGCCCACCGAGCCUAUUCCGAGCAGUUACUUUGGGCUCGUGAAGCGAAUUGUGAGUGCCUGUCCUUGGCUUGACGUCAUUAAGCGGUCGGUUUGUAUAGAAGGUGCGCGAAUGGCAUUUGCCCCCGCGAAAGUGCACUGGGGAAAGCUGGAUGCUGAAAAGCUGAUGACUGAGGGACCACCCAAGGGGAAGGAGCACCGCAAGCCUGAACUAUAUUACGAUGGUGUCCUGAAAGGAGCCCGCCUUGUGGCGGAGCAAUGUACCAAAGACAUUGUAUUUCCAUGAAGGCAAUCAUGCUGUCCUUUGUAAAGCGGAACAGAGUCACCUUUAUUUAUGUAUUUAUAUGAAAGUUUUUCUUCCUGCGCGGCCGUUUUAUAUGUUAAUCUUGAGAGUUGGCCAGUCGUCGGCUUCUGCCCCCACGUAGGAAAUACAGGGGUGUUCGGGAUAUACCUGAACACUCUUUACCCCAUUUUUGGGUCCAUAAAGGAGGUGUUCAGCACAGUGAACCAGGCAAUCAGACUAUAGGGAUUUAUCACUCUCACUUAGCCAUAGGAAUUCGAGUAUGGUAGGCGCAACCCCUGGUGUUCGGAAAGACCGCACAAGGGGAUCUAACAGCACCUGAUCGGUAGACCGAUCCGCCGCACUCUGCAUUUAUUAUGGCAUUAUGCGGAAUAAGUCCUUAAAUAUUUUACAACCUCUCGAACAGCUGACCAGCUCUCGCCUUAUCAUGACAGUCAGUUUUCGGCUUUCUCUAUUGAGGUUCUCGUCCGGAAAAACAGGGACACAAUCGCAGUAGUUCUCCCAGCGCUACCUUAGCCGAUAUUGCGGAACGUAAGGUACCAAAACAUGGGAGACGGGCAAACCCAUCUUGGACCCAAGACAUGAUUCGGAGUUGAUGCAUAUAAUGCUAUAAGUUCGGGGUGCCGAGCAACCGAGAAGGUGGUCGGACUUUUUUGCCAUAGUGCGGGUAUAAUGAACCCCUUGGCGUUUUAAGGCAUAACACAAUAUUCGGAUGCCGUUUAUGACUAAAAAAUGUCAAUAAGAGAUGAUAGCGGAUAAGCGUCAUAUAACUCUACAUGUUGUAUUCGAGUAAUACAUUUAUGCAUAUGGGUACUGUUCAUGUUGUAAAAAGGAGGUAUGACGGCAUAACCUAUUUAGACCGGGCGGGAGAGAGCUGUAUGUGAAUCCGAAGUAUGUCCAGAUUGUCUUCGGGGUAAAUGUUCAAAGAUUCCCCCUUUACACGUCCGGGCUGAUUUCCUGGCGCCAGUCCUAUUAUCCGCAAAAGAGAACAUGCAAAGAAAAUGAUGAGGGACGUAUGUGCGCCACGGAGCGAUUGAACCGCGGGGCGUGGCCCUUCCCAACUUAUGCUGGGGUGUUUGACUGGCGCCUGGUCGAGCCGAGCUAUCCUGACAUGAAUUAGUUCGGACUCCUUUAUUACUGUCCGGGGGGUUGGCUGCCGAAUCAAGGUUCGGUAAGGAGGCACAAUUCACUGCUUCAGUGGCCAUAUGCUAUUCGACGCCGAAGUAAGGCUCAGCCGUGCCCGCAAAUGUGACUAUGUCACGUGGGCCUAGUAUGGUACCACGUUGAAUCGAGCCGACAUGGUUCGCCCAGGCAGUACGUAAUAGUUACUGUAUAGGGGGUUAGUGUCUAAGACUGACUCUUCGGUAUGGUGAUCAUUCGGUGAUCCGGAGACAACCUCUAGGGUGGUGUUUAUAACUCUCACCGUGUUGGUUUGCGUAGGAGUUUCUUUUCCUCUAUAUUGCAUUGCUUUGAGACCCCUUAUUGUUUUCGGUGUGUGACCGACCGGCUUGUUUGAAGACCCGGCAUUAUCUAUUUGUAUGAUUGGCUGCCGAUCCUGGGUACCAUGGAUUUGGCAUGGGCGGCCGAGUAUGCAGUCUAGGUCGGAUGGGCCCGAAUUGCUUUGUUGAAGUGGCCUUUUCCGCUAACCGGACUGGGAGUCGCGGAAUCCAGCAUUGACUGCCAUCUCGUGGGCGUCAUCAUUAUUCUUGGGACGCUUAUGUUUGUUGCGUCGAUGUUUAUGGAUGCUAUAUCUGGCCUGUAAUGUGCCAGGGGUGUUUGCUUUGUUGCUGUGAGCCAGCCAGCUAUCUUCGCCCGCACAAAAGUGGGUAAUGAGUGUUGUUAGGGAUGCCAUGGACUUUGGUUUCUCUUGGCCGAGGUGUCGGGCGAGUCACUCAUCCCGAAUACUAUGUUUGAAGGCUGCUAUGGCUUCGGUGUCCAGACAGUCGGCGAUUUGGUUCUUUUUUAGUAGGAACCGAGUCCAGAAUCUCCUGGCUGACUCUUCGGGCUGUUGGGUAAUGUGACCUAAGUCAUCAGCAUCCGGUGGUCGCCUAUAGGUACCUUGGAAGUUGUUGAGGAAUGCGUCCUCAAGAUUUUCCCAACUGCCGAUGGAGUUCGCCGGCAGGCUAUUCAGCCAAUGUCUGGCUGGUCCUUUAAGCCUAAGGGGAGAUACUUGAUGGCAUGUAGAUCAUCACCACGGUCCAUGUGAAUGUGGAGAAGGAAAUCUUCGAUCCAUACCACAGGGUCUGUGUCACGCCCAAUAUGCGAUACUAUCCUAAAGAGACUCAAAGGUCCCACCAAGGAUAGAACCGCAUAUUGAUACGCUUUUGCAAGGUGGAUAUCAUUACAUCAACAUUACAUAAUAGAUGGGGAUACAUACAAAAGGCAUACAAUGCCACACGAAUACAACAUCAUCUUACAUAAGAGCAACAUCCGACUAUGGAUGAAACACAAACAGAAACUCAAACGACAUCCACCCUGCUAGCCCAGGCUGCCGACCUGGAACCUAUCACCUGAUCGACGAAGAAGCAGAAGAAGAACUCCAAAACAAGCAAGCAUCGCACUCGCGUCAAGAUCAUCGCAUAAACCUGUACCUGCAACUGUUGUUGUAGUAAUCUGUGAGCCACAAGGACUCAGCAAUCCCAUUACCAUGGGUAUCAAGACUAGCAAAGCUUAAUGGGAAAGGAAGGGUAAAGUGGUGAGGUUGCAGCAGCGAUUAAGCAUGAUAUGGUGGCUAACAUACGCAAAUAAGAGCAAGAAGAGAACAAGUGGAACGGUCGUGAAGCUAGCAAUGAUCAAGAAGUGAUCCUGAACUCCUACUUACGUCAAACAUAACACAGAAACCGUGUUCACUUCCCGGACUCCGCCAAAAAGAGACCAUCACGGCUACACACGAGGUUGAUGCGUUUUAAUUCGAAUCAGGUGUCAAGUUAUCUACAACCGAACAUGAACAAAUUCCCAUCUGCCCAUAACCGCGGGCACGACUUUUGAAAGUUUAUACCCUGCAGGGGUGUCCCAACUUAGCCCAUGAUAAGCUCUCGCGAUCAACGAAGGAUAUACCUUCUCCCAGGAAGACCCGAUCAGACUCGGAAUCCCGGUUUACAAGACAUUUCGACAAUGGUAAAACAAGACCAGCAAAGCCGCCCGAUGUGCCGACAAAUCCCGAUAGGAGCUUCACAUAUCUCGUUCUCAGGGCACACCGGAUAAGUCAAGCUACGAGUAAAACCAGACCUCGAGUUUCCCCGAGGGGGACCCGCAGGCUGCUCGGCUCGGACCAACACUCGAAGGAGNNNNNNNNNNNNNNNNNNNNNNNNNNNNNNNNNNNNNNNNNNNNNNNNNNNNNNNNNNNNNNNNNNNNNNNNNNNNNNNNNNNNNNNNNNNNNNNNNNNNNNNNNNNNNNNNNNNNNNNNNNNNNNNNNNNNNNNNNNNNNNNNNNNNNNNNNNNNNNNNNNNNNNNNNNNNNNNNNNNNNNNNNNNNNNNNNNNNNNNNNNNNNNNNNNNNNNNNNNNNNNNNNNNNNNAUAAUAAAGAUGACCCUUGGGCUCCGGAAACCCAAGGGAAAAAGGGCUAGGUGAGGCAAAUGGUAAAACCAAGGUUAGGCCUUGCUGGAGGAGUUUUAUUCAAAGCGAACUGUCAAGGGGGUCCCAUAAAUCACCCAACCGCGUAAGGAACGCAAAAUCUGGGAACAUAACACCAGUAUAACGGAAACUAGGGCGGCAAGAGUGGAACAAAGCACCAGGCAUAAGGCCGAGUCUUCCACCCUUUACCAAGUAUAUAGAUGCAUUAAUUAAAUAAGAGAUAUUGUGAUAUCCCAACAUAAUCCUGUCCGUCAUGGAGCAAUCUUCAACUUCACCUGCAACUAACAACGCUAUAAGAGGGGCUGAGCAAAAGCGGUAAUAUAGCCAAACAACGGUUUGCUAGGGAGGGUGUCGGUGUCAAAACCGGCGGAUCUCGGGUAGGGGGUCCCGAACUGUGUGUCUAGGCGGAUGGUAACAGGAGACAAGGUACACGAUGUUUUACCCAGGUUCGGGCCCUCUUGAUGGAGGUAAAACCCUACGUCCUGCUUGAUUAAUAUUGAUGAUGUGUGUUACAAGAGUGGAUCUACCACGAGAUCAAGGAGGCUAAACCCUAGAAGCUACCUAUGGUAUGAUUGUUGUUCGUCCUAUGGACUAAAGCCAUCCGGUUUAUAUAGACACCGGAGAGGGCUAGGGUUACACAAAGUCGGUUACAAUGGUAGGAGAUCUACAUAUCCGUAUCGCCAAGCUUGCCUUCCACGCCAAGGAAAGUCCCAUCCGGACACGGGACGAAGUCUUCAAUCUCGUAUCUUCAUAAUCUUGGAGUCCGGCCGACCAUGAUAGUUCGGCUAUCCGGACGCCCCCUAGUCCGGGACUCCCUCAGUAGCCCCCGAACCGGGCUUCAGCGACGACGAGUCCGGCGCGUAUAUUAUCUUCGACGUUGCAAGGCGGGUUCUCCUUCAAACUUCAUGUUCCUGUCGAAUAGUGUCCUGCUUCCUUAUAAAUGUUGCGCUCCUUGGCUUCUACGCCCAAUAAUGGCCUUCUUCCACGUGUCGUAUGAAUGCGAAAAGCUAGGGUAUUUUUACAUUUUACCCCCUAGCCGUGCGAAUGAGCCACCUAUAAGAGAGGCGAGGAUCUAGAUCCAGCUCACACCAUCCUCCAUCCGCAAGUUCUUAUCGAAGCGCCUCUGACAAAAAUCCAUUCCAUCAUGGAUAGUUGACGCGGCUCCUCCUCUCGCGCUCCCAGCCCUAAGCCAGGAGAUUGGGGGAGAUGCUCAGUUCCACACAGCAAGCUAGUGGCGCUCCAAACCGAGGGAUAUCUUCCCCCAGCUUUCAUGGUUCCGGUUCGAGCCGGACUGGCCACCUUCAGGGGUGGAAAGCAGGCAGAGAGCGUCCCCAACCCUUCCAAAGGAGAGCGGCUAUGCUUCGUCCCCUACCUAAUAAGGGGACUCGGAUUUCCCAUACAUCCAUUUCUCCGGGGGCUCUUGGAGUUCUACAAACUCCAGCUUCACCACCUCACACCUGCCUCCAUUUUGCACAUCGCGGGCUUUGUAGCUCUUUGCGAGCUGUUCCUGGGCAUCGAGCCCCAUUUUGCGCUGUGGAAGAGAUUGUUUUGCCUCGUACCCCGUUCUUAUGAGGGGUCGAUAUAUCAAGUGGGCAGAGCCGAAAUACGGCGCAUCGCCGGGACCGGAUAUCUAUCUGGCACCCCGAAGAAGGCGUCCGAAGACUGGCCUUCGGAAUGGUUCUACAUGGAGGACGCCCCUCUGCCGGAUCCAGUUCGGAUCGGCCUCCCGGAGUUCAGCAACGCUCCCUUGAAGAAACGCGUGAGUUGGCGCCCGCGGAGCCCUCAACGGGAGGAUGAUGGGAGCGUCCAUUAUCUGAUGGGCCGGAUUAGGUUACUGGCCCACUCUGGAUUGACCAUGAUUGGAAUCAUGGCCACGUGCAUUAUGCGAGGGGUGCAGCCACUCCAAUAUAGGGGACACCGUAUGUGGGAUUUCAACGGGGAAGAUGACGCCACCCGUCAUGGCCGCAGAGGGCCAGGCUCGGCAGCCGAUCUGGCAAAGAUCUUGUCCGGCUUGUACAAGGGGGAGGAGGAGGACUUCCUCCGCACGAAUCCAUUGAAUGGAUUCUCCAUGAAUAACGCUCGGAGCUGGGUAAGCGGACGUUUAUCUACCUGAUCCAUACUUCCAAAGUCAAGUAUCUUACUUCGUGAUUUCGACGCAGGAGCUGCGCCGGGACGUGGAGGGCAUACAAAGCCUAACUCCACAGCCCGAGGAUCCGGAACGAUCCCUUGAUCCGGCCUCCGAAGAGGAUCCGGACAUAAAGGUGGAGCUGAUCGACGGGGUGUUCCACCAGCUUAGCAUGGAUAAUGCCCUAGUCGCCAUUACGGCUGACUACCCUGGUUUGUUUCCGGCCUCCUAGGUGACUACGACCGAGGUCUUGACACCAUCAUUUGAUCCAUGCUCAAUUCUGACCAUCCUAUACUGAUGGUGCAUCGCAGGAGGUGCCUUUGAGGCGGGGAGCCGAACCUGCGGCGGCUGACCAGCAAGGGUCAGUUCGGCCCAGCAGGCGGAAGAGGAGUGCGACGCAAAUCGAAACGUCACCGCAACGGUACGGCGCACCGUCGUUUUUAAGGGAAGGAUCCCUAGGAGGUAUAUUAAUGCUCAUAACUUUUCCAGGAGAAAGAGCGCUCGCCGGACAGUGUCCGGAGAGGUUGCCAAUCAAGCCUCCGCCAGCCAUGCUCCAUCGCGUGGUCCGGAAGGGGAGGCGAACACAAGGCAUGAGCCGGAUGUUCCUCCGAUGAAGGAUGCCGACAGGCUGUCCGCCACCCGGUCUGAGGUGGAGAGCGCCAUGAAUCACAGGCGUCGCCGGAUAGUUCUUCGUGACGCGUGUUUCUCCCCGGAGGCGUUGAAUGCCUUUGAAGCGGGAGACGCGCACCUCCGUGCCGCUCAAGAUGGUUUAACCAGAGCCACGGAGUAGUAUGUGAAGGACAUACGGGUAAUUAAUUUUAAUAGUUAUAUAUGCCAGUAGCCCCCGAGACUUAAAAUAGUUAAAAUAAUUGAUUUAAGGAUCAUUUAUUAUGCAGGAUCUUACGGAGAAGAAUACCCACCUGUCCCAGGAGCUUCAAGAGUGCAAGGCCCAACUUGAGGCUGCACUGGCCGCCACAGGGGGAGCCACAGAGACCCCCGCUGGUAAUACGUACUUCAAAAAGAUAAGUAGUUAACAAAGUGCGGCGUGUGCGUAAAUCUGACAAUAAUAUUGCAGAGGGCGCCGGACUAGAUCCGGACAAGCAACAGCUACUGCGUCAGCUAAAGGCCGGCGAGAGGGUGCUUAUGAAGGUGCAGCAGGAGAGGAACAAGCUCCAGGAUGCCCACACCCAGCUAGGAGAAGAGCUGAAAGGUGUUCGGGCCCAGCUGUCUCGCUCCGUGAAGGAGAAUCAGCGGCUUCGCCGCGGCAUUUAUAGUAAGUGCUUGAGCAAAUUCCUUUGAAAAGAAGAAUUCGGCGAGGAAGUCGAUUGACAGAAAUGUGUCUUUAGGUGUGCUCACAGGUCGCCCUGCGGAGGAAAUGCCCGGUUGAACGGGUGACCAACUUCUCGAGCUGGUGCAACUGCUCGAACGUGUUCGGCAGGCGAUGAGUGGCAUCGUUCAGGCCUUAUGGCCUUCCGUCUCCCUACCUGAGGGCCUUGGAGGGCUUGCUGAGAAGCUUCAGGGAGUACGGCGACGCCUCCGUCUGUGGAAGAUAUCGGCCUGCCGUCAAGGCGCCAGGGAGGCCUGGGCCAUGGUGAAGACGUGGUACCCAAAGGCUGACCCAAACCACAUGGCCGAGGUCGGACCUGUGGGGCCUGAUGGGAAGGAGAUCCCUGUGAGCUUGAUGUACGGCCAGGUAGAGCUGGCCGCGAAAUAUUCCCAACAGGACUGUAAAUUAGACAGCCUGUUAGAUGGGAUUGAAGAGGAGUACAAUCAGUCAGUUUGACGAUGUAAUUUAAAAUGACAUGUAAAAUGCCUUCUAGCAGGAUCGUAAAUCGUUUGUCUUUGCGGACCUUUUCGCUUCAACCUCGGGACCCAACAGUUUGGAGUGUGUCCGAAUACCCUUACGGUUAUAAAAGAACCGGGGCAUGCAUGGAGACAAGGCGUCGGGGUCAUAAUUGCUUUAUAAGACAAGUGCCCAACUAGCUAUGUUAUAUUACAUGGUUAGUAAGAAACACCUUCCAGGGAGAAUAGUUCCGUUAAGGGUUCCUUUCCCUGGGAGGCAUGCCCUAAAGUGCAUGUCCGGACUGCGAAAAUAGCAGAAAAAGCAUCUGGGGGCAGAUAAAUAAGUAAGUAAUAAAUCAUCUUUCAAGUCACCGACCGAAUAUUCUCUUAAGAACGCUAGCUUUCGGCUUCACCCAGUCUGAGGUACACAUCCAGCUGACCCAGCAGUAACAAUCGUAGAGGUGCUCCCUUUACCUCCUAGCCGAACAAUCGGGAACGUAGGGGUAAGCACAGGAGCCAGGCAACCCAGCUUGGCCAAAACUUAAGUCAUAUCAAUGCAUAUAAUGGUGAAUAAAAGGUACAUGCGGAAGUAUAACACAUGUGUUGGGCAUGAAGCCCGUAUAAAUAAGCUUCUGUUAAAGAAGCCCCCAGGUAUAAUGAGUGCUAGGAUUACAUCAAGUGUGUGCGAAUCAAUGCGCAAAUCAGCCUAUAAAAGGUAUUGAAAAAACAAGUGGGAAGAAGGAGGGGGACAAGAGACAGUGAAAAUGUAAAAAGGUGGACGGAGGAGUGAGACGAACUCUGAGUCCGGCGUUAGGCGUAGAAUCUUCGGAGACGGGCUGUGUUCCAUGGGUUCAGCUCGAGUCGAUUGUCAGAUGCGUUACGUAGACGGUAUACCCCUCCGGUCAGGACUUGGUCGAUGAUGAAGGGACCUUCCCAUUUGGUCUUAAGUUUGUCCUUUUUCUUGUCCGGCAGGCGUAGAACAAGUUCGCCAACAUUGUAAGUUUUGGCCCCUACUUCUCUGCUUUGAUACCUUCGAGCCUGCUGCUGAUAGAAUGCAGAACAAGCUUUUGCCACGUCCCGCUCCUCUUCUAAGGCGUCCAAACUGUCCUGCCGAUCCAACUCGGCUUCUCUUUCUUCGUACAUGCGCACGCGAGGUGAGUCAUGAAUUAUAUCAGAGGGCAGAACUGCCUCUGCGCCGUACACCAUAAAAAAUGGUGUGAAUCCGGUAGUUCGGUUUGGCGUGGUCCGCAGCCCCCAGAGUACGGAGUUGAGCUCCUCUACCCAGUGCGUGUUAGAUUCCUUGAGGGACCGCACUAGUCUGGGUUUGAUGCCGCUCAUGAUUAGACCAUUUGCUCGCUCGACUUGACCGUUAGUUUGAGGGUGAUAGACUGAAGCGUAGUCGAGCUUGAUGCCCAUGUUUUUGCACCAGAGUUUAACGUCGUCGGCCGUGAAAUUCGUGCCGUUAUCAGUGAUGAUGCUGUGGGGGACGCCAAAACGGUGUACUACCCCGGAUAUGAAGUCUAUCACAGGUCCGAAUUCUGCCGUUUUAACCGGCUUGGCCUCAAUCCAUUUGGUGAAUUUGUCCACCAUGACCAAUAAGCAUUUGUUCUUGUGGGUUCCCCCUUUAAGGGGUCCAACCAUGUCAAGCCCCCAGACCGCGAACGUCCAGGUGAUGGGUAUAGUUUUGAGGGCGGUGGGUGGCAUGUGGCUCUGAUUAGCAAAGAGCUGGCAACCAACGCAUCGUUGGACUAAGUCCUGAGCAUCUGCCCGGGCCGUCGGCCAAUAAAAUCCUGUACGGAAGGCCUUGCCUACAAGGGCCCGGGCUGCAGUGUGGUGCCCGCCGAGUCCGGCGUGAAUUUUAGCCAGGAGAUUUCUCCCUUCCUCUUUGGAGAUACACCUUUGAAGGACUCCGGUUGUUCUUUUUUUAUAAAGUUCUCCCUCAUGGACCUUGUAGGCUUUAGAUCGCCGAACUAUGCAGCGGGCCUCAUUUUGGUCUUCGGGAAGUUCCUGCCUGAUUAAGUAGGCUAGGAAUGGUUCCGUCCACGGGGCAAUUACUGCCAUUAUUUCGUGGGCUGAAGGUGUUAUUUCAUUGGCUGAGCCGCCGAUUGUGUCAGAGUGGUCUGAGUUAGGUGAUGCAGCUGGCUCCAGAUUGUUAUUUCCGGACUCCUCUUCCCAUAAUACGGAUGGCUUAAAGGGCCGUUCCAGGAAGAUGUUUGGAGGGACGGCAUCACGUUUUGCGCUGAUGCGUGCCAACACGUCUGCUACCUGGUUAUUAUCCCGGGCUACAUGGUGGAACUCGAGUCCUUCGAACCGAGCUGACAUUUUUAGGACGGUGUUGCGGUAAGCUGCCAUUUUUGGAUCUUUGGCGUCAAAGUCCCCAUUUACUUGGGAUAUUGCGAGGUUUGAAUCCCCGCGCACCUCUAGGCGUUGAAUGCCCAUGGAGAUUGCCAUCCGGAGGCCGUGUAGAAGGGCCUCGUAUUCGGCUGCGUUGUUGGAGUCCAUGUACAUUAUUUGAAGUACGUAUUGGACUGUGUCUCCAGUUGGGGACGUCAAGACGACGCCAGCCCCCAAGCCAGCCAACAUUUUGGAUCCGUCGAAAUGCAUGAUCCAAUUGGAGUACGCGCCGUACUCUUUAGGGAGUUCGGCUUCGGUCCAUUCGGCGACGAAGUCAGCCAUAACUUGCGACUUUAUAGCUCGCCGUGGUUUGUAGGUUAUGUCAAAUGGUAAGAGCUCAAUGGCCCAUUUUGCAAUCCUGCCCGUUGCGUCGCGAUUGUUUAUAAUAUUGUUGAGAGGUACUUCGGAGGCCACCGUUAUGGAACACUCUUGAAAGUAGUGUCGCAGCUUCCGGGAUGCCAUGAACACCGCAUACGCUAUCUUUUGAUAAUGUGGGUACCGGGACAUGCAUGGAGUUAAGACAGUGGAUACGUAGUACACUGGUUUUUGAAGAGGGAAUCUGUGCCCUUCUGUUUCUCAUUCAACGACGAGUACCGCACUGACAACUUGAUGUGUUGCUGCGAUAUAUAAUAACAUAGGUUCGCCCAGGUUGGGCGCGGCUAGGACCGGAUUUGUUUCCAGUAUGGCCUUGAUUUCUUCGAGUCCGGCCGUGGCAGCAUCCGUCCAUUCGAAGUGUUCGGUGCGCCGGAGGAGGCGAUAGAGGGGCAGAGCCUUUUCUCCCAAACGGGAGAUGAACCGGCUUAGAGCCGCUACGCACCUAGUUAGUUUUUGUAUUUGCUUGAGGUAUUUUGGGAUAUCCAAUUGUGACAGAGCUCGGAUCUUGGCGGGGUUUGCUUCAAUUCUUCUACCGGAUACAAUGAAGCCCAAAAGCUUUCCGGCUGGUACUCCGGAGACACAUUUUUCCGGGUUGAGCUUAAUGUCAUAUGCUCGGAGAUUGUCAAAUGUCACCCUCAAGUCGUCUACUAGAGUUUCAACGUGUUUGGUCUUGACGACCACAUCGUCUACGUAUGCCUCUACUAUUUUGCCUAUCUGGGUAGCCAGACAUGUCUGAAUCAUGCGCUGAUAUGUUGCGCCGGCAUUUUUGAGUCCGAAGGGCAUUGUUUUGAAGCAGAAUGGCCCAUAUGGAGUAAUGAAUGCCGUUGCGGCCUGGUCUUUUUCCGCCAUCUUGAUUUGAUGGUAUCCGGAGUAUGCGUCGAGGAAGCACAAUGAAUCGUGCCCUGCGGUAGCAUUGAUGAUUUGGUCGAUGCGAGGGAGAGGGAAAGGGUCCUUUGGACAGGCCUUGUUAAGGUCUUUGAAAUCGACGUAGAGGAGCCAGGAUUUGUCCUUUUUUGGUACCAUUACUAGGUUGGCUAGCCAGUCCGGAUGUUUUAUAUCUCUGAUGAAUCUGGCUUCUAAGAGUUUGGCUAGCUCCUCUCCCAUUGCCUGUCUUUUGGGUUCGGAAAAUCGCCGAAGAGCUUGUUUGACUGGCUUGAAUCCUUUUAGUAUAUUUAGGCUGUGCUCUGCUAGCCUGCGUGGGAUUCCUGGCAUGUCUGAAGGGUGCCAGGAAAAAAUGUCCCAAUUUUCCCGGAGGAAUUCUUGUAGUGCGGCUUCUACAUCAGGAUUUAAUUGUGCCCCAAUGGAGGUCGUCUUUGUGGGGUCCGUUGGAUGGACCUGAAAUUUGACUAUUUCGUCUACUGGUUUAAAAGAGAUGGACUUGGAGCUCUUAUCGAGUAUCACAUCGUCCCUAUCCACCAUGGAGCACAGUGCAGUUAGUUCCUCUGCCGCUAGGGCUUCGGAUAAUGCCUCUAGGGCUAGUGCGGCUGUCUUAUUUUCAGCGCAGAGUGCUGUAUCUGGAUUACUGGCCAGAGUGAUUAUUCCGUUGGGUCCGGGCAUUUUGAGCUUCAUGUACCCGUAAUGGGGUAUAGCUUGGAAGAUUGUGAAUGCCUCUCGCCCUAACAAAGCGUGAUAUCCGCUGCCGAAUGGGGCCACUUGGAACGUGACCUCUUCGGACCUGUAAUUGUCCGGCGAGCCGAACACUACAUCUAGUGUGAUUUUUCCUGUGCAGCGUACUUCUCGACUAGGGAUUAUUCCCCUGAAGGUUGUGCUGCUUCGCUCAAUGCGGCUCCAGUCAAUUUCCAUUUUUUGAAGGGUUUCCUCAUAGAUGAGGUUUAAUCCGCUGCCGCCAUCCAUGAGUACCUUGGUAAGAGGAAAGUCGUCCACUAUCGGACUGAGGACUAAUGCGGCUGGUGCUCUAGCUGUUCGGAAUUAGGUUCGUCGCUGGAAUUGAAGGUGAUAGCCAUGUCGCUCCAUGGAUUUGUUGUUGCUACUUGGUAGACUUCGGCGAGGCUGCGGAUUGUUCGUUUCCGCAUGUUAUUUGAUGCGAAAGUCUCGAAGAAUGUUAAUACCGUACUGGUACUGCUGGGCUGGUUGCCCGGGGCUAAAAAGCCCUCGCCACUUUUGGCCACCUCCCGUAGUAUCCAACAUGCUCGAAGGCUAUGUGUUGGAGUGGCGCCCUCCGUACUGUGGAUUUUGCAGGGUCCGUUGAGCCAUCUCUCCAGUACGGUUCCGUACCCUUUAGGGGGUUUUUGCUUUUUGGUUUUUAACCCAGGUGCUUGAGUAUGACACACCCUUUUAUUUCGGACUGGGGUUGUAUUCAGGGCCGGAUUGUCCCAAAACCUAGUUUCGGUUUUCCAGGCACUCUCCAUGCAAUGGUCGCUAGGUCGGCGAAGCGUGUAACUUCGCGAUGACUGAUGCGUUUAUGAUUCCCUUGUCCAUGCAAUUGUUGUAGAAGAUUGAAAUUGCGCUUUCUUCACGGCAGUCCUUUAUCCUGUUCAUAACCAAGAGGAAUCUGGCCCAGUAAUGAUGUACUGUUUCAUCGGGCUCUUGCCGUAUUUGAGAUAGAUCGCUUAUGUUUGGGUGGGCGGGUGGAAUUAAGUUCGGAACCCCGCCCGAUCUGAGGCUCAAAGGCCAAGAAGCUUCCGGAUUCGGAAGCUUGGUUUGCUGAAUGCUUUCCAACAAAUCUGGUUCGAUGCCUGACUUUAGGUUCAGUAUUUGAUUAGCGUCCGUCCCUCCGCGGGAAUCCAGCAUGGAGGGAUCGGGAAUCCGGACAUAGUUGGUUUUUAACAUAGAAGAAGAGUCGCCGCAUUGUUCCUCUACCACAACAACGUGGUGGGUAACCUGGGGAGAGUUAAUUUCUCUUAGAUCGGUUUUAAGCCCAAUCUGAUCGUAGUCGGUAGCGACUCCGAGGGCGGCGAUGCGAUCCAAGAGCUCGUUUACGGAGGAGAGCUCAAUCGGAUCUAGCUGCUCAGCGAAUUCCGAGCUGACGUGAAGAUCGCUUUUAAUGACCUGAGAGGUCAUUGUCGGAGCGGUGGCCGAACAGGCGGUCAUAAGAAAACCGCCUAGCCAGAUAGUCUGGCCGGCGGCCAAAGCUCCCUUGACGAUGGUGCCGUCUUUAAAGACGGGGAAAGGCAUCCUUCCUGAUGGUGAUGGCACAGAGGACCUCUCAAUGAAAGCACCAAUGUCGGUGUCAAAACCGGCGGAUCUCGGGUAGGGGGUCCCGAACUGUGCGUCUAGGCGUAUGGUAACAGGAGACAAGGGACACGAUGUUUUACCCAGGUUCGGGCCCUCUUGAUGGAGGUAAAACCCUACGUCCUGCUUGAUUAAUAUUGAUGAUGUGUGUUGCAAGAGUGGAUCUACCACAAGAUCAAGGAGGCUAAACCCUAGAAGCUAGCCUAUGGUAUGAUUGUUGUUCGUCCUAUGGACUAAAGCCAUCCGGUUUAUAUAGACACCGGAGAGGGCUAGGGUUACACAAAGUCGGUUACAAUGGUAGGAUAUCUACAUAUCCGUAUCGCCAAGCUUGCCUUACACGCCAAGGAAAGUCCCAUCCGGACACGGGACGAAGUCUUCAAUCUCGUAUCUUCAUAAUCUUGGAGUCCGGCCGACCAUGAUAGUUCGGCUAUCCGACACCCCCUAGUCCGGGACUCCCUCAGAGGGUGAAAAGGUUAGAGGCUGACAUGGAAAUUUGGGAGGCUUGAAGAGCAAAUGAUAGGUAGCACAGCAAAGUGAUAGAACGAAGCAACUAGCAUAGCAAUGAUAGUAGUGAGAUCCAGGAUAGCGGUCAUCUUGCCUGAAAUCCCGCAAGGAAAGAGAACGAGUCCAUGAAGAAGAUGAACGGAUGAAACACAAACAGAAACUCAAAUAGAAACUCAAACGACAUCAACCCUGCUAGCCCAGGCUGUCGACCUGGAACCUAUCCCCUGAUUGAAGAAGAAGCAGAAUAAGAACUCCAAAACAAGCAAGCAUCGCACUCGCGUCAAGAUCACCGCAUAAACCUGUACCUGCAACUGUUGUUGUAGUAAUCUGUGAGCCACGAGGACUCAGCAAUCCCAUUACCAUAGGUAUCAAGACUAGCGAGGCUUAAUUGGAAAGGAAGGGUAAAGUGGUGAGGUUUUGCAGCAGCGAUUAAGCAUGAUAUGGUGGCUAACAUACGCAAAUAAGAGCGAGAAGAGAACAAGCGGAACGGUCGUGAUGCUAGCAAUGAUCAAGAAGUGAUCCUGAACUCCUACUUACGUCAAACAUAACACAGAAACCAUGUUCACUUCCCGGACUCCGCUGAAAAGAGACCAUCACGGCUACACACGCGGUUGAUGCAUUUUAAUUCGAAUCAGGUCAAGUUAUGUAUAACCGGACAUUAACAAAUUCCCAUCUGCCCAUAACCGCAGGCACGACUUUCGAAAGUUUAUACCCUGCAGGGGUGUCCCAACUUAGCCCACGAUAAGCUCUCGCGAUCAACGAAGGAUAUACCUUCUCCCAGGAAGACCCGAUCAGACUUGGAAUCCCGGUUUACAAGACAUUUCGACAAUGGUAAAACAAGACCAGCAUAGCCGCCCGAUGUGCCGACAAAUCCCGAUAGGAGCUGCACAUAUCUCGUUCUCAGGGCACACCGGAUAAGUCAAGCUACGAGUAAAACCAGACCUCGAGUUUCCCCGAGGGGGACCUGCAGGCUGCUCGGUUCGGAUCAACACUCGAAGGAGCACUGGCCCGAUGGGGGGGGGGCUAAAAUAAAGAUGACCCUUGGGCUCCGGACACCCAAGGAAAAAAGGGCUAGGUGAGGCAAAUUAAAUGGUAAAACCAAGGUUGGGCCUUGCUGGAGGAGUUUUUUUGAAAGCGAACUGUCAAGGGGGUCCCAUAAAUCACCCAACCGCGUAAGGAACGCAAAAUCCGGGAACAUAACACCGGUAUAACGGAAACUAGGGCGGCAAGAGUGGAACAAAGCACCAGGCAUAAUGCCGAGUCUUCCACCCUUUACCAAGUAAUGCAUUAAUUAAAUAAGAGAUAUUGUGAUAUCCCAACAUAAUCCUGUCCGUCAUGGAGCAAUCUUAAACUUCACCUGCAACUAACAAUGCUAUAAGAGGGGCUGAGCAAAAGCGGUAAUAUAGCCAAACAAUGGUUUGCUAGGAAGGGUGAAAAGGUUAGAGGCUGGCAUGGCAAUUUGGGAGGCUUGAAGAGCAAAUGAUAGGUAGCGCAGCAAAGCGAUAGAACGAAGCAACUAGCAUAGCAAUGAUAGUAGUGAGAUCCAGGGUAGCGGUCAUCUUGCCUGAAAUCCCGCAAGGAAAAAGAACGAGUCCAUGAAGAAGAUAAACGGAUGAAGCCGAACCAAGCGUAGACGAACGAAUCCUCACGAUCGCAACGAAACGGGAACUAUCAAGAAGAAGCACACAACAUAGUAAACACACCACACAUAGACAAGACAUGAUGCACAACCAAGCAUGAUGCAUGACAAGCUACAUGAAGCUACUCAUGGCAAGAUAUGAAGCAAACAAGAGCAACACAUCAAAGCAAGUUUAAAUGAGGCCGGAAGCAACAUUUAACAUGCAAAUUUCGAAAUUGGUCCAGAUCUGAAUAAACCUUAUGUUCAAGUUGUUAAACAGCAAGUUAAGAUGCACCAUGAUGAUCUACACGAAAUUCUAGUCAAGUUACAUAUAAAGUUCAUUAGAGUUGGAGCUACGGCCUAGAAGAUAUGAGCAAAACAAGUUAAACAUAGCAUUGAUGCAAAAUGCAUACAAACAUCAAGAAAGCACCUCAAAACAAGGAUUCAACAUGAUAACAUGAAACUACAUGCAAUUCUAAGCAAGUUCAAAACAGCAUGCUACAGCACCCCAACAUGAGAACAAAAGGCAUGGACAUGAUGUACAGGUAAUGCAUGACAAAACAUGAACACUAAGUUAUCUCCAUAAAUCACUAGAACAUGCUCAAAAAGACAUGGCAAGAUUACAUAUAAUAACAGUUUCAGACUUUGCAGAAAUAACAUCAGGUUGCAAUGUUUAGAGGUAUCAAACAACAUGUUACAGGAAUUUAACAUGGCAAACAGAGGCAUUGCAUGAUACUACUAAAUGCGUAGAACAAAAGUCUUUUACUGACCAUAAGCCAAAAAGGAUCAGAAGAUAUGAUGGCACCCAUUUAGAAAUGGCAAGUUAUAUGACAGAUUCAUACAUGGCAGGAACAACGAUAAGUAGGCACCUUGGUGAGAUUGUACCACUCACCACAGAUCAUUACAUGGCAUUACAAGGCAACCAACAGCAAGAAGAAAUGUUUAUGAAGCUAAUCAUGGCAAGAACAAGUUUAUAGGGUGCAUGGAUCACAAGAAAAGCUCAUGGCAAAACUGAACUUCACGUUAACAGACUGACAACAACAUUAUUUAGCAACUUUGGAGCAUGAUAACAAAAAUCUACAGCAGGCUAUAAAUGCAACCAGGGGAAUUGAUGGGUAGAGCAUGACAUGUAUAACAAAAGAUCCUUAGUGAACAUCUCCAGCUUAUGCAUAGAAUGACUUGUAGCAGCAGGUUUACAUAGCAUCAUAAAAUGACAGAUUCAGCCUAGCAAAACAGCAACAACAAGUACCCUACUUAACAAGCUCUAUGCACUCACUACAAGACUCACAAAAAUACAUGGAAAGCACCCCUGUAAAGAUGGCAUGACAUAGUUCAAAACACAUGUAGAGCUCAUGCUCAUAGAAUGCACACACAAAAUGCAACAAAAAUGACAAAUGAGCAUGUUCUGUUAACAGACAGUAGACAACAUCUUAUAGCACUCUUGCAACAAUGAUUCAGGCAUCAAGAUGAACUCAACCAAACAUGGCACAAUGGAAUUAAAUGUAGAGCAUCUCACAAUGAACAUUUUGAUAUAAUAUAUGCAUGAAACAGAGCUAUGGAUGCAGAGUUAUGAUGCGAUGAACAGGGGUAUAAAAUGCAAAAAUAACUCGGGACAUAGCAGAAUUUAGGAGGGUCAACCUCGCAGAAUGGAUCUGGAUCUGGGGGCUCGGGUCGAGGCGGGACGGGCUUGCCGAAGUUGGCGCUAGGGUGGCCGGAGCUUCACCGGAGGAGGGCCGGCGAGGGGAGGCGCGGGGUGCCGGCGUUGGGGAAGGCGGCGACCGGGGGCGGCGACCGGAGAAGGGAAGGGGCGGCGGCGCGGGCUCGGGAGCUCCUCUCCCUGGAUCUCAGCGCGGAGGGAUCCGGGGCUGGAAUGGGCUCCGGCGGCGGCGGCGCUCGCGAUGGCGGCGGAGGACAGGCGGCGGGGCAACGGGGAACCUGGCGAGGGGAGGCGCGGCAGGCGGCGCGAGACCCUGCGAGGCUCGGAGGCGGGGACCCAGAGGGGCGCGGCGGCGCAGGGAGGCAGGGGGGCCACGCGGCGCCCUCUAGUUGGCUGCGCGCGGCGGCGCGGACGUGUCUGGCCGGGGGCGGACGUGUCCGGGCGCGGAGGAAGAAGGAGGCUAGGGUUUUAGGGAGGAUUCAUCCGCGAAUUUGGACGGGGAGGGCAUAUUUAUAGAUUCUGGGAGCUAGGAGAGUCCAAAUGAGGUGCGGUUUUUGCCCACAUGAUCGUGAGUGAACGACCGAAAGCUUGGAGGGGGUUAGGAUGGGUUUUGGGCCACUUUGGAGGGGUGUUGGGCUGCAAAGAGAGAGGGGCUUUUACGGUUACCCGGUUAACCGUUGGAGUAUCAAACAACCUCCAAAUGGCACGAAACUUGACAGGCGGUCUACCGGUGCUAUGCCAAGGCCGCUUGGCAAGACUCGGUCCAUUUCGAGAAUGUUUAACAACCGCUCACAACGAGAGACAAAAGGGGGACGCCGGAGGACAUAGGAGUGCCGGAUGGCAAAACGGACAACGGGGAAACUGCUCGGAUGCAUCAGACGAACACGUAUGCACUGCACAUGAUGACAUGAUAAAAUGCAACAUGCAAGCAAAUGACAUGGCAACACCGACGAAUAACUGGCAGACACCUGGCGCAUCGAAUCCGGGGUGUUACAACACUCCUCCACUAACAAGAGAUCUCGUCCCAAGAUCUUAGGACUGAGACAAAAGGGAAAAGGGGUGAGGUGAAACAAAAACUCAGGAGAAGAAGCAAAGAAUCGAGAGCACUCGAGAAGUAGCGAGGAACGGCGAGAAUGAUGAGAAGCGAAAGCUCACGGAAUCAGAUAGACUAUGAAACCACUCCGGUUAGAGCGAGAUAAGAAACGAAUAAGACUGAAAGGAUUUAGGCAGCACUCCGGCUGAAAAUGGAAGGAAUAGAACCCGAGCUUGAGAGGACGGAAUGAUACUUGAUGAAGACAUGACACAAAACCUCCGGAAAGAAUUGAAAGAGUUGAAUGAAAAGAACGAAGAAGAAAAUGACAACUUGAGCCACGAAUGAAAUUGAAAGCAUCUUUAGAAGUUAGGUUUAGACGGAGUUGUUGAGAAAAUCAACAACGAAAAUAAUAAGCUUGUUGUGGUCUUAUGGUAAACUCUCAAGAUCAUAAGAUGAUAACCGGCCACAAACGAAAAUGAUUGGAUAGCUGAGAAGAAGGAAGAAAUGCAAAACUCCAUUUCAAAAGAAAAUAAAGAAUUAUUUGCACCUCGAGACGCAAGAAGAAAGAUUCUUGAACUCCACCAACAAGAAUCUUGAUGAACUCUUUGGAGAAUGAAUUAAAUUAUGACGAUCCACCAUGAAGAACUCCGGUAACAAAAAGGAUGAUGAGAUAGAAUGAAGGAAGAAAGAAUAAGAUUAAGCCUUGCGACGAUUUAAAUGGAGGUUCCAACGAAAUGGCCGAGGAAAUUGAACUCUGGAAAAGAAAAGAUGAAAACACUUGGAACUAGAAUUUAUUCAACAAGAACAAACUCCGAAGGAAGGGAUUAAUCACUUGGAUGAAAUAAGAAUAAGAUUUAUUGUAUGCUUAUCCUUCAUCAAAUUAAAUUGAUGACAAACAACGGAUUUGGCAUACUACUUAUUCUUCUUGAAAAAGAUUAAGGGGAAUGUGGCACAAAACUUGAGAGAGUCUUCAUGAACCACCGAUAGGAUUGGAAAGAACGAAUGAAUAUACGUGAAAAUAACGGAAAUAAAUCUUGAACGAACCACCGUAAGAAAUCAAAAAUGACUAAUGAAAGAGAAUGAAUCACCCGGAAGAAUUAGAAGAACCAAUAUGCUAGAGGGGAUUUAGAUGCAAGAGAACAAAGAGAUCAUGAGCUGAUUAAAGAACACUUGAACGAAGCACCGGGAUAAAUAGAGAACGAUAGCUGGAAUGUGAGGACGAAGAAUUCUUCUGGAAUGAUGGCCUCCGGUGAAAAGAAACAGAAAUCAACUCCCGAAAUACUCCGGAUAGGUGAGAAAAGGAAUAUCUGACAAAUGGAAUAAUAUGAGAGGAUAACAUGAAGCUAGAACCGAGAAUCUUCAGGAGGACAGACAAGAUUUAGUGGACAAACUCUUCUUCGAUCUUCAAAUGACGACGAGAAACAACACCAAAAUACUGAGAUACUCCGGUAGAAUGGAAAGCGAAGAGGUUGAGCCAACAAUGAAAAUAAUUUGAACUUGAUCUUGGAAAAUAUCUGACUGAUGAAAUUCAUUCCUACGUCAAGUCUGAAAAGAAUUUGGAAUAGCUCCGGAAUAAUUAGAAGAGUCAGGUAAGAUCCUGGGAAAUGACUUGUGGGUUAUGGGCCCACUAAAAGAAAACAAUGUUGGAAAGGAUUGUUGAAGAGAUAGAUGAUGCCCCGGAACAAUUGAAAUAUUUGAAUGAGGUGACAACCUCGAAUUAAUUGGAACACAGAUGAAUCUCCUGAUAUGUCUUCCGAACUCCGGAAGGAUAAACCGGCGAGAGGUGAAAAAACAGGGAAAACACUUGAUCCAAGGGAAAAAUAUAAUCACUAUCGAAAAUUGGAAUUGAAUCCACCGGAGAAGAGAUGAAGAAUGUCGAAACGAGAAUUCACCGGUUGAAAUAAUUGAGGGAAGAUUGAAGAGGCUCCACACGAAUGAAAUAGCUUCUCGAAUAAAGGCUCAGACUCUGGGAAGAGAAAGGGAUGGGAGGGCGGGAAAACAAAGGCAACUUGGAAGGGGAAAUCGACGAAUAUCUUGAAGAGAAAACACCGGUUGAAAUCACUGAGGAAAGAAGGCAAAGACUUCGCACGAGUAGGAUGGAUACUCGAUUAUGGACUCCGGCUCCAAGAAAUAAAAAUGGUUGGGCGGGUGGGAAAAAGAAAACAACUGAGGAUUGAACUUGGCAAAGACGAAGAGGCUCGAGUCAACUUGACAAGAAAUGCACCGGAUGAAAAGAGAUGAGAACCAACGAACGAAAACUAACCGCGUGAUCCUAAAGAAAAUUUGAAGGGGAAGAGGAGUAAUUCAAAACACCUACAUCAAGAUUCCUCACCAGAGCGACGAAGGGACUGAGGAGUAAAAAGAAUUCCUACUCUCCGAUAUAACUAGACUCUGAAAACAGUUUUCUUCUAGACUCGACAACGGCCAAACUACACGAUCAAUCAAGGGGGCUCCUAGGGUCGGUCGAGGCUCUGAUACCAACUUGUCACGCCCAAUAUGCGAUACUAUCCUAAAGAGAAUCAAAGGUCCCACCAAGUCUAGAACCGCAUAUUGAUACGCUUUUGCAAGGUGGAUAUCAUUACAUGAACAUUACAUAAUUGAUGGGGAUACAUACAAAAGACAUACAAUGCCACACGAAUACAACAUCAUCUUAUAUAAGAGCAACAUCCGACUACGGAUGAAACACAAACAGAAACUCAAACGACAUCCACCCUGCUAGCCCAGGCUGCCGACCUAGAACCUAUCCCCUGAUCGAAGAAGAAGCAGAAGAAGAACUCCAAAACAAGCAAGCAUCGCACUCGCGUCAAGAUCAUCACAUAAACAUGUACCUGCAACUGUUGUUGUAGUAAUCUGUGAGCCACGAGGACUCAGCAAUCCCAUUACCAUGGGUAUCAAGACUAGCGAAGCUUAAUGGGAAAGGAAGGGUAAAGUGGUGAGGUUGCAGCAACGAUUAAGCAUGAUAUGGUGGCUAACAUACGCAAAUAAGAGCGAGAAGAGAACAAGCGGAACAGUCGUGAAGCUAGCAAUGAUCAAGAGGUGAUCCUGUACUCCUACUUACGUAAAAAAUAACACAGAAACCAUGUUCACUUCCCGGACUCCGCCGAAAAGAGACCAUCACGGCUACACACGCGGUUGACGCGUUUUAAUUCGAAUCAGGUGUCAAGUUAUCUACAACCGGACAUUAACAAAUUCCCAUCUUCCCAUAACCGCGGGCACGGCUUUCGAAAGUUUAUACCCUGCAGGGGUGUCCCAACUUAGCCCAUGAUAAGCUCUCGUGAUCAACGAAGGAUAUACCUUCUCCCAGGAAGACCCGAUCAGACUCGGAAUCCCGGUUUACAAGACAUUUCGACAAUGGUAAAACAAGACCAGCAAAGCCGCCCGAUAUGCUGACAAAUCCCGAUAGGAGUUGCACAUAUCUCGUUCUCAGGGCACACUGGAUAAGUCAAGCUACGAGUAAAACCAGACCUCGAGUUUCCCCGAGGGGGCCCUGCAGGCUGCUCGCUUCGGACCAACACUCGAAGGAGCACUGGCCCGGGGGGGCUAAAAUAAAGAUGACCCUUGGGCUCCGGAAACCCAAGGGAAAAAGGGCUAGGUGAGGCAAAUGGUAAAACCAAGGUUGGGCCUUGCUGGAGGAGUUUUAUUCAAAGCGAACUAUCAAGGGGGUCCCAUAAAUCACUCAACCGCGUAAGGAACGCAAAAUCCGGGAACAUAACACCGGUAUAACAGAAACUAGGGCAGCAAGAGUGGAACAAAGCACUAGGCAUAAGGCCGAGUCUUCCACCCUUUACCAAGUAUAUAGAUGCAUUAAUUAAAUAAGAGAUAUUGUGAUAUCCCAACAUAAUCCUAUCCGUCAUGGAGCAAUCUUCAACUUCACCUGCAACUAACAAUGCUAUAAGAGGGGCUGAGCAAAAGCGGUAACAUAGCCAAACAAUGGUUUGCUAGGAAGGGUGAAAAGGUUAGAGGCUGACAUGGCAAUUUUGGAGGCUUGAAGAGCAAAUGAUAGGUAGCGCAACAAAGCUAUAGAAUGAAGCAACUAGCAUAGCAAUGAUAGUAGUGAGAUCCAGGGUAGCGAUCAUCUUGCCUGAAAUCCCGCAAGGAAGAAAAAUGAGUCCAUGAAGAAGAUGAACGGAUGAAGCCGAACCAAGCGUAGACGAACGAAUCCUCACGAUCGCAACGAAACGGGAACUAUCGAGAAGAAGCACACAACAUAGUAAACACCACACAUAGACAAGACAGGAUGCACAACCAAGCAUGAUGCAUGACAAGGGUACAUGAAGAUACUCAUGGUAAGAGAUGAAGCAAACAAGAGCAACACAUCAAAGCAAGUUUAAAUGAGGCCGAAAGCAACAUAUAACAAUUCCGGUAAGUCCUCACAUGCAAAUUUCGAAAUUGGUCCAGAUCUGAAUAAACCUUAUGUUCAAGUUGUUAAACAGAAAGUUAAGAUGCACCAUGAUGAUCUACAUGAAAUUCUAGUCAAGUUACAUAUAAAGUUCAUUAGAUUUGGAGCUACGGCCUAGAAGAUAUGAGCAAAACAAGUUAAACAUAGUAUUGAUGCAAAAUGCAUACAAACAUCAAGCAAGCACGUCAAAACAAGGAUUCAACAUGAUAACAUGAAACUACAUGCAAUUCUAAGAAAGUUUCAUAUAGAGCACACUCAAAACGGAGCAACGGUUCAACACAUGCACUCUAUACAAGUUUAAAGGACAAGUUGUCCAAAACAGCAACUAGGUAUAUUGCAAGCAUCAAAACAACAUGCUACAGCACCCCCAACAUGAGAACAAAAGGCAUGGACAUGAUGUACAGGUAAUGCAUGACAAUACAUGAGCACUGAGCUAUCUCCAGAAAUCAAUAGAACAUGCUCAAAAAGACAUGGCAAGAUUGCAUAUAAUAACAGUUUCAGACUUUGCAGAAAUAACAUCAGGUUGCAAUGUUUAGAGCUAUCAAACAUCAUGUUACAGGAAUUUAACAUGGCAAACAGAGGCAUGGCAUGAUACUACUAAAUGCAUAUAACAAAAGUCUUUUACUGACCAUAAGCCAAAAAGGAUCAGAAGAUAUGAUGGCACCCAUGUAAACAUGGCAAGUGAUAUGACAGAUUCAUACAUGGCAGGAACAACGAUAAGUAGGCAUGUUGGUGAGCUUGUACCACUCACCAUCGAGCAUUACAUGGCAUGACAAGGCAACCAACAUCAAUAAGACAUGUUUAUGAAGCUAAGCAUGGCAAGAACAAGUUUAUAGGGUGCAUGGAUCACUAGCAAAGCUCAUGGCAAAACUGAACAUCAUGUUAACAGACUGACAGGAACAUUAUUUAGCAACUUUGGAGCAUGAUAACAAAAAUCUACAGCAAACUAUAAAUGCAACCAGGGGCAUGGAUGGAUAGAGCAUGAUAUGUAUAACAAAACAUCCUUAGUUAACAUCUCCAGGUUAUGCAUAGAAUGACUUGUAGCAGCAGGUUUACAUAGCAUCACAAAAUGACAGAUUCAGCCUAGCAAAACAGCAACAGCAAGUAUCCUACUUAACAAGCUUGAUGCACUCACUACAAGACUCACAAAAAUACAUGGCAAGAACCCCUGUAAAGAUGGCAUGACAUAGUUCAAAACACAUGUAGAGCUCAUGCUCAUAGGACGCACACACAAAAUGCAACAAAAAUGACAAAUGAGCAUGUUCUAUUAACAGAUAGCAGACAACAUCUUAUAGCACUCUUGCAACGAUGAUUCAGGCAUCAAGAUGAACUCAAAAAAACAUGGCACAAUGGAAUGAAAUGUAGAGCAUCUCAUGAUGAACAUUUUGAUAUAUUAUAUGCAUGAAACGGAGCUAUGGAUGCAGAGUUAUGAUGCGAUGAAGAGGGGCAUAAAAUGCAAAAAUAACUCUGGACUUAGCAGAAUUUAGGGGGGUCAACCUCGCGGAAUGGAUCUGGAUCUGGGGGCUCGGGUCGAGGCGGGCCAGGAUCGCCGGAGUUGGGGCCAGGGUGGCCGGAGCUUCACCGGAGGAGGGCCGGCGAGGGGAGGCGCGGGGCGCCGGCGUUGAGGAGGAAGGCGGCGACCGGGGGCGGCGACCGGAGAAGGCAAGGGGCGGCGGCGCGGGCUCGGGAGCUCCUCUCCCUGGAGCUCGGCGCGGAGGGAGCCGGGUCUGGAAUGGGCUUCGACGGCGGCGGCGCUCACGAUGGCGGCGGGACAGGCGGCGGGGCGACGGGGAACCUGGCGAGGGGAGGCGCGGGAGGCGGCGCGGGACCNNNNNNNNNNNNNNNNNNNNNNNNNNNNNNNNNNNNNNNNNNNNNNNNNNNNNNNNNNNNNNNNNNNNNNNNNNNNNNNNNNNNNNNNNNNNNNNNNNNNNNNNNNNNNNNNNNNNNNNNNNNNNNNNNNNNNNNNNNNNNNNNNNNNNNNNNNNNNNNNNNNNNNNNNNNNNNNNNNNNNNNNNNNNNNNNNNNNNNNNNNNNNNNNNNNNNNNNNNNNNNNNNNNNNNNNNNNNNNNNNNNNNNNNNNNNNNNNNNNNNNNNNNNNNNNNNNNNNNNNNNNNNNNNNNNNNNNNNNNNNNNNNNNNNNNNNNNNNNNNNNNNNNNNNNNNNNNNNNNACCGGGCGAGGCUCGGCGGCGGGGACCCGGAGGGGCGUGGCGGCGCAGGGAGGCAGGGGGGCCACGCGGUGCCCUCUGGUUGGCUUGGCGCGGCGGCACGGACGUGUCCGGCCGGGGGCGGACGUGUCUGGCUGGGGGCGGACGUGUCCGGGUGCGGAGGAAGAAGAAGGCUAGGGUUUCGGGGGGAUUCAUCCGCCAAUUUGGACGGGGAGGGCAUAUUUAUAGAUUCUGGGAGCUAGGAGAGUCCAAAUGAGGUGCGGUUUUCGCCCACACGAUCGUGAUCGAACGACCGAGAGCAUGGAGGGGGUUAGGAUGGGUUUUGGGCCACUUUGUAGGGUUGUUGGGCUGCAAAGAGAGAGGGGCUUUUACGGUUACCUGGUUAACCGUUGGAGUAUCAAACGACCACCAAAUGGCACGAAACUUGACAGGCGGUCUACCGGUGCUAUACCAAGGCCGCUUGGCAAGACUCGGUCCAUUCCGAGAACGUUUAACACCCGCUCACAACAAGAAACAAAAGGGGGACGCCGGAGGACAUAGGAGUGCCGGAUUGCAAAAUGGACAACGGGGAAACUGCUCGGAUGCAUCAGACGAACACAUCGUAUGAUUCGAUGUUGACGGGUUUAAACCCUUCUAGGAAUUCAUGACCCAUUACUUCAUCAGUGAAGCAGAGGGGGUGUGCGGCGCCUCUGUGCCGGGCUAUGUCACGACACAGUCCGACUAAGUCUGGUCGGUUAUGUUCGGCCCGGCCAGACUUAUUAUUAUGUAUCUGGCAUGACGGUCAUCGUCGUGUGCUAUGGCGCGCGUCCGUGAUCUGUAGAUCGAUCUUGGUUGUCCUGCGUUGUUUUCCAAUAUGUCUCGCAGGUCCUGCGUAUUGCCCCGGGCCAUAGUGAACUGGCGUGGGGGUGCGGGCUAGUAUUCGGUCUGAUACGCCGUUUUAUCCUAGCCACGAGGUGGCCGGUCAGCCUCGUCUUGUGCUGGUAGUGUAGGCUCUGCGGCCUCCUCCCCUAGCUGAGGUAGCAACUUGUGCUUUGUGUAACCCUUGGUGGGGGGCCCCAGUCCGUAUUCCUCGGCGGCCAGGACCUCGGUCCAUCUGUCUGCGAGCAGAUCUUGAUCAGCUUGGAGCUGCUGCUUCUUUUUCAGGCUUCUUGGAGUGGCUAUAAGCCGGCGCUUAAAGUGCUCCCGCUCCAUUGGAACUUCGGGUACACCGAAUUCAUCAUCUCCGAGGCUCACCUCAUCUUCGGAGGGAGGCAUAUAGUUGUCAUCCUCCACGUAUCCAUCCGUCGCCUAUUCCUCGGGGCUGACCUGCCCGUGUUCCUGUUCGGCCUGUUCAAAGGUAGGAUGAUCAGGAUUGUAUUCCUCUUCGGCACCAUCCGGGUUGUUUUCUUCUCCUGUGUCGGUAUUGCUGUGGCGGGGCUUAGAGCGGCACCGAUGACGCCCAUGCUUUGGUUUCUUCCCUAAGGGGUUAUCUUCUGUUGCCUCAUCGCCAUUGUUUUCUUUGGGGGUGUCCACCAUAUAUAUAUAUAUAUAUAUAUAUAUAUAUAUAUAUAUAUAUAUAUAUAUAUAUAUAUAUAUAUAUAUAUAUAUAUAUAUCAUACGAAGAGGUAGCUGUCCAGCGCCCUGUGGGCAGUGGUUCCCGUUCUUCUCCCGCAUCGUCGUCUAUACCGUCGAUGUCUUCGGAGACGAGGUCAAGCACGUCGAUCAAAUCGUCGACAGUGGCUAUUAAGUGGGUGGUGGGUGGGUAACGAAUUUCUUCGUCGCUUGCUUCCCAGUCGAGCCAGACAUAGUUCGGCCAGGAAUCUCCUAACAGAGAGAGACCUUAAUGAAUUUAGCACUUCGCCAAAGGGGGAGUGCAGAAAGAUAUCCGUGGCGGUGAACUCCAUUACUGGAGCCCAAUCGGACUCGAUGGACCCGGGCGCGCGCGGUUCGGAACCCACAUCCGGACAUAGGUCCGGGGGUCCGGUGACGCAGAUUCCCUUAACGGCGGAGUGUGUGUUCGGCUCUACUGCCGAAGAGCAUGCGGCCUCCGGGGCGGGGUCCAUCCACCCGUCCUCGGACAACGCGAUCUGCCCCGAAUUUAGGUCCGGAGCAGCUGCAGGGGCGAUAUCCUGAAUACUGUCCGACAGCAGAUUUAAGUCGUGCUCAUCGUGACUGUUCGGCGCUCCUGAUAUGGGCCCGAAUUCGUCAAAGAUCAAGUCUCCGCGGAUAUCGGCCGUGUAAUUCAAGUUGCCGAACCUGACCUGAUGGCCAGGGGCGUAGCUAUCGAUCUGCUCCAGAUGGCCAAGCAAGUUGGCCCGCGGUGCGAAGCCGCCGAACACGAAGAUCUGUCCGGGGAGAAAAGUCUCGCCCUGGACUGUGUUGUUGAAGGUUGAGGGAGCCAUCGAGCCUUACAGCGACGACACAGAGAAACUCUCAAUGAAAGCACCAAUGUCGGUGUCAAGACAGGCGGAUCUCGUGUAGGGGGUCCCGAACUAUGCGUCUAAGGCUAAUGGUAACAGGAAACCGGGGACACGAUGUUUACCCAGGUUUGGGCCCUCUCGAUGGAGGUAAUACCCUACUUCCUGCUUGAUUGAUCUUGAUGAUCAUGAGUAUUAUAAGAGUUGAUCCACCACGAGAUCGUAGAGGCUAAACCCUAAGCUAUUCUAUGGUAUGAUUGUUGUUGUCCUACGGGCUAAACCCUCCGGUUUAUAUAGACACCGGAGGGGGCUAGGGUUACACAUAGUCGGUUAUAGAGAAGGAUAUCUAUCAUCCAAAUCACCAAGCUUGCCUUCCACGCAAAGGAGAGUCCCAUCCGGACUUGGGACGAAGUCUUCAAUCUUGUAUCUUCAUAGUCCAACAGUUCGUCCAAAGUAUAUAGUCCGGCUGUCCGGAUACCCCCUUAUCCAGGACUCCCUCAAGGGGCGGGGGGACAUCUUAGCGCGAGCAAAUGAAAGUGUGCAGCUUAUGUGGUGAGACAGCUUAGACUAGUGAACCACUUUUCUGAUAUAUCUGGCUAUUUUAAGACUGAACCGAGACAGGAUUUUAGUUCAUUCACUACUAGGCCGACUUGCAUAUAAACCCUUCUUUCCCAAUACCCCACAAUCCAAUAGCAUGACACACCCUAGGUUGGGAAUAGAUCUAAGCUAUGAAUAUUCCUGGGAAGAUGAACUGAAUACUGCAGAACUAUAGAUGCAGACUACCAACAAAGCUUCACUAAGUAGCAACACCACUGGAAAAAAUAGCACCAUAUAGCAUCUCUAAUAGCACGCUAUAGCGUAUUGAGAAUUGCCUCGCUAAAUAUAUCGGUGUAUAAUGUCUUGCAAAUAGCACGCUAUAGCGCGAUAUAGCACGCUAAUAACAUAUUUUUUUAGGUCGCCGCUAUUUUGCUGUAGCGCGUUAUUUUUUUCAUUGAGCAACACCCAGGGUGCUAGUUUCAUUCAUCACAACUCACAAGUAAUGUUGUGUCGUGGUGCGGUUAUAUAGAGAGCCGAACAUGCAAUAGGUCAUAUAUAGCUCCAUGCCAGCCAAGUUACCGUCAAGGAUGUGCCCGCUAUAUCAUGACCCACGGUGAUCCAGAAGGGGCACUAGGGUUCCCCUCACCACCUCAAACCUCCCUGUGCGCACAGAGAGAGAGAGAGAGAUGAUACAAGUGCUUAAAUCCGGAUUUGACUAACCGCCGAAGGGACUAAAAUAAGGAAAACGAUAUAGAUCAACUGGCUGAUAACACCGAACGCAUCAGCCGCCUCCCAGGACAUGCGUGCCUCUUCUUCCGCGACCUUAUCUCUUUCCAUCCACCUACCAUCUUGUUUCUUCCCCAAUCUCCUGCCCACGACUCUCACAAAUUGCUUCAAGGUUGACCGGUGGAGAAUCUGCUGCUGCAAUGGCCUACGAGAUGCGUCCAUGGUAUUGAUUCGCUUGCCAGCAUGGGGAUGCCCUCAGGAAGAGAAAAGGAACGAAAACACUAACGACCAUACGUGUGGCAGUUUUGCAGCUCGCCCACACGCGUGGAUCGCCGUCCCGUCGAGUUUGCACGAAUCUUGACACAAUGAGGCACAAUUCACGUGCCACGUAGGACGGGGCUGGUGUGUGGGCGUUGGAGAGUUCGCCCACACACCCACAGCACGCGGUUUGGCAGCUGCACUGUGUGGGCGAACUAGUUUCUGCCCACACAGCCAACACCUAGUUCACGAGCCUAUGGGCGAGCUGAUUUUUGUCCACACGACACUCGUACGUUAUUGGACAGCAAAUGCAGUUACGCGUACAUGGCAACUAGGUAAACACACAUGGCAACUAUGAUUUCUUGCAAGACAACAACUGCAGUUGCGCGUAUGUGGCAACCAGAUAAAGACACAUGGCAACUUUGAUUAACCAUACAUGGCAACUAUGGUUGGACCACACGUGGCAACUAGGUAAACACAUAUGGCAACUACUGUUUGACCAUAUGUACCAAGUAGUUGUUGGAAAUAUGAGCAAUUUACCGAAUGAUUUUAUUAAUAAAAAUACUAGAUAAAGCAUAACUAAAAUAGCAAAUAUAAAUCAAGUCAUGCAAUCUGACAAAGAGAAGGUAAACAUCGUCUGCAUAUAUGAACUUAAGGUAAACAUAUCUAGAACAGACACUAGAUGAAGUUGCUUAUAUGAAACAGAACCUAACAUACGUAGGGUGGAAACUAGAGCCAAGAACUGUAGGAGGACUUCUAACAGAAAGGAGAAGAACACGUACGGCACAGCAGCAGCAGAAGCGCUGGACUUGGGGUCGGUGUCCUCGCCUGCCAUGUCGUCGAGGAGGUCGUGGACGUCGGGGAAGAAGUCGUCGUCGGGGAAGUAGUCGUCGGCGACCGGAUCGUCCGUGAUGAAGCAGCCAGUAGUCGCGCUGAGCGCUCCCCAAAAACCUUAUCACCCUUCUCCCGUACAGGACUCAAAAGGUGCGAUCUCGGAGGCCUACUGUCCCGACGUGCGGUGCAUGCCGCAAGCCGGGAUGAGGAAGACAGCAGUAGCGCAGAGGUUGGAACUCUGUGGCGAGAGGAAGAGGACCUCCUGAUGUGUCUCUCGGGAGAGGAGCGACCUCUCUUAUAUAGGCAUAGCAGAGGGACGCGAACAGGCUGCGCCGGGAGGUGAAGCAACGGAGGGAGACGAAGUGAACAGGUAGCACAAGAAGAGGUGCGCCGUUCGUAUUCAUUAUCCACUACCGCAAAAACUUUUCAGCUCCCAGGUGACCUUUCGUAUACCCGUAGUGCGUGGCAAAAAUUUAGACAUCGGCUCGGCUCAUUCCCGCAACCCGCGGCGCGUCGUGGCGAGGCGGGCGGCGGAGGAGGAGCGCGCGUGGAUGUCCCUCUUGUUCUCAUGCUCAUACAAGUGGGGAAAGAACCUCCCUUAUAAGGAGUUCCAAUUCCCACUCAACUAGCAAUGUGGGACUAAACUUUAGUAGUAUCCCUUGCCUUGCACAAAUGGGCUAAGUGGGCCUCUAGGAUUUAUUAGGAAUUUCUGAAAUAGUUAUUGGGCUGCCCCAAUAUAGACUAAAUUCCAGCAAUCUCCCACCAGAUCCUAGAGGCACACAGAAAUUUUCCUUUGGUUCCAAAACACUGUUUUAUAUACCGGUACUGCAAUAGAGACUGUUAAGUUGAACUUCCACCUAGAACUCUAUGCUACACUAGUAAGCAACUUGAACAGUGGACUGGGCCUUGAACUGCAAGUUUUCUGCGAAUCUAGCUUUACAUAAAGCCUUGACCGAUACGUGGCUACCGUGGGUCUUCCCCGCGGAUGGAGCUUAUGCGUCAUACUCCGUGACCUUUCAUGAGUUUACUAGAGAGAACCCUACUCUCAUAGAUUGCGACGUUUGACAAUCAGACUCAUAUAGGUGUGUUCUUCAAAAGAUGUUCUGCAGGAUAACAUCUCUGCUUAAAUAAGCCACUUAGAACACAUUAAGAUAUACAUCAACCUGCCAUGCAGAUUAGGAGAGUAUUGCAUCUUCAUGGAGUGGUAUUGUGAAUAGUAGGGAUACUCUCCUCUCAGUUGACCAACAGCUUGUCUUCCACAUCUAAUUCACGGGAUCUCCGAUCACAAAGAAUAGGUUACCACAGUGAACAACUCAUAUUGUGGGUCUCAUACCCAUCUCCCUCGACGCAUUAUCUAUUACAUUACGCGAUAGACCCUUAGUAAAAGGAUCUGCCAGAUUUUUAGACGUUUGGAUAUAAUCCAACGCAAUAACUCCGGAGUUUUUCAUUUUCCUAACAGACUUUAACCUUCUAUGAACGUGUCUUGAUGACUUCAUGUUAUCCUUUGAGCUGCUCACUUUCGUGAUCACAGUUUGAUUGUCGCAGUUCAUAAGGACACCUGGUAUAGGUCUCUCAACAACCGGCAAGUCAUUCAAGAGCCGAAGAAGCCAAUCUGCUUCAACCGUAGCUGUAUCUAGUGCUAUGAGUUCUGCUUCCAUUGUUGACCUCGUUAAGAUGGUCUGCUUGCAAGACUUCAAGAAACAGCGCCACCUCCAUGAGUGAAUACAUAACUGCUCGUGGACUUUAUCUCAUCAGCAUCUGAGAUGCAGUUUGAGUCACUAUACCCUUCAAGCACCUUUGGGUGCCCAGUGUAGUGAAUUCCAUAAUUCGUUGUGCCUUUCAAAUAAUGCAAAACUCUCUCUAGAGCUUUCCAAUGCACAUCUCCUGGUUUUGAAACAAACCAACUCAGUUUGCUAACAGCAAAAGAGAUGUCAGGUCUUGUAGCACUGGCUAAGUACAUAAGAGAGCCAAUAAUCUAAGAAUACUUUAAUUGAUCUCUAGCAAUUCUUCGAUUCUUUUGAAGCAGCACGCUAGCAUCAUAUGGUGUUGGAGAGGGCUUGCAGUCACUAUAGCCAAAGCGACUCAAGAUCUUUUCCACAUAGUGAGAUUGAAGCAAUGUAAUCCCACCAUCAUCAUCUCUCAACAACUUGAUGUUCAGAAUGACAUCAGCCACUCCUAAAUCCUUCAUCUCAAAACUGCGAGAUAGGAAAUCCUUGACCUCCUUAAUAACAUUCAGAUUUGUUCCGAAAAUCAGUAUGUCAUCAACAUACAAGCAAAGCAUAACUCCCUCGCCCCCACCAUGGCGAUAGUACACACAUUUAUCAGCUUCGUUCACAAUAAAGCCUGCAGCUGUUAAAGUUCUUUCGAACUUCUCAUGCCACUGUUUGGGUGCUUGCUUGAGUCCAUACAAAGACUUCAGCAACUUGCACACUUUUCCUUCAUGUUCAUCUAUUACAAAUCCAUCUGGUUGUUCCAUAUAAAUUUCCUCAUCCAACUCUCCAUUUAGGAAAGCAGUCUUAACAUCCAUUGAUGAACGAGAAGACCACGUGAGGCAGCUAGUGAAAGUAGAACUCGAAUAGUGGACAAUCGAGCCACAGGUGAGUAAGUAUCAAAGAAGUCUUCACCUUCCUUUUGGGUAUAACCCUUAGCCACGAGCCGAGCCUUGUACUUUUCGAUAGUACAAUCAGGCCUAAACUUCUUCUUGAAUACCCAUUUGCAUCCUAUAUGUUUGCACCCAUAAGGAUGAUCAGUUAUCUCCCAAGUUUCAUUCGCCAAGAUAGAAUCCAUCUCGCUACGAACUGCUUCCUUCCAGUAGUCAGCAUCUUCAGAUGCAUAGGCCUCUGAAAUAGAACUGGGAGUGUCAUCUAUGAGAUACACAAGAAAAUCAUCACCAAAGGACUUUGCAGUCCUCUGUCUCUUGCUCCUAGUAGGAACUUCAUUGUUCUCCUCCACAGGACUUCCAAAGUGUUCCAUCGAAAUGGCAGUUUCGGUAACUGUAACUGGUUCCUGAUUCGAUGAACUAGGCAUCUCCUGAUUAGAUGAGGUAGCCAUAUCCUUCAUGGGAAAGAUAUCUUCAAAGAAAGUCGCAUCAUUCGACUCCAUGAUCGUACCGACAUGCAUGUCAGGUACCUCAGAUUUUACAACCAAGAAUCUAUAGCCAAUGCUAUGAAAAGCAUAUCCCAGGAAAACACAGUCCACAGUCUCUGGUCCAAGCUUCCGCUUCUUUGGAAUUGGAACAUUGACUUUCGCCAAACAACCCCAUGUUCGUAGAUAAGAGAGUCUUAACCUUUUCUUCUCCCAUUCCUUGAAUGGAGUUAUCUCUUUGUUCUUUGUGGAACUCGGUUUAGGACAUGACAUGCAGUCAAUAUCGCCUCCCCCCACCAUGCCUUGGAGAGACCCGAUGUGUCUAACAUGGCGUUAACCAAAUCAGUUAGAGUACGGUUCUUUCUUUCGGCCACCCCAUUUGACUGAGGUGAAUAGGGAGGCGUCCUCUCAUGGAUCAUAUCAUGUUCCGCACAAAAAGCAUCAAAUUCAUUGGAAAAAUACUCUCCACCAUGGUCGGACCUAAGCCUCUUGAUUUUUUUCGAUCAAGUUGGUUUUCCACUUCAGCUUUAUAGAUCUUGAAAAAGUUCAAAGUCUCAUCCUUAGAUUUCAGAAGAUACACACGACAGUAUCUAGUGGAGUCUUCAAUUAGCGUCAUGAAAUAUUUCUUUCCACCUUUUGUCAACACACCAUUCAUUUCACAUAGAUCUGAAUGUAUGAGCUCUAGUGGUGCAAGAUUUCUCAUUUCCGCAGUCGUGUGAGACUUACGAGGUUGCUUAGCUUUCACACACACUUGACACUUAGAUCCCUUGACAGUGGUGAAACUAGGGAUUAAGUUCAACUUCGCUAGUCGCGACAUGCAACCAAAGUUAACAUGACAAAGACGUGAAUGCCACAUAUUUGAUUCACUAUUGUUACAAAUAUGAUUAACAACUUUAUUGCAAACGUCUGAUAAAGAUAAACGAAACAGGCCUCCUGACUCAUAGCCUUUACCAACAAAGGUUCCAUACUUGGAUAUUACGAAUUUAUUCGACUCAAAGACAAGCUUGUAGCCAUCUCUACACAGAAGAGAUCCGCUAACAAGAUUUUUAUUGACGGAGGGGACAUAAUGUACGUUCUUCAGCCGCACGAUCUUCCCCGAAGUAAACGUUAGAUCGACCGUGCCAACACCACGAACAGAAGCACUUGAACCGUUGCCCAUCAGCAUGGUUGAAGUCCCUAUGGUCUGAUAAGACGAAAACAUGGAAAUAUCACCGCAUACAUGCACAUUAGCACCCGUGUCAAUCAACCUGUCAGGAGAAUGACAUACUGAAAGAAUAGUGGGAAAUAUACCAUACCCAUCAUCCUUCAUGUCAGUGUCUCCAAUGACAACAUUAGCGGUCUUGCCGCCUUUCCCAGGAUGACUCUUGUCAUAGCGAUUAGGGCAACUAGGAGCCCAAUGAUCAGGAUCUCCACACACAUGACAGGCACCUUUCUUCUUGCCAUUCUUCUUCUUGAAGUUCGUGUGUUGCACAGCCUUGUUCUUCCCAUCAAACUUUGCUUUACCAUCAAACUUGCCCUUGUUCUUGAACUUGUGGGGCUGAAAGUUCUGCUUCUGUACCACAUUGGCACUAGAUCCUCCCUCAAUACCUCGAGCACGUGUAUCCUUUGCUCUCGCCUUUUCUUCCACAUCAAGAGUACCAAUGAGAUCCGGAACGGAAAACUCCUGUCUCUUAUGUUUCAGUAAGGUAGCAAAGUUCCUCCAUGAAGGAGGAAGCUUAGUGAUGAUACCCCCGGCAACAGACUUGUUCGGUAGCAUGCAAUUGAAGUGCUCAAGUUUUCUAGCAAAUGAUUGUAUCUCAUGAGCCUGCUCAACCACGGAGCGCUCUUCAGUCAUCCUGUAAUCAUAGAAUUGCUCCAUGAUGUACAGCUCAGUGCCGGCAUCCGAGACCCCAAACUUGGCCUCGAGUGCGUCCCACAUAUCUUUUCCAUUAUCAAUUGACGCAUAAGCAUCAACUAUGUUCUCUCCAAGAAAACUCAAGAGCGUAACCUUAAACAAGGUAUCCAUUUUCUGAAAAGCUUGUGCCUGUUGGGCAUCUUGUUCUCCUUCAGGUUUGCCAAGAGUGGCGUCAUAGCAACUCAUGGUUUAAAACCAUAAGACUGCUCUCACGCGCCACCUCUUAUAGUGGAUACCCUCAAACAUAGGAGGUCUCAUGGAAGCAGCAAAACCACUUGGGGUAAAUUGCCUAUAAUAAGGUUUUUGGAUUGUUGAAAAUAUGAGCAAUUUACCAAAUGAUUUUAUUAACAAAAAUACUAGAUAAAGCAUGACUAAAAUAGCAAAUAUAAAGCAAGUCAUGCAAUCUGACAGAGAGAAGGUAAACAUCGGCUGCAUAUAUGAACUUGAGGUAAACACAUCUAGAACAGACACUAGAUGAAGUUGCUUAUACGAAACAGAACCUAACAUAUGUAGGGCAGAAACUAGAGCCAAGAACUGUAGGAGGACUUCUAACAAAAAGGAGAAGAACACGUAUGACACAGCAGCAGCAGAAGCGCUAGACUUGGGAUCAGUGUCCUCGCCUGCCAUGUCGUCGAGGAGGUCGUGGACGUCGGGGAAGUAGUCGUCGGUGACCGAAUCGUCCGUGAUGAAGCAGCCAGUAGUCACGCUGAGCGCUCCCCAAAAACCUUAUCACCCUUCUCCCGUACAGGACUCAAAAGGUUCGGUCUCGGAGGCCUACUGUCCCAACGUGCGGUGCACGCCGCAAGCCGGGAUGAGAAAGACAGCAGUAGCGCAGAGGUUGGAACUGUGUGGCGAGAGGAAGAGGACCUUCUGAUGUGUCUCUCGGGAGAGGAGCGACCUCUCUUAUAUAGACAUCGGCUCGGCUCAUUCCCGCAACCCACGGUGCGUCGUGACGAGGCGUGGCAUGGCGAGGCGGGCGGCGGAGGAGGAGCGCGCGUGGAUGUCCCUCUUGUUCUCAUGCUCAUACACGUGGGAAAAGAACCUCCCUUAUAAGGAGGUCCAAUUCCCAUUCAACUAGCAAUGUGGGACUAAACUUUAGUGGUAUCCCUUGCCUUGCACAAAUGGGCUAAGUGGGCCUCUAGAAUUUAUUAGGAAUUUAUGAAAUAGUUAUUGGGCUGCCCCAAUAUAGACUAAAUUCCAGCAGUAGUUAAUCACACACGGCAACUAUGGUUUGAUUACACGCGGCAACUACCAUAUAUUAGAUAUGGCAACUAUAGUUAACCAAAACAGAUAGAGUUGCCAUACUUUUACAACUACAAUCGCCAUUCCCGGAUAACUAUAUCUGUCAUCCCGGAUGCCAACUAAAUCAUCAUCUCGCAGACACCUAACGUAGCUACGCCUCGAUGUGUGGGUAUUUUUUACUCGUGCCACACGCGCGGGAUGAAGAUGAGUAGUACUUUAUUGUGCGUGUGGCACGAAGUAACUGCGUCCACACGUGUGGGCAAUUCUCAUGUUCGCCCACACUCAACCAGUGUAGGUUGCCUCCUGCUCACGGCACACACGAUGUAAGGGCGGAUGGCUAGUAUGCCACACGUGUGGCAGUUAUUGUCGUCCAAAAAGAAAUAAACUGAGAGGCAACAAAACCGAGGGUAUGUCCACAGAACUGCACGAUAAACGUGAUUAGCCAUCUCAAAACCGAUGUCAACAAAAGCUGGCAGUUCCUUAGAGGAUUCAUAACUUUUGGACUCUAUUCAUAUCAUCAUUGUAGGUAACAGAGUAACUGGGUUAAUUGUGUUUUGUAGAUAAGAAAUUCACAUGAUUUAUCCUUGUUGAUAGAAAGAAAGCUAGUUUAAGAUGAAAAGGAAGUGCUCGCGGAUGUGAAUGUGAACACAAUGAAGCAUGCCUCCUUUGCAAUCAAUUUAUCAAAUCUGUUGUGCAAAUUUUCUGUCAGUGGCCCUUCUAUGUUGAAACAUGGUUUAAGCUCGGUCCAACGCAUAUUGAGUUAAGUUCCAUCAAGAUCAAUGCUCUGAUUGGUGGAGUAACGUCGCUACUGGGUACCAAAAGAAUGCAACUACUGCUGCCAUUUUUUCCUGACAUAUAUGGAACAAACGAAACCAUUGUAUUUUUCAGAACUCCAUCGCCAACCAUGAUGUCGCUGCCAGUCAGAGAUCAACUUUGACGGUGCCCCAUAUCAGUAGGUUUAAUCUCUGCAGGUUAAGCUCUCUCAUUGUCGUACAGUCAGCGUCUAAUGAAGACUGAACCCCUUUCUUGUUCUCUUGAAUUAUUACAUGUAUCUUCCUAGUCUAUAAUGGAAAGGACAAGUACCUGUCAGUUUAUCUUAUCUUCAAAAAAAGAUGAAAAGGAAUUGAAGGAAGUCAGCUAACUUUAUCUGUUUGAUUAAUGCUAGUAAACAUUGUUCAUGACACCUUUUUCUGAUCUUGGCACGCACUACACUGUGCAGAGCGCGAUCAUUUGCAUGAUUUUGUCGUUGUGUGCAACACACACAAGACACCAAGGGCCGGAAAGGUUCCUUCACCUAUUCGAGGGAGGAAGCGCAGCGAACGUGGAACCACACAAUCAAUGUAGAUGCACGCCAAAGAUUUACACCGGUUCGGGCCGCGCGUACGCAUAACACUGUACUCCUUUUUUGCGUAUAUGUGGGAUGCACGGAGAGCUACAAGUUUGUCCCAAGACGGAAAUUGCUAACUACUGCCUCAACUAUCUCAGAGCAUCUCUAGCAGACCCCGUAUAAUGCUCCGACCGUAAAAUAACCGCAAAAAAUACGGGUCGCGUGAAAAAAAAACUGCCCGAUCAGACCUCGUAUCGGGCCGCGACCUAAAAAAAAUUGUGGGGCGCGGCAAAAAUUUGCCCUCAACCUUUAGAUUUACGGGGUGGGAGGCCGACCCGAGCUCGCCCCCUAUUCGUAGCGAGAUUUGGCGCGAGGGAAAUUUCCGCGCGUCCGUUCCUGCUUCUCACCCCCUUCGCCGCCAUUGCCCCGCCUCGGCCCGCUCCGGUCCAUCUUCCCUGGCCAUUCUUCGCCGCCAUGAAGCCUCCAGCCGCCCCCGUCAUCGUGGAUGUCGCACCCGCGCAAUCCCCUCCGGCAGAUCUCGUCGCUGGCCAUGUCGCCCCCGCCAUCUCUCAAGGCACCACCGUGCCUGUUCGCAAGCGGCAGGGCAAUGUGGUCAUGCAGGGCGGAAAUCCUACUAUCCCCACCGGGAAGGCAAGGGCGCCAGGCGCCGCCACCUCUGCGCGAUCUGCCUGACCGUGCCGGAGAAGAAGGGCAAGGUUUCGACCGUGAAGCACAAGAAGUCUCCUAUGAAAAGGCCGGCGACUUCAUCCUCUUCCUCCGCCGUGGCAAGAGGUACCCCAACGAUGCCCUUCAAAGGUGUUGCUUCAACCGCAAGCGAGGUGUUCGACGAAAUGGUCGGAAGGUAUGCUUCUUUGAUUUCUUCUACUUGCUUUGGUUUUCGCCAUUGCGGUAGCGCGUGACUUAAUGACACUCACUGUAGCGCCGAUUCGAACGAUGCCACUGCCAAGUUCGUCAACUUGUUGGACACCAACAACAACAGGAGUUGGAACCAGUGUUGCUGAUGCUUUAAGUGCGCCCGGCGAUGCUUUCGUUGCCGGAGUUGGAACAAAGUGCCGGUGAUGGACUCGGAGGCGGCGAUGGCAUCGAUGGCGGUACUGCGGAGUGAAGAUCAUGACGACGGGUGAAAAGCGACCAAGAUGAUGAUGGAUGUGGUCAUUGCUUUUGCAUGAUGUCCUUUUGUGUUUGUCGUAGAAAACUAUGCUUUUAUUUGCGUGCGAACUAUGUUUUAUUCUUCGAGUUUGAACUCAAUCGUCGGAAUCGUUGUCAAAUUGGCUACUCUGGGUUUUCAAUUGGCAGGCCGAUGCGGCCUGUGAAUAUACUGUUUAACGGGUCGGCUACGCGGUGUCUGCUCGGCCGCAGCCUGCGUCGGCCCGCAAAACCGUGUUUCACGACCAGCAAACUAGUUUUGCGGGUCGGCAUUUUAUGGGGUCUACUAGAGAUGCCUUAAUGUAGUAGUCAGGUCCUCCUUUUAUGACUCAAGGGCAUAAGGGCUAUAGUGAUCUAUACCUGACUCUGACAGAAUAGGACAAAUGCAUUAAAUGAUCCGUUGGGUGUCAUCCUCUUUUGGCCUCCUGUAACAAACGCUUUUGGCCUCAAUAGUUCUUUCAAGUUCGUACAUUGACAGGCUUGUUUCACAAAUUUUACUGAUUCCUAAUAUUGUUUUGACAGGUCGUUGCGAUUACUGUAUUCUUCCUUCUGGUGUUUGCAUUUUAUGCCUUCUUUGCACCAUUUCUGGGAACGCAAGUCCCUGAGUAUGUUGCGGUAGGCAUUUAUACUCCCAUGGUAAGUCUUAAAAAGUCUCAUUGUUUUUUAUGUCUUUUUGAUCAUCUGCAGAGAGUUAUCUUGUGGUAUCAUGAAACAUCAUUUCCACUCUUCGCAUGCAUUGACAGUCUUCAUCCUUUAGAUCGGGUGCACAAGUUUUAAUCCUGCUGAUCCUGGUAUCAUGGUAAGGUUUGAGGAUGGUUGUGUUGAUGUACCUGCCAACAAUGAUGGAUUGGCAGGCAUAAACUUGCCCCAGAAAGCAAACAACGCUAUUUGAACACACUCCCCAAGAUCUACUUGCGGAAGCUCUCUAGAUGGCCAUCCUAAUCAAAGAGGUACAUCUGUAGGGGAAGCAAACAUACAUGUGAGCUCACAACUACCAAAGAAAAGAUCAAGAUGUUUCCACUUUGGUGGGCUCGUGUGUGCUUUAUUUGUUAAGGAGGACUGCCGGAAGUCUGAUGAAUCAGAGAAACAAGCUAUUGGCGAAGAAGCUCUGUUUUGCACAUUAUGCAAUGCUGAGGUAUGCUUCUUUAGCUUUUGGCUAUGCAGCAUGCAGCCGAAUAGUCAAUUUGGAGCAUAGGCACAUUGCGCUCUUUUUUUAAGUUAAUUUUUUUAUUGACUUUUACUGCUUGAAAACAUCCAUAAUUUUGUGUAGAUGCACAUAUGGAAGUGUAGUAUAACUUUGCAAAAUUUCAUCAAUUUACGUGUUUGUACGUGACAUAUAAAAAAAAUAGACAAAUACGUAUUACCUAUAUUAUUGUUUCGUUUAUACAAUAAUAUUAUUAUGGUUGCACAUUAUUUUUACCUUCUGGAAGUGCAACUAUUACUGUUUAAGAUCCAUGAAUUAACUUCUUAGCUGUUGGGCCUGUCAUUGGCUUACUACUUACCUAUAGUGCUUGCAUGUUGGACCUAAUGUAUACUAAGCAUUACUCACCGGUUCUUACUUUUUAGAACAAGUCUUGUUAGCCGAUAAUUAACUGAAUUCUGAUAUUAUUAUGUCCAGGGUAUAUUCACACUUCUGUCAUUAGUGGCAUGCAUACCUUUAGGAGAACUUUUCUUCUUCCACAUGAUAUUGAUCAGAAAGGUUUGCCUCACACCUCAUACUUGAAAUGUACUCCAUCUGUAAACUAAUAUAAGAGCAUUUAGAUCAAUGUUUUAAAUAGCGGGCUAUGGAAAAUAGCGGCGGGCCUCCAAAUCAGCUAUAGCGGGCUAUUUGUGAAGGCGACCAUUUAGCGGCACCCUGCUGAAACGGCCGUAACUGGCUAUAGCGGAGCUAUAGCCGGCUAUUUAAAACUAUGAUUUAGAUCACUUCCUUAGUGAUCUAAAUGCUCUUAUAUCCGUUUACAGAGGGAGUAAUACAUAGUGGGAUGUUUAUCUUGCUUUCUUAGCUAGGUUCCUUCUUUAAUUCUCUAUCAGGGGAUCUCAACCUAUGGUUAUGUGGUUGCAAUGAGAGCUAUGAGUGAGGGGAUUCCAGAGGACGAGGAGGGAGCAAAUAUCAUCUAUUCCUCCUCAAAUUCAGCAACAACUGGAUUCAGUGCUGGAAGUUCUCCUGGCCUUCACCACAAGGGUGCUAGGUGUACACCUCCAAGAAUAAUUAUGAUCAGGUAAGCUGCCUAUGUAAAUUGCAAGAUUUUUGAAAGUUUAAUCAUGACUCUCAGCUGGAAAAAAAUUAUUUAUAUUGUUUGAGACAAUUGUAAGACAAUUGUAAGACUACUGAAUUUAGUUGUGCUGAAACUUUCAACCAGGAUGCAGUGAUUCCACAUUUGGACCCUGGGAUGGUUCCUUCAACCGUUGAUCCUGAUGCUGCUGGAUACGCUGAAAGAGCAAACAAAGCCAAGAAGCCAUUCACGAUCGGUGCGCGGAUCCUUGCAAAGCUGGACAUAAACGAGGUGACGAAAGUUCAGGAAAAACCUUGGGCACCAUCCUCUGUUUUCCCACCAAUAGAUGUCCGCCAUGGACAUGAAGCUGAUAUUAGCUCCAGUGGCAAUGCCAGCGUCAAGAGUUGUAUGAGUAUUGAUUACAGCGGUACAUAGGAAUUGAGGAGUGAGAUGAGGCCGUCUCCUCUAAAUACCUCAUAUCCAUAGAGUCUUGCAAGCCAGGAUGCUAUGAGACUGGCACACAGACUGCAAGCAGUUUAAGCAGCCUGGUCCACAUCCACAAGCUUACCCCUCAUGCUAAUUUUUGUGCAGCACCUCAUCCUGGUCCACCUCCUGAAAGGCCUGCGCCAGGGAUUACAAGGCCACCUGUUCCUACCACAUACAUAAGUAACAAAGCCAUGUUCCAAUCGGCCAUAUCAUAUGUGAGAGAGAACCGAAGAGUCUCUAUUGUCUGGGAUCAAGAGGCUGGUCAGUACGUGUCAAUGCCCAUGCAAACAACAGGAAAUAGACCCGGAGUUGAGCUGCCUGUAAGAAACCCAAGUUUCUUGGCGAAUCCAAGUGAAGAACCAGGAAACAACCAGGAAACCAUGGGAGAAAUCUUGCAGAUGCGACCACAACUCAUCAUCGAUUCCUUCGGGCCAGCCGGCUGAGAGAUUGAUGUACACAUGCCAAUCAGUAUUCUUUGGUGGGCCAAUCUUGAGUACCGCCAAAAUAAAUGCAGAAAGGAAUGAGGCUAGCACAAGAGUGUGUCCUGAGGGAAGCAGAGAUCCCAACUCCCACCAGCGGGACAUCCGUGGCGAGAAGCUCGGACAUGCUCAUGCCCGUUGUUUGAGCCUAGGAAUUUCUAGAAGAACCUGCUUUGUUGGCAAGUGACUUUUACCUUCUGUUUUACUGUUCUCUAUGUCGUCUGCUCAAGUGCCACCAUGACGGUGGGGGUGAAAAUACAAAGAACUGCUGAAACGGUUGCUCCUUCGGGGCAGCAAUGAUACAGAGACGUUCAUGAUCUUUAGAGCUUUAUAGUGAGCAAGGAUGGCGCUAACUUUGUUUGAUGUUUACGAACUGACUGAUAUAUGUUGUUGUUUUUUCUUUCACGUGCGUUAGGAGUUCAGUUGUUUGAUGCGCUUGAUAGGUAGUAGAAGAGUGGAUUAAACUGUUCUUGAUGUGUAGAACCUUUUGAUUUGCAGCUGACUUUGUUCACAUUGCGGACUUUGGAGUGUUCCCUUAGCUACUAUGGUAAUCGUUACUCACAUGUGAAAGCAUCAUCUCCAACUGUCUUAGUGUUUGAUUGUUUCUCUUUCAGUUGUGUUGAAGGAAUGAAUUUGAUCCAAGUGAUAUUGUUUUUCUGUGCCGUUGUUCAUCUGUCAAACGUCUGUGAUUACGCUUGAACAAGUAUUGUAUUGUAUCAUGAAUUCAUGACUAAUGUAGUAGCAGAAGUUAAACAUAGCUUCAUGCAUCCGUAGGUUAUGGAUACUCCAAGGAAGCAUCAUCAGGUGCACGAGCAGCCUGUACAAUCCGACAUCUUGAUCGAAGCAACAUCCUUCCCAAUACCUCGCAAUCCGAUUACGCUUCACCUCAUGCGGUAAACAUAUCUUGAAUCCAUAUACCAUCGGAGAAGAACACAAUGGAGGAUGUAGAUAAUACUAUUGGUGGCUAGGGUGUUUAUUCUAUUGCAUGUGGUGGCCAGGAUGUUUGUGCUAUGCAUUGCAGGACAUGUUGUACCCUGGGGGAUAUAUAUAGAGAGCUAGGGAUAUAAUGGCCAUGUGUAGACCUCGCUAUAAACCAGAAUGUACAACCCGUUGGUACAAACCUGAAUGUCCUGGCUUGUAGAGAUCCCAACCACCUCCAUCCAUGACAUAAUUGAUUCACCAACUGGCAUUGAGACACCCUCACAAAAGGCAAAAGGAAAAUCCAAGAGGCAAUAAAAUCAGAGGAUACUUCCNNNNNNNNNNCGGCGAUGCUUUCGUUGCCGGAGUUGGAACAAAGUGCCGGUGAUGGACUCGGAGGCGGCGAUGGCAUCGAUGGCGGUACUGCGGAGUGAAGAUCAUGACGACGGGUGAAAAGCGACCAAGAUGAUGAUGGAUGUGGUCAUUGCUUUUGCAUGAUGUCCUUUUGUGUUUGUCGUAGAAAACUAUGCUUUUAUUUGCGUGCGAACUAUGUUUUAUUCUUCGAGUUUGAACUCAAUCGUCGGAAUCGUUGUCAAAUUGGCUACUCUGGGUUUUCAAUUGGCAGGCCGAUGCGGCCUGUGAAUAUACUGUUUAACGGGUCGGCUACGCGGUGUCUGCUCGGCCGCAGCCUGCGUCGGCCCGCAAAACCGUGUUUCACGACCAGCAAACUAGUUUUGCGGGUCGGCAUUUUAUGGGGUCUACUAGAGAUGCCUUAAUGUAGUAGUCAGGUCCUCCUUUUAUGACUCAAGGGCAUAAGGGCUAUAGUGAUCUAUACCUGACUCUGACAGAAUAGGACAAAUGCAUUAAAUGAUCCGUUGGGUGUCAUCCUCUUUUGGCCUCCUGUAACAAACGCUUUUGGCCUCAAUAGUUCUUUCAAGUUCGUACAUUGACAGGCUUGUUUCACAAAUUUUACUGAUUCCUAAUAUUGUUUUGACAGGUCGUUGCGAUUACUGUAUUCUUCCUUCUGGUGUUUGCAUUUUAUGCCUUCUUUGCACCAUUUCUGGGAACGCAAGUCCCUGAGUAUGUUGCGGUAGGCAUUUAUACUCCCAUGGUAAGUCUUAAAAAGUCUCAUUGUUUUUUAUGUCUUUUUGAUCAUCUGCAGAGAGUUAUCUUGUGGUAUCAUGAAACAUCAUUUCCACUCUUCGCAUGCAUUGACAGUCUUCAUCCUUUAGAUCGGGUGCACAAGUUUUAAUCCUGCUGAUCCUGGUAUCAUGGUAAGGUUUGAGGAUGGUUGUGUUGAUGUACCUGCCAACAAUGAUGGAUUGGCAGGCAUAAACUUGCCCCAGAAAGCAAACAACGCUAUUUGAACACACUCCCCAAGAUCUACUUGCGGAAGCUCUCUAGAUGGCCAUCCUAAUCAAAGAGGUACAUCUGUAGGGGAAGCAAACAUACAUGUGAGCUCACAACUACCAAAGAAAAGAUCAAGAUGUUUCCACUUUGGUGGGCUCGUGUGUGCUUUAUUUGUUAAGGAGGACUGCCGGAAGUCUGAUGAAUCAGAGAAACAAGCUAUUGGCGAAGAAGCUCUGUUUUGCACAUUAUGCAAUGCUGAGGUAUGCUUCUUUAGCUUUUGGCUAUGCAGCAUGCAGCCGAAUAGUCAAUUUGGAGCAUAGGCACAUUGCGCUCUUUUUUUAAGUUAAUUUUUUUAUUGACUUUUACUGCUUGAAAACAUCCAUAAUUUUGUGUAGAUGCACAUAUGGAAGUGUAGUAUAACUUUGCAAAAUUUCAUCAAUUUACGUGUUUGUACGUGACAUAUAAAAAAAAUAGACAAAUACGUAUUACCUAUAUUAUUGUUUCGUUUAUACAAUAAUAUUAUUAUGGUUGCACAUUAUUUUUACCUUCUGGAAGUGCAACUAUUACUGUUUAAGAUCCAUGAAUUAACUUCUUAGCUGUUGGGCCUGUCAUUGGCUUACUACUUACCUAUAGUGCUUGCAUGUUGGACCUAAUGUAUACUAAGCAUUACUCACCGGUUCUUACUUUUUAGAACAAGUCUUGUUAGCCGAUAAUUAACUGAAUUCUGAUAUUAUUAUGUCCAGGGUAUAUUCACACUUCUGUCAUUAGUGGCAUGCAUACCUUUAGGAGAACUUUUCUUCUUCCACAUGAUAUUGAUCAGAAAGGUUUGCCUCACACCUCAUACUUGAAAUGUACUCCAUCUGUAAACUAAUAUAAGAGCAUUUAGAUCAAUGUUUUAAAUAGCGGGCUAUGGAAAAUAGCGGCGGGCCUCCAAAUCAGCUAUAGCGGGCUAUUUGUGAAGGCGACCAUUUAGCGGCACCCUGCUGAAANNNNNNNNNNCUUGAACAAGUAUUGUAUUGUAUCAUGAAUUCAUGACUAAUGUAGUAGCAGAAGUUAAACAUAGCUUCAUGCAUCCGUAGGUUAUGGAUACUCCAAGGAAGCAUCAUCAGGUGCACGAGCAGCCUGUACAAUCCGACAUCUUGAUCGAAGCAACAUCCUUCCCAAUACCUCGCAAUCCGAUUACGCUUCACCUCAUGCGGUAAACAUAUCUUGAAUCCAUAUACCAUCGGAGAAGAACACAAUGGAGGAUGUAGAUAAUACUAUUGGUGGCUAGGGUGUUUAUUCUAUUGCAUGUGGUGGCCAGGAUGUUUGUGCUAUGCAUUGCAGGACAUGUUGUACCCUGGGGGAUAUAUAUAGAGAGCUAGGGAUAUAAUGGCCAUGUGUAGACCUCGCUAUAAACCAGAAUGUACAACCCGUUGGUACAAACCUGAAUGUCCUGGCUUGUAGAGAUCCCAACCACCUCCAUCCAUGACAUAAUUGAUUCACCAACUGGCAUUGAGACACCCUCACAAAAGGCAAAAGGAAAAUCCAAGAGGCAAUAAAAUCAGAGGAUACUUCCGUAGAACCCCACGGCAAGAAUGUUUAGCCGUCUCAAAACUGAUGUGAACAAUAGAUGACGGUAGCAUCCACAACCCUUGGGGCUACACCUCUAUACAUCUCUCCUAUAGAAGAAACACCGACCUAUCUUCAGAACACGCUUUCCAACCUAAUUUUUGGUAUCAUCACCGUAGUAUAAUAGAGUAAUUGAGUUUAAGUGGGGGGUUUUUAUAUAAGGAGAAAUUUAUAUAAUUUUUCCUUGUUGAUAGAAAGAAAGCUAGUUUAAGAUGAAAAGGAAGUGCUCGUGGAUGUGGAUGUGAGCAAAAUGAUGCAUGCCCCCUUUGCAAUCAAUCUGUUGAAUCUUUUGGGCAUAUUUUCUGUCGAUGCCUCUUCUCCGUCGAAACCUGAUUUAAGCUCAGCCUAACGCGCAUUGACUUAAGCUCUAUCAAGAAAAACGCCCUUGGAAUCAUCAAUGAGUAGUGGAUCAACGUCGCUACUAUGAACCAAAAAAAGAUCAGAAGGAAGUAAGAUAACUUUAUGUUUGAUUAAUGUUAGUAAACAUUGUUCAUGGCACCUUUUCAUGAUCUUCGCAUGCACUGCACAUAGUGUGACCCUUUCCAUACACUUGUUGAAACAAAUUGAUGCCUAAAAUAUUAAUCAAACAUUGUCACCCCCUUCGCCGCCAUUGCCCCGCCUCGGCCCGCUCCGGUCCAUCUUCCCUGGCCAUUCUUCGCCGCCAUGAAGCCUCCAGCCGCCCCCGUCAUCGUGGAUGUCGCACCCGCGCAAUCCCCUCCGGCAGAUCUCGUCGCUGGCCAUGUCGCCCCCGCCAUCUCUCAAGGCACCACCGUGCCUGUUCGCAAGCGGCAGGGCAAUGUGGUCAUGCAGGGCGGAAAUCCUACUAUCCCCACCGGGAAGGCAAGGGCGCCAGGCGCCGCCACCUCUGCGCGAUCUGCCUGACCGUGCCGGAGAAGAAGGGCAAGGUUUCGACCGUGAAGCACAAGAAGUCUCCUAUGAAAAGGCCGGCGACUUCAUCCUCUUCCUCCGCCGUGGCAAGAGGUACCCCGACGAUGCCCUUCAAAGGUGUUGCUUCCACCGCAAGCGAGGUGUUCGACGAAAUGGUCGGAAGGUAUGCUUCUUUGAUUUCUUCUACUUGCUUUGGUUUUCGCCAUUGCGGUAGCGCGUGACUUAAUGACACUCACUGUAGCGCCGAUUCGAACGAUGCCACUGCCAAGUUCGUCAACUUGUUGGACACCAACAACAACAGGAGUUGGAACCAGUGUUGCUGAUGCUUUAAGUGCGCUCGGCGAUGCUUUCGUUGCCGGAGUUGGAACAAAGUGCCGGUGAUGGACUCGGAGGCGGCGAUGGCAUCGAUGGCGGUACUGCGGAGUGAAGAUCAUGACGACGGGUGAAAAGCGACCAAGAUGAUGAUGGAUGUGGUCAUUGCUUUUGCAUGAUGUCCUUUUGUGUUUGUCGUAGAAAACUAUGCUUUUAUUUGCGUGCGAACUAUGUUUUAUUCUUCGAGUUUGAACUCAAUCGUCGGAAUCGUUGUCAAAUUGGCUACUCUGGGUUUUCAAUUGGCAGGCCGAUGCGGCCUGUGAAUAUACUGUUUAACGGGUCGGCUACGCGGUGUCUGCUCGGCCGCAGCCUGCGUCGGCCCGCAAAACCGUGUUUCACGACCAGCAAACUAGUUUUGCGGGUCGGCAUUUUAUGGGGUCUACUAGAGAUGCCUUAAUGUAGUAGUCAGGUCCUCCUUUUAUGACUCAAGGGCAUAAGGGCUAUAGUGAUCUAUACCUGACUCUGACAGAAUAGGACAAAUGCAUUAAAUGAUCCGUUGGGUGUCAUCCUCUUUUGGCCUCCUGUAACAAACGCUUUUGGCCUCAAUAGUUCUUUCAAGUUCGUACAUUGACAGGCUUGUUUCACAAAUUUUACUGAUUCCUAAUAUUGUUUUGACAGGUCGUUGCGAUUACUGUAUUCUUCCUUCUGGUGUUUGCAUUUUAUGCCUUCUUUGCACCAUUUCUGGGAACGCAAGUCCCUGAGUAUGUUGCGGUAGGCAUUUAUACUCCCAUGGUAAGUCUUAAAAAGUCUCAUUGUUUUUUAUGUCUUUUUGAUCAUCUGCAGAGAGUUAUCUUGUGGUAUCAUGAAACAUCAUUUCCACUCUUCGCAUGCAUUGACAGUCUUCAUCCUUUAGAUCGGGUGCACAAGUUUUAAUCCUGCUGAUCCUGGUAUCAUGGUAAGGUUUGAGGAUGGUUGUGUUGAUGUACCUGCCAACAAUGAUGGAUUGGCAGGCAUAAACUUGCCCCAGAAAGCAAACAACGCUAUUUGAACACACUCCCCAAGAUCUACUUGCGGAAGCUCUCUAGAUGGCCAUCCUAAUCAAAGAGGUACAUCUGUAGGGGAAGCAAACAUACAUGUGAGCUCACAACUACCAAAGAAAAGAUCAAGAUGUUUCCACUUUGGUGGGCUCGUGUGUGCUUUAUUUGUUAAGGAGGACUGCCGGAAGUCUGAUGAAUCAGAGAAACAAGCUAUUGGCGAAGAAGCUCUGUUUUGCACAUUAUGCAAUGCUGAGGUAUGCUUCUUUAGCUUUUGGCUAUGCAGCAUGCAGCCGAAUAGUCAAUUUGGAGCAUAGGCACAUUGCGCUCUUUUUUUAAGUUAAUUUUUUUAUUGACUUUUACUGCUUGAAAACAUCCAUAAUUUUGUGUAGAUGCACAUAUGGAAGUGUAGUAUAACUUUGCAAAAUUUCAUCAAUUUACGUGUUUGUACGUGACAUAUAAAAAAAAUAGACAAAUACGUAUUACCUAUAUUAUUGUUUCGUUUAUACAAUAAUAUUAUUAUGGUUGCACAUUAUUUUUACCUUCUGGAAGUGCAACUAUUACUGUUUAAGAUCCAUGAAUUAACUUCUUAGCUGUUGGGCCUGUCAUUGGCUUACUACUUACCUAUAGUGCUUGCAUGUUGGACCUAAUGUAUACUAAGCAUUACUCACCGGUUCUUACUUUUUAGAACAAGUCUUGUUAGCCGAUAAUUAACUGAAUUCUGAUAUUAUUAUGUCCAGGGUAUAUUCACACUUCUGUCAUUAGUGGCAUGCAUACCUUUAGGAGAACUUUUCUUCUUCCACAUGAUAUUGAUCAGAAAGGUUUGCCUCACACCUCAUACUUGAAAUGUACUCCAUCUGUAAACUAAUAUAAGAGCAUUUAGAUCAAUGUUUUAAAUAGCGGGCUAUGGAAAAUAGCGGCGGGCCUCCAAAUCAGCUAUAGCGGGCUAUUUGUGAAGGCGACCAUUUAGCGGCACCCUGCUGAAAAGGCCGUAACUGGCUAUAGCGGAGCUAUAGCCGGCUAUUUAAAACUAUGAUUUAGAUCACUUCAUUAGUGAUCUAAAUGCUCUUAUAUCCGUUUACAGAGGGAGUAAUACAUAGUGGGAUGUUUAUCUUGCUUUCUUAGCUAGGUUCCUUCUUUAAUUCUCUAUGAGGGGAUCUCAACCUAUGGUUAUGUGGUUGCAAUGAGAGCUAUGAGUGAGGGGAUUCCAGAGGACGAGGAGGGAGCAAAUAUCAUCUAUUCCUCCUCAAAUUCAGCAACAACUGGAUUCAGUGCUGGAAGUUCUCCUGGCCUUCACCACAAGGGUGCUAGGUGUACACCUCCAAGAAUAAUUAUGAUCAGGUAAGCUGCCUAUGUAAAUUGCAAGAUUUUUGAAAGUUUAAUCAUGACUCUCAGCUGGAAAAAAAUUAUUUAUAUUGUUUGAGACAAUUGUAAGACAAUUGUAAGACUACUGAAUUUAGUUGUGCUGAAACUUUCAACCAGGAUGCAGUGAUUCCACAUUUGGACCCUGGGAUGGUUCCUUCAACCGUUGAUCCUGAUGCUGCUGGAUACGCUGAAAGAGCAAACAAAGCCAAGAAGCCAUUCACGAUCGGUGCGCGGAUCCUUGCAAAGCUGGACAUAAACGAGGUGACGAAAGUUCAGGAAAAACCUUGGGCACCAUCCUCUGUUUUCCCACCAAUAGAUGUCCGCCAUGGACAUGAAGCUGAUAUUAGCUCCAGUGGCAAUGCCAGCGUCAAGAGUUGUAUGAGUAUUGAUUACAGCGGUACAUAGGAAUUGAGGAGUGAGAUGAGGCCGUCUCCUCUAAAUACCUCAUAUCCAUAGAGUCUUGCAAGCCAGGAUGCUAUGAGACUGGCACACAGACUGCAAGCAGUUUAAGCAGCCUGGUCCACAUCCACAAGCUUACCCCUCAUGCUAAUUUUUGUGCAGCACCUCAUCCUGGUCCACCUCCUGAAAGGCCUGCGCCAGGGAUUACAAGGCCACCUGUUCCUACCACAUACAUAAGUAACAAAUCCAUGUUCCAAUCGGCCAUAUCAUAUGUGAGAGAGAACCGAAGAGUCUCUAUUGUCUGGGAUCAAGAGGCUGGUCAGUACGUGUCAAUGCCCAUGCAAACAACAGGAAAUAGACCCGGAGUUGAGCUGCCUGUAAGAAACCCAAGUUUCUUGGCGAAUCCAAGUGAAGAACCAGGAAACAACCAGGAAACCAUGGGAGAAAUCUUGCAGAUGCGACCACAACUCAUCAUCGAUUCCUUCGGGCCAGCCGGCUGAGAGAUUGAUGUACACAUGCCAAUCAGUAUUCUUUGGUGGGCCAAUCUUGAGUACCGCCAAAAUAAAUGCAGAAAGGAAUGAGGCUAGCACAAGAGUGUGUCCUGAGGGAAGCAGAGAUCCCAACUCCCACCAGCGGGACAUCCGUGGCGAGAAGCUCGGACAUGCUCAUGCCCGUUGUUUGAGCCUAGGAAUUUCUAGAAGAACCUGCUUUGUUGGCAAGUGACUUUUACCUUCUGUUUUACUGUUCUCUAUGUCGUCUGCUCAAGUGCCACCAUGACGGUGGGGGUGAAAAUACAAAGAACUGCUGAAACGGUUGCUCCUUCGGGGCAGCAAUGAUACAGAGACGUUCAUGAUCUUUAGAGCUUUAUAGUGAGCAAGGAUGGCGCUAACUUUGUUUGAUGUUUACGAACUGACUGAUAUAUGUUGUUGUUUUUUCUUUCACGUGCGUUAGGAGUUCAGUUGUUUGAUGCGCUUGAUAGGUAGUAGAAGAGUGGAUUAAACUGUUCUUGAUGUGUAGAACCUUUUGAUUUGCAGCUGACUUUGUUCACAUUGCGGACUUUGGAGUGUUCCCUUAGCUACUAUGGUAAUCGUUACUCACAUGUGAAAGCAUCAUCUCCAACUGUCUUAGUGUUUGAUUGUUUCUCUUUCAGUUGUGUUGAAGGAAUGAAUUUGAUCCAAGUGAUAUUGUUUUUCUGUGCCGUUGUUCAUCUGUCAAACGUCUGUGAUUACACUUGAACAAGUAUUGUAUUGUAUCAUGAAUUCAUGACUAAUGUAGUAGCAGAAGUUAAACAUAGCUUCAUGCAUCCGUAGGUUAUGGAUACUCCAAGGAAGCAUCAUCAGGUGCACGAGCAGCCUGUACAAUCCGACAUCUUGAUCGAAGCAACAUCCUUCCCAAUACCUCGCAAUCCGAUUACGCUUCACCUCAUGCGGUAAACAUAUCUUGAAUCCAUAUACCAUCGGAGAAGAACACAAUGGAGGAUGUAGAUAAUACUAUUGGUGGCUAGGGUGUUUAUUCUAUUGCAUGUGGUGGCCAGGAUGUUUGUGCUAUGCAUUGCAGGACAUGUUGUACCCUGGGGGAUAUAUAUAGAGAGCUAGGGAUAUAAUGGCCAUGUGUAGACCUCGCUAUAAACCAGAAUGUACAACCCGUUGGUACAAACCUGAAUGUCCUGGCUUGUAGAGAUCCCAACCACCUCCAUCCAUGACAUAAUUGAUUCACCAACUGGCAUUGAGACACCCUCACAAAAGGCAAAAGGAAAAUCCAAGAGGCAAUAAAAUCAGAGGAUACUUCCAUAGAACCCCACGGCAAGAAUGUUUAGCCGUCUCAAAACUGAUGUGAACAAUAGAUGACGGUAGCAUCCACAACCCUUGGGGCUACACCUCUAUACAUCUCUCCUAUAGAAGAAACACCGACCUAUCUUCAGAACACGCUUUCCAACCUAAUUUUUGGUAUCAUCACCGUAGUAUAAUAGAGUAAUUGAGUUUAAGUGGGGGUUUUUUAUAUAAGGAGAAACUUAUAUAAUUUUUCCUUGUUGAUAGAAAGAAAGCUAGUUUAAGAUGAAAAGGAAGUGCUCGUGGAUGUGGAUGUGAGCAAAAUGAUGCAUGCCCCCUUUGCAAUCAAUCUGUUGAAUCUUUUGGGCAUAUUUUCUGUCGAUGCCUCUUCUCCGUCGAAACCUGAUUUAAGCUCAGCCUAACGCGCAUUGACUUAAGCUCUAUCAAGAAAAACGCCCUUGGAAUCAUCAAUGAGUAGUGGAUCAACGUCGCUACUAUGAACCAAAAAAAGAUCAGAAGGAAGUAAGAUAACUUUAUGUUUGAUUAAUGUUAGUAAACAUUGUUCAUGGCACCUUUUCAUGAUCUUCGCAUGCACUGCACAUAGUGUGACCCUUUCCAUACACUUGUUGAAACAAAUUGAUGCCUAAAAUACUGUCCUUUACUCUUCAUUAUUUUACAACAUACUUCAGAGUAAAAAAGGUGUUGAUGAAUGAAAUGACUACAAGUAGUAAACCUUAAUUUUUUUGCAUCCAUAAAAAAAUCGUUUGAUUAACCAUAGAGCACUUAUUUUAUGUUGAGUACAAUUUCCAAACUAUCCCACAAACUUCAGAAUGCUUGAGCGUUUGAUACCCUGGAAUCAUGAAAUGAAGACUCGGAAGAAUUUACGGGUUGCAAUUGACUGGCGAAUGGCAGUGGUUAAGGUGGAAGGAGCGCCGGUGUAGCUGGCAACAAGUGGUGGAGGAACAUAUUGUUGGGGUGGGGCCAGCGACGCUCUAACAUGCAAGGCAUCGAUUGCGGGGGUUGAGAUGAGAAAGAGAGCUCGUGCGCCGGUGCAUGAAAGACAAGCUGGGCACAGGAGGAAGGUUUGCUAGGCUUGCUUGCAGACCGAGUCAAACUCAAUCUUUGACCAAGCCGAGUCCAAGUCCAACUUUGAAGGCUUAGAUGAGCUUGGCAACGCCGAGACAAAAGCUAGUUCAGCGGCUUGUUUCCAACCCAAGGAGCAGCCUCUAAGGGCAUCUUCAGCCGUUCGGCCCCCCAGGGCGCCUAAAUAGAGCGGCCUGGGGGCGUGCCGGCGCUAGUUCGGCCCCUGGGGACGACCUAACUCCCAGUCACGCCCCCACGCGCCGGCCCCAGGAUGCGGGAAAUUCAAACUUGGUCGUUCCCGCUUUCAAAAGACGCCGCAAAUCCGGCGAUUGAACGUAGUCUAGCGUCACAAAAAACAGAGGGCCGCCGUGCGCACCGAUUCACUCGGCUUGGUCGGCUCCAGGCGUUGGCGGAGUCGGCGUGCGCGGGCUCAUCGGUGUCGGACCUGCUUCGUCGCAGGGCUGCGUCGGCGCGGCUUCGGCACUGCUGGGCGGCGAUGUAGAGACGCCGUCCGGGCUUGGCGUCCGUGUGGUCGUGGGCGUCAUCGGCGUUGCCGUCGGCAGGUCGUUCAGGAUGAGGCCGCGCUGCACCAGGUACCACGCCUUAAGCUUCUCGUCGUUGCUCUGGAGCAUGUCCGCCCCGCUCAUCAGAAAAGUCAUGUCGGUGUUCCUCUUCUUCGCGGCGACGUUCGUCCGGAGUAGGUCGAGCUUGAUGGCGUUGUUCUUCAUAAGCGACGACCACCGCGCCUCGGUCUUCUCUUCGCGUAGGACGGCCCGGGCCUGGGCAUCGGCGAGGCAAUGCUCGAUGGACUCCUGCACUCGUGUGGUAGCCGCGUCGGCGCUUUUCCCCUUCUUUGCCAUCUUGUGGCCGUCCGGCCGUCCCUCUGACGCGCUCGGGGUUGUCGCGUCUGGCUUGUAUGUCUCCUUGGCCUUGUCGAGGGCACGCCGGACUUCCGCCCACUUCUCGCACUUGUCAAUGCGCUUGUAGACGUGGAAGUGCUUGAAGUCGGCGUCUUGGUUGUCGCCCCGAUACAUGGCAAACAUACGCAGCAGCUGCGCGGAGAGACAAACAGUUGGUGGGCGGCGGGCGUAGGGGACGAAGAUAUGCGGGCGAACGGCGUGCGUACCUGAUCCUCAAUGCUGGCGCCGCUCUCCGGGCGAGCCGCGACCUCCUCGAUGAUUCCAUGCCAUUUGUUGCACGCCAACUGGAUACGCCCCCAAUGGUUCGCCAUCGCCUUGGAGCCGCGCUGCAUGUACACGCCUUUGAAGUAGGGGUCGACGAGCUUCCGCUCGUCGAACUCGGCCUUAAUGCGGUCCCAGUACGUGUCCAAGCUCUGGUUCGCGCCGGUGGUCGGGUCGAGGCAGGCGACUUUCCAUGCUUCGGCGAGGCAUUCCUCCUCCUUGGACGUCCACUUGAUGUGCGGUUCGCCUGACCUAGCCGCCCGCUUCUUCUUCUUCUGGCGCCCCUUCGUCGGAACAGGAGCCGGUUCAUCCUCCUCCUCCUCCUCCUCGGGUUCCUGCGCGUCGUCGCCGUAGACGUAGCCGAGCUCGGCCUCCAUGUCGCCGUUGAGGUCCACUACCUCGUCCUGGGUGGCGAACCUAGGAGACUCGGCGGCCGCGGUCGAUCCUGUCGCGAUGAUGUCGUCCAUGUCGGCUCCCGUGUCGUCGGCGUCGCUGAGGUGCGAGAAGGGUAGCGGUCCGCGAUAGAGAUGGGGCGUCGGUGUGGACGCGUAGGAGGCGGGCGGCGAGUAGUUGUAUGGAGGAUACUGCACGCCGACGAAGGCGGGCGAGGGCGUGCGCGUAGCGGGGUGACCAUGAGGUAAGGUCACGUUUGGGUUGAACCCGCCGUGCGCGUCGCCGUCGGCGUAGCCGGGCGACGAUGAACCCCAUGGAGAUCCGGCGCCUUGCUGUCCCCAGGGCGCGUACGUACUGGGCGUGGCUGACGACGGGUGGAUUCAUCCCCGCCUGGUCGACCGAUGAGGAAGACGCCGCCGCGCGCGCCUCGUUGUCGCGGGCCUUCUUGGCUAUGGCCCUGUUCCGCCUGUCGGCGGUGACUGCUUUGCGCCGCUGAACUUCCACCGUCCACUCGGCGUUCGACAGGCCCGGUGGCUUCGAUGGCGGCGCCCUCGGCUUCCUCUGCUUCGGCUGGACCACAGCGCCAGUCGCGGUUGCCGCCGCGCGCGGCAUGGCGUACUUCUUCGGCGGCAUGGCGUGCUUCUUCGCGGCGAGCGGGAGAGGGUUUGGCGGGAGAAAGGGAUAGAAUGGCGGGAGGAAGGUGAGCGAGCGGGAGAGAUGCGAGGGAAAAGCGUCAAGAAACGGCGGGAAAAGACCCUCGGGUCGCUUCCAGGGUGGGCCCACGCGCCUUUUUCGCUUGCGCCGGCUCCCCAAGCGCCCCCCAGGGCGCCGGGUUCGGUCUGGGUCCGCCGGCACUAGUUUUGGCCCGAGCCGGCGAAAAACGGGCUUCUGGGGGCGCGACUGGGGCCUUUUUUUGGCGCCGGCGCGGCAAAAUUGCCUGGGGAGGGCCUGUUGGGGGCGCGGCUGGAGAUGCCCUAACCAGACAGUAAGUGUUUAACAUCCUUUUUUCACACCGUGGACUUGUUACGGCAGCUACAUUUUCUCUAAUGCCUCUCAAUCCAUUCACAAUACAUCUUGAAUUCAUAUGGUAUAGGAGAAGAACAAAGAAGGGUGUAGAUUAUACCAUGGUGGUCAGGGUGCUUAUUGUUUCAUCUAUUGCAAGAAAUGUUGGAUCUUGGGGGAUAUAUGUAGAGAGAUCUGGGCACGUAAUUUCCAUGUGAAGACCUAGCGAAAUUAUAUCUAGCCUGCAGGUACAAACUUGAAUGUCAUGGAUUGUACAUGUCUCAACCACCCACAGCCAACAAUACAAGUUCAUGGGCGCACACGUGCCUGCACACACACACACAAACAGACACACACACACACACACACACACACACACACGCACACACGCACGCACGCACAUCAUGCAUCAUAAUGUGAGGAUUCUUCCUUGCGUGACAAAGGAUGUUAGUCAUCCGAAAACUGGUACAAAAAUAUAUGAUGCUUGUGAAGAUCAACUGUACAUUGCUACAAUAAACAUGAAAUACAGUUUAUAAAAAUUGAAAAGGUAAAGUUUAGAUACACGCGACCAGAACGCACUUAUUAAUAAUGAUAUCAAUAUAUUAUAAACCAUCGCAGAUGAGACAGUUGAUUGAAAACCCACCUCCAGGCUCUAGCCAUGACAGAAUAAAUAUUUUGCUUAUGAGCACUGGGUUGCCCUUACUUUAAGAAAAAGGAAAAAACAGAGAGACAACAAAAACUGAUGAUACUUCAUCAGAAUUGCACAAAAAAAGCUCGGUUAGUCAUCUCAAAACGGAUGUCAACAACAGAUGACGGUUCCUUAGAGCAUCAAUUCACAACCUUGGAGCUAAACCUCUAUAUAUCUCUCAUGUAAAAAGACAUAUCUCUACAACUCCCUUUUAGUCUUCUUUAACACCGCCGAUAUCACAACCGUACCAAUAACACUACUGACCACGGCGGAGUGCCUACGUGCGAGGGAAUGGCUCCCACAGCAGGAUUGACUGUGGUUGACCGAGUUUUUUGGAGUGUACUUGGGGAGGAGCUGAUGGACGGGGUGGGAGCGGGCGGUGGAGUGAAGAUGUCCGACGGCGCUGUAGAUGGACGGUGGGUCGGAAUGAGAGCUCACGCAUUGGUACAGAGACGAGUCUGGAAGCGUGCAGUCCGAGUCAAACUUGAGCUUUGACCAAGCCGAGUUCAAGCUUAGUUUUGUGAGGUUUGACGAGUUUGGAAGCUCGACUUGGCUUGUUUCCACCCCUAGCAAUAGCCUUAAGCUAGAUACGCAUCAGUUGGGUGCCUUCUUUUACACGGCGGAUGUGUGAUGGAUGCUACAUAUUUUCCAAUACAUCACAAUCCAGUUACCAUUUACCACACAUGGAUAAUAUGUCUUUGUAUCCAUAUACCAUGGAAGAAGAACAAAGAAGAAUGUAGAUCAUAUUGUGGUGGCCAGCAUGCGAAUUGUCUCAUGCAUUGCAAAUGCAAGAGAUGAUGUAUCUUGGGGAAAAUAUAGAGUUGGGCAUGUAAUGGCCAUGUGGUAUAGCUAGAAAUUAUGUAUCCUCUAGAUACACACAUGAAUGUCCUGACAUGGAGAGCUCCCAACCAGCUUCAGCCAGUAAUGAUAGAAUCAGUUCGUUUAUGAGCAUCACGAUGCCCUCACAUCACGGGAAAAGUCUUGAGACACAACAUUCACUCAGAGUGUUUCUUUAUAACCGCACAAUAAGCAUAACUCCAACGCAAAUCACCAAAAUGGGCACACCAAAUGUCUGCGGACAAUGUCCAGACGUGUCCGUGGAUAGUCAUAGGGGCUGUUGCCACCAAAUGGAGUCACAACUUGUUCGGCUAAAUUCAAACAAAUAUUGAACAAAAGGAAAUUCAGGGAAGCCCGGUGAUAUUUGUUAAAUUUUGAUGUAUUACAACCGGAAGGACGAAAAUCACCAAAGUUUCAACUAAACCGUAAAAAACUGAAACUAUGCGAGAUACCAAAGGAUGACCUCAUACGCAUGGAUUUUGAGACCUCCGACACCUCCAUCUUCUUCGGCGUCAUCGUCACCGCCGUCUGAGCCGUCCUCCUCUUUCUAGUGGCGGGAGCACUGCCAAUCGUCGCGGCAACCCUCAUUAGCCAUUGUUGCUCGCUCGCGGUGCAGCCGCUUGGCGUACUUUGCCUCGGCAGAGCCUUGGCCUCCUACGCCUGGCGGUGACGAUGGGCCACAGUCGCGGAAUACGCCCCGCGCUGCCAGCAUUUUCAGCUAGCCUUGGCCUGGCGGCGACUUGAACAACCUCACAUGGGGAGGUAGUUAUUGAUCUAGCGCAGCGGUCCUGGACCGGUCGAUGGCCUAGGCCACCGCAAGCAUGGGUUGGGGUCCGGUGCAGGGGCGGGCCCACUUCAAUUCAUGGGUAUUCAGUUGAAUACCCGUUAUUUUUGUCAAAAGAUUUCAUAUAUAUAGUGUAUAUUACACACAGAUUUUUUUUUGAGGGAAUAUAUUACACACAGCUAUGAAAAAAGAAGUAAACCGAGGCAAUAUGUGAGGCUAACAAGCCUUCAGCCCACGUUCUGGGUGCGCUGGCUGGUUCCCUCCCUUCCCACCCCACAUGGCCCAGUAGCCCGCGACAGUAACUCCUUCCACGCUCGCAGCCCAUUCAAAAAUAACUGCAGCCUGCGUUAUUUCGCUGAACUCAAUUGAUCAAAUGAACCGUCGGGCCGCCUCCCGAAAUCCCCAAUUCUGAUCGCACCUCAUCCUCCUAUGCGACCACGCGCAGCGGCGCAUCCAGCCAUGGCACAGGCGCACAAUGGCAUGGGCAGGUGUGGUCGUGGCGCGGUGCAGACAUCUCGCAUCCAGCAUGGGCGUUUGAAGUCCAAAUUUUCCUACCUCGGCACUCCGGAUCAGGAUAAAUGGCCUCGGCCGCAUUCUGCUUGCGAGGUAGCGUCCACAUCCCCCACACAUACAAACAGUAAGUUAUUGUCUAAUUGGCUUUCUGUUUCAGCAUAUUGAAAUUUCAGAUUUGUUUGCACUUACACAAAAGAAACUGAGAUUUUAGAAGUUAUUAAGUAGUCUAAUACAUUAAUAUUGUUUGCAAUUUGCGAUGAAAAUUUGCAAUUCGAGAAUCUGUUUGAAUUAUGAAUUCGUAACAACAAACAUUACUUUAAAAAAUUAGCACUCUGAAACUUGAGGUUUAAAAAAAUCAAACCUUUCAAAUUUUGAAUACACGCUCUUAAAAUCUUGGGCCCGCCCCUGGUCCGGUGGGAACUAGAUUGAUGCGAUUUGGAUGCCUUGGAGGCCACCAUGGAGGACGUCGUCAUUGUUUAAGACGAGCCACCGCCAACGAGGAAGUAGAUGUGGCGGCUGCAUGCAUUGGCCAUCACUCACCGGGAAGAGCGCCUCGUCCUUCUUCAUGACCACCGGGUGCCACUGGCACCCGGAGUGCCGAUGGGGCAGGGAAGGCGACACCACCUCUUUGCCUUAGCGGAGAUAGCUACCUGACGACUCCUCCUUGACGUGUACUCCCUCCGUUUCAAAAUACUUGACUUCCAUUUGUCGAAAAAUGGAUGUAUCUAUAUACUAAAUCAUGUCUAGAUACAUCUAUAUUUUGACAAAUGGAAGGCAUGCAUUGUGGAACGGAGGGAGUAGUACGGAUGGCGGCUCCUCCUUAACAUGGCGUACAAUUUGGAUGCCGUAGUUGGGCGAGGACAGUAGCAUGGGUGGUGUCAGACCACGGUCGGAUCGCGAUUGCUCGAGUAAUAGCUAGAGCUACCGCGCGUACUCCUUGUCCAUCUGUGUGGACUCCGUGAGGACCCGCGGCUGCUACUGCUCGUCGUCCGUGGAGAGCACCUCUGUCUUGAUCGUAGGAGCCAUCGACGCCAACUGGCCCAAAGACCGUGGGCGGCGGAGCCAUGAUCCGGACUCCGGAGCUCAUGCUACAUAUGGAGGGCCCGCGGAGAAUGAGUUGCUGUAGCCGGACUUGCUCCGCGGUAGCAGCUGGUUGUGGAGAUCUGCUGAGGAGAGGAGGGGAAAGGAGUAGCGACAGUGUCAUUUGGUCCACUCCGUCGACCGGCUUAGCCUGGGCAGGCAGACCGACGGUACUUCAAUGCGGGUGCAAAUGGGUGAAGUAGGCUUCUCGGUCGCUGCGUCGGUGUGAAUGUCGACAUUGAAGUUACCCUUAGCCAUCUCAAAACUGAUAUCAACAAUAGAGAAUAUUUCCAUAGAUGAAACGUGAAAUAUAAUUAUACAAAUUAGGAAAAAAGAGUACGAUACACAAGACCAGAAUACUUUGGUAGUGAUACCAAUAUAUUAAAAAACCAUUGCUCUUCAAGAUCAGUGCUUGAAGCCUUGCAAAGCUGGAUAGAAACAAUGCACUAAAAGCUGUAGCCAAAACACGGGCACCAUCCUUGUUGGGUUUCACCCAAUACAGACCACAUGGAAAAUCACACAAACACACAUGAGUUUAAAUGCUAGCUAGAAUAAUCCGAAUAAUUCCAACAUGAAAAACUUUGCCAAAGACAUGUCCCAUCUCUUUCUUUCUUUAUUGGAACUCAUGAAUUAGUUGUAGGCAAUGCCGGAGUGCUGGUAGUUGCCUCCAGAAGAGAAGACGUUGAAUGUGGGCCAGGAUUGGCCUUUUGAUGUUUUGAGGGAUGCAUGUACUGAGGUGCACAUAAUGUUAUUGUUGAUUAUUUGGCGUGCCUGGCAGCUACAUAAUUACAUGGUUAAAUUUUUUUAGAAAGUUAAUUCGCCAACUGAAGUUACUUGAAUGUUUAGCUGUUGACAAUGUUACUUACUCCCUCCAUUUUUAUAUACAAGGUCACUAUAGACUAUACAUUUUGCAUCUACACAAGGCCACCAAUAGUAAUCGAGGCAAAGUUCAUGAUAUUUUCUCGUACUAACAACUUGUUUAAUACUUGCAUGCAUGUAGUCAUAAUGACAGUCAGCUACUUUCUCCACUCAGUUUCUUUGCAUACAUGUGGAGUAUUAAUGAUCCCAGUAAACAAGAAGAAAAGUUGACUUGUAAAGCAAACAUUAAAUUUUACAUUGGUACCUGUAAUCUGAGUUUGUGGCCUUGUAUAUAAAAAUGGAGGGAGUAUAUCCUACAAAAGGAUGGCAGGGAUCCAAUAGAAGAUAAAGCAUCGGUUUCAGUCCCGGACAAAACGUGGUUACCUCGACCAUUUCAGGUGCAGGAAGCUGAAUAUUGCCCUAUUCCGCCUCAGAAUUAGAUACCCAUCACUUCAGAUGGCUCAUUCACGGAGCAGACAUGUGUUUUGGCUCCGGAGCAGUUGCGUGGGACUCUUCAGGCAAGGUGUUAUUUUCAUGCUGGUAGGAGUUAAAUCAUUGUGUUGAUGCUUUUGAAUCUGAAACUUCGACAAUGUUCGAUGGUGUUCGGCCGUCAGUUCAGCAUACUGAUACUGAUCUUGAGCUGGUUGUUUAGUCAAUUUGUAUAGUUCUCAUUCAGUGUGUACAAUCCUGCUCCGAGAAUAGAUCUCGUAUGGGCCAAACUACAGAAGAAAUCAAGUGUAUGUUGAGGGAAUAUGGGCAGUUUUUUUUUCAAAACAAACUUUGCCCUAAUCCGAAUACGGUUUCAAAUUUGUUACUCUACUUCUUAGCGUCGUUUGCUAGGGAGAGCCAAUGCACUAAUGUGUUUUCUUCUUGCAACGAUAACUUUCGAUCUAUUGCAGUGUCUCCCACGUGUGUGGCGGAUUUAAUCGCUCCUGAUUGUUAUCCUAUCGUAUGUUCGUGAGUACUAUCGCAUCAUGACAACCUGCACACAACCUUUUGUUCUGUCAAGCCUCCUAGUCGAGCAUGUCAACAACGACAAUACUUGUACCAGAAGUUAAAGUUAGUUUCAGAGUCUCUGUCUGUAAAAGCACCCUCGCAGUCUAGGUUCAACUACCAUGAUCCACACACACACAACGUUUGGCUUUCUUUAAUUUUCAGAUGAGCAUGUUGGUAGUAGCUACACCUUUCCCAAUACCUCGCAUUCCACUUAUACUACUCUAUUCACCUCGGGUGGGGUGAACAGAUACUGAAUCCAUGUGCCGCCAUGGGAGAAGAACAAAGGUGAGUGUAGAUCAUGCAUGUCGUGGUGUCUGGGAUGAUGAUCAUCCCAUGCAAUGCAAAGAUCAUAUGCCUUGGGAGAUACAAUAUAGAGAGAGCGUUGGGCAUGUAAUGCGAUGACCUUGUGUAGAGCGAGCUGAGAAUUAACUACUCCCUCCGUUCCAAAAUAGAUGACUCAACUUUGUACUAACUUUAGUACAAAGUUGGGUCAUCUAUUUUGGAACGGAGGGAGUAGCAUGCAGGUACAAAUAUCUGAGUGCCCUUGAUUAUACUUCACAUGCUUGCGGAGUCCUCAACCAUCUCGAUUGGUUUGCUUAAUUACUCGAGCAUUUGGACGCACUCACAAAAAAGAAAAGAAAAUGGAAGCGGCACAUGCUGAGCAUGCUGCCUUAGAGCCAUAAAAUGUAGAAUAAAUGUAGAGCCCUUCUAAUAUGAGCUACUUCUAAACUGCCUUAGGCUGGUCACAAUGGGAGUAACAGAGAUAGUAAUAUAACGCACCCAAUGCAAAUUUGCUUAUGUGGCAAUAGUUAAUAAGAAGAGUGGUGCUUAGAGUAACAUAGUAUGUUACUGUAACAUAGCGCUUCACAAAGAUAAAUGAGUCUACAAGUUAAUAAAUGCAAUCAUUUAUGUUACUAUUUCUUACUUUGCACUAUGAACGUAGUAAAAUACCCUAGUGUCAUAUGCAUGACACUAGUCUAAGUUAUUCCCACUAUGACUAGCCUUAGUCACGAAAGAUAUUUUCAUUUUGCAUUCGCUAGAACUUGGUAUGAUUGCAUUUUAUCCGAACCCCGAUUCAGACCACGUGGAUAAUUUUUUUCUUGAAAAAGAUAAUAUAUUAAUAUCAUGAAUUUACCAAUUACACCCGGCCUCGGCACCAACAAUAUGUCUCAAAGACAUCCAAAACGCACAUAGCCUGAAAAGAGAAAAAAAGGCCUCGUCACAGUGAUCAACUCCUCUCAGCAGCAUCACAUAAACCGCCAUCAUAGACAAAACCCGGAAAACAUAAAAAUUCUCCAAAAACGAUGCCUUCAAGAACGGAACAGUGCACAAGCGUCGUCGUCGCCCGAUCCAACAUCUUAGGUUUUCCCCCUCGAGAAAAUCCGAGCUCUCAAAACAAUAACUUCAGCAAGACAAUUGCUAGGCACAACCAAUGAAGUUCAUACCUUAGCUUUCACCCUGAAAAUCACGAUUCGGCACCCGAAGUGCGACACCAAAAACAAAAUCCUAUAAUGUUGCCGCCCCCACUUGUCACUGCUGAUUUUGAAAGUUAUCAAACACUUGGCUGACUUCCUCGCUUUCUAGGCCCCUCCGCCUUAACGAACCUCCGAUUUCAGCCACCAUGAUUUUCUCGACUGAUAUCUAUGUCAUGAAAAUCGAUAUACCCACAUGUCCCAUGGUGUCAACAAACAAUAGAGCUUCACAUCGUGCCCUAAGGGAGCCGCGGAGGCUGAUAUGGACGCGCACGACCGGAAUCUAUCCGAUCCAUAUAUCCUUGGGCAAGGUUACCAACAACAGUUCCAGAACAGGUCGAUGGCCAGAUAAAAUAUACUUGCUUCACAACUUGAAAAUUUGGACAGAAAACAAGAAUUACUCAUGUGCUCACAUAGCUCAAUUAAAUGAGCUGAAUUUGGGUGGAGGCUAAUGAUUUGGGAUAUUUGAGAGGAUGGCAAAGGUUCAUCCCAUUUGGAAACUCCAUGAAGGUACUUCCUUCACAAAGUUACAAUCUGGUCAAAAACUUUGAAAAAUUUCGCAGGGAGCUAGGAUGACUGGAUUGAGCUCAUCUUUGGUAUCCAUGGGUGAUUUAUCAAUAUUAAUCACCCUGCCAAAUUGCAGCUCAAAUUUAAUUAAGAAUAAAUCACUUCCCUUGCAAAAUUUCAGAGAAGGCAGAAACUUGCAUUGGAUCAUGUGCCAAAUUUUUGAUCUGUGGAACAUGAGAUAAAGAUGGAACUAGUGAUUAUAUAGCAAUGACAAGCUCCACAAUUUAUGUGGGAAUUUUCUACGUUAUAAAAAUAAUAGUUCCUUUAUAAAACGGCAGAAAUGCAAUAUUGGCAUUAAAUAGGAAAAGGCAAUUUUCCAUAAUUAGUUAUGGCCAAUAUAAUUACCAGAGCUUGGAUUAGGCAUAAUUAUUAACUCCAACAAUUGACAUGAAUUUAGGAGAUGCCAAGCUAUGCCUUUGGAUUUUAUUCCUCAGAAAGGCAAGAAAAGGAAUAAAUCACAAUUCAAAAAUAUUGCAUGGGAUUUGGCAAUAUUUUUGCAUAUCCAAGGUUGAAAAGGAUAAGAGGGUCUCUGGGAAUAGAUGGGCUGAUCAACAGAUCAAGGAAAUGAUGGCUCCUUUCUAAUCCCAAAGGCCACAUUCAAACCCAAAAAUUUGGAAUUAGGGUUUGAGAGGCUUUUAGAUGAUGCAGCUGAGGUCUUGCCCACUGAAAAAGAUAUGAGCAAGGUUUUGAAAGGUUGGAAAUGACAAGAAUUCUCAGGGUCGUCAGCAAAACUCAGGAGAAAGAUCUUGAAAAUGAGUGCCAGGAAGGAAUAACAACACAAAAAUUGAUAACCCAAUUUUGGAGCUGUUACAUCCUUCGGGCCAGCCAUCUGAGAGAUUGAUGUACACUACAGACCAAUCAAUAUUCUUUGGUGGGCCAAUCCCGAGCACCACCAUCAUAAAUGCAGAAAGGAAUGAGGCUGGCACAAGAGCGCGCGCUGAGGGAAGUAGAGAUCCCAGCUCUCACCAGCGGGACAUCCGUGGCGAGAAGGCUCGGACAAGCUCCUUCACGUUGUUUGAGCCUAGGAAUUUCUAGAAGAACCUGCUUGUUGGCAACUGACCUUGACCGGCUGUUUUACUCUUCUCUACUAUGUCGUCUGCUCAAGUGCCACCACCAUGACAGUGGGGGCGAUGUUGAUGCACUGCACCCCAUGCAGAGUCAGGGAACUGCUGAAAUAGUUGACCUGGGGUUUCAACGAUACAU